rnacentral:lncRNA from 1 species
CUUUUGACGACGACGAGAGAGCCUUCAACAUCCUUACGACUCCAUUGGCUGAGGUCGAUGUUGAACUCGUAGAAGGUGACAUGAGCGGCCGUGAUGAGGAUCUCCUCAAUGAAUGGAUCGAUUCACUGAAGAACUGUCAGGUUUAGGAGUUUUGUGCUCUGCUGGUCCAGAUUAGGCAUCAAUUUUCCGUUAUGCGACAUUUUUCAUAGUCGUUUUGGGCUCUGCCCCGAGCACAAGCCCCAGGGUUUUUCUGUGAGCUCUCUCUUUUGUAAAUAAAGUGUUUGAUGAGAUAGCCGAGAGAGAGUGAAAGUGUUGAACAGCCAAACACGGUCUCGAGAUUGAUCUUGCUUUAACUUCUUUUAAACAUUUGGGAAAUAGCAUUUAUUUCUUUUAGUUUCUCUACUUUUUUUUUUCCUUUAUGUCAUUUAGACCCCAAAAUUAGAUUUAUUAUAAUCCUAUUUUACCCAUACACUAUUAACCCCUUUUAUUUACCCCUUUUAUUUUUAAAAUUUGUCAAUAUUAAUGUGUUAGAAUAAUGUUAAAAAUCCCAAUUAUUAUCUCAAUGUUUCAAUCAUAACUAAUGUGAUGACUCAUUGGUAACUGCAACAUUAACUUAAUUAUUAAUGUAACACAAUAAAAGUUUGCCACUUCGGCAUUGGUCGGAGUGGUGGGAUGCUUGUGAGGGCAGCGGUUCAAGCCCCCACAAAAGUAUUUGUGGGGGCUAACGUUGUGGGGGCUAACGUGCUUAUUUGUUUAAUAUUUCAAAAAUUUCCUCUCCCUCGUGCAAUACGAGUGGAGUAUGGACAUCCCUCUUCUGUAAGGGAUUAUUUGUCUGGGCAUGUACUUCACAGAAUUCAAUGUAAUAAUAUAAGUCCCAAUCAUGUAUUUCUGAUUGUAAAUAUCAGUGUAAUAUAUCUGCUGUUGAUGCGAGAUUCUGGUUCUCCUCGUUCUACGACCAGGAUCUCUGCUCGAUCAACUUUACCACGACCAGGAGGUCUCCUAGUAAUGCUUCUUCUCCAGAUGUCCCUGCACACACAGACAAGUCAGAGUACGCCGGUUGUUCUCCCGGCGCAAACCCUCCGACGCUCAAGUCAGAUAUGAAGGUUCGGGGAACGCUUGCCACAGGUCUUAUGGCUUUUUCGUGGUUUUCUCUUUUAUCUUAAAAAUGCUAACCCUUUUACCUUCGUUGGCUACCUUUUUAUAGGCUUCUCCGAAUCCCCGUUUUCCGCUUUUUGCCAGACGGUAUGGGACUCUGACUGCUGCGUCAUGGGCGAAGGUGGGAUCUUGCGUGUUACGCCACGGUUCUGGGGAAAGCGUGGCUGUCGUGCCUAGAUUCUCGGGCUGGAGAGCAUGUCUUGCCAACUGCCGUCGACCGGGUCUCCUCGCUUCUCGACCUCUAGCCGGAAUGAUCUUAUGCCUCUUACAGGAAAUUGACCUCGCGGAUGACGUGCUCGUGGACGAGCAGGAUAUUUCUGCUCCUGUUCCCCCGCGCAUCAGGCUUUUACGGAACACACCGGCUCGAGGAACUCUGCCCCCAGAUAUCUGCUCACCAUGCCUGGUCUCAUCGACGUAUUUCUCCUAAACACCGGUCCCCCAGUUUCUGGUGUUGGGUAAUGUAGUGGACCAGCAGUAGAAACUCGAUAGUACUCGCUCACGUGGGACUGGAAAAGGCUGCCAAGAGUCGUGUCGCAUUUAAUUGCGGACGGGGUGACGUGGCGGAAAUCCCCCCUCCAUUUGAAUUUCAAACCGACGGUUAUGAGGCCCUCGGGAUUCGGCGCUGUUAAAUGCUGGCAACCCAAGAGUCCGUCCCCAUUAGAAAAACCAAAUCCUCUCGAACGGCAUAUUCAUCAUCCACUACGUCUCCGUCUCUGUCUCUCCGGCAAAGAAGUUCCGGCAUAAAAGUCCUCCAUCUCUGAUUUUCACCGACUGAACCAUUACUUCAGGUAUUUCUUCUAUCUCCUUGGCCUCGGAUAGUUGUAGAUAAUUUCUCUUUUCUUCUGUUUGGGUAGUAGUUGGUGGUGUUGUGGUUAGAGCUUAGGGAAUGUCGAAAGGCAAAGAGAAGGUCAUUGAGGUUGACGACGACGAGUUGGACUUCCUGCCUAGUCUGCUCACCGACCCUGCUUUUGACCCCGGGAUUCCCUUAGAGCCCACUAGGUCUAGUGUCGGGACUAGUGCUAGCAGGAUGUCUCCCCAAACAACCUCUACGAGCGGAAGUAGUGGUGAGGAGAGAUCUUCUGACUCUGAGGAUACGUUGAGUGAGAAUGGCGAAGGUGAUUCUGGUGAGGUGUCUCCAUCUAGAACAUCACGACCAGGAGAACGGGGUACAGUAGGAGGCAGAGCCUUGUCGCGCGAUUAUGCCAUUGAUUACAUGACGUGCAUGACCUCGUUUGACGAGCUCAAGGACCUCCGGCUUAGGUAUAGCAUUCCUGGUGAGAUACCUCUCAAGGUCCCAGGAAAGAAGGAUGCUCCCAGCCGGCCUCCUAGGGGAUACGUUACCCUGUUUUUAGAGAGCUUUAAGUACGGGCUGAGGUGUCCCUUGCAACCCUACUUUGCCCGGAUACUUAACGGGCUAAACCUAGCUCCUGGUCAGCUGAAUCCCAAUGGGUGGAGAGUGCUCUCUGGUCUGUUCAUAUUGUGGGACAGAUGUUGCCAGAGCGAGCCCACGGUUGAUGAGGUGAGACACCUGUACCAGCUAAAGAGCAGCCCCAAAGAUGCCGGCUGGUACUACUUCCAAUCUAGCACCAAGAGCAGGAAACCUAUAACCGACCUCCCCACUGGUGGUGGUGGGAAUUGGAAGAGAAAGUUCUUUUUUGCUGGGGGUCCUUGGGGUCAGGUUGCACAAAUGAACGGGAAGGAUUAUCGGGUCCCACCCCGUUUCACGGUCCCAGGUUGCCUGCUUGCUUUUAGAUGUCUUGUAUCCAUAAGUGUUCUUGCUUUAUUGGCUUGUCUCUAACCAAAUGUCUGUUUGUGUUGUAGUUUCUUGGGGUGUUCACUUCCCGCUCCCACCCGACCAGCUCAAACGGGUCGAGGCUGUGCUCGUCAAUUCCUGCUCGAGCCGGGAACUGUUAACUACGUACAACUUGCUCGAGUCUCGCUUGAUACUUCCUGGCCAUAGGAUGGAGGACGCUGUGAUUGGGGCUCUGACCCGAAAACGUUCUCGACCCCCAACCACGAAGAGGGACCAGAGUAAGGAUGCCCCUGUGGCAAAGCGGGCCAACAUCGUGCAGCAGGUCCCACCCUUGAAGAUUUUACCUCCUGCUCCCGUAAAAAUUAGGGAAGCUGGUGGAGCUGCCACAGAUCCUGCUUCCUCUCCUCCUCCUGUCGGGCCCCGAUCUCACUUACCUGACAGCCGAGCAGAACAUCUGGUCCCCUACUUCAAUGAGUUAACUAAACUCGUGAGCAGGAAGGAUCUGGAGGACUUUGACGGCCGCACCUUGGGUGAGUUGGUGGGGGCCAUGCAACAUAGCGCUUUCCACCUCAGCUGCAUGACCACCUAUUACAAGGCUAAGGCUGGCCGCUAUGACCGGAAGAUGAAGGAGGAUAUUCAAUCGGCGACGACCAGAGCUGACGUUGCCGAGAAGAAAGCAGGGGAGCUGAAUCUCGAGAAUCUGAAGCUGAUGGAGCAAGAAUCACUUGCUCAAGCAAAAGCCAUCGCCCUCGAGGAGGAGCUUAUCAAGGUCAGGGAGGAUCUGCAAAGGCAGAAGGCAAUGUAUGAGGCUCAGCUCGAAUCUCUUCGCGACUCCCACCGAGCUCAGGCCGAGAACUUGGAGAGGGAGGCCGACAACCAGUACGACCAGGGACUUCGGUAUUCCUAUCGUUGCAUCAUGGCCGUCCUCGGGAAGCAACACCCUGAUCUGAAGAUGGGUGACCUUGCGGCUGGUGUUGCUCAACAUAUGGACGAGGAGGCGGCCAAGGAGGAUGCCAAAGGGGUAGAGCCGAUCGUGAUAGAGGAGGAAAACUCUCCUCCUCAUGUAGUCCCUGCUGAUGUUGGCGAGGCGAGCACCCACCCCGAUGCCUCUAGUGAUACCCCUCCUGCACCUGAGGAGGUCCAGCCAACCGAUGCCGCUGGGCUCACUGAUCCACCAUCUUCUUGAUAUAUUUCUUGUAUUGUAAUGACAAUGUUUAUGAAGAUUAUUCCCUCUGUUAAUUAUUAACAAAUUAAUAAAAAUGUUUUUGAUCACCUUCUUGUGUCGUAAUUACGAAUUAAUUUUCGUUUGAGAAUCUGCUUGUCUUUGUCUAAACGAGCAGGUUCCGGCUUGGCUCAUGGUUUUGCCACAUGCCUUUGAAGAUUUUUCAAUGCUUGGGAUUCGGUUUGCCUUCGCGCAGUUGAGCAGAUCCUGGCACGCUUGGCUUCUGUCUCGCCAUAAGAUAGGCUUUGAGACUUGACGAGCCUUUGCAUGCCUUGGAUUCUUCAAAGCUCAGGAUUCUGCUGCCUUCUCAUGGCCGAGCAGAUCCUGGCAUGCUUGGCUUCUUUCUCGCCAUAAGACAGGCUUUGAGACUUGACGAGCCUUUGCAUGCCUUGGAUUCUUCAAGGGUUGGGAUUCUGCUGCCUUCUCGUGGCCGAGCAGAUCCUGGCAUGCUUGGCUUCGGUCUCGCCAUAAGACAGGCUUUGAGACUUGACGAGCCUUUGCAUGCCUUGGAUUCUUCAAGGGUUGGGAUUCUGCUGCCUUCUCGUGGCCGAGCAGAUCCUGGCAUGCUUGGCUUCUGUCUCGCCAUAAGACAGGCUUUGAGACUUGACGAGCCUUUGCAUGCCUUGGAUUCUUCAAGGGUUGGGAUUCUGCUGCCUUCUCGUGGCCGAGCAGAUCCUGGCAUGCUUGGCUUCGGUCUCGCCAUAAGACAGGCUUUGAGACUUGACGAGCCUUUGCAUGCCUUGGAUUCUUCAAGGGUUGGGAUUCUGCUGCCUUCUCGUGGCCGAGCAGAUCCUGGCACGCUUGGCUUCUGUCUCGCCAUAAGACAGGCUUUGAGACUUGAUGAGCCUUUGCAUGCCUUGGAUUCUUCAAGGGUUGGGAUUCUGCUGCCUUCUCGUGGCCGAGCAGAUCCUGGCAUGCUUGGCUUCUGUCUCGCCAUAAGACAGGCUUUGAGACUUGACGAGCCUUUGCAUGCCUUGGAUAAUUUCUUGGUUUCAAGCGUAAAAUUGCUUCAUUAAUGGCAGGAUUCGACUUACAUAAAAUUGUUUGGGACAUAAAGCGUAAAAGAUAAACGAUAAUGAGCAUGAGCAGAAAUAGCUCUCAAAUGUGAACAAAUCUUACUGGAAGUAUUUUCGGAGGUGUGCUGCGUUCCAUGGGCGUUUCACCUCGUGGCCGUCCGCGCGAACCAGCCUGUAAGCUCCGGGUCCCGCUAUCUGCUUGACUCUAUAUGGCCCUUCCCAAUUCGGUCCCAGCACUCCUUGAGUCGAAUCUUUGGUGCUCUGAUUCACUCUUCUCAGUACCCAGUCUCCGACCCUGAAUUGCCGUAUGUUCACCUUCUGGUUAUAAUACCGAGCAACCCUCUGUUGGUAAGUGACUGAUCGCUCGGCUGCUUGCUCCCUCCUUUCCGUCAGCAGAUCAAGAUUCAAACAUAUCUGCUCGUCGUUCUCCUGCUCAUUGAAAUGAUCUGUCCGGUGUGUGGUCGUUCCUAUCUCAGCCGGCACGACCGCUUCGUGUCCGAAAGCCAAAGCGAACGGUGUCUCCCCCGUUGCGGUUUUGUGGGUUGUUCUGUAUGCCCAUAGCACACCUGACAGCUCGUCAACCCACGCACCCUUUUUUGCACCAAGCCUGGUUUUCAGAAGCCUCUUGAUGGUCUUGUUGGCUGCUUCUACUUGUCCAUUCGAUUGAGGGUGAGCAGGCGAGCAAUACUUCAGCUCUAUCCCGAGGUUCUGGCAGAAAUCCCUGAAGCUGUGAUUAUCGAACUGCCUGCCAUUAUCCGUUACCAAGGCAUAAGGGAUCCCGUAUCGACAGACCAGGUUUCUCCACACGAAGUCUGUUGUUUUCUUCUCCGUGAUCCUGCUAAGGGCUUCCACCUCUAUCCACUUCGUGAAGUAAUCUAUAGCAACUAUUGCAUGUGUUGCUGCUCCUCGUCCUUUUGGCAAUGGGCCGAUCAGAUCAAUUCCCCAUUGAGCAAACGGCCAAGGGGAGGCCAUAGAGGUGAGCUUCUCUGGUGGUUGGUUGGAGAAAUUUGCAAAACUCUGGCAGCUUGCACAACCCCUGGUCUUCUUUUGCGCAUCCUGGUGCAUUGUCGGCCAGAAAUAUCCCUGUCUUAGGACCUUGUGGGCCAGGGACCUCCCGCCAGAAUGAUUUCCGCAAAUUCCUUCAUGUACUUCUCUCAGCACGUAAUCCGCGUCGUCGUCAUCCAAACACCGAAGGAACGGUAAUGUGUAUCCUCGCCGAUACAGUACCCCAUCGAUCAUCGUGUAUCUCGAGGCCUGAGCUCUAAUCUUCCGAGCUCGCAGCUUAUCUGGUGGUAAUACCCCGUCUCUAAGGUAUGAAACUAUCGGGUCCCUCCACGAGCAUUUUUGUUCUAUCCGCAACACCCCCAAAUUCUGCUCGAUACUUGGGCUGGACUUCACUUCUAGAGGGACGGACUUUGGCAUUUUUGGGUCGGCUACUGCUGCCAUCCUAGCCAAAAUGUCUGCUCGACUAUUAUGCUCCCUGGGGAUUUGUAUCACCUCCACUACUUCGAACUUCCCCAUCAUCUGCCUGACUAUCUUCAGGUACUGUUCCAUCUUCUCCUCUCUUGGUUGGAAUCUUUCACUGACAUGAUUCGCAACCAGCUGGGAAUCAGUUCUGAUCUUAACUCUGUCUGCUUUCACGGCCCUAGCCAAUUCCAGGCCUGCUAUCAAGGCUUCGUACUCUGCCUGGUUAUUUGUGGCUGCAAAUUCCAACUUUACAGCAUAAGAGAUCUCCUCCCCCUCUGGGCCUUCCAGGACAAUCCCUGCUCCUGAACCCCGCUCCCCUGAUGACCCAUCUACAGACAUCUGCCAUACUUGAGUUUCGUCAUUGCCUAUAACUGCAUCUUGUUGACCUAAGCAUGUUUCGGGCUCUGUGAAUUCAGCUACGAAAUCGGCCAUUGCCUGGGCCUUUAUCGCUGCGCGGGGUUUAUAGUCUAUGUCGAACUCGCUCAGCUCCACAGCCCACUUGACGAGCCGCCCAGAGGCAUCUGGCUUGUGCAGAGUCUGACGCAAUGGCUGGUAUGUUAUUACCGAGAUCGGGAAGGCUUGAAAAUAUGGCCUCAACUUCCGAGCAGCAACCACAAGGGCAAGUGCCCAUUUCUCCAACGAUGGGUACCUGGUCUCAGCGUCGAACAGGGCCUUGCUGGUGUAGUAUAUCGGAUACUGAACUCCUUCUUCCUCUCUCACCAGAACAGAACUGGCGGCCCGAUCCGAUACCGCCAAAUACAGAUACAACUUGUCCCCAUUCCUCGGUGUGGACAGCAGCGGAGCUUGCUGCAAGUAUUGCUUCAAGUUCCGGAAGGCUUCCUCGCAUUCUGGGGUCCAUUCUGUUUUCCUUCCCCUCCUUAUCACUUGAAAGAAUGGCUGACACUUAUCUGUAGCUUUGGAUAUGAAUCUGCUCAACGCCGCCAACCUCCCCGUGAGGCCCUGCGUCUCCUUCAGGUUACGAGGAGACGUCAUUUGCACAAUCGCCUGGAUUUUCUCGGGAUUUGCUUCAAUCCCCCUAUGGCUCACCAUGAAUCCCAGGAAUUUCCCUGACUCGACCCCAAAAGCACACUUCUCCGGAUUGAGCUUCAUCUUAUACUUCCUCAAAAGCUCGAAUGUCUCCUCGAGGUGUCUGACAUGUUCCUUCGGGAUCUUGGACUUGGUGAUCAUGUCAUCCACGUACACCUCCAUGGUUUUCCCGAUCAACGGCUUAAAGACUUUGUUCACCAGCCUUUGAUAGGUGGCCCCAGCAUUCUUGAGACCGAAUGACAUCACCCUGUAACAGAACAAACCUUGGUUAGUGAUGAAAGCCGUGCUCUCCUCAUCCUGCUCGUACAUGGGGAUCUGGUUGUAUCCCGAGAAUGCGUCCAUGAAGCUAAGCAGACCAUGUCCAGCUGUUGAAUCUACUAGCUGAUCGAUCCUUGGUAAAGGGAAGCUGUCUUUUGGGCACGCCUUGUUGAGGUCUGUGAAAUCCACACACAUCCUCCACUUGCCGUUUGCCUUCUUUACCAACACCACAUUUGAUAUCCACUCUGGGUAACUGACUUCCCGAAUGAACCCUGCUCUCAGGAGCUUCUCCACCUCGUCAUUUACAGCCUCAUACCUCUCCUGGUUGAAACACCUCCUCUUCUGCCUUACUGCCCGAGCACCUUUCUUUAUUGCCAACUUAUGACACGCUACCUCAGGGUCAAUCCCUGGCAUGUCUUCAUGUGUCCAGGCAAACACAUCAGCAUGAGCCUGUAAGCAUUUCACAAACUCCUGCUUUUGCUCUCCCUUCAGUCUCGACCCGAUUCUGAUCGUCUUUCCCGGGUUCUCUGGUCCCAUGCUUACCGUUUCCAGAUCCUCUACAGGUUCUUGUCUGCCAGUCUUGUUUUCUACUCGGGUAUCGAGGGAUGUUAUCUGCAUUGCCUCCCUUGCUGCCGAGGAGUAGCAGCUUCUUGCGAUCCUCUGGUCUCCUCGUACCACUCCUACUACCCCAUUCACCCGGUACUUCAGAGCCAGAUAAUGGUUGGACAACACCGCUUUGCUCAUCCUUAAAAACGGCCGACCUAGGAUCAUCUGGUAAGGACCUUCCUCAUCCACUACGACAAAGUCCAGUAUCAUUGUUCUUUCUGUCGGGGGGCUCCCAAUUGUGAUAGGUAGUUCGACCACGCCCAGGGGAACCAGCUUCCCUCCUCCGAACCCCUUCAAGGAGGUGUUGGUGUAUUCCAACUUCCGGUCGGCUAUUCCCAUCUCUUCCAGGGUUGACUUAAAUAACACAUCAACUGAGCUCCCUAUAUCAACCAGUAUCCGGUCAAACUUCUUGCUAGCGACCGUAGCCUUGAUGACUAAGGCAUCCUCGUGGGGGUAUAGGAUCCCUUCCUCAUCCUCAUCCGUCCACAUGAUUGGCACUUGCCUGACCCUUGCCCGUUUGGCUGCUGGGGUGUUGAGGAGUACCUCUUUACUGGUCAUGGCGUACCUAGCAUAAUUUUUUCUCGAUCUGUUUGAAUCUCCGGCCAACGUUGGGCCCCCCGCUAUCACCCUUACUGCGGGCUGCUCGUGCCUCAAGAUUCUAUCACUCUGCUCCCCUUCAUCUGUUGUGGCCACCAUCGGGAAAGUCCCAUCCAUAAACUCGUCCAGGUACCGAUUUCUCACCAAAUCUUCGACUUGGGUCUUGAGAUCUCUACACUCUGCUGUGGUAUGGCCAUGGGUGCCAUGGAACUUACAAUAACGUCCUCUAUCCCUCCUGUUGGGUAGCUUUGUUAUUGGUGUAGGGAGGUGCAGCAGCCCUCGAUCCUUUAUGGCUUCGUACACCUCAUCCAGGGACAUCUUCAAGGGAGUGUACCGCCCAUAGUCCUGGUGCUGGUCGAUCCGAUGUACUGCUCUUUCUCUGUUUGCCCCGCUCUGAGUUGGGGGCGGUGGAAGUACUUCUGGUCUGCUCGUCCUGCUACCGUGGGAAUGUUGAUGAAGACCACCAGAUGCCGGAUCAUUUCUUGUCCAAGGUUCCCUAGCUGGGGAACGAGGAGGUUGCGCCCUGCUGCGCUGAUACUGUGGUGGCCUCUGAUGAGGCUGGUAAGCAGUGACCCUGCCUCCUGCUCCACUACCGGAGGCCUGGUGGUCCCUCCUCCUGAUCGGCCCGUUCCCUGGUAAUGCUUUCAUCUCUCUCCUCCCCAACCCUUCUAACUGGUCUGUCUUGAUCCGUGCAGCCUUCUCCUCUUCAAUCUCGAUGUCUCUUUUAGCCUGUUCGUAUGCGGCCGCAUACGUUUGAAUAGCUGGGCUUCUCAAAUUGUACCACAGCCUUCCUAUCUUCACCCCUUCUUUCAAUCCCCUUAACGCCUGAGGGUGGUUGAAGGCUCCCAAGUCGAGGACAGCCCGAUGAAACCUCUUGAUGAAUUCCCGAAGGGUUUCUUGCUCCCCCUGUUUCAUGCUUUUCAGCUCCAUCAUGUCAUCUUCCGGUGACAUUGCCCCACUGAACUGCUCCGCGAAUUCCUGGCACAUCUGCUCGAAGGUUUUAAUGCUGCCCCGAAGAAGUUUCCUGUACCAUUCUCGUGCACGUCCCUCAAGGGAUAGUGGGAACACCCUGCACCUUUGGGAUUGAGAUAAUCCUUGUACCCUAGUUAUGUCGUUGAAGCGCUCUAUGUGCAUCAGCGGGUCAGUUCUUCCCGCGUAUCUGAGGUCGGGGAGGCGGAAAUCUCUCGGAAUAACUGCCCUCAUGAUCUCUGCUGCGAGCGGUGAUUCUCCGUCCAGCAUUAUCCUCCAACCAGGGGCUCUGUUCCUCCCUUGCAUAUCGUCAAUUAUCUGCGCUAGUCUGCGCACUUCCUCCUCCAGCUGCCCUGCACGACCAGGGUCACGUGCUGCAACUUGAUCCCGCUCUUGCUCUACAUCUUGCAAGUGUUGCCUCAACUCGGUUUCCUCUGCAUUCACCACCCCGUCGUCCGCGUCACAAGUCUGUCUUGCCGGGGACCGCUCUCUUUCUCUAUGAAAUUCUCCCCGUAGAGGUGCGUUACCUCUCUCACCAUCAAAUCUCCCUGUGGUUUGACUUCUCCCCGCACUAUCGGGACCUGGUGCCACUCCACCGCCUCUCACCCUUCCCUCUUGAGUUACCCUUCGCUUGCUCCGUAGCUCAUGCAGGAUGGUGUUGUGCAAAUUUUAAUGUACUCGCAAGCGCACGAAUCUAUUGUAGUAUAGACUAAUGGUGACGAGUGUCGAUCCCACGAGGAGGUGGAUUUUUAAUUAUAUAUAGAAUUAAUUUUGUAAAUGGGUGGUUGGAAUUGUGGUGGAAGUGAUUUAAAAUAUGCUAAAAUUGGAAUUGCAAUGGCGAGAAUAAAUUGUAGAGAAAAUCGAUUAAAUUGACGUACUUGGGUAUCUGGAUCCGUAUCAACAUGCAUCAUGGGCUAAAUAAUCCGUAUUAAUGCCAAUUAAAUCAUGAGGGGGGAAUCCACACCUCAUGAACCACGCUCUAAUCAAUAUGGUGCUAAGGGCUUAUCGUGCCAAAUAAUAAUAACCUUAUACUAGAGAGCCGGUGUAACCAAGGCGGUAUCUAGACAAGAUCAGUAUUAUUUGUCGACGAAAAGUCAAAUCAUCCACAAAAACUAGAGGGGAAAAGAAAAUAAAUUUACCAAAUAAAGCCCAUGACUCAUGUUGAGACUUCACCUUCAACCCAAGCUUGAAAGGAAAUUAGCCACUCAUAAUUGAACUAAGGGCAAAAUGGGAAUUUAUUAAAAUACAAAGAAAAUACAAGAUGGAGAAGGAAUUACAGAAAAUGGAUCCCAAAAAUGGAUUCAGAGAUAUCAAAUUAGGGGGGAGAGGCCCCCUUUUUAUAGAUACAUGGAGUAAAUCAUGGCCAUCGGAUUAAAAACAGUUUGGACGCUCAGGAUUGCGCCACGUCAUCAGUCAACAGUCCACGGUUUGACCACGCGGAUGAACAGUAACACGGUUUGACCACGCGGAUGAACAGUAACGCGGUUUGGUUGAAAAUAAUCCUGUGUGAUGCAUGCACCGUACGCGAGAUUUUUCGUCCACUGAUAUGCUGCCACGUCACCAUCAACAGUACAUAAGAAUUUUAGUCCAACAGGAUCGUGACACCUCAUCAGUCAAUGCCACAUCAUCGGUCAAUGCCACGUCAUCGAUCCGUCUAUGUGAACAGUGUCGUGAACAGUAACGUAGACAGUACCGUAUACGUUAAUAGUACCGUACAUGUGAAUAGUGCCAUUUUUCCUUUUAUGCUCCUCCUAAGGUUUUCGACCGUCCUGAGUUCAAAAGUGAUGUCCGUUUUGCCGUCUGAUCUCUCCUUUAUUGUGAAAUGACUAUAAUACCCCUAAAAUACAUAAAAUACUUAAUUAAAAUAACACACACGUAAUUACAUCACAAGAAGGUUAAAUACAUAAAAGUAAGAGUUGUUAGUAAGACUUGAAAUAUAAAAUGAUGGUUUUCUCCUUUAUAAAUAUGCAUUUUCUAAUACUCAACAGAUGGUUGUCAAGGUCUCCAUCUGCUUUUCCAUCCGGUCGAACAUGACUUUUUCCCGUGCUUCACUGACUAUCUCCCUCAGCGUCACGGAAUCGUUAAGCCUCAUAUCACCCCCUUGUGCACUACUUCCUCCUGUCUCCAUUGCUUUUCGCUUACUCCACCCCUCUUCUUGCUAUCAACAGAAGCUUUUUGCUCUGGGUCCCCACAGACGGCGCCAAAAUGUUGAUGCGAGAUUCCGGUUCUCCUCGUUCUACGACCAGGAUCUCUGCUCGAUCAACUUUACCACGACCAGGAGGUCUCCUAGUAAUGCUUCUUCUCCAGAUGUCCCUGCACACACAGACAAGUCAGAGUACGCCGGUUGUUCUCCCGGCGCAAACCCUCCGACGCUCAAGUCAGAUAUGAAGGUUCGGGGAACGCUUGCCACAGGUCUUAUGGCUUUUUCGUGGUUUUCUCUUUUAUCUUAAAAAUGCUAACCCUUUUACCUUCGUUGGCUACCUUUUUAUAGGCUUCUCCGAAUCCCCGUUUUCCGCUUUUUGCCAGACGGUAUGGGACUCUGACUGCUGCGUCAUGGGCGAAGGUGGGAUCUUGCGUGUUACGCCACGGUUCUGGGGAAAGCGUGGCUGUCGUGCCUAGAUUCUCGGGCUGGAGAGCAUGUCUUGCCAACUGCCGUCGACCGGGUCUCCUCGCUUCUCGACCUCUAGCCGGAAUGAUCUUAUGCCUCUUACAGGAAAUUGACCUCGCGGAUGACGUGCUCGUGGACGAGCAGGAUAUUUCUGCUCCUGUUCCCCCGCGCAUCAGGCUUUUACGGAACACACCGGCUCGAGGAACUCUGCCCCCAGAUAUCUGCUCACCAUGCCUGGUCUCGUCGACGUAUUUCUCCUAAACAUCUGCUAUAAUAGCAGUUGUAAAUAUAUGUGUAAUGCAGUAAUAUGAUGAUUAAUCAGUAUUCAAAACACAAUAAAAGUUUCGUACAGAUUUUGAUAUUGAGAGUAACACAAUAAAAGUUUCAUACAGAUUUUGCAAACGAAAAGCACAUAAUACACUUAACUAGGAGGAAAAAUUAAGGUGUAUUUAUUACAAACUGCUAACAAUAUACAAUUGUAAAAAUCACUCUUAUGAACUCACAAAUACUAGGCAGCAAUAAGAGUAUGAUACAGCCAUUCUAAAUGAAAGAGAAUACAACUGUUUUACAACUAUGUCACAUCAAGAGAUAUGUUAGCAGGAUUAAUCCAGAUACCUUCGAACCCAAUUAACGAACUCGAGUCAGAAACCAGGGGCCCCCAACUAAACCUUACAAUCUUGAAGGAAGAAGGAGACUCGUGGUCCAGAUAGGUGACUUACUAGAUCUCCUGCAAAAGAGAAUAUCUAUUGCUUUGAACCUCCAUUGAAAUUUUUUUUUCCCUUUUUCUUGUUUUGACUUGGAACUUUCCAACAUCAUCUAUUUGAUCUUUUUUGAAGGUAAAAUAGCAAUCUAUAGGUUGCCAACAUGUUAUUCUGCCAAACCCUACCCCACCCCCCCGGGGGACAACAAAUCGACCUAGCACACACCUUUCUUCAUUGCCCACACCUACAGAACUAUAAUAAAAAGACUACGUUACUAUUGGGGUAGAGAAAAUAUACAGACUGUAUUAUUAUUACAUCGCAUUUUACUAAUUAACUAGUGCAAGACUUCUUUAGUGUCAAAUCAAGAACUAAUUAGAAAAGACAACUCAUGAUAAUACAGACCUUAAUAAGCAAUUGCUAACAACAUCCCAUAUACUCCUAUUUUAGCCUUCAUUAUCCUGGUAAAAACACAAAUAAGUCUUGCAAACGAACAUUUAUAAGUAAAUUCAACAUUAAUUAAGAUUAGGUAUCUACUGCACCUAAUAGCAUGGUCAACCAUCCAGUUCCUGUAGCCUUCCAUGUACCUAUGUUAGUUACAUUUUACAUAUUAAGCCACGAAAACGAAGAAUCACAGCCUGGUAAAGAAAGACAUUAAUUAAUAGUUUUUGUUUAAAAAUUUCUCCUUUAGAUCUUUCCUAUUCAAUGAAUCAAUGUAAUCUAAAGAGAACUCUUCCAUUUCAAACAGUGUUAGAAGGUAUUUGCAAAGCCUAAAGAUAAUAUACAAGGACCAAGAUAUACACAGAUGGUUUCUUUAUGGAAUUAAAGAGCUUUAUAGAUGUUAAAACUGUUUCAAACAAUUUUUCUUGUUUGGUUUAACUAAGGAAAAGCUUGUGGAAGAUUAAAAAUGAUGUUUCCUAUUCUCUGUAGGAAACUUUUAGGAGAUUUUUUGGGCUUUUUUGAAAGGUUGAAUUGUCAAAAAUACCUUGAUGUUAUUGUUUGCUAAAAGAUGUUACGGACAUCUAAACAACCAACAACAUUUUGUUAAAAGCUCUACUAAUGUAGGAUCUACUUAAAGAAGCUAUACCAAACAGACUCUUAGACUGAAUAACUCGAUCUUAAGUUUGUAAAAUUGGGCUCAGAAUCUCCACUAACAACCCCGCUUCGGUGAGAAAGCCCAAGCCUGUUACUUUGUAUAACCUUAUUCUGUAUGUUUGAUUGCAGGAACUGGCCGAUCAUACCGACGAGGUGAGUGUGCAACAUGAGGUGCUUGACGGGAUGUUUACUUUCUAUGAUUCAACUAAAGCUAGCCUCAACAUAUAUCAGGUGCCUGCUUGUUUUUACCUUCUAGAUACUAAUAUUGUUUAGACGUGUAAUCUCUCUCUCCAUUGAACGCUAGACGGCUCGUCUCAAGCCUUCUACGUACUUCAGAGUCCUUCACUAGCUUUUUAUGUAUAAAGUUUUGAUCUUUUUCCUUCAUUUGCUUGAAGCUCAUUACUGCAGAUUUUUUUUACAGGUUGGUAGUGUAACAUUCGACUUGCUGUUGCUUCUAGUCUUGGGAUCGUAUUUAAUUGUGCUUUUCAGCUUUCUUGUCAUCACAACUAGGGUAUUACUCUUUCUCCAUAUCAAGCUUGAAGUUCUAAAUUUCAGUUUUAUCUUGUAUUUGAUGUUUUAUAAUUUCAUUGCAAACAGAUUAGAAUAGAAACUUCAAAAGUUCCAACUGACUAGUCCCGUGUAACUUUUCCAGGGAAGAUGUUCUCUCAUAACAACUACGAACGUGUUAUGGUUUAGCUCAGUGUCACAAAGGACAGUUUCCAACAAUUGAUCCUAGGAAGAUGCCCAUAGCUUGUUGUGCCAAAAAUAUAAAAUCUAAGAUGCGAAAAGAUUUUGUUGAGAUUCAUUUUUCAUCCUGAUGUUACCGCUGGCCUUUUUUUUUUUUUGGCAGAGAAUAAUGCUUAUGUGAUUUCUGAACUUGGUGAUUGUUGAAAUGAGCUGAAAAUGAGCUGGAAAUGUGUUUGGUUACUGAGAAAGAGAGCAAGAAAAUGAAAGAAAUCUAUUUCACUUUUUAUUUAUCAGAAUGAUUACAUUCACAAUGAAUCUAAGCUGCUAUUUAUACUUAAAUGAAUACACACGAGAAUCUUCUUGCUAGAUACUUCUAGAAACUCUACACGCACACUCGCACUGAGCUAGUGGUUACCAAAACCGUGACAACAAUAUUGCCAGCUCAGCAUAACCAACUUAUAAGUUAUAACUAACACACUCAGCUGCAGGGGAAACCAUCAAGCUUACUGUGCAUCCUCUGUAAUCAAGCUUCUUUAAGCAUGCUCUGCAGAUCAUAUGUCUGAAUUAUCGAAACAAGAUGAAUUAUUUUUUGUUUAGCAGCAGGCGAUCUAUGAGCAGAAUUUCUUGCAACAAAAGAUGUGUGUCCCCCGGCUUGUAUUUAGUCUCGUAAUGCAUUAUAUAUAUGCACGCGAACACACUUUUGAGAAGAAUCAGACCAUUAAUUUUCUUUUGAGCCAAUCAACAGAAUGUACAUUUCUUCUAAGAGCUUGUAACCGAAACUGCAGUUUUUCAGGUUUGAUGCAUCUGGGAAAAUUGUCAGAUGGAAUAAAACCAUCAUGCGCCAAGGUACCAAUGAUGUUUCUUCCAGCUUAUGAGCACUUCAAAUAAACUUAGGUCAUACUUACACAAGGGCGCACAUGAUAUCAAUCUAAUGGCAAAUAUAUCAUCUAAAAUCCAAAACCAAGAGUCUCCCAUUUUCCCGUCCUCUACUCUGUUCAUAUUAUCAUAACUAGAAGAUUGCAAGGCAGCCGCAAUCUCCCAGAUCUUUGCUCCUUCCUCAUAGCAGUUAAUCAAACGAUAAAUAGAGAUAUCCCAUGUCAACAAGAAGGUAAUCAUAAAAGAACAACAGAAUUGUUGCAACAUAUUCAUAUGAAAUGUAAAACAAUUUUGAGAAAAAAUAUUGGGAAGAUAUUUUUUUUUCAUAGAAGUUGCAAUCUUUACGUUAUUUACUAGUUUGACUAGACUAUAUAAGGAAGCUAUAUGAAAUUAGAAAAAUAAGCUAUACUAGGAAAGAAUAAAUAUGUGUACAGAAAAUUAGGCUAUAAUUUUCAAAUUAGAUGCCAGUUAAUUUUAUCAUAAUUAGAUGGUAAGAUUGCAAAUUCUGCAGCCAAAGGUGGUACGGAACUGAAUGAAGGAAAUCAAAUAUGAACAUGUUUUCAAUCUUAAAAUAUGAAGAGUAGCAGAAGUAACUUGUGAAACAGUUAUAAGUUCAAGGGAAUUAGAUGAUGGCAUGGUUGAAUUUUAUAAAUAUUUGAUAUUUUGGACCGAACAGGGCAAACAGAUGGAUCCAGAUAAUCAAGAAAAACAUCAAUUCCAUGCAACCAAAUUAGUGUGGGCAAUGCAAUUGAGCAACACUAAAAAAUUAUUCAAAGAAAUCAGUAUCCAAAUAUAUGGCUCCGUCCGUUCCACCACCACAACCAAAAAAAUCAGAUCCCCCCAUUUGGAUUCGAUUGAUUAAUUUGAGCAUAUAAAAUCGGGUUUUAAACUUCCCUAAGCAAAAUUUAUAUUCCACAGAAUCAGUUCCUUUAACAUGAUGCAUUACAUAAUAUUUUGUUUGCAAAAUAAAGAAGAAAGAUGACAUAAUAGAAACACGCUAUUGCAUCUUUUGAAAAAGAAAAACGGAAUAGUUUUCCAAAAUUAAUUCCGAGAAGAAGAUUAACUAAUAAUGAUGUUAGAAAUUUUAAUAUUUGAGUCUUAAUAUUAUGUAUCACUCAUUUAUUAAAUAAUAGAUUUCAUAAUUUGUAAAAUUACUUAACCACUUGAUAAAUGUUAUAUUUGUUGGGACUAAAUUGGAACUUAAAUGUUGGAAUAUCUAGUAUUGCAUUAAAAAAUAAAUAAAAACUUAACAAUUUAUCUUCACUUGACUAAUUGUUUUUACAUCACAACUAACCUUAAUUAUUUUGAAGUUACAGUAUUAUUAAAUUGUCCUAACUGGUUAUCAAAAGUUGAAAGCAUGUUAAAAUAAAAAAAAUUACCAAGAAACAUGUGCUUAAACAGAGGUUGAGGCUAUGAACAAUUAAGAAGAAACUCUUAAUUUGGUCCCAAUUAGUAUAGUAAUCAUCUAUUGAGCGGUAAAAUAUUAAUUUUAAUAGUGAUGAAAUCCAAUAUAUAAUAGAUUACUAACACACAUAAAUUAAAACUAAACUGUCAGAAAUCAUAACAUUACUCUACUCUUCAGUGGAGUUCUCUUAAACAGAUUAUGUGAGAUUGCCUACAUAAAAAAUAUGUUAAGACUGCUUGUUGAAAGCAAUAUUCGCUUUUCCAUUAUAUCCAUAACUUUGAAUUGAUAAAGUUGUAUUCAACAGCUCUUGAAAAGACUAAUUUAUUUAAACUAGUCACAGAAAUAAGAGAGAAAGGGGGCUAUUUCUUGACUCAAAGUCAAUUAUAAUUAUCAAAACUUGAGCGGACAUCGCAUGCCUAACUUCCACGCACCCUAAAACGGUUUGAUUUGCUUUCACGCGUUCAUGAAUUUCCAUGAAAGAGCCUGCCUUUCGUCUCUUUCGGGACAGUGACUACAAUUAUGGAAAAAAUUAUAAUUCUCGUUAGAUUGUAACCAAAUUAUUAUCCCUAAUUUUUUUAAGUUAAAUAAAAUAAAAUUUAUGCUUAAGUAUAAACAAUAAUUUGGACAUUCUUGUUAUUUGUCCUUCUAAGAUAGACAGCAACCUAAUUAUUUAUUUGUUUGCCUGUUUUUGUUUUUUUAAAUAACAGUUUAUUAGCAUAAAUAUUUACCUGUGAAGUCGAGGAGGAGAAAAUGUUAGAAAAAAUAAAAAGAAAAAAAAUUAAGGGAGAUAGAAUCAGAUUUUCUUUUUUGAGCAAAGAACAUACGUAAAAAGAUAUUAAAUCUAUUAAGUCUAAUUGUCUAUAACCGUAAAUUGCAUAACGAAUAAAUUAUCAGCGUAAAAUAAAUUUUAUUAGAUUCUGGUUAUUUUCUAGAGUACGAAUUGUCUCAUCGUAGAACAAACACCGGAAAAUAUAACCUUUGCGGAGGUCUUUUGCUGUGUCGUUAUAAAAAGGUUAUUAGUAAUUUAAUGCACCAAUAUUGUAUAUUCCACCUUAUCAAUGUCUCUGGUUGCGAAAGAUUGUUAAAAGCAACGUGUUCUUUCUUUGUCUUAUGUAAUUUUUUCGUUGUCCAUGAGUUUUAAUUGAAAUACUUGGCUUCCAGUUAUUUUGUAAACCUGUCGAAAACUACCACAGUGGAUAAAGAUUAACCAGCUCAUUCUUUACAAUUGACUAUCGAUUUUUUAUUUUUUUAUUUUUAUUUAAAAUUGCUGGUUUGUUGCUUAAAAUUUUCAAUAAUAAUUUCACUUAUUUAGUAAUUAGAGAGAGAUAGAGAGGAUUGGCGGCCAAUGUUUCGCGAUUUGGGGUCAAUUCAAAGUCAACUAACGUGUAAAACACGUGUAUGCAUAGAAAACGCUUAGAUUAUUUGUGUUCCAAGUGCAAGAAAUUAAGAAAAGAAAAAUUGAUUUCCUUUCAUGAACUUCCAAGAAAGAAAGAAGACCCUUUACCUUCUUCGUGACAACAAAUGAAUGAAUGAUGUUGAUAUGACAAAUACAAGCGCUAUUGCAGGGAACAGCAUAAGACCGAGACUUGAUAAAGGGUUUGUUAAAUUACAUGUUAUUUUCUUUUGACUUGAAUGAUGUUGAAAUAAAAUAAAAUUGUAAUCAGGAUGAUGUGUAGAAUAGUGAAAUAAAUAAAAAGAGAAGAGAAAUUCUUUGACCAAUAUUCAAGAACUCAUCCAAGGUGAUCGUCCAAGUCUAGAGGUUCGGUGUGAUUAGCAUUUAUUUUUAAUUUUUUGGCUAACAUCAUAUAUAGUCACUUGUCGUGUGAUGUAGGGCAAGUUUAGAAAUCCUUUUAUUUUAACUUCCGUAUUCUUAUUAUUUAAUUAGUUAUAGGGUUUUUAAGUAUUUGAGUAUUGAUCACAUGUCUGCUAAUCUAAAAAUAUUUUUUUACGAUCGAGUACAAAUAACAAACUAGAAUUUUAACAGCCUUUUAUACUAAACCCUAAAAAUACAUGAAUUUAUCAAAAUAAGUAAAUUAAUUUAAAUUGGUAUGGCAUAAUAGAAGUUUUACCUGCCGAAACAAAUUAAAAAAAUAUUACACUUAAAUCAAAUAUUGACAAAAAUAGAUAACAAUCUAAUGAGAAUCUUAACUAGACAUUUUUACUUCUAUCCAAUUUAACUGGAACGAGAAUUAAGUCCUUUCAAUAGUUAAGACUCAUAACUCAUACAUGCUAGUUUGAGAGUGUGGGGUGUGACAAUGGGUCAAAAGACCAUUGACAAGUACAAAAGAGUGAUUGCAAUUAAUUCAAACCGCUACACACGCUAUAUUGAGGGCCCAUUUUUGUUUAUUUCGUUGAAAAGUAGUUUUCACAAUUAAUUCAAACCGCUACACACGCUAUUGCGUCUUUUAAAAAAGAAAAAUGGAGUAGUUUUCCAAAAUUAAUUCAGAGAAGAAGAUUUACUAAUAAUGAUGUUAGAAAUCUUAAUAUUUGAAUCUUAAUAUUAUGUAUCACUCAUUUAUUAAAUAAUAGAUUUCAUAGUUUGUAAAUUUACUUAACCACUUGAUAAAUGUUAUAUUUGUUGGGACUAAAUUGGGACUUCAAUGUUGGAAUAUCUAGUAUUGCAUAAAAAAUAAAAAAAAACUUAAAAAUUUAUCUUCGCAUGACUAAUUGUUUUUACAUCACAACUAACCUUAGUUAUUUUUUAAAGUUAUAGUAUUAUUAAAUUGCCCUAACUGGUUAUCAAAAGAUGAAAGCAUGUUAAAAUAAGAAAUUACUAAGAAACAUGUGCUUAAACAGAGGUUAAGGCUACGAACAAUUAAGAAGAAACAACUUACAAUCAAAGGUUAAGAUUAUGAACAAAUUAAGGAAGGUAGAUAAAGGGACGGAAUCAUUGUCUGAAUUGCCGGUGACAAGAAUGCUUGUGUUGUGAAAAGAAACCUGAUGGUUUGUAAAUGGGUUGAAUUUUUUAUUCGCUCACUCCAACUGACUUACUAAUGCCAAAUUUAUUACGUUGCACAGUAGUGUUUAGGAUCCUCAAGAUCAACUCUUAAUUUGGUCCCAAUUAUUGUAGAAAUCAUCUAUUGAGCAAUAGAAUAAGAAUUUUUCUAGUCAUGAAAUUUAAUAUAUAAUAUAUCCUUGACACACAUCGAUUAGAACUUAAUUGUUAGAAUUCAUAACAUUACUCUACUCUCAAGGGGAGUUCUCUUAACAUAUUAUGUUAGGUUGCCUACAUUCAAAAUAUGUUAGACUGCUCUUUGAAAGCAAUAUUCCCUUUUCCGUAACUUUGAAUUGAUCCAAUAGCUCUUGAAAAGCACAUAAUAAUCAUUAUAAAUUUAAUCAAAGACUAAGCAGGUCUUCUUUCCAUUUGAUCACUGGCAUUUCAGUUAAGUUUGUCGUUUACUUAAAUUUUUCUUGCUUUCAAUUUCCACUGUUGUUUUUUUUAUAUAAAAUAAUUUAUUUAAACUAGUCAUAGAAAUAAGAGAGAAAGGGCGCCAUUUCUUGACUCAAAGUCAAUUAUAAUUAUCAAAACUUGAGCGGACAUUGCAUGCCUAAAUUCCACGCACCCUAAAACGGUUUGAUUUGCUUUCACGCGUUCAUGAUUUUCCAUGAAAGAGAGUGCCUCUCGUCUCUUUCCGGACAGUGACUGCAAUUAUGUUAACGUGACGAAUACAUAACGUUAUUACAUACAAGAAUAAGUUUUUGGAGCCGAGACUUGAGGGAGGUUCUAUCUAAUUCUAAAGAUUGUAACCAAAUCAUUAUCCCAAAUUUUUUUCAGUUAAAUAAAAUAAAAUUUAUGCUUAAGUAUAAAUAAUUUUUUUUCAGUUAAAUAUAAAAUAAAAUUCAUGAACUUUCCUAGAAAGAAAGAAGACCCUUCACCUUCUUCGUGACAACAAAUGAUGUUGACAUGACAAAUACAAGCUCUAUUACAGGGAAUAGCAUAAGACCGAAACUUGAUAAAUAUUAAAUAUAUAUUAUAAGUGGACCAAAUGAACAAAAUAAUAGAUAUUUUAUAAUAUUCUUGAUAAAAAUCCAAGUUUUGAGCUGGCCCAUAAGCUUGUCUAGCGAAGUCUGGGUACCCGCGUUGCCCAAGGUUUCGUCUGAAUCCAGGCUGUGUAGAUGUUUAUGACAUCCCAUAUGGACGGAGAGGAAAUAUUUUCAGUUGACUGAAUUAAAUAAAAAUAUAUUACAAUCAUAUUAUAUAUUAACAGCAAAAAUAAAAAGAAAUGAAGAAAAACGCAUGCAAGACUUAGAGAAGUCAAUUAAAAGCUGGGAGUAUCAUCAGUUCAAUUAGUUAUAAAUAGCGUAGAGCCAUCCUCUCGUUGUUGCAGAAGAGAGACAGAAAGAGUGUGUGUAGGUGAUUAUAAUUAAGAAGAUAUAAAGUGUGGUUCAAAAAGAGUGUGGGUGAGUGAGUUAAUUUUCAUAUUAUUAGUAGUAAAAGGGUGGUGGAGUGAGGGAUGUUUGGAGCAAGAGAGGUCUGCUCUCCUCCAACUUAAACGUUUCUUCAAUAAUAAUGAACGUCUUCAAAACUGGGCAGACGCGGCAGAUGAUGAGAAUUAUUCAGAUUGUUGUCAGUGGGAAGGGGUUGAGUGCAAUAACACCACUGGCAGAGUGAUUGAAUUAUAUCUAGGAGCCACUAGGAAUCGGGAAUCAGCAGAGUGGCAUAUGAAUGCUUCUCUAUUUACUCCCUUUCAACAAUUAGAGUCUCUUUAUCUAAUUGGGAACAAUAUAGCCGGUUGUGUUGAAAAUGAAGGUCCUUAAUUUACUUUAUUUUAGUUCUUCCUAUAAAUUUCUUACAUUUAUCUGAUCCCUUUUGGCUUUUAUUUAAUUUGUAUGUGAUACAAUAAAAUUAUUUUUUAUUUUUUGGCAGGUCUAGAUAGGUUAUCAAGGUUGAACAACUUGAAGUUUCUUUUUUUAGAUUUUAACUGCUUCAACAACAACAUCUUUUCAUCUCUAGGUGGUCUUUCAUCACUCAGGAUCUUAUCAUUGUUUCAUAAUAGAUUGAAUGGAAGUGUUGACAUUAAAGGUAAAGUAAGCUUCAUCCCUUCUCCCGUGUCCCAUCUUUUGUGGAUCUUAUUUCAUCGACCAGCUGGAAGUAUUGAUACGAGAUCUAGCUAGACUCUUGCUAGUGCAAGCUUCAAGGCUUUGAGUGCUACAAAAAUAGGUCUAAGAAAUUAUCAAUACAUAACGUUAUUACAUACAAUAAUAGUUCUAAAGAUUGUAACAAAAUCAUUAUCCCCAAUUUUUUUAAGUUAAAUAAAAUAAAAUUCAUGCUUAAGUAUAAAUAAUACUUUGGACAUUCUUGAUAUUUGUCCUUUUAAGAUAAACAGCAACCCAAUUAUCUAUUUGUUUGUCUGUUUUGUUUUUUUUAAAUAACAGUUUGUUAGCAUAAAUAUUUACCUGUGAAGUCGAGGAGGAGAAAAUGUUAGAAAAAAUAAAAAGAAAAAAAAUUAAGGGGGAUAAAAUCAGAUUUUCUUUUUUGAGCAAAGACCAUACGUAAAAAGAUAUUAAAUCUAUUAAGUCUAAUUGUCUAUAACGGUAAAUUGCAUAACGAAUAAUUUAUCAGCGUAAAAUAAAUUUUAUUAGAUUCUGAUUAUUUGUUUGAUUUCUUUUCUCUCUGGACUCAACUUAUAUUGUUUAUUUGAUUUGAUUUUAUUAUUUUUUAAAGAAACUUAUUGUUUAUCAAUACUGAAUGGCUUAAGAUUGAUGUCUUGAUAAUAGAUGGGGCAAUAUUGCAUUUUUAAUGCAGUAGACUUUGAAGUUAUCAUUGACAAGCUUAGAUGAAUUACUAGGACCAUAAUACAAAUGUCACAGGCAUCUAAGGCACUUACCAAGUUUUGAGUACAUUCCUGUUCCUAUCUAAUAGUUUUUAAUUUCUUUAAUUUAAGACCCCAUUCAUUAAUAUUUUCUUUAUUGUGAAGUUAAUUUUUUUUAUGUGAAAUUAAUUUUUUUUUAAAAAAAAUUUGUUGACUUAUAGUUUACCUUUGUGUUAAAUGUUGGCAAAAUUAUUUUGUCCAAACCAUUUUUUUGUCCUGAACGUCCAACUAAAAACUGAAUCAAGGGUUAAGUUGUAAGGUUUCAGUUCGUCCGUUAUAUUAAUUUAUUGUUUUAAUAUUAUGCAGUACAAAUAGGUGUAUAAGUCCAUCAUUUAAAUACAAAAUGAAACCACAUCAAUAUAGAAAUUAAAAGAAAAUGAAUUCUCACAACCAUAAGGUGAGAUUCAAACUCUCUAUCUCCGAGGAUUUCUUAAAGUUAUUCUUAAAUUAUACUUAAAUGGUUAAAUUUAAUAAAUAAAGGUUUAAUUCUUUUCUCGCACAUUGUAGAAGCAAAUUUUCUCCUCUGUUGAAAAUUCUAAAUAUUUUUUUAAAUUAGGUUUCAACUAUGACAUAUCAGGAGAGAUUUGAUACAUUUCUAAUGCAACCGAUAUAACAACACAACUUUGUGAUUUUUACUAUUCAGGAGAAGAAGAACACAACCUGUAUAACCCAACCGUUUAUAUACAAACAUCGAAUCGCUUUUUAAAAUUAAAUUGGGAAAAUUGGGGAUAUAAUCGUUUUUCAUAUAUAUACAUUUUUUCCUUACAAAUUUAAAUUCAUGGUUGGUAGCUAAAUAUACCUGCUUAAAGCCACUCAGUCGAACCCUUUGAGAGCUGCUUUAAAUUUUUCGGAUUAGCCAUAUUCUUUUCACUGAGAUUUAACAUAAAAAAAAAAGAGAAAAUAAGUUAUUUAAUUAACUCUAUUUUAAGUGUUGGCAUAAAUACAGGACUCGAUUCCUUAAGCAACUUGAAGGCGCUGUACAUGAGCUUCAAUGCAAUCGACAAUCUAGUGGUUCCUAAAGGUAUACAAAAUCUUCAAAUAUUAAUAAUUUGGAAGACAAUUUAAUUGAUUUGAUUAGGGAAUGCCCAAUGUCACUUAUCCAAAAUAAUUUAAUCUGAAAUUGUAUCCCAAAUAGAUUACAGAGGCUUGAGGAAGUUGAAUACCCUUUAUUUUGGGGGGGGGGGGGGGGGGGGGGGGGGGAGGGAAAUUGCAGUGAUAUAUGGAAGCAAGGUGUUGCAAUCAAUAAAGAAGUUCAUUGGUCAAUAUUCAAGGACUCAUCCAAAGUAAUCCACCAACUCAAACAUUUCUUCAAUGAUGAUCAACGUCUUCAAAACUAGGUAGACGCGGGAGAAAUGAGAAUAAUUUAGAUUGUUGUCAGUGGGAAGGGGUUGAGUGCAACAACACCACUGGCAGAGUGAUUAAAUUAGAUCUAGCAUUUCGAAAAUGGGAAUCAGCAAAGUGGUAUAUGAAUGCCUCUUUGUUUACUCCCUUUCAACAAUUAGAGUCUCUUGAUCUAAGUUGGAACAAUAUAGCCGGUUGUGUUCAAAAUGAAGGUCCUUAAUUUACUCUAUUUUAGUUCUUCCUCGUAAUUUCUUACAUUUAUCUGAUCCCUUUUGGCUUUUGUUUAAUUUGUAUGUGAUACAAUAACAUUUUUUUAGUUUUUAUUUUUUAUUUUUUGGCAGGUCUAGAGAGGCUAUCAAGGUUGAACAACUUGAAGUUUCUUUAUUUAGACGACAACCACUUCAACAACAGCAUCUUUUCAUCUCUAGGUGGUCUUUCAUCACUCAGACACUUAUCAUUGGCUGAUAAUAGAUUGAAUGGAAGUAUUGAUAUUAAAGGUAAGCAAGCUUCAUCCCUUCUCCCGUGUCCCAUCUUUGUGGAUUUUAUUUCAUCGACCAGUUGGAAGUAUUGAUACUAGAUCUAGCUAGACUCUUGCUAGUUUAAGCUUCAAGGCUUUGAAUAUUAUAAAAAUAGGUUUAAGGAAUUAUCAAUAUAUGCAAUUUUCAAUGCUUCUCAUAAUCAGACACAAUUCAAUCUAAUUAUUUCGUAUGUCUUGUCUUCAAAAGUAAAGAAUUGUACACUAAACGGAAAUCGACAUUGUAGCUUUUUAAUUUUUCUAAUGCUCUUUCUUUGUUAACGAGUUAAAUCCUGAGAGUGGAUUGGAUUCAAAAAAAAAAAAAAAAACAAGUUUUGAUGUUCAAGGUAAGCCAUAAUAACAUGCAUCUUAUUUAUCUGCCUAUAUCUAAAUUUGUGCAUUGAAUUUAGUAUUUUGGUUAGUGUGAAGGGAUCAGAUAUUGGCUUCCAUAAACCAACUUGUAUUUACUUAAUUAAUUAAUUAACGCCAUUUAGUAUUUAAAAAAUUAAAAUUUCGUGUUUUAUUUAUUUUAUUUUUUAUUUUUUGAAACAAGAAUAAGGUAUAGCAGUAGGUAAAGUUGAAAUAAAUUUUUAUUCCUUACAAAUUUAAAUUCGCCGUUGUCAGCCAAAUAUACCUACUUAAAACCACUCGGUCAGGCCCUUGGCAGCUGGUUUUUAGGUUUUUCUAGUUAGCCGUGUACUUUUUUGCUUAUUAAUAAAAUUCUUUUGCGCCGAGAUUUAAAACAAAGAAGGAGAAAAUAAGUUAUUUAAUUAACCCUGUUUUAAGUGUUGGCAUAAAUGCAGGACUGAAUUCCUUGAGUAACUUGGAGGAGCUGGACAUAAGCGACAAUGCAAUCGACAAUCUUGUGGUUCCUAAAGGUAUACAAAAUGUUCAAAUAUUUGGAGGACAGUUUAAUAGAUUUGAUUAGGGAAUGCCCAAUGACACUUACCCAAAAUAAUUUAAUCUGAAAUUGUAUCCCAAACAGAUUUCAGAGGUUUGAGGAAGUUGAAUACCCUUUAUUUCGGGGGAAGGGCAACUGCAAUGAUAGAUGGAAGCAAGGUGUUGCAAUCAAUAGGAUCACUACCGUCCCUCAAAACACUUUACCUUUUGUAUACUAAUUUUAAGGGAACAGUAGUUAAUCAAGGUAAGUAAAUCUUUUAUGUCGAAAAUAAUUGAAUUAAUAUAUAUAUCUAAAAUUUAUUGUUUCUACUUCUUUCUAAAAAGAAUUGCACAAUUUCACCAACUUGGAAGAAUUGAUAUUGGACGAGUCUGAUCUCCACAUAAGCCAGCUUCUGCAAAGCAUCGCAUCAUUCACUUCGUUAAAGUAUUUGUCAAUGCAACAUAGUGUACUCAAGGGUGCCCUGCAUGGUCAAGGUAAAUUACGGGUAUCUGAAGCUUUUGUGAUAUUAAUUCGAUAAUGAUUCUUUCUUUUCAAGUUAAUUUUCUCCCGUAAAAUAAUAUUUUUUUCUUUUAAAUUUUAUAUAUUUUCACUAUCCAAUAGUUCUACCUUCUCUAAAUUGUAGGAUUCUUGAUUAAGGUUAAUGAAAUUUUAGUUAUGUUAUGUUAAGAAUAUUUCGAUCGCUUAGAAGAGUAAAGAAAAAUAAGUAAAUUAACCCAAAAAUAAGGACCGGAUUAUCCUUAUUCCCUUGCAUUAUGUGAUCAAUAUCAAAAUUAUGACCAUUUCUUGUUUAUUGCUUGCAGAUUUUCGUAAAUUCAAGAAUUUGGAAAAUCUGGACAUGGGUGAGGUGCAGGUUGACGUCAACACCAGUUUUCUUCAAAUUGUCGGCGAAUCGAUGCCUUCUCUGAAGUUUUUAUCACUGAUAAACUCUAGUAAAAACACCAUUCUUGAUCAAGGUUAAUUAAUGAUUCUCUUUCUCCCUCUCGCGCAUCUUAACUAAAUUUAAUUGAGAAUAUCUAUGAUGUGAGAUAUUUAUAAACUUAAUGAAAUAUGAUAAGGAGCCAUAAUAAUGACAAAAAUAACUAUAAAACAGUGCAUUGUUGUAGUGUUGAUUGAAAAAUAAUGCUAAUUUUUUACUUAACACUAUAACGCUAUAUAAUUUUACAGUUAUUUUGUUGCCAUUACGUCAGAUUCUACUGUUCAACUAUCAGUGAUCAAACUUAAUUUUUAAUAUGUACUUUAAAGAUUUUAUGCAAUUAUUUAAGUUUUAUGCAAUUAUAUUUUUCAGGACUUUGUCGGUUAGUGCAUCUGCAAGAGUUAUACAUCAGCAGUAAUGAUUUGAGAGGUAGCUUGCCAUGGUGCUUGGCAAAUUUGACUUCCCUUCGAGUAUUAGAUGUCUCUUACAAUCAACUUACUGAAAACAUCUCCUCAUCUCCCAUCAUGCAUCUAAUAUCUAUUGAAAAGCUCAUACUUUCAAAUAAUCACUUCUUCCAAAUCCCUAUUUCACUUGAACCACUUUUCAAUCUCUCAAAACUCAAGACUUUCGAUGGUGAAAUAUGCGCAGAAACUGAGUCACAUUAUAAUUCUUUGACCCCAAAAUUCCAACUGACUUCUAUCUCACUGUCUGGUUACAUAGAUGGUGGCACAUUUCCCAAAUUCUUGUACCAUCAGCAUGACUUGAAGAAUGCUGAUCUCUCACACCUUAACUUGAGUGGACAAUUUCCAAAUUGGUUGCUAGAAAACAAUACAAACUUAGUGAUGCUUCUUCUUGCCAAUAACUCUCUUUUUGGAUCAUUUCGAAUGCCAAUUCAUUCCCACCAGAAUUUAGCAACAUUGGAUGUCUCCAAACAAUUUCUUUCAAGGCCAUAUUCCGGUAGAAAUCGGAACAUAUCUGCCAGGUUUAAUGGAUUUAAACUUAUCUAGAAAUGCUUUCAACGGUAGCAUUCCCUCUUCAUUUGCUGAUAUGAAAAUGUUGGAAAGGUUGGACAUAUCUGACAAUCAGUUGACUGGUGAAAUCCCUGAGCGCAUGGCCACGGGUUGCUUCUCAUUAGAAAUUCUUGCAUUGUCAAACAAUAGUUUGCAAGGUCAUAUAUUCUCGAAAAAAUUUAACUUGACAAAUUUGAUGACGUUGCAGUUGGAUGGUAAUAAAUUCAUUGGAGAGAUCCCAGAAAGCUUAUCUAAGUGUUAUUUGUUGGGAGGAUUGUAUCUGAGUGAUAAUCAUCUCUCUGGUGAGAUUCCAAGAUGGUUGGGUAAUUUGUCAGCUUUAGAAGGUAUUAGAAUGCCCAAUAACAAUCUUGAAGGACCAAUUCCAAUCGAGUUUUGUCAGCUUAGUGCUCUGAAGAUUUUAGACCUUUCAAACAAUUCUAUUUUCGGAACGUUACCAUCUUGUUUUAGUCCAGCACAUAUCGAACAAGUUCAUUUGUCAAAAAACAAGAUAGAAGGACGGUUGGAAAGUAUAAUCCAUGACAGCCCUUAUUUGGUGACAUUAGAUCUUAGUCAUAACCGCUUACACGGAAGUAUUCCAAAUCGGAUUGACAGACUACCUCAGUUAAACUACCUUCUUUUAGCUCAUAAUUAUAUUAAAGGCGAAAUACCAGUUCAAUUAUGCCAGUUGAAGGAAGUGCGAUUGAUUGAUCUUUCUCAUAAUAAUCUAUCUGGUCAUAUUCCUCCUUGCUUGGUUAACACUGCACUCAGUGGAGGUCAUCAUGAGGCAGUAGCUCCAACUUCGAUUUGGUGUGGUCGAGCGUCUGUCUAUAUAUCUGCAUGUCUGCCUAGUCGAAGUGCACCUCCGAUGGGAAAGGAAGAAACUGUACAGUUCACAACAAAGAAUAUGUCCUACUAUUAUCAAGGAAGAAUUUUGACGAGUAUGUCUGGGAUUGAUCUUUCUUGUAACAAACUGACAGGUGAGAUUCCUACUCAAAUUGGAUAUCUUUCUGGGAUUCAUGCGCUAAAUCUAUCUCAUAACAAUUUGACGGGCACAAUCCCGACAACAUUUUCAAACCUGAAGCAAAUUGAAAGCUUGGACCUCUCCUACAACCUACUGCAUGGGAAAAUCCCUCCUCAACUCAUUGUGCUAAAUACAUUGGAGGUUUUCAAAGUAGCAUACAAUAACUUAUCAGGCAAAAUUCCAGAUAGAGCACAAUUUUCAACUUUCGAGGAAGAUAGCUAUGAGGGGAAUCCUUUUCUUUGUGGAAAGCCACUGUCCAAAAGUUGCAAUGAUAAUGGAUUGACAACAGUGACACCAGAAGCUUCCACCGAAAAUCAAGGUGAUAGUUUAAUUGACACGGACAGUUUCCUGAUCACUUUUACAGUAUCUUAUGGAAUUGUGAUAAUAGGAAUUAUUGGAGUUUUGUACAUAAACCCUUACUGGCGGCGAAGAUGGUUUUACCUUGUUGAAGUGUGUAUGACCUCUUGUUAUUAUUUUGUAGCAGACAAUCUUGUUCCUCGAAGAUUCUAUCGUGGAUGGAUGUAAUUUCCUUACAUUACAACUUAUAUGUAAUUUUUAAAGAAUUUUCUUUUGCAUGCAUGGAAUAGCAACUCAAUAAAAGUAUUUGAUUCAAAUUGUCCAAGAACAACUUAGUAAUUUCAUUGCUACUAUUCGGUUGUAUAUAUACAGUAAAUGAAAUUUUUAACCAUUCGCAGUAGGAAUUUCUUUAGAUGGCGGCCAAAACUAACAGAUUUGGGGCUCUACUUCUACACAUCAUAACAGACAAAAGGUCUCUCUUUUACACGAUCUGAAUGAAGAUUAACUUACGCCCUCUGGAGUGUGUGUAAGUUCUCUAUUAAACUUGACGGUUGAGAUUUCAGGUCCAGAUGAAAGUAAAAUGCAGGCGACGAGACUUCACUUUAAGUAAACUGGGACAAACUUAAAAUAAAAAAAAUUAUAGUCCAGGGUGAGAGUAAUGGGUAGCUCAACUUAUGGAGGAUAACUAGGACUUGGAAUAACUAUCAGAUUUGCAACUCUUGUUAUAUGCUAGUGGGGAUUUAGGUAGCAAUUAUCACCUUGGGAGUUACAGUAAUCGAUUCAUUUCCUCCUUCAUUUCUGAUGGUAACCCAGCUCUAUACAAGAACAAUCAGAGAAGGUUCAUUUAAGAAAUUUCACAACCCACAAAUUUUUUUUUCCUUUUUGCCCUCUUCCUCACAAUAAACACACCUAACACACCAAGCCGUGCCCAAAAUAAUCCUAUUUUAUUCAUGUCAUGAAUCCAAAAACUAUCCCAGCUCACUUUGGUUAACCAGCAUAACUAAAUUGUGGGUAUAAAUGAACACACUUUCGAAGCCUGUAACUUAUAAUAAGCUCCAACCCAAAAAUGACAUUUAAAUCCUGCAAGUGUUUUUCAUCAUCUUUAACAAAAAGAAACAAGAAUAAUUAUAUACCAAUAAUUUUUCCAUAAAAAAUACUGACUUGAGUUGAAACACUAUACAAACUGGGUUUUAUUACACUUGCAGAAAGCUACAGGGUAGAAAAAAUCUAGCAGCUACAUAUUGGUAUCACUUUCAGCUGGUCAUGAAUGGUGAGCAUUCAGCAAUGCUCGAUAGACCAUGUCUAAGAAUUGAUUGUCCUAUUACAUAUAAAAGCUGGUCAGAUAUACAAGGAAAAAAAUAAUAAUUGAAAAUGCAUCACAAAAAAUAAGUGUUUCGCAUUAGUGAACAUAAAUUUAUUUACAUGUCAAUUUAGAUAUCAUCAAAAAGUAAACAGUAAUUCAGUCACUUAAAAUAGCUUUAAGUCUGCUGUCAAUAUGCAAUUAAGAAGAUUAUACCAGCUGCAUGAUAAAGUUCCCCUAAUCUUAACAACAGUAAACAUGAACAUGUCAGAUGCAAUUAUAGCUUCGAGCAUUUGCAUAACCAGAAAUCCUAACCUGAACAAGCACCAGAAGUGUCUCUCGAACUUUCUCCUUGCUGAUAAAUGGUCGGCUGUUUGAAGUAAGAGCAGGAGUAAGAGAUGGUGGAGGGGUUGGUGGUGGAAAAGGUUGAAGCACUGGGGCACCAUAUGGGCGUUGCAGACUCACGGGAGGAUUAAGUGGCGGAGCUGUUGGUGUAGAUGAAGAGACAAGCUGCAUCAUCCGUGCAUAGGAGGAUGGAGGAGGAACAAAGAAUAAGGAAGGCUUUACAAGAUUAGGCGUCCAGUUGCCAGAUUCAGAGGUGUCAACGGGUGAUAUUAAAGGUGUAGGUGCUGAUAGAGGUGGAGAUGGUAUUUGCAAGGUUGGGAGAAGCAACACUGGCGGGAUGAGAAGGUAAAGAAAUAGUUGUAUUGUACUGGUAAGGUUGUGCAGAGAUUGCUGCAUUAGAAGUAUUCCCCACAGUCAAAGCUGUCUGCAAUGAUAAGGACAGAUUGUUGGAGAAUUAACAAAAUAAAACACAAAAAACACUAUUUUAUUUCUUCAACAACACUUCUCACCAAUUACAACUCUUAUUUUUCACUUUCUACACCUUAGAGAUUUUGCUACUUCACUUGAUGAUUAAACCAAAGGGGAGAGGGGGUAUUUAUACAUGAAACAAACUAAUCACAACCAUUCAUUUAUUCAAUUAAUACACAAAUCCUCACCAUCCAUUAAAACCUACCACUCACCUACUUCACCAACCACACCUAACACACCUAACACAAAUAAUUCAAAGCUCACCAACCAUACCUACUCAUGGAACCUUCCAUGAGUUGGGCUUGAUUUACUCAUCUUGGAUCAAGUUUAUGAUCCAACACCUCCCCUUAAACUUGAUCCUGUGACACCAAGCAAACUUCUGAAUCUUGCAAAGUCUUCUUCCUUGAGUGGUUUAGUGAAGAUAUCAGCUGCUUGAUCUUGUGAUUUUACAUACUUGACUUGCACUUCUUUUCUUGCAAUACACUCUCUUAUGAAAUGAUAGCGAGUGUCUAUGUGUUUACUUCGAUCAUGAAAGACUGGAUUCUUGGAUAGGGCAAUUGCUGAUUUGUUAUCAACACAAAUCUCGGUUGGCUCUUCUUGUGCCAAACUCAACUCCUUCAGCAAAUUUCUGAGCCAAAUUGCAUGACAAACACUUGAUGUGGCAGCUACAUAUUCAGCUUCACAAGUGGAUAGAGUGACAAUUGGUUGCUUCUUUGACAUCCAUGUGAAAGCAGUAUCUCCCAUGAAGAACACAAAUCCUGUUGUGCUCUUUCGAUCAUCUACAUCUCCACCCCAAUCGCUAUCGCUAUAUCCAAUAAGCUUGUAGUGAUUAGAAAAUGAGUAUAACAAGCCGAAAUUAAUUGUACCUUUGAUAUAGCGAAGGAUUCUUUUUGCAGCUUUAAAAUGAGUGGUCUUUGGAUUCUCCAUGUAUCGGCUCACAAGUCCAACAGCAUAAAGAAUAUCUGGUCUUGUGCAUGUCAAAUAACGGAGGCUUCCAACCAAACUUUUAAAGAAUGUUGGAUCUAUAUCUUCGCCUUCAUCAUAUUUGGAUAACUUGACUCCGCAUUCCACUGGCGUGCUUAUAGGCUUGCAAUCAUUCAUCUUGAACCUUUUGAGAAUCUCCUUUGCAUAACUUUCUUGGGAGAUAAAUAUGUCUUCUUCCUUUUGCUUGACUUCAAUGCCGAGGUAAUAUGUCAUCAGUCCGAUGUCAGUCAUCUCGAACUCUUUGAUCAUCACUCUUUUGAACUCUUCAAACAAGCUUGGAUUACUUCCAGUGAAGAUGAGAUCAUCCACAUACAGGCACACAAUCAAAAUAUCUCCAUCUUUUUCUUUGACGUAGAGAGCAUGUUCAUAUGGGCAUUUGGUGAAGCCUUUCUCUUGAAAAUACUUGUCAAUUCUGCUAUUCCAUGCCCUUGGUGCUUGCUUUAACCCGUAAAGAGCUUUCUUUAAUCUCAAAACUUUGUCUUCAUGUCCUUUCACCAUAUAGCCUAAUGGUUGUUCGAUGUAAACUUCUUCUUCAAGGAAUCCAUUCAAGAAAGCAGACUUCACAUCCAUUUGAAAAAUCUUCCAUUUGUUCUGAGCAGCCAAAGAAAUAAUAAGUCUAAUAGUUUCAAGUCGAGCUACAGGAGCAAAUACCUCGUCAUAGUCUAUGCCAGCCUUUUGACUAUAGCCUUUUGCAACUAGCCUCGCCUUGUGCCUUUCAAUUUCUCCAUUCGCAUUUCUUUUUGUUUUAUACACCCAUUUGACACCGAUCGCCUUAUGACCUUUUGGAAGAGUAGUAAGCUCCCAAGUAUCAUUCUUCACAAUGGCUUUGAUUUCUUCAUCCAUUGCAAUUCUCCACUUCUCAUCUAGUGCAGCUUCUUGGAAGUUGACUGGCUCACAAUCAGCAAAGAGGCAAAAGAGAGUGAGAUUAUCAUGUCUCUCAGUUACCUCAUAGAGAUCUUGAAGACUCCUUGUACGUUCUUCAGUUCUUUCAUUUAAGAAAUGCGGCGGUGAAUCUCCGCAUGUGGUUGGUACCGGUGAGAUAGGUAGAGUGGCAGGCUCUUGUUGUUCGUCUACUUGUUUUAUCUGUGUAUGAUCAUCUUCUUCAAUGGGAAAGAAGUUGAAGUCAUCCACACCAGAGCCAAAAUCUCAUUCUCCUUCUUCAUCAAAAACUACAUCUCGACUGAUCACGAUCUUCCCGUUGUUUGGAUUGUAAAGCUUGUAUCCUUUGGAGUUGUUGUCGUAGCCGAUGAAGAUGAACUUUUCACUUUUGUCAUCCAGCUUGGCUCUACUUUCAUCUGGUACAUGUACAUGGGCAAUGCUUCCGAAAACUCUUAGAUGGGUUAUGCCGGGUUUUCUUCCACUCCAAGCUUCUUGUGGCGUCUUGCCCCACACGCUUCUUGUUGGAGAUCGAUUGGAUAAGUAGACUGCACAUGCAACAGCUUCAGCCCAAAAUUCUUUAGGUAGCCUCUUACUCUUAAGCAUGCUUCUUGCCAUGUCGAGGAUGGUUCUGUUCUUCCUUUCUGCAACACCAUUUUGUUGAGGGGAUCUUGGAACUGUCAAAGGGCGUCGAAUUCCAUUUGCUUCACAAAACUCUAAAAAUUCUUUGGAAGUGAACUCUCCACCUCGAUCAGAUCUCAUGGCUUUAAUCUGGUAUCCACUUUCUUUUUCCACUGCAGCUUUAAACUUCUUGAAAGCUUCAAAAACUUCUGAUUUUUGCUUCAAAAAAUACACCCAAGUUUUUCUUGAAAAAUCAUCUAUGAAGAGAAGGAAGUAGUUACUUUUACCAAGGGAGUUUGGUUUGAAUGGACCGCACACAUCAGUAUGAAUGAGCUCGAGUGGCUUCUGAGCUCUUGAGUUUGACUCCUUUGGAAAGCUCUUUCUGAAUUGCUUGCCAAGUAAACAUCCUUCACAAAGCUGAUCAGGGUGAUUGAUGUAUGAUAAGCCUUUCACCAUGUUCUUCUUGAAUAGUAGCUCCAAUCCUCCAAAGUUGAGAUGCCCAUAUCGAAGAUGCCAAGUCCAGGAUUGAUCUUUGUGACAGGCUUUGAGACAUUUUGCAACAUCAUUUUGAAUAUUUAAUGGAAACAUUCUAUUCUUCGACAUUUUCACCUUUGUAAUUAGAUUUCCUUUGUCAUCUUUUAGGAAAAGACUAUAAUCUUUUAAGUGAAUAUCAUAGCCUUUUUCUAAAAGUUGACCCAAACUAAGAAUGUUGCUUUUCAUAUUGGGCACAUAGUAAACAUUCGAAAUUAUUUGGUGACUACCAUCUUUUGCACGAAAAAGAAUGUUACCUUUACCCUUCACUGGUACUUUUGAAUCAUCUCCAAAAGCGACACUGCCAUUCACAGAUUCACUUAGUUGCACGAACAUGUUUAUGUUUCCACUCAUAUGAUUGCUAGCACCUGUGUCAAGAUACCAUGUAUUUUCUUGACCUCCACUUGUGUCAUUGCGUGCUAGUAAAAGUGUGCCAUCUUCACUAUUUUUCUCUUCAGCAUAGUUCACUCUCUCUUCAAUUCUGGUGCUUGGAGCUCUGCAUUCUGAAGCAUAAUGCCCAAACUUUUGACAAUUAUAGCACUGUACUUGGGAUUUGUCAUACCUCGAUCUUGGAUUGCCUCUGCCUCGUCCUCUGGUUGAGCUUUCUCCUUUGGCAUAAUUGGAGUUGUUGUUGUUGAAAUUCCAACCUCGUCCAUGACCACGACCUCUACCUCGUCCAUGACCACGACCCCUACCUCGGACAUAGUGCCUUCUCUCAUUGUCGGAGCUUUCUUCUCUUUUCUUUGGAUUGACUUCCAUCUUGAGAAGUUGUUCUUCGAUUCCUUGCCUCUUUUUUUGUUUUUCUUCAUAGGCUUGCAACCUUCCUUGAAGUUGCUCGAUCGUCAUAUCCUCCAGAUCUCUUGUUUCUUCAAUUGUCACAACAAUAUGGUCAAACUUCGACUCUACUGAUCGAAGUAUCUUUUCAAUGAUCCUUACCUCUUUUAACUCCUCGCCAUUUCUUUUUAAUUCAUUGGAAACAGUCACAACCCGAGUAAAGUAGUCAGAAAUUGACUCUGACGCCUUCAUAUGUAAGGACUCAAAUUCUCCUCGUAAUGUUUGGAGACGAACCUUCUUAACUUGUUCCGCUCCUUUGUAAGAGGUCUCUAGUUUCUCCCAUGCUUCUUUUGAGGAGGUUGUACCAGCAAUUUUUUCAAAAUCAUCUUCAUCUAAUGAUUGAAAGAUGAGAUACUUUGCUUUAUUCUCUUUCUUCUUCAAGUCUUUUAAAUUCUCCUUCUGCGCCGCAGUUAAAGUGGCUUCAUUUUCUGGCACAAUAAAGCCUUUUUCCACGACAUCCCAUACGUCAUGUGCGCCCAAUAGAGCCUUCAUUUUAAUACUCCAAUUGUCAAACUUACUUCCCUUUAAUUGUGGAACUUGAAAUGACAUCAUACCACCCUUUGCCAUAACUCACAAAUUGAGUGAGAAUUUGGAGAUUCUGAAAGCACAAAUGGAUCCGGCACGUCGAAAAACCUUGGGAAUGACUCGAGUCAACUUUCGGUCAACGGUCAACGCUGGUCAACGGUCAACGCUGGUCAACGGUCAACGUCGGUCAACGGUCAACACCGGCUUGGUAGUCUUGGUUCGGUCCGGAUUGGUUCAGCUCGAGUUGGCUCGGUUCGACUUGAUUCGGUUCAGCUCGGUUCGGCUUGGUUCAACUCGGUGAGUCGACUCAGCUUUAGGGCAGAAAACUUCCGGCGGCAAGUGUGGGCGCGUCCGGUCUCCGAUUGGGAUAAUUUUUGCGGCGUCACUUUCCUCUCGUCGAGAUCUUCGAUUUGAUAUGCUAUAUGACCAUAUAUAGCAUCAUGUACUAGCUCUGAUACCACUUUGUUGGAGAAUUAACAAAAUAAAACACAAAAAACACUAUUUUAUUUCUUCAACAACACUUCUCACCAAUUACAACUCUUAUUUUUCACUCUCUACACCUUAGAGAUUUUGCUACUUCACUUGAUGAUUAAACCAAAGGGGAGAGGGGGUAUUUAUACAUGAAACAAACUAAUCACAACCAUUCAUUUAUUCAAUUAAUACACAAAUCCUCACCAUCCAUUAAAACCUACCACUCACCUACUUCACCAACCACACCUAACACAAAUAAUUCAAAGUUCACCAACCAUACCUACUCAUGAAACUUUCCAUGAGUUGGGCUUGAUUUACUCAUCUUGGAUCAAGUUUAUGAUCCAACACAGAUGUCAUAUACAAGGACUUCAUCGAAGUUGAACCUCACAAAAAAAUGAAGUGAUAACAUAUGAAAAUAGUAUAUGACUUGCGCGGCAUUUUUGUGGUAAUGUUGCAUACUUAUGUAGAAACAUAUUAUUUCAAAGAAAACAUACACUGAAGAAGUUCACAAAAGCAGGAUCUUCAGGAACAUCAGCAGCAUUUGACGGAGUUGACUCUAGAGGACCAUCCAUAACUGCCAUAGUUGGAACAGCUUCCAGUUCCUCAAACUCACUGCAGUUUAACAUAAAAGGAACUUGAUGACCAAUUUAAGUAAUAAUUAGAUGAUAUAAGAGGUUAGGGAAAAUGAUGAGUGGACCCUUAUGGAAGGUGAUUUCACCUUAGCUAAACACGAAAAUAAAAAGAAAUCAAAGCUGAAUCCUCGAGUGCAAUGCAAAGAAUUUUUUCUCUCUCUUCACUAACUCCUCUUAUUCGAAAUUGCUCAUCAUUGUGCUGCUCUUCGAGAUUUCGCUUGAGUAGAGAAAGUUAUUCUCCCGUUAAGUGCAGAGGAAAAAGAAGGGCAAGGGCCUGGUAUGAUGUUAUUCUAUAGGAAGUGAGAAGGUGAAGGGUUAAAAUAUUUUGCAAUUUGGAGGUGGUGUUUGUUAGUGUGUGUACUUCUGAAUUUAUUACCUCUUUAGGAUCCAUAGAAAUUGCCUCUUGUUCAGCAUGCACUGUGCCUACGAGUAAGGCGAGCUUGCAUGGUAUCUAUUGUCUAUUUACUUGGAUAUUCAAACAGGACUACCAGCAACCAAACACAAAUCCCCAAAACAAAACACUCUUUCAAGUGCAAGGAAAGAGUAACUUGGGCAUAUUUAUGGUUCAAGCACUACCAUAACUAAGAAUGUGAUGCUGUCCACAAACACUAUAUCAGUGCCUUUUGAACUACAUGACAUGCUUGAAGACUUUUUUUUUAGUCAUACAUAAAUUAGCUAUAAAAUUAAGACCAUUAUACAACUAAAAAGAAAGAAAAAUUGUUUGCCACUACAUAUCAAAACUGGUAAUAGCAAUGUAAGAUGGCAGACUUCUUACUUAAACAGAUGAGAGGCUACAAAUAAAAAAUUUGUGCAAAUAAAAUAUAUGAUAAAGAGCAUAAUACUUUCUUGGGGGCUAAAAAUAAUAUACAACUUGUGAAAUAUAAAUUGAGCUACCAUUACCUUUUAGAUGUGGCAACUUUCAACUUUUGAGGCACCUUGGAAUAUGCAUUCAGAAUCCUGCAUUUGGAAGCCAAAUAAAUAAUGUUAAUAACAGUUUUACAAUAGAAAAAUUAAAAAUUGAUAAAUGGCAGUUUUAAUUUAUGUAUGUGUAAAGAUAGCAUCACAUCCAGGGUCCUCCCACAAACAUGCUUGUAACAAGAAUUAGUUUGCCUCAACUGUUAGCAACUGGUAACAAUAUACAAUAGUAAAAAUCACUCCUAUGAACUCAACAAUACUAGGCACCAAUAAGAGUAUGAUAUAGCCAUUCUAAAAUGGAAGAGAAUACAACUGUUUUACAACUAUGUUGCAUCAGGAGAUAUGUUAGGAGGAUUAAUCCAGAUACCUUCCAACCCAAUUAGGAAAACUCGAGUCAAAAACCAGGAGCCGCAACCGAACCUUACAAUCUUGAAGGAAGAAGGAGACUUGGGGCAUUUUUCCAGAUAGGUGACUUACUAGAUCUCCUGCCAAGAGAAUAUCUAUUGCUUUGAACCUCCAUUGAAUUUUCUUUUCCCUUUUUCUUGUUUUGACUUGGAACUUUCCAGCAUCAUCUAUUUGAUCUUUUUUAAAGCUAAAAUAGCAAUCUAUGGGUUGUCAACAUCUUAUCAUAAAUUGACGAUUGCAAGGCAGCCGCAGAUCCAGAGCAAUCUCCCAGCUCUUUGCUCCUUCAUCAUUGCAGUUAGUCAAAAGAUAAGCAGAGAUAUCCCAUGUCAACAAGAAGGUAAUCAUAAAAGAACAACAGAAUUGGAAAACAUAUUUUGUUAUAGAUGAAAUGAUAUGAGCAUCCAUGUAUCUAUCCAGCAUUUAGGACACCGCAAUAUAUUCAUAUGAAACGUAAAACGAUUUAAUAUCAAUUUUCUUCAGGAGACUGACAAUGCGUUUGGGAUUGAGGUUGGGCAGCUGUAGCUUAAAAGCUACAACACUAAAGUGUUUGGUAAACACUAGCUGCUGUAACUUUUAAGCUAUGUUGAUAUGAUUUUUCACUUGUAUAAUAUAAAAUUUAUUAUAUCUUUAAUAAUUUUAUCAAAAUUAUUAUUUAAAAUUUAUAUUUACUAUAUAUUAUUAACUUUUGUUUCAUAAUUACAGCUUUUUUUUCACAGCAGCUGUAGCUUAAAAGCUAUAGCACCUCAAUCCCAAACGCACCCUGAGCAGGUUGUCUCGCAAGUGGCGCAUCAGUAUUGUAACGUCUGCUGGGUCUUACAUUAUCCACAAAAAUAACUCGUCCAUCUAGUAACUGCAAUUACAUAAUGUGAGAUGCGUAAACUCAACAAUAUAAGCAUGGAAAAUUAGAGAAAAAUGAUGCAAUUUUACCCUCCCAUUCAUGUCUUCCAAGGCUUUUUGGGCUUCCUCUUCUGUACUGAAAGCCACAUACCCGUAACCUUUUGAUCUAUUGUUACCUUUAUCCAUUAUUAUUACAGCUGCAAAGAGAAAAGAAUUGGAUAUUAGAAAAUAGUGAAGAGGGAACAGGGGUUGAGACUUAAAACAGAAAUAGACCAAACCCUCAUUGAGUUGGCCAAAUUGUGAAAAGGCAUCAGCUAACAUCUCUUUAGUGGUUGAGAAAGAUACACCUGCAAAGAAUGCCAGUUAAUUUUAUCAUAAUUAGAUAGUAAGAUGGAAAAUUCUGCAGCCAAAGGUAGAAUGCAACUAAGGAAAUCAAAUAUGAACAUGUCUUCAAUCUUAAAAUAUUAAGAGUAGCAUAAGUAACUUGUGAAACAGUUAUAAGUUCAAAUGGUUGAAUUUAUAAAUAUUUGAUACUUUGGACCGAACAGGGCAAACAGAUGGUGAGCAGAAGCAGCCCAGUUUAGCUAUAUGCCAUGUAUGUGAUCAAAAUUGAAUGGUUAAAUGGCAGCCACUGUGUUACAUCUUGUGUAAGUAACAAACCGCCUGCAUGGAUCGUUGGAUUUGGGAAUAUGAAAUCCAAUGGAUAAUAUUGAAUUUAACGAAAAAUAGAUUACAGGUUGCAUUAUUCCAAGUUUAUUUCAAACAAACCAGCUGAUGAAAUAGCCGCUAAUCAAAUUUAAAAGGGAAAAAAAUUCAAAUUAUAGGUUAUAGAUCUUAUUUCCAUCUUAAAUCUAUUUGUCUUUCAUGGUGUCUCAAUGUGUAUACUAAUUUAUAAUUUGGAUCUAUAUUAGAGCUAAUGCUUCUCCAAAUAACUAAGAAAUUUUUAUUUUCAUUGAUUAAAUAUUUAUUUCCAAUAUUUUGUAUAUGUAGGAUUUGAAAAGAGGGAAAAUAGUAGGGAUGAUAAUGAGAGAAGAUAGAGAUGUCGAUUCUCAAAUCUAAUAUUAAUGCUAUACUUAUAUUCCUAUACUAAAUAAAUUAUCCAAGUUUUGUGGUUAACGAUACGUUGCAAAAUUUUAAUUUCUAUUUAAAGCUCUGUCUAAUAUGGCUUUUCAUAAAGCUUAGAGAAAAGUAGAGCUUUUACAAAAAAAAAAAAAUUAAUUAGAAUUGUCAAUGAUAAAUUUUAUUAAAAAAUUUUAAAAAGUACUUUAAUAAAUAAGCUUUUAAAGUUAUAUACAUUAUGAAAGAAAUUAAAUAAGAUUAUAUAAUAAAUUAAGAGUAUCUUAGAUAAUUGAACUUUAAAAAAAAAAAACUCGCUAAGAGGUUUAAAAUUUGAGUUUUUAAUAGUGGAUACAGAAUAGUUUAUUUAAUUCUCAAAAGCUCUACUCAAAAUACAACCAUGUAACACAAAAAUUUUUCAUAAGUUUUUUGGACUAGUUAAGUAUUUUUUUUGAAAAAAAAUAUUUUUUUCAUUGAGUAAAUAAUACUAAACAUGCACUAAAGUGUUAGGACCAGAAAUUGUACAAAUAAAACCAUGAAAUUAUAUGUUGUUGGGUGGAUAUUUUUCAAAUUUGCUGUAGUUUUUUUUUCUUUUCUGCUGGGAAAUUGAAAUGAUGGCUACAACUUAAAUUAUGAAUGGAGUAAUCGGAGAAUAUUGAAACCCGUUUAAUUUGGAUCGGGCAUUGAGGGACGAAAGGAUAAAAAAUUUAAUUUUGAAAUUGCUGUUGGGUACGGUACAAUGACUUACCGUUGACAGCCUGUGCAACCGGAUUACAAUCGGUUAGUUCAAUAAUUUUAUGGAUGUCCCUAAGUUACGUUAAGUGUAUCUUAAGUUUUUUGUCUUUUUCUUCUCGUAAUUUUUUAUACAAGUCUUCUUAUUUAUUACUUUUUAUUUUUAAAGAUGCAUUUGUCUUCUUCUGUCAAUUAUACACCUAUUUUUCAUUCUUUCUAAUAUUUUCUUUAUCUCUUUAAACAAUAAUAUAUGAUUAUCGAAUUCAUAUAAAUCUGUAAAUUCUGAAUAAAUUUCGAGUCCUAAAUUUAUUAUUCCCAUUCUUUCUUGUUCUAAUAACUCUAUUUUUUAGGUUAUUUGAUUUAUAUAACUUGUUAUAAUAUUUUCCCAGCCUAGAUUCAUAUGAUCUAUUGUUUCUGCUAAAUUAUGUAUUAUAUUAAAAGCAUGUUGGUUCAUGGUAAUGCUUCUUUUUUAUACCAGUAUACUAAAAAUUUUAUAAAUUCAUCUAUGAAUUUCAUUUUCUUUUCUAUUAAAAUCUCACCUCCUAGAGUUUCUAUAUUUCUUUCUUGUAAUUCUUGUGUUAUAUUAAGCUCAAUAUUUCGGAUGUUAUUCUUUUCGGAUUUUAUAGACAUUAUUAAAUUUUUUAUUUCUUCUUUGUCAAACACUUUUAAAGUAUAUAAGCUAUCUGUUAUAUCUUUUAUAGGAUCCAUGGCUCUGAUACCAUUUUUAUUACAAAAAACAAAACAAAACAAAAACAAAACCAAAACAAAACAAAACAAAUAAAACAAAAUCUAUAAAACAAAACAAAAUAUACACUAACAAGCAAACAACAAAACCAAAGUUUUGGAUGAAAGAUAAUUGAUAAGAAGAUAUAUUACUAUUAUUAUUCUUCUAAAAAUGUAUAUCUAUCAUAUCUCCCACUGUUAUUAUUCCUUAAAUAUAAUCCUAUAACUUCUUCUCCAUUAAUGAUACUAGGUAUAUUUCCUGGAAAAUUAGGAACAUAAAAAUCAUAAUAAUUAUUAUUGGUUUCUAUAAUAUAUGUAGGAUGCAUAAUUUGAUUUAAGAUUUCUAAAUUAUGGGUUAUGUUUACAGGAUAAAGGAGUAUUUCUACUUUUAAAAUAUAUAAGUUAUUAUUUAUUAUACUAGUGUAAUAUCUUAUGUCCCUAUAAUUAUUCAUGAUAUUAAAAUUCUAAUUCUUCGUUAUCUGAAUUAUUUAUAUAUUCGACGUAAGAAGGUUCUAUUUUUAAGCUUUCAUUUUCUAUUUUAGCUUUAACUAUAUCAAUAGCUUCAUCUACAGUUAAUAGUGUAAUUAAGUGUUUUAGAUUAUCCGUUUCUAAAAUGUUUAAGAUUCUUCUUUUUAUUUCAGGUGGUAAUUCUAGGCUAUAAAUAGCUUGUAUUUCAUUUUUACUAAUAACUUCUUCUUUACUAAAUAUGUAUGAACUUUGUUUAAAAGAUCCAAGAUUAUAAUCUAUUAUCAUCAUGUAAUUAUUAUAUGUAAUCCUAGUUGUAGGAUUUAUCAUUUUUUCUUUAGGAUUUCCACGUCCUAAUCUUACACUCAUAUUUUGAUAAACACUCAUUUUCUUAUUUCUUUAACAAUUUUUGAUUAAUAAUUUGAAUAAAAUUCACUUCUAAGAGAUGCUCAUCCACCAUUAAUCUCCUCAUCUACAAUCAUCACCAAACUUCCACCAACAGAUAAGGUUAGAGAAUUAUUACCUAAGUUAUCCUUUUUUCUUCGUCUUAAGAUCUGUCUCCAGUGACCUGCAGCCUACGCGUCCUUCACUCCCUCAACGGCCUCCUGCCUAAACGGGAUCAAGUGGACUCUGAUGGCCUUUCUGUAUGGAUCUGGAUCUUCUUUCUUAGAAUCAGGGAUAAUUUUAGGUUUCUCUUUCCUUUCUAUGGGGUUGUUUGUUUAUGAUUGAAAGAUGUAUUGAUUUAUGGUUUCGAGCUUAAGAGAAUUUAGCUAUGCAUGUUUCAGAGAGUUUUGAAAAAGUGAAGUAUGGUUUUUCAAUCUGAGUUUUCAAUCUGAGGUAUCCCUCGUUCUUCUUUUCUUUUUAUUUCAAAACUUUCUAUUCGAGAUUACAUUCUUGCCCUUUUGGCUUUUUCUAAUUAUUACAAGUGCUUUACAUUAUUGCUAAGACAAAGCUUUUCUGCUUUUUAUCUUGUCGGCUUCUUUUUAUCUUCUUUUUGUCUGGCAUCUUCUUUAUGCUGUCUGCCACUAUAUGAUCACAUCAGUCUGGCAUCUUCUUUAUGCUGUCUGCCACUAUAUGAUCACAUCUUUUUAUUUUGUCUGAUUGCUUGCUUCCAUAAGCUGAUAAGCAUGCUGCAUAGUUUCACUGCUGCUGGGAAAUCGCAUAGUGCUUAUUUCAUUAAUAAGCUCUAACAAGAUAUUUGAGGAUGUAUGGCUGUCUUCUGCUGUUACUAAGAUAUAAUUUUGAAAUCUGAUGAUGGUUCUGAAAUUCCUUUUGUAGAGGUCUUUUGCUAUGCUCCAGAUUGCUUUUAUGCCUCGAGCUCUUCGGGUUCGGAUCCAAUUUUUUGUAAUCUGAGGAACAUUAGUAUAUUCGGUUCCUAUUUCUAAUUGGAAAUUUUUGGUUAUAUGACCCACUGAAAUCAUAUAAAAUGCUUGGUAUUCUACAUUUUGAUGAUAUUCUGGACUUAUGGUGUAGAAUUUGAGGUAUAUGGGUCUUUUCUGGGCGAAUUUAGAUAUUUCUUUGACUAGUAAUUCAUCUAAACUGGCUAUUUCUCGGAGGUCUAUAUCAGGAUAUAUUAAAUCUAGAUAACCAUAACGGGCUAUUUUUCCUACAAGAAGUGGGUCUGCUCCUUUGGUGGCUAUCAUUCUGGGAUACAUAUUUUUACCUGGUGCUUUAUGGAUAUUAUUAUUGUGGGAACAGAUAGAAUAAAUCCAUGUAGAAAAUUGUUUAUACUCUUCUUCUUUUGGAUUCAAAGGUUCCUUCUCUUCUUCUUUUAUUUGGAGAUUGUUUAUUUGGAUGAACUUUUUUGAAGGACUUGAUUUUUGUGGCUCAACUUCGAUGGAUAUUAUAUUUGGUGGGUUUUUGAUUGGGUCAGAGAUUGGUUUAUUUUCUCUGAAGGGUCCACUACUGCUUCCUUCACCAAUUGGGCUGGUGUUUAUUGGCGCAAUAUUCUUUGGGCCUUGUUUUAUUGAGAGUGCUUUUGUCAGGUCAUUUAUUUGCGACACUAACAAAUGUACUCCUUUUUCAUGGGCUUCUGAAGCCUCUUUCAAAUAAUUUACAGCAUCGAUUAUAUCUGAAGCUUCUGUUGCCAGUCUAUGUAGUUCAUCAUCUAUUUUGGCAAGGAUCAAAUCUAUUUCAGGAUCCAUUCCCAAAUUCUAUGUUCCUGCUUAAAAAAUCUGCAAGAAAGUUGUUAGAUCCUUUUAUAUGUAUAAUUUUAAAAUUAUAAUAUGAUAAAUAAGCUUGCCAUCUAUGUAACCUUCUGUACUGGGGUUCAUUUGGUAAAAUUCUAUUUAUUAAUGAGCUUACCUGGGAAUUGUCAGUUUCUAUAAUAAAAUGUUUUUGUAAUAAGAACAAAGAAAACUUUUUUAUUCCUUUAUAUAUUGCAAGUAGCUCUUUCUCAUGGACAGGAUAAUUGACUUGUGCUUGGUUGAAAGUACCACUGGUGUAUCUACAUAUCUCAUUUAUAUCAGUCUUAAGUAUUGCUCCCCAAUAUAGGUCAGAUGCAUCAGUCUGCAUUAUUAACUUAUCAGUUUUAUCUGGUAAUCUCAAAGAAGGAAGAUCUUUACAUUCAUUUUUUAAGUUUUUUACAGUUUCUGUAUGUUCUAUGCUCCAUCCUCUAGUAUUAUUUUUCCUAAGUAACUUUUGAAGUAUAUUUUUCUUUUUAGCUAGAUUUUCUAUAAAUCCUUCUGCAUAAUUUAAGCAGCCUAAGAAUUUUUGUAUUUGUUGUUUAUUUUCUAAUUUAUCUGGAAAAUCAAUAAUUUUUCUUCCUAUAUGGCUUUGGAGUCUGAUUCCUUGUUUAUCUAUAAUCAUUCCUAAAAAUUCAAUUUUCUUAUGUUCUAUUUUUGCUUUUCUUUCUGAUAAUACUAUCCCUUCUUUAAUACAUAAAUUUACAAAUUCUUUUAAAUGUUUUCUGUGAUCUUCUAAGGUUUCAGAGGCUAAUAAUAUGUCAUCAACAUAUACUAUUAUGUAUUUAUAAUCUCUAAAUAUUUUAUCCAUUCUUUUUUGGAAUAUUUGUGGAGCAUUUUUUAAUCCAAAGGGCAUUACUAACCAUUCAUAAUGUCCUUGUGGAGUACUAAAUGCUGUAUAAGGAAUACUAUUUUCUUCCAUUUUUAUUUGCCAGAAACCUGAUUUACAAUCAAACUUUGAAUAAUAAGUUUUAUUUUUUACUAAAUUAAUUAGAACUUCUUUAUUUGGCAAAAAAUAUCCAUCAAAUUUGGUAUAUUUAUUUAGUUCUUUAUAGUUUAUUACCAUUCUAGCUUUCCCUCUAACUUGUUCUGCUCUUUUUCUAACCAUGAAAGCUGGGCUGUUGUGUGGACUAUUACUAUUGCGUAUUAAAUUUAAUUCUAAUAAUUCUUUUAUCUGGAUUCUAAAUUCUUCUCGGUCUUCUUCUGUGUACAUCAUAGGUUUAAGUCUUAUGAUUCUAUUUUCUGUUAAUUCUAUUUUUGCUCUGGGGUGAUCUGGUUUCCAUAAGGCUAAUGGAUUUUCUUCAUAGACUUGCUUUAGUUGGGAUUUUAUUGUUUCUAAUUUUAUAUUUAUGUUAUAACUCUGUCCUUUUGAAAUUAAAUAAUGUUUUUCAUAAAUUGUCUUAUCACCACGCGAGGCUGGCUGAACUCUAUAAGGGCGAAAUUCUCGAGGAAUUCGUAAAAUAUGAUUGCAUGGGGUUUUAAGAGUAACCAUAUAGGUCGUCUGUUGGUAAUAUUGAAAUUGUUGUAAGAAAUCAUUUCCUAAAAGUAUAUCACAGUCCAUUUGGUCAUAUUGGAAGAUAUGAUUAAUACGAACAAUUUUACUUCCUAAAAUAGUUUCAAAGCUUUCUAAAGAUUGAGUAAUAUGUUGUUUGUCUCCUGUGAUACCUACGAGUUUUAUCUUGCUAUUUGAUUUCCAUUGGUUUGAUAAAAAGGUUUUCAUGAUUGUAAUUUCACUUCCUGUGUCUAUUAAGGCACAAGUGUUUAUAUCUUUUUCUACUAUAUUUAUUUGUAUAUAAACAGACAUAGGAUAUUUUAUAUAUGCUUGUCUUAACAUGUUUCACAAAUUAUCUUUUGUCCUUCUAUUUGUAAGGUAAUUUGGUCUUUUUCUAUUUUAUAAUAUUCUAGACUAUUUAAGAAACUAUUUCCUAAGACUAUAUGUUUUUCUGGAUCUGUAGUCAUAAAAGAAUCUAUGUAGCAAGAUACUAUUAUUCGUAUUCCUUCAAUUAUUAAUGGAACUUUUACUUCUUGUCUACAUAUGUGCUUAUUACCAUUAAAGUCAGUAUAUUCAUAUGGAAUUUCUUUUUCUUUUAUUAAGAGUCCUUUAUUUUUUGUAUGAUUCAUAUAAUUAUGACUUGUUCCUGUAUCUACUAGGAUAGGUAACCUUAUUGUAUAUUCUAUUCCAUUGAAGUAUUGUCCAAGGAUUUUUACUACACUACUAGUAAGAGUAGGUUUUAAGACUUGUUUAUUUAUAUUGAUUAUUUGUCUAUUAGUACUUAAUCUUCUAGAAGAUUCUCCUCUCAAAAGAGUUCUUCCGGCAAAACUGAUAGGGAUUAUAGAAUUCUCAUUAUUAUUAUUUAAAAAUUGUUUUUUAUCAUCUACAUCUAAUUCGUAUGUUAUAGGAAUUUUAUAAUCCUGUAUUAUAGGUUCUAUCAAAGUUGCUAUUUCCUCACAUUCUUUAUUUAUUUCUAUAUAUGGUUUAUUCCCAUAGAUUUCUCCAUAAUUUGAGUUACAAAAACUAUAUAAUGCUGAAUAGUGUAUAGUCAUUAAUCUAUUUCCUUCCUUCAUUAAGUUCUUUUUUAGGAGUUUAAAAUGUAGACUUAAAGUUUCAUCUAUAUUUUUAUCCCUUAUGUGUACACAGUAUCUAGGAUGACAUGUAAAUAGUAAUUUGGUAUAACAUAAGUUUCCUUCUACUGUUCCUAGAUGCCCUAUACUAGGAUCAUGGAAUCUUUGAUCAUGAAUUGAUAAAAUUAUUGGACUAUCUACUCCUUCUUUAAAGAGGGAUUUUAUUAAGAUUUGGAUUUCAGCUAAAUAUACAUAUUGAAUUUUUUCUUUUGUUGAUUCAUUUUUUAUUUUUCUUAAGGCUAGAUCUAUUGUUCUUUUAUUUAUUAAGCUAAAUCGUAUGUUUCCUUCAGCUUGUGUUAUAGUUACAGCUUUUUCUUCUUCAUAGUAUUCAUGUAAAAUUAUCCUUUUUCUUUUAAAUAAAUCUCUUAGUUUUUGUAAGAUACUAUACUCCGGUUUUUCCACAUUUAAUCUUAGAAGUUUAUUGUAUUUUUCUUUAUUAAAAGUGGCUACUAAACUAUACCCACUUUUGUUUUCUUCUCUUUCUAUUUCUUCAAUGUCGUCUAUUUCUUCUUUUUCCAAUAUGUCUUUUUCUUUAUUCUGAUUCAUUUUCCUCUGUAUUUUCCAUAUAUACUAUCAUUCCUUCGUAUUCUGAUAUGUUUUUUAUUUCUUCUAAUUCAUCUCUUAUUUGUUCAAAAUCUUCUUGUAAAAUUCUAACUUUUUUCUUUUUACAAUCUGUACUGAUAUGUCCUAUUUCACCACAAUUCCAGCAUUUACAUUUUGAUUUAUCUACUAACUUUCUUUGGUUUUUAUAUUUUCUUUUAUAGUAUUUUCUUCCAGGUUUCUUGUAUUUCUUUUUAAAUUUGUUGUAUUUUUUAUAUCUUUUUUCUUUUUUAUAUUUUCUUUUUCUAUUAUAAUAUGGGAUAGAACAUCCCCAUUGAGUUGGCAUCUCUGUUUUUUCACAACAUAUUUCUGUUAUGUUUCUACUCUUUUUGAUUAAAUUCCUCUGGAUACAUAUAUCACUAAGUCGAGUAUUUAUAAAUCUUAUUCUAGAUCCUAGGUUAUCUGGGAGUUUAUUUGAAGUACUAAUUUUUUCAUAUUCAUUUAUAAAGUAACUAUUCCAAGGGUAUGGCAACUUGGAGUAAUAUAAGUUUUUAUAAACUUCUUGAUCUUCUAAACUUACAUAUUGUUCAUAAUAAUAUUUACUAAAUUCGCAAGUAUAUUCUUUGAUAAAACACAUAUUGCAUAUUGUUAAAUUUAAUAGAUUUAACCGUGCUCUUUGUUUUUCAUUAUUUGCUUCUCUCUCUGAAUUUUCUAACCAAUCUUCUCCUAAAAAUUCUCUAGCAAUGUAUUCCAGUAUUCUUUCUAUUCCUAGAGCAGUGCUCCUCCUAAAAGCUAUUUUGGUUGAGUCUUUUAUUAACAUUUGUGUAUCAUCACUUAAUCCUCUCCACCAAUUAAAUACAUUCCCUGUAAAACUAGUUAUUAGGAUAUCUGUGAAUAUGUCUAUCUUUUCUUCAUUAGUGGUUACAUUCCAGUCAUCAUUAGCUCCAUUAUAUGUGAAGAAUAGCUUCAUCUGCAUUCCCCAUUCUGCUAAUGUUUUUCGAGGGUUCUCUUUACAGUCUAUAUUUAAAAAUGAUCCACUAUUGCUUAUAGGUACUAAUGUAUCUUGAUUAGGUUUGUAUUCUUUUUUCCAUGGAGUAGAUUUUGUUUUAGGUGUGUAUUCAUAAAAAGGUUUAUUCUUUUUCUUAGGUAUAUUGCUUGGUUCUGCAACAUUUGGUUUCAUUUCUGGUCCUCCUGCUGUAUUCAUUUUUAUAUGGUAUUCUUUUUCAAAUUCUUCUAAAUCACUAAGAUUUAUGUCACUAAAUUUUUCAGUUAAACUUUCUAUUGUGUCUUCCAUUAUUCAGAAUUAGACUCAGUUUGUUCUUUUAUUUCUAAUUUCUCUUUUCCUUUUUCUUUCUUUCUUAUUUCUGCCUUUAGUUCUUCAGCUUCCUCUAAUAUUUUUGGAUAUUGUGUCUCCAUAAACCAGUAGUCAUAACUGCCUUUUUGGGGUUUUUGUGUAGAUUUCUUUAAGUUUGUCCCAAUAAUAUUUGAUUUUAUCAUCUCAAGUCUUUCUAUUUUCUUAUUUUUCUUUUUACAUUUUUGUAACAGUGACAUCUCUAUUUUUAAUUUUCCUAUAUCUUGUCUUAUUUCUUUUAUUUCUUCUUUUAGAUUUAAAAGUAUUUCUUUUAACUCUAUUAUCGUGGUUUCCAUAAACUAUAAGGGGGUCUAUCAAUAUUUUGUUUAUUUGAAUGUAUGUUACGUUGCAUGUAACAUAGGCUUGGCCUAAUUUUAUAUCCCUAUUUAACCGCCACGUGCUGCUGUUACAUGGGUCAAUUAGUCAUGUCAUUACUGUUACUUACAGCUGCUGUAACAUAACCGGACCCUGGUUAAAUUCUGUUGUUUCCAAUAAUUUUAUGCUGUAUCUUUUUUAAUAAUAAAGAAAACUUGCAUUAAAAUUAAAAUUAGGGUAAUACCUGAUUUUAUAAAUAGAUUGCAAUGUAAUUUUGAAAAAUAAAACAAUAAUUUACGAAAUGGUUAUAACAUAAUUUUAAUUUUUUUUAUUGCUUGUAGAUUUUCGUAAAUUCAAGAAUUUGGAACAUCUGGACAUGGGUGAGGUGCAGGUUGAUGUCAACACCAUUUUUCUUCAAAUUGUCGGCGAAUCGAUGCCUUCUCUUAAGUUUUUAUCACUGAUAAACUCUAGUAAAAACACCAUUCUUGAUCAAGGUUAAUUAAUGAUUCUCUUUCUCCCUCUCUCGCAUCUUAACUAAAUUUAAUUGAGAAUACCUAUAAUGCUAGCUAUUUAUAAACUUAAUGAAAGAUGAUAGGGAGCCAUAAUAAUGACAAAAACUACUGUAAAAUAGUGUGCUGUUGUAGUGUUGAUUGAAAAAUAAUGCUAAUUUUUUACUUGACACUAUAACGUCGUAUAAUUUUACAGUUGUUUUGUUGCCAUUACGUCAGAUUCUACCGUUCAAUUAUCAGUACUCAAACUUAAUUUUUAAUAUGUACUUUAAAGAUUUUAUGCAAUUAUUUAUCUAUGUGUACUGAAGGAUGAAUUAUAUAUUUUUCAGGACUUUGUCAGUUAGUGCAUCUGCAAGAGUUAUACAUCGGCGGUUAUGACAUCCCUUCAAGUGUUGUAUGCCUCUUCUAAUCAACUUACUGGAAACAUCUCCCCAGGCCUUUGUGAGUUGGUGCUUAUGAGAGAGUUACACAUUGAUAACAAUGAUUUAAGAGGUAGCUUGCCUUUGUGCUUGGCAAAUUUGACUUCCCUUCGAGUAUUAGAUGUCUCUGACAAUCAACUAACUGAAAAUAUCUCCUCAUCUCCCCUCAUGCAUCUAACAUCUAUCAAAGAGCUCAUACUUUCAAAUAAUCACUUCUUCCAAAUCCCUAUUUCACUUGAACCACUUUUCAAGCUCUCAAAACUCAAGACUUUCGAUGGUGAAAUAUGUGCAGAAACUGAGUCACAUUAUAAUUCUUUGACCCUAAAAUUCCAACUGACUUUUAUCUCACUGUCUGGUUACAUAGAUGGUGGCACAUUUCCCAAAUUCUUGUACCAUCAGCAUGACUUGAAGAAUGCUGAUCUCUCACACCUUAACUUGAGUGGAAAAUUUCCAAAUUGGCUGGUAGAAAACAAUGCGAACUUAGAGAGGCUUCUUCUUGCCAAUAACUCUCUUUUUGGAUCAUUUUGGAUGCCAAUUCAUUCCCACCAGAAAUUGGCAACAUUGGAUGUCUCCAACAAUUUCUUUCGAGGCCAUAUUCCGGUGGAAAUCGGAACAUAUCUUCCAGGCUUAAUGCAUUUAAACUUAUCUAGAAAUGCUUUCAACGGUAGCAUUCCCUCUUCAUUUGCUGAUAUGAAAAUGUUGGAAAGGUUGGACAUAUCCUACAAUCAGUUGACUGGUGAAAUCCCUGAGCGCAUGGCCACGGGUUGCUUCUCAUUGGAAAUUCUUGCAUUGUCAAACAACAGUUUGCAAGGUCAUAUAUUCUCUGAAAAAUUUAACUUGACAAAUUUGAUGACGUUGCAGUUGGAUGGUAAUAAAUUCACUGGAGAGAUCCCAGAAAGCUUAUCUAAGUGCUAUUUGUUAGAAGGAUUAUAUCUGAGUGAUAAUCAUCUCACUGGUGAGAUUCCAAGAUGGUUGGGUAAUUUGUCAGCUUUGGAAGAUAUUAUAAUGCCCAAUAACAAUCUUGAAGGGCCAAUUCCAAUCGAGUUUUGUCAGCUUGAUUCUCUGAAGAUUUUAGACCUUUCAAACAAUAGUAUUUUUGGAACUUUACCAUCUUGUUUUAGUCCAGCAUCUAUCGAGCAACUUCAUUUGUCGAAAAACAAGAUAGAAGGACGACUGGAGAGUAUAAUCCAUGACAGCCCUCAUUUGGUGACAUUAGAUCUUAGUUGUAACAGCUUACACGGAAGUAUUCCAAAUCGGAUUGACAGACUACCUCAGUUAAACUACCUUCUUUUAGCUCAUAAUUAUAUUAAAGGCGAAAUACCAGUUCAAUUAUGCCAGUUGAAGGAAGUGCGGUUGAUUGAUCUUUCUCAUAAUAAUCUAUCUGGUCAUAUUCCUUCUUGCUUGGUUAAAACUGCACUCAGUGGAGGUCAUCAUGAGGCAGUAGCUCCAACUCCUGGUCGGUGUGUUGAAGCGUCUGUCUAUCGACGUACAUGUGUGAUUCCAAGUGGACCUCCGAUGGGAAAGGAAGAAACUGUACAGUUCACAACAAAGAAUAUGUCCUAUUAUUAUCAAGGAAGAAUUUUGACGAGUAUGUCUGGGAUUGAUCUUUCUUGUAACAAACGGACAGGUGAGAUUCCUACUCAAAUUGGAUAUCUUACAAGGAUUCAUGCGCUAAAUCUAUCUCAUAACAAUUUGACGGGCACAAUUCCGACAACAUUUUCAAACCUGAAGCAAAUCGAAAGCUUGGACCUCUCCUACAACCUACUGCAUGGGAAAAUCCCUUCUCAGCUCACUGUGCUAAAUACAUUGGCGGUCUUCAGAGUAGCAUACAAUAACUUAUCAGGCAAAAUUCCAGAUAGAGUUGCACAAUUUUCAACUUUUGAGGAAGAUAGCUAUGAGGGGAAUCCUUUUCUUUGUGGAUGGCCACUGUCCAAAAGUUGCAAUGAUAAUGGAUUAUCAGCAGUGACACCAGAAGCUUACACUGAUAAUGAAGAAGGUGAUAGUUUAAUUGACAUGGACAGUUUCCUGAUUACUUUUACAGUAUCUUAUGGAAUUGUGAUAAUAGGAAUUAUUGGAGUGUUGUACGUAAACCCCUAUUGGCGGCGAAGAUGGUUUUACCUUGGUGAAGUGUGUACGACCUCUUGCUACUAUUUUGUAGCAGACAAUCUUGUUCCUAGAAGAUUCUAUGGUGGAUGGAUGUAAUUUCAUUACAUUACAACUUAUAUGUAAUUUUCAAAGAAUUUUCUUUUGCAUGCAUGGAAUAGCAACUCAAUAAAAGUAUUUGAUGCAAAUUGUCCAAGAACAACUUAGUAAUUUCAUUGCUACUAUUCGGUUGUAUAUAUACAGUUAAUGAAAGUUUUAACCAUUCGCAGUAGGAAUUUCUUUAGAUGGCGGCCAAAACUAACAGAUUUGGGGCUCUACUUCUACACAUCAUAACUGGCAAAAGGUCUCUCUUUUACACGAUCUGAAUGAAGAUUAACUUACGCCCUCUGGAGUGUGUGAAAGUUCUCUAUUAAACUUGACGGUUGAGAUUUCAGGUCCAGAUGAAAGUUAAAUGCAGGCGACGAGACUACACUUUAAGUAAACAGGGACAAACUUAAAAUUAAAAAAAUUAUAGUCCAGGGUGAGAGUAAUGGAGGAUAACUAGGACUUGGAAUAACUAUCAGAUUUGCAACUCUUGUUAUAUGCUAGUAAUCGAUUCAUUUCCUCCUCCAUUUCUGAUGGUAACCCAGCUCUAUACAAGAACAAUAAGAGAAGGUUCAUUUAAGAAAUUUCACAACCCACAUUUUUUUUUUUUUCCUUUUUGCCCUCUUCCUCACAAUAAACACACCUAACACACCAAGCCGUGCCCAAAAUAAUCCAAUUUUAUUCAUGUCAUGGAUCCAAAAACUAUCCCAGCUCACUUUGUUUAACCAGCAUAACUAAAUUGUGGGUAUAAAUGAACACUUUCGAAGCCUGUAACUUAUAAUAAGCUCAAACCCAAAAAUGACAUUUAAAUCCUGCAAGUGUUUUUCAUCAUAAAAAAUACUGAUUUGAGUUGAAACACUAUACAAACUGGGUUUUAUACACUUGCAGAAAGCUACACGGUAGACAAAAUCUAGCAGCUACAUAAUGGUAGCACUUUCAGCUGGUUAUGAAUGGUGUGCAUUCAGCAGUGCUCGAUAGACCAUGUCUAUGAAUUGAUUGUCCUAUUACAUAUAAAAGCUGGUCAGAUAUACAAGGAAAAAAAUAAUAAUUGAAAAUGCAUCACCAAAAAUAAGUGUCUCGCAUUAGUGUUUGCACUCUAAGCAUGGCAAAGUGGUGCGGGUUCAUGAUUUUGAAGACUGGGAUAAGUGAAAAAUAGUUCAAUCCACUGAUGAAUAUAAAUUUAUUUACAUGUCAAUUUAGAUAUCAUAAAAAAGUAAACAGUAAUUCACAGUCACUUAAAAGAGUUGAUAAAAUGUGUGCCAUGAAUGCAUUUUAGUACAUAAGAAAUCCAAAGAGUAUUUCUGACAAUACAAAUAUGCUAGCUUUAAAUCUGCUGUCAAUAUGCAAUUAAGAAGAUUAUACCAGCUGCAUGAUAAAGUUCCCCUAAUCUUAAUAGCAGUAAACAUGAACAUGUCAGAUGCAAUUAUAGCUUCGAGCAUUUGCAUAACCAGAAAUCCUAACCUGAACAAGCACCAGAAGUGUCUCUCGAACUUUCUCCUUGCUGAUAAAUGGUCUGCUGUUUGAAGUAAGAGCAGGAGUAAGAGAUGGUGGAGGGGUUGGUGGUGGAAAAGGUUGAAGCACUGGGCCACCAUAUGGGCGUUGCAGACUCAGGGGAGGAUUAAGUGGCGGAGCUGUUGGUGUAGAUGAAGAGACAAGCUGCAUCAUCCGUGCAUAGGAGGAUGGAGGAGGAACAAAGAAUAAGGAAGGCUUUACAAGAUUAGGCGUCCAGUUGCCAGAUUCAGAGGUGUCAACGGGUGAUAUUAAAGGGGUAGGUGCUGAUAGAGGUGGAGAUGGUAUUUGCAAGGUUGGGAGAAGCAACACUGGCGGGAUGAGAAGGUAAAGAAAUAGUUGUAUUGGACUGGUAAGGUUGUGCAGAGAUUGCUGCAUUAGAAGUAUUCCCCACAGUCAAAGCUGUCUGCAAUGAUAAGGACAGAUGUCAUAUACAAGGACUUCAUAGAAGUUGAACCUCACACAAAAAUGAAGUGAUAACAUAUGAAAAUAGUAUAUGACUUGCUGCAUUUUUGUGGUAAUGUUGCAUACUUAUGUAGAAACAUAUUAUUUCAAAGAAAACAUACACUGAAGAAGUUCACAAAAGCAGGAUCUUCAGGAACAUCAGCAGCAUUUGAGGGAAUUGGCUCUAGAGGACCAUCCAUAACUUCCAUAGUUGGAACAGCUUCCAGUUCCUCAAGUUCUAGAUUUCAGUUUUAUCUUCUAUUUGAUGUUUUAUAAUUUCGUUGCAAAUGGAUUAGAAUAGAAAACUCCAAAAGUUCCAAGUAGCUACCAAUGUUUUCCAACAGGGUCUUGAUGGUCUAAUCAGUUUGUUUCGAAGACCCCCAUCUCGUAAGGUAAAAACAGCUUGAUGGGGUGGCACGAUGGUGCACCAGUCCUGUGUAACUUUUUCAGAGAAGAUUUUCACUCGUAACCUAGGUGGAAGUCUCCCAGGAGAAGUUGGCAAAUGACAACUACGAAGGUGUUAUGGUUUAGCUUGUUGUGCCAAAAAUAGAAAAUCUAGGAUGCGAAAAAAUUUUGUUGAGAUUCAUUUUUCAUCCUGAUGUUACAGCUGGCUUUUUUUUUUUUUUUUUUGGCAGAUAAUAAUGCUUAUGUGAUUUCUGAACUUGGUGAUUCUAGCGGAUAGAGGCACUAAGCCAAGAGAAAUGUCUGAAUUAUCGAAACAAGAUGGAAUUAUUUUUUGUUUUUCGCGGCAGACGAUCUAUGAGCGGACUUUCUUACAACACAAGAUGUGUCCACCGGCUUGUAUUUAGUCUCGUAAUGCAUUAUAGCACUGAUGUUUGCCCCGGGUCAAACCCUGAAACCUCACCAAAAACGACGCAUUUUGUGAAUUUUUUUUGUUUUAAUUUUUAACCAAUACGACGUUGUUUUGCUUCAAGCUUCCCCACGAAUGGCUUUUCCUUCCUCUUCAUUUCACCACUCAACGAAUGGCUUUCUCUUCCUCUUCAUUUCACCACUCAACCUCAACGAUAGAACCGACCCGCAAAACCCUUAAACUGUUAUUCUUUCCUUCAAUCCGAUAGGAUUUGGUUUCGAUUAAGCAAAAGCAAAAGCUUGAACAAGGUAAGGUACUGUCUUCCCAGAAAAUGAAUUGUAUAUCAGUACCAAAUCCUCUAAAGACCCUUUCUCACACAAAUCCUCUGGAAUUUCACCAGAAAAUUGAUUGUACGAGAGGUCUGAUGUUUGUAAAGGAGAGUACUUCCCAAGUUCGCUCGGCAGCCCACCUCUGAGUUUGUUGUUAAACAAUUUGAGUUCAUACAAGUUCUUAGACCGAGCUAUACUCUCUGGCAAAGUACCCUCGAGUCUGUUCUCAUACAAGUUGAGUGACUCGAGCUGUAGCUCACACAACUCGUUCGGAAUCAUCCCAGUCAGCUGAUUCAUCGACGCGACUUUGCCGUAAGGUAACGUACUGUCUUCUUUGGCAGCAGAUUAUUUUCAAAGCUUGAAUUUUGCUUGAAUUUUGUUGUUUUAAUUUGUGAAGCCAUUGCCGUUGCUGUUAAAUUGGGUUAAUAUAAUGGGUACUAAGUUUAUGCUGCGAUGUUUUUUGCUUGAAUCCUGAGCUGUUUCAAUUUGAUUCUUGAGUUGUGAGUUGUGGAUUACGAAUGACAAUUUCAGGUGCGGAUUGUGGAUUGCGAAUGGAAAUUUCAGGCUGUGGCUGGAGCUGGAUCGAAGAAGGAAAGGGGAAAUAUUUGGCUGUGGCUGGAGAUGGUGGCUGGAGCUCGAUCGACGAAGGAAAGGGGAAAUAUUUGGCUGUGGUUGGAGCUCGUGGCUGGAGCUCGAUCGACGAAGGAAAUGAAAGAGAAAAUAUUUGGUUGUGGCUGGAUCUCGAUCAACGAAGGAAAGGCAAGGGAAAAUACUUGGGUGGAGCUCCAUCAACAAAGAAUAAGGGAAAUAUUUGGCAAGCAAAAAUGGGAUUGUUUUUGCCUUUAAUGAAACGCCGCGUUUAAAUUUCGGGGUUUGACUCGGGAUUUGACCCGGGGUAAGUAGCAUUUUCCUUCCAUAUAUAUAUGCACGCGCACACAGUUUGAGAAGAAUCAGACCAUUAAUUAGAGAAAAAUGAUGCAAUUUUACCUUCCCAUUCAUGUAUGCCAAGGCUUUUUGGGCUUCCUCUUCUGUACUGAAAGUCACAUACCCGUAACCUUUUGAUCUAUUCUUACCUUUAUCCAUUAUUAUUGUAGCUGCAAAAAGAAAAGAACCGGAUAUUACAAAAUAGUGAAAGGGAAGAGGGGUUGAGACUUAAAACAGAAAUAGACCAAACCCUCAGUGACUUGGCCAAAUUGUGAAAAAGCAUCAGCUAACAUCUCUUUAGUGGUCGAGAAAGAUACGCCUGCAAAGAAUGCCAGUUAAUUUUAUCAUAAUUAGAUGGUAAGAUUGCAAAUUCUGCAGCCAAAGGUGGUACGGAACUGAAUGAAGGAAAUCAAAUAUGAAUAUGUUUUCAAUCUUAAAAUAUUAAGAGUAGCAUAAGUAACUUGUGAAACAGUUAUAAGUUCAAGGGAAUUAGAUGAUGGCAUGGUUGAAUUUUAUAAAUAUUUGAUAUUUUGGACCGAACAGGGCAAACAGAUGGAUCCAGAUAAUCAAGAAAAACAUCAAUUCCAUGCAGCCAAAUUAGUGUGGGCAAUGCAAUUGAGCAACACUAUAAAAUUAUUCAAAGAAAUCUCUAGGUCAGUAUCCAAAUAUAUGGCUCCGUCCGUUCCACCACCACAACCAAAAAAAUCAGAUCCCCCCAUUUGGAUUCGAUUGAUUAAUUUGAGCAUAAAAAAUCGGGUUUUAAACUUCCCUAAGCAAAAUUUAUAUUCCACAGAAUCAGUUCCUUUAACAUGAUGCAUUACAUAAUAUUUUGUUUGCAAAAUAAAGAAGAAAGAUGACAUAAUAGAAACACUCACAGAGAGAGAAUACCUUUGACGAAAAGCUUAGAAGUGAAUCCUCUGUAAAAUACGAGUUGAGCUGCUGAAUUUUUCGAGUUUGAAUGAGAGACUGCGGCAAUUCUGAAAAUGUUUUUUUCUCAUUAGCGCCGCCAUUUUUGUAAUAGAGGGUAAAGAAAUAAGUAACAAAGUAAGAGGUGAGCAGAAGCGGCCCAAUUUAGUUAUAUGCCAUGCAUGCGAUCAAAAUUGAAUGGUUAAAUGGCAGCCACUAUGUUACAUCUUGUGUAAGUAACAAACCGCCUACAUGGAUCGUUGGAUUUGGGAAUAUGAAAUCCAAUGGAUAAUAUUGAAUUUAACGAAAAAUAGAUUACAGGUUGCAUUAGUCCAAGUUUAUUUCAAACAAACCAGCUGAUGAAAUAGCCGCUAAUCGAAUUUAAAAGGGAAAAAAAAUCAAAUUAUAGGUUAUAGAUCUUAUUUCCAUCUUAAAUCUAUGUCUUUCAUGGUGACUCAAUGUGUAUACUAAUUUAUAAUUUGGAUCUAUAUUAGAGGCUUAGAGCCAAUGCUUCCCUAAAUAACUAAGAAAAUUUUCUUUUCAUUGAUUAAAUAUUUAUUUCCAAUAUCUUGUAUAUGUAGGAUUUGAAAAGAGGGAAAAUAGUAGGGAUGAUGAUGAGAGAAGAUAAAGAUGUCGAUUCUCAAAUCUAAUAUUAAUGCUAUACUUAUAUUCCUAUAGUAAAUAAAUUAUCCAAGGUUCGUGGUUAAUGAUACGUUGCGAAAUUUUAACUGUCUAAUAUGGCUUUUCAUAAAGCUUAGAGAAAAGUAGGGCUUUUACAAAAAAAAAAAUUUAAUUAGAAUUGUCAAUGAUAAAUUUUAAAAAGUACUUUAAUAAAUAAGCUUUUAAAAUUAUAUAUAUUAUGAAAGAAAUGAAAUAAGAUUAUAUAAUAAAUUAAGAGUAUCUUAGAUAAUUGAACUUUAAAAAUAAAACUUGCUAAGAGGUUUAAAAUUUGAGUUUUUAAUAGUGGAUACAAAAUAGUUUAUUUAAUUCUCAAAAGUACUAUUCAAAAUACAACCAUGUAACACAAAAAUUUUUAAUAAGUUUUUUGGACUAGUUAAGUACUUUUUUUGAAAAAAAAUAUAUUUUUUUCAUUGAGUAAAUAAUACUAAACAUGCACUAAAGUGUUAGGACCAGAAGUUGUACAAAUAAAACCAUGAAAUUAUAUGUUGUUGGAUGGAUAUUUUUCAAAUUUGCUGUAGUUUUUUUUUUCUUUUCUUCUGGGAAAUUGAAAUGAUGGCUACAACUUAAAUUAUGAAUGGAGUGAUCGGAGAAUAUUGAAACCCAUUUAAUUUGGAUCGUGCAUUGAGGGACGAAAGGAUAAAAAAUUUAAUUUUGAAAUUGUUGUUGAGUACGGUACAAUGACUUACCGUUGACAGCUUUUGCAACCGGAUUACAAUCGGUUAGUUCAAUAAUUUUAUAUCCCUAUUUAACCGCCACGUGCUGCUGUUACAUGGGUCAAUUAGUCAUGUCAUUACUAUUACUUACAGCUGCUGUAACAUAACCGGACCCAAAUGGUUAAAUUCUGUUGUUUCCAAUAAUUUUAUGCUGUAUCUUCUUUAAUAAUAAAGAAAACUUGCAUUCAAAUUAAAAUUAGGGUAAUGCCUGAUUUUAUAAAUAGAUUGCAAUGUAAUUUUGAAAAAUAAAACAAUAAUUUACGAAAUGCUUAUAACAUAAUUUUAAUUUUUUUCAAAAAGGAAAAACAACAAAAGUAAAAAAUGGAGAAUGAGGGCUACAAACUUUGUAUCUUAAACGGCCAUUAGAUUAUUUGUAAAUGAAAGCAACGGUCAGGAUUAUGGAAACAUGUAAGUAUAAGGACUACGAGUUUUUUUUUGUUACAUUAAUAUAUUACAAUUAAAAUUCUAUUGGUAUUUACAAUCAGAAUUUUAUCUGAAUAUCUUUGAUAAUUCUAAACUAGUACAGCCCAAAUUCUUAUUCUCAUAUAAUAUCAAAGAGAGAUAUAUAUUCUUCCCCUCUAUUAAUAAAGAGACAUUUUUACUUCCUUUUAAUAGUUAGGACUCAGAACUCAUACACGCUAGUUUGAGAGUGUGGGGUGUGACAAUGAGCCAAGAGACCUUGACAAGUACAAAAAAGUGGUAGAAAUUAAUUCAAACCGCUACACACGCUAUUGCAACCAAAUUGAGGGCCCAUUUUUGUUUAUUUGGUUGAAAAAUAGUUUGCAUAAUUAAUUCAAACCGCCACACACGCUAUUGCAACCAAAUUGAGGGCCAGUUUUUGUUUAUUUCGUUGAAAAGUAGUUUGCACAAUUAAUUCAAACCGCUACACACGCUAUUGCAUCUUUUGAAAAAGAAAAACGGAAUAGUUUUCCAAAAUUAAUUCCGAGAAGAAGAUUAACUAAUAAUGAUGUUAGAAAUUUUAAUAUUUGAGUCUUAAUAUUAUGUAUCACUCAUUUAUUAAAUAAUAGAUUUCAUAAUUUGUAAAAUUACUUAACCACUUGAUAAAUGUUAUAUUUGUUGGGACUAAAUUGGGACUUAAAUGUUGGAAUAUCUAGUAUUGCAUUAAAAAAUUAAUAAAAACUUAACAAUUUAUCUUCACUUGACUAAUUGUUUUUACAUCACAACUAACCUUAAUUAUUUUGAAGUUACAGUAUUAUUAAAUUGUCCUAACUGGUUAUCAAAAGUUGAAAGCAUGUUAAAAUAAAAAAAAUUACCAAGAAACAUGUGCUUAAACAGAGGUUGAGGCUAUGAACAAUUAAGAAGAAACUCUUAAUUUGGUCCCAAUUAGUAUAGUAAUCAUCUAUUGAGCGGUAAAAUAUUAAUUUUAAUAGUGAUGAAAUCCAAUAUAUAAUAGAUUACUAACACACAUAAAUUAAAACUAAACUGUCAGAAAUCAUAACAUUACUCUACUCUUCAGUGGAGUUCUCUUAAACAGAUUAUGUGAGAUUGCCUACAUAAAAAAUAUGUUAAGACUGCUUGUUGAAAGCAAUAUUCGCUUUUCCAUUAUAUCCAUAACUUUGAAUUGAUAAAGUUGUAUUCAACAGCUCUUGAAAAGACUAAUUUAUUUAAACUAGUCACAGAAAUAAGAGAGAAAGGGGGCUAUUUCUUGACUCAAAGUCAAUUAUAAUUAUCAAAACUUGAGCGGACAUCGCAUGCCUAACUUCCACGCACCCUAAAACGGUUUGAUUUGCUUUCACGCGUUCAUGAAUUUCCAUGAAAGAGCCUGCCUUUCGUCUCUUUCGGGACAGUGACUACAAUUAUGGAAAAAAUUAUAAUUCUCGUUAGAUUGUAACCAAAUUAUUAUCCCUAAUUUUUUUAAGUUAAAUAAAAUAAAAUUUAUGCUUAAGUAUAAACAAUAAUUUGGACAUUCUUGUUAUUUGUCCUUCUAAGAUAGACAGCAACCUAAUUAUUUAUUUGUUUGCCUGUUUUUGUUUUUUUAAAUAACAGUUUAUUAGCAUAAAUAUUUACCUGUGAAGUCGAGGAGGAGAAAAUGUUAGAAAAAAUAAAAAGAAAAAAAAUUAAGGGAGAUAGAAUCAGAUUUUCUUUUUUGAGCAAAGAACAUACGUAAAAAGAUAUUAAAUCUAUUAAGUCUAAUUGUCUAUAACCGUAAAUUGCAUAACGAAUAAAUUAUCAGCGUAAAAUAAAUUUUAUUAGAUUCUGGUUAUUUUCUAGAGUACGAAUUGUCUCAUCGUAGAACAAACACCGGAAAAUAUAACCUUUGCGGAGGUCUUUUGCUGUGUCGUUAUAAAAAGGUUAUUAGUAAUUUAAUGCACCAAUAUUGUAUAUUCCACCUUAUCAAUGUCUCUGGUUGCGAAAGAUUGUUAAAAGCAACGUGUUCUUUCUUUGUCUUAUGUAAUUUUUUCGUUGUCCAUGAGUUUUAAUUGAAAUACUUGGCUUCCAGUUAUUUUGUAAACCUGUCGAAAACUACCACAGUGGAUAAAGAUUAACCAGCUCAUUCUUUACAAUUGACUAUCGAUUUUUUAUUUUUUUAUUUUUAUUUAAAAUUGCUGGUUUGUUGCUUAAAAUUUUCAAUAAUAAUUUCACUUAUUUAGUAAUUAGAGAGAGAUAGAGAGGAUUGGCGGCCAAUGUUUCGCGAUUUGGGGUCAAUUCAAAGUCAACUAACGUGUAAAACACGUGUAUGCAUAGAAAACGCUUAGAUUAUUUGUGUUCCAAGUGCAAGAAAUUAAGAAAAGAAAAAUUGAUUUCCUUUCAUGAACUUCCAAGAAAGAAAGAAGACCCUUUACCUUCUUCGUGACAACAAAUGAAUGAAUGAUGUUGAUAUGACAAAUACAAGCGCUAUUGCAGGGAACAGCAUAAGACCGAGACUUGAUAAAGGGUUUGUUAAAUUACAUGUUAUUUUCUUUUGACUUGAAUGAUGUUGAAAUAAAAUAAAAUUGUAAUCAGGAUGAUGUGUAGAAUAGUGAAAUAAAUAAAAAGAGAAGAGAAAUUCUUUGACCAAUAUUCAAGAACUCAUCCAAGGUGAUCGUCCAAGUCUAGAGGUUCGGUGUGAUUAGCAUUUAUUUUUAAUUUUUUGGCUAACAUCAUAUAUAGUCACUUGUCGUGUGAUGUAGGGCAAGUUUAGAAAUCCUUUUAUUUUAACUUCCGUAUUCUUAUUAUUUAAUUAGUUAUAGGGUUUUUAAGUAUUUGAGUAUUGAUCACAUGUCUGCUAAUCUAAAAAUAUUUUUUUACGAUCGAGUACAAAUAACAAACUAGAAUUUUAACAGCCUUUUAUACUAAACCCUAAAAAUACAUGAAUUUAUCAAAAUAAGUAAAUUAAUUUAAAUUGGUAUGGCAUAAUAGAAGUUUUACCUGCCGAAACAAAUUAAAAAAAUAUUACACUUAAAUCAAAUAUUGACAAAAAUAGAUAACAAUCUAAUGAGAAUCUUAACUAGACAUUUUUACUUCUAUCCAAUUUAACUGGAACGAGAAUUAAGUCCUUUCAAUAGUUAAGACUCAUAACUCAUACAUGCUAGUUUGAGAGUGUGGGGUGUGACAAUGGGUCAAAAGACCAUUGACAAGUACAAAAGAGUGAUUGCAAUUAAUUCAAACCGCUACACACGCUAUAUUGAGGGCCCAUUUUUGUUUAUUUCGUUGAAAAGUAGUUUUCACAAUUAAUUCAAACCGCUACACACGCUAUUGCGUCUUUUAAAAAAGAAAAAUGGAGUAGUUUUCCAAAAUUAAUUCAGAGAAGAAGAUUUACUAAUAAUGAUGUUAGAAAUCUUAAUAUUUGAAUCUUAAUAUUAUGUAUCACUCAUUUAUUAAAUAAUAGAUUUCAUAGUUUGUAAAUUUACUUAACCACUUGAUAAAUGUUAUAUUUGUUGGGACUAAAUUGGGACUUCAAUGUUGGAAUAUCUAGUAUUGCAUAAAAAAUAAAAAAAACUUAAAAAUUUAUCUUCGCAUGACUAAUUGUUUUUACAUCACAACUAACCUUAGUUAUUUUUUAAAGUUAUAGUAUUAUUAAAUUGCCCUAACUGGUUAUCAAAAGAUGAAAGCAUGUUAAAAUAAGAAAUUACUAAGAAACAUGUGCUUAAACAGAGGUUAAGGCUACGAACAAUUAAGAAGAAACAACUUACAAUCAAAGGUUAAGAUUAUGAACAAAUUAAGGAAGGUAGAUAAAGGGACGGAAUCAUUGUCUGAAUUGCCGGUGACAAGAAUGCUUGUGUUGUGAAAAGAAACCUGAUGGUUUGUAAAUGGGUUGAAUUUUUUAUUCGCUCGCUCCAACUAACUUACUAAUGCCAAAUUUAUUACUUUGCACAAUAGUGUUUAGGAUCCUCAAGAUCAACUCUUAAUUUGGUCCCAAUUAGUGUAGAAAUCAUCUAUUGAGCAAUAGAAUAAGAAUUUUUCUAGUCAUGAAAUUUAAUAUAUAAUAUAUCCUUGACACACAUCGAUUAGAACUUAACUGUUAGAAUUCAUAACAUUACUCUACUCUCAAGGGGAGUUCUCUUAACAUAUUAUGUUAAGUUGCCUACAUUCAAAAUAUGUUAGACUGCUCUUUGAAAGCAAUAUUCCCUUUUCCAUAACUUUGAAUUGGUCCAAUAGCUCUUGAAAAGCACAUAAUAAUCAUUAUAAAUUUAAUCAAAGACUAAGCAGGUCUUCUUUGAAUUUGAUCACUGGCAUUUCAGUUAAGUUUGUCGUUUACUUAAAUUUUUCUUGCUUUCAAUUUCCACUGUUGUUUUUUUUCUAAAAUAAUUUAUUUAAACUAGUCAUAGAAAUAAGAGAGAAAGGGCGCCAUUUCUUGACUCAAAGUCAAUUAUAAUUAUCAAAACUUGAGCGGACAUUGCAUGCCUAAAUUCCACGCACCCUAAAACGGUUUGAUUUGCUUUCACGCGUUCAUGAUUUUCCAUGAAAGAGAGUGCCUCUCGUCUCUUUCCGGACAGUGACUGCAAUUAUGUUAACGUGACGAAUACAAAACGUUAUUACAUACAAGAAUAAGUUUUUGGACCCGAGACUUGAGGGAGGUUCUAUCUAAUUCUAAAGAUUGUAACCAAAUCAUUAUCCCCAAAUUUUUUCAGUUAAAUAAAAUAAAAUUUAUGCUUAAGUAUAAAUAAUUUUUUAAAGUUAAAUAUAAAAUAAAAAAAUUCAUGAACUUCCUAGAAAGAAAGAAGACCCUUCACCUUCUUCGUGACAACAAAUGAUGUUGAUAUGACAAAUACAUGCGCUAUUACAGGUAACAGCAUAAGACCAAGACUUGAUAAAUAUUAAAUAUAUAAAAUAAGUGGAGCAAACGAAUAGAAUAAUAGAUUUUUAUAAUAUUCUUCAUAAAAAUCCAAGUUUUGAGCUGGCCCAUAAGCUUAUCUAGUGAAGUCUGGGUAUCCGCGUUGCCCAAGGUUCCGUUUGAAUCCAGGCUGUGCAGAUGUUUAUGACAUCCCAUAUGGACGGAGAGGAAAUAUUUUCAGUUGACUUAAUUAAAUAAAAAAAAAGAAAUGAAGAAAAACGAAUACAAGACUUGAAAAAGCUGGGAGUAUCAUCAGUUCAAUUGGUUAUAAAUAGCAUAGAGCCAUCCUCUCGUUGUUGCAGAACUGAAGCAAAGAGAGACAGAAAGAGUGUGUGUAGGUGAUUAUAAUUAAGAAGAUAUAAUGUGUGGUUCAAAAAGAGUGUGGUUGAGUGAGUUAAUUUUCAUAUUAUUUGUAGUAAAAGGGUGGUGGAGUGAGGGAUGUUUGCAGCAAGAGAAGUCUGCUCUCCUCCAACUUAGACAUUUCUUCAAUGAUGAUCACCGUCUUCGAAAAGGGGCAGACGCAGGAGAUGAUGAGAAUUAUUCAGAUUGUUGUCAGUGGGAAGGGGUUGAGUGCAACAACACCACUGGCAGAGUGAUUAAAUUAGAUCUAGCAUUUCGAAAAUGGGAAUCAGCAGAGUGGUAUAUGAAUGCCUCUCUGUUUACUCCUUUUCAACAAUUAGAGUCUCUUGAUCUAAUUGGGAACAAUAUAGUCGGUUGUGUUGAAAAUGAAGGUCCUUAAUUUACUUUAUUUUAAUUCUUCCUGUAAAUUUCUUACAUUUAUCUGAUCCCUUUUGGCUUUUGUUUAAUUUGUACGUGAUACAAUAAAAUUAUUUUUUAUUUUUUGGCAGGUCUAGAUAGGUUAUCAAGGUUGAACAACUUGAAGUUUCUUUUUUUAGAUGAUAACGACUUCAACAACAGCAUCUUUUCAUCUCUAGGUGGUCUUUCAUCACUCAGAGACUUAUCAUUGGCUGGUAAUGGAUUGAAUGGAAGUAUUGAUAUUAAAGGUAAGCAAGCUUCAUCCCUUCUCCCGUGUCCCAUUUUUCAGAUUAGCCAUAUUCUUUUCACUGAGAUUUAACAUAAAAAAAAAAGGAGAAAAUAAGUUAUUUAAUUAACUCUAUUUUAAGUGUUGGCAUAAAUACAGGACUCGAUUCCUUGAGUAACUUGGAGAUACUGGACAUGAGCAACAAUGCAAUCGACAAUCUAGUGGUUCCUAAAGGUAUACAAAAUGUUCAAAUAUUAAUAAUUUGGAGGACAAUUUAAUUGAUUUGAUAAGGGAAUGUCCAAUGACACUUACCCAAAAUAAUUUAAUCCGAAAUUGUAUCUCAAAUAGAUUACAGAGGUUUUGAGGAAGUUGAAUACCCUUGAUUUGGGGGGGGGGGGGGGGAGGGAAAUUGCAGUGAUAUAUGGAAGCAAGGUGUUGCAAUCAAUAAAGAAAUUCAUUGGUCAAUGUUCAAGGACUCAUCCAAAGUAAUCGUUAAAGUCUAGAGGUCUGCUCUCCACCAACUCAAACAUUUCUUCAAUGAUGAUCAACGUCUUCAAAACUAGGUAGACGCGGGAGAUGAUGAGAAUAAUUUAGAUGUUGUCAGUGGGAAGGGGUUGAGUGCAACAACACCACUGGCAGAGUGAUUAAAUUAGAUCUAGCAUUUCGAAAAUGGGAAUCAACAGAGUGGUAUAUGAAUGCCUCUCUGUUUACUCCCUUUCAACAAUUAGAGUCUCUUGAUCUAAGUUGGAACAACAUAGCCGGUUGUGUUCAAAAUGAAGGUCCUUAAUUUACUCUAUUUUAGUUCUUCCUCGUAAUUUCUUACAUUUAUCUGAUCCCUUUUGGCUUUUGUUUAAUUUGUACGUAAUACAAUAAAAAUUUUUUUUAGUUUUUAUUUUUUAUUUUUUAUUUUUUGGCAGGUCUAGAGAGGCUAUCAAGGUUGAACAACUUGAAGUUUCUUUAUUUAGACAAUAACCACUUCAACAACAGCAUCUUUUCAUCUCUAGGUGGUCUUUCAUCACUCAUACACUUAUCAUUGGUUGGUAAUCGAUUGAAUGGAAGUAUUGAUAUUAAAGGUAAGCAAGCUUCAUCCCUUCUCCCGUGUCCCAUCUUUGUGGAUUUUAUUUCAUCGACCAGCUGGAAGAAUUGAUACGAGAUCUAGCUAGACUCUUGCUAGUUUAAGCUUCAAGGCUUUGAAUAUUAUAAAAAUAGGUUUAAGGAAUUAUCAUUAUAUGCAAUUUUCUAUGCUUCUCAUAAUCAGACACAAUUCAAUCUAAUUAUUUCGUAUGUCCUGUCUUCAAAAGUAAAGAAUUGUACACUAAACGGAAAUCGACAUUGUAGCUUUUUAAUUUUUCUAAUGCUCUUUCUUUGUUAACGAGUUUAUAUCCUGAGAGUGGAUUGGAUUCAAAAAAAAAAAAGUUUUGAUGUUCAAGGUAAGCCAUAAUAACAUGCAUCUUAUUUAUCUGCCUAUAUCUAAAUUUGUGCACUGAAUUUAGUAUUUUGGUUAGUGUGAAGGGAUCAGAUAUUGACUUCCAUAAACCAACUUGUAUUUACUUAAUUAAUUAAGUAAAUUUUUUGAAACAAGAAUAAGGUAUAGCAGGUUGGAUAUGUAUUUAUUUAGUUUAAAUAACUUUUCCAUCCAUCCAAAACCUUUAAGCAUGUAGUUGAAGAGGGGUGGCAAUUCAAGUUGGAUAUGUAUUUAUUUAGUUUAAUUGGAUCUGAUAUUAUAUAUUCUAAACCUUUUGAAUAUGGAUAUGGAUGUUUUUAAAAUAGUCAAUUGGAUACUGGAUGAAUAUGGAUAUUAGAUAUUUAAUUCAUUUAUGUUAAAAAAUAAAGUAAGAAGUUAUAUAUAUUUACCAUGAUAUCCAUUUAUUGAAUGCCUUUUUUUUUUAUAUUUUCAAAUUAGCAAACCAUAGUUUAUCUCUUUUAGUUUCACACACUAGCCGUUCGUUCCUCGUUGGCCACUGAUAUCGUCGACCGUCGCUUGUUUGAUAUAUAUUAGUUAUUCAUGAUUUUGCUCUCUUCUUUUGUGAUACAGUUGCUUCUUCUUCUUUUAAUUUAGGAUAUCUGUGUCUCUAUAUUUCUCUAUAUGUAUCAAUUACACGCCGUUGUCAGCCAAAUAUACCUACUUAAAACCACUCAAUCAGGCCCUUGACAACUGUUUUUUACGUUUUCCUGGUUAGCCGUAUACUUUUUUGCUUAUUAAUAAAAUUAUUUUGCACCGAGAUUUAAAAUAAAAAAACGGAGAAAAUAAGUUAUUUAAUUAACCCUGCUUUAAGUGUUGGCAUAAAUGCAGGACUGAAUUCCUUGAGUAACUUGGAGGAGCUGGACAUGAGCGCCAAUGCAAUCGACAAUCUAGUGGUCCUAAAGGUAUACAAAAUGUUCAAAUAUUAAUAAUUUGGAGGAUAGUUUAAUUGAUUUGAUUAGGGAAUGCCCAAUGACACUUACCCAAAAUAAUUUAAUCCGAAAUUGUAUCCCAAACAGAUUUCAGAGGUUUGAGGAAGUUGAAUACCCUUCUUUUACGGGGAAGCAGAAUUCGAAUGAUAGAUGGAAGCAAGGUGUUGCAAUCAAUAGGAUCACUACCAUCCCUCAAAACGCUUUACCUUUUCUUUAUUAAUUUUAAGGGAACAGUAGUUAAUCAGGGUGAGUAAAUUUUUUUAUGUCGAAAAUAAUUGAAUUAAUAUAUAUAGCUAAAAUUUAUUGUUUCUACUUCUUUCUAAAUAGAAUUGCACAAUUUCACCAACUUGGAAGAAUUGAUAUUGGUCGAGUGUGAUCUCCAUGUAAGCCAGCUUCUGCGAAGCAUCGCAUCAUUCACUUCGUUAAAGUAUUUGUCAAUGCAAGAUAGUGUACUCAAGGGUGCCCUGCAUGGUCAAGGUAAAUUACGGGUAUCUGAAGCUUUUAUGAUAUUAAUUCGAUAAUAAUUCUUUCUUUUCAAGUUAAUUUUCUCCCGUAAAAUAAUAUUUUUUUCUUUUAAAUUUUAUACAUUUUCACUGUCCAAUAGUUCUACCUUCUCUAAAUUGUAGGAUUCUUGAUUAAGGUUAAUGAAAUUUUAGUUCUGUUAUGUUAAGAAUAUUUCGAUCGCUUAGAAGAGUAAAGAAAAAUAAGUAAAUUAACCCAAAAAAAGAAAAGAACAGGACCGGAUUAUCCUUAUUCCCUUGCAUUAUGUGAUCAAUAUCAAAAUUAUAACCAUUUCUUGUUUAUUGCUUGUAGAUUUUCGUAAAUUCAACAAUUUGGAACAUCUGUACAUGGGUGAGGUGCAGGUUGACGUCAACACCAGUUUUCUUCAAAUUGUCGGCGAAUCGAUGCCUUCCCUUAAGUUUUUAUCACUGAAUGAUUCAAGUCUUAAUAAAAACACCAUUCUUGAUCAAGGUUAAUUAAUGAUUCUCUUUCUCCCUCUCGCGCAUCUUAACUAAAUUUAAUUGAGAAUAUCUAUAAUGCUAGCUAUUUAUAAACUUAAUGAAAGUUGAUGAGGAGCCAUUAUAAUGACUAAAACAACUGUAAAAUAGUGCGCUGUUGUAGUGUUGAUUGAACUAUUGGACUGUAAAACAACUGUAACAACACUAUAACGCUGCAUAAUUUUACAGUUAUUUUGUUGCCAUUACGUCAGAUUCCACUGUUAAACUAUCAGUACUCAAACUUAAUUUUUAAUAUGUACUUUAAAGAUUUUAUGCAAUUAUUUAAGUUUUAUGCAAUUAUAUUUUUCAGGACUUUGUCGGUUAGUGCAUCUGCAAGAGUUAUACAUCGGCCAUAACGAUUUGAGAGGUAGCUUGCCAUGGUGCUUGGCAAACAUGACAUCCCUUCAAGUGUUAGAUGCCUCAUCUAAUAAACUUACUGGAGACAUCUCCCCAGGCCUUUGUGAGUUGGUGCUUCUGAGAGAGUUAUACAUACAUAACAAUGAUUUAAGAGGUAGCUUGCCAUGGUGCUUGGCAAACAUGACAUCCCUUCAAGUGUUAAAUGCCUCUUCUAAUCAACUUACUAGAAACAUCUCCCUAGGCCUUUGUGAGUUGGUGCUUCUGAGAGAGUUAUCCAUUGAUAACAAUGAUUUAAGAGGUAUCUUGCCUCUGUGCUUGGCAAAUUUGACUUCCCUUCGAGUAUUAGAUGUCUCUUACAAUCAACUUACUGAAAACAUCUCCCCAGGCCUUUGUGAGUUGGUGCUUCUGAGAGAGUUAUCCAUUCAUAACAAUGAUUUAAGAGGUAGCUUGCCUUUGUGCUUGGCAAAUUUGACUUCCCUUCAAGUAUUAGAUGUCUCUUACAAUCAACUUACUGAAAAUAUCUCAUCUUCCCUCAUGCAUCUAAUAUCUAUGGAAAAGCUCAUACUUUCAAAUAAUCACUUCUUCCAAAUUCCUAUUUCACUCGAACCACUUUUCAAUCUCUCAAAACUCAAGACUUUUGAUGGUGAAAUAUGCGCAGAAACUGAGUCACAUUAUAAUUCUUUGACCCCAAAAUUCCAACUGACUUCUAUCUCACUGUCUGGUUACAUAGAUGGUGGCACAUUUCCCAAAUUCUUGUACCAUCAGCAUGACUUGAAGAAUGCUAAUCUCUCACACCUUAACUUGAGUGGAGAAUUUCCAAAUUGGUUGGUAGAAAACAAUACAAACUUAGAGACGCUUCUUCUUGCCAAUAACUCUCUUUUUGGAUCAUUUCGGAUGCCAAUUCAUUCCCACCAGAAAUUAGCAACAUUGCAUGUCUCCAACAAUUUCUUUCAAGGCCAUAUCCCAGUAGAAAUCGGAACAUAUCUGCCAGGCUUAAUGGAAUUAAACUUAUCUACAAAUGCUUUCAACGGUAGCAUUCCCUCUUCAUUUGCUGAUAUGAAAAUGUUGCAAAGCUUGGACAUAUCCCACAAUCAGUUGACGGGUGAAAUCCCUGAGCUCAUGGCCACGGGUUGCUUCUCAUUAGAAAUUCUUGCAUUGUCAAACAAUAGUUUGCAAGGCCAUAUAUUCUCUAAAAAAUUUAGCUUGACAAAUUUGAUGACGUUGCAGUUGGAUGGUAAUAAUUUCAGUGGAGAGAUCCCAGAAAGCUUAUCUAAGUGCCGUUGGUUAGGAGGAUUAUAUCUGAGUGAUAAUCAUCUCUCUGGUAAGAUUCCAAGAUGGUUGGGUAAUUUGUCAGCUUUAGAAGAUAUUAUAAUGCCUAAUAACAAUCUUGAAGGACCAAUUCCAAUCGAGUUUUGUCAGCUUGAUUCUCUGAAGAUUUUAGACCUUUCAAACAAUAGUAUUUUCGGAACCUUACCAUCUUGUUUUAGUCCAGCAUAUAUCGAACAAGUUCAUUUGUCAAAAAACAAGAUAGAAGGACGGUUGGAAAGUAUAAUCCAUUACAGCCCUUUUUUGGUGACAUUAGAUCUUAGUUAUAACCGCUUACACGGAAGUAUUCCAAAUCGGAUUAACAGACUACGUCAGUUAAACUACCUUCUUUUAGGUCAUAAUUAUAUUAAAGGCGAAAUACCAGUUCAAUUAUGCCAGUUGAAGGAAGUUCGGUUGAUUGAUCUUUCUCAUAAUAAUCUAUCUGGGCAUGUUCCUCCUUGCUUUGUUAACACUUCACUCAGUGAAGGUCAUCAUGAGGCAGUAGUCCCUGAACAUUUAGAUCUGCAAUCAAAUGAAUCUUCGAUGGGAAAGGAAGAAACUGUACAGUUCACAACAAAGAAAAUUUCCUACUAUUAUCAAGGAAGCAUUUUGAGGAGUAUGUGUGGGAUUGAUCUUUCUUGUAACAAACUGACAGGUGAGAUUCCUACUCAAAUUGGAUAUCUUACAAGGAUUCGUGCGCUAAAUCUAUCUCAUAACAAUUUGACGGGCACAAUCCCGACAACAUUUUCAAACCUGAAGCAAAUCGAAAGCUUGGACCUCUCCUACAACCUACUGCAUGGGAAAAUCCCUUCUCAGCUCACUGUGCUAACUACAUUGGCGGUCUUCAGAGUAGCAUACAAUAACUUAUCAGGAAAAACCCCAGAUAGAGUUGCACAAUUUUCAACAUUUGAGGAAGAUAGUUAUGAGGGGAAUCCUUUUCUUUGUGGAUGGCCACUGUCUAAAAGUUGCAAUGAUAGUGGAUUAUCAGCAGUGACACCAGAAGCUUACACUGAUAAUGAAGAAGGUGAUAGUUUAAUUGACAUGGACAGUUUCUUGAUCACUUUUACAGCAUCUUAUGGAAUUGUGAUAUUAGGAAUUAUUGGAGUUUUGUACAUAAACCCCUAUUGGCGACAAAGAUGGUUUUACCUUGUUGAAGUAUGUAUGAUCUCUUGCUACUAUUUUGUAGUAGAUAAUCUUAUUCCUAGAAGAUUCUGUCGUGGAUGGAUGUAAUUUCAUUUACUUUACAACUUAUAUGUAAUUUUUAAAGAAUUUUCUUUUGCUUGCAUGGAAUAGCAACUCAAUAAAAGUAUUUGAUGCAAAUUGUCCAAGAACAACUUAGUAAUUUCAUUGCUACUAUUCGGUUAUAUAUGUACAGUUAAUGAAAUUUUUAACCAUUCGCAGUAGGAAUUUCUUUAGAUGGCGGCCAAAACUAACAGAUUUGGGGCUCUACUUCUACACAUCAUAACAGGCAAAAGGUCUCUCUUUUACACGAUCUGAAUGAAGAUUAGCUUACGCCCUCUGGAGUGUGUGCAAGUUCUCUAUUAAACUUGACGGUUGAGAUUUCAGGUCCAGAUGAAAGUAAAAUGCAGGCGACGAGACUUCACUUUAAGUAAACUGGUACAAACUUAAAUUAAAAAAAAUUAUAGUCCAGUGUGAGAGUAAUGGGUAGCUCAACCUAUGGAGGAUAACUAGGACUUGGAAUAACUAUCAGAUUUGCAACUCUUGUUAUACGCUAGUGGGGAUUAUCACUUUCAGCAGCUACAUAAUGGUAUCACUUUCAGCUCGUCAUGAAUGGUGUGCAUUCAGCAGUGCUCGAUAGACCAUGUCUAUGAAUUGAUUGUCCUAUUACAUAUAAAAGCUGGUCAGAUAUACAAGGAAAAAAAUAAUAAUUGAAAAUGCAUCACAAAAAAUAAGUGUCUCGCAUUAGUGUUUGCACUCUAAGCAUGGCAAAGUGGUGUGGGGUUCAUGAUUUUGAAGACUGAUAAGUGAAAAAUAGUUCAAUCCACUGAUGACCAUAAAUUUAUUUACAUGUCAAUUUAGAUAUCAUCAAAAAGUAAACAGUAAUUCACAGUCACGUAAAAUAGUUGAUAAAAUGCGUGCCAUGAAUGCAUUUUUGUACAUAAGAAAUCCAAAGAGUAUUUCUGACAAUACAAAUAUGCUAGCUUUAAGUCUGCUGUCAAUAUGCAAUUAAGAAGAUUAUACCAGCUGCAUGAUAAAGUUCCCCUAAUCUUAAUAACAGUAAACAUGAACAUGUCAGAUGCAAUUAUAGCUUCGAGCAUUUGCAUAACCAGAAAUCCUAACCUGAACAAGCACCAGAAGUGUCUCUCGAACUUUCUCCUUGCUGAUAAAUGGUCUGCUGUUUGAAGAGCAGGAGUAAGAGAUGGUGGAGGGGUUGGUGGUGGAAAAGGUUGAAGCACUGGAGCACCAUAUGGGCGUUGCAGACUCAGGGGAGGAUUAAGUGGCGGAGCUGUUGGUGUAGAUGAAGAGACAAGCUGCAUCAUCCGUGCAUAGGACGAUGGAGGAGGAACAAAGAAUAAGGAAGGCUUUACAAGAUUAGGCGUCCAGUUGCCAGAUUCAGAGGUGUCAACGGGUGGUAUUAAAGGGGUAGGUGCUGAUAGAGGUGGAGAUGGUAUUUGCAAGGUCGGCACGAUAGGCGAAGCAACACUGGCGGGAUGAGAAGGUAAAGAAAUAGUUGUAUUGGACUGGUAAGGUUGUGCAGAGAUUGCUGCAUUAGAAGUAUUCCCCACAGUCAAAGCUGUCUGCAAUGAUAAGGACAGAUGUCAUAUACAAGGACUUCAUAGAAGUUGAACCUCACACAAAAAUGAAGUGAUAACAUAUGAAAAUAGUAUAUGACUUGCUGCAUUUUUGUGGUAAUGUUGCAUACUCAUGUAGAAACAUAUUAUUUCAAAGAAAACAUACACUGAAGAAGUUCACAAAAGCAGGAUCUUCAGGAACAUCAGCAGCAUUUGAGGGAGUUGACUCUAGAGGACCAUCCAUAACUGCCAUAGUUGGAACAGCUUCCAGUUCCUCAAACUCACUGCAGUUUAACAUAAAAGGAACUUGAUGACCAAUUUAAGUAAUAAUUAGAUGAUAUAAGAGGUUAGGGAAAAUGAUGAGUGGACCCUUAUGGAAGGUGAUUUCACCUUAGCUAAACACGAAAAUAAAAAGAAAUCAAAGCUGAAUCCUCGAGUGCAAUGCAAAGAAUUUUUUCUCUCUCUUCUCUAACUCCUCUUAUUCGAAAUUGCUCAUCAUUGUGCUGUUCUUCGAGAUAUCGCUAGAGUAGAGAAAGCUAUUCUACCGUUAAGUGCAGAGGAAAGAGAAGGGCAAGGGCCUGGUAUGAUGCUAUUCUAUAGGAAGUGAGAAGGUGAAGGGUUAAAAUAUUUUGCAAUUUGGAGGUGGUGUUUGUUAGUGUGUGUACUUCUGAAUUUAUUACCUCUUUAGGAUCCAUAGAAAUUGCCUCUUGUUCAGCAUGCACUGUGCCUACGAGUAAGGCGAGCUUGCAUGAUAUCUAUUGUCUAUUUACUUGGAUAUUCAAACAGGACUACCAGCAACCAAACACAAAUCCCCAAACAAAACACUCUUUCAAGUGCAAGGAAAGAGUAACUUGGGCAUAUUUAUGGUUCAAGCACUACCAUAACUAAGAAUGUGAUGCUGUCCACAAACACUAUAUCAGUGCCUUUUGAACUACAUCACAUGCUCGAAGACUUUUUUUUUAGUCAUACAUAAAUUAGCUAUAAAAUAAAGACCAUUAUACAACUAAAAAGAAAGAAAAAUUGUUUGCUACUACGUAUCAAAACUGGUAAUAGCAAUGUAAGAUGGCAGACUUCUUACUUAAACAGAUGAGAGGCUACAAAUAAAAAAUUUGUGCAAAUAAAAUAUAUGAUAAAGAGCGUAAUACUAUAUUGGGGGCUAAAAAUAAUAUACAACUUGUGAAAUAUAAAUUGAGCUACCAUUACCUUUUCGAUGUGGCAACUUUCGACUUUUGAGGCACCUUGGAAUAUGCAUUCAGAAUCCUGCAUUUGGAAGCCAAAUAAAUAAUGUUAAUAACAAUUUUACAAUAGAAAAAUUAAAAAUUGAUAAAUGGCAGUUGUAAUUUAUGUGUGUAAAGAUAGCAUCGCAUCCAGGUUCCUCCCAUAAACAUGCUUGUAACAAGAAUUAGUUUGCCUCAACUGCUAGCAACUAUACAAUAGUAAAAAUCACUCUUAUGAACUCAACAAUACUAGGCACCAAUAAGAGUAUGACACAGCCAUUCUAAAUGGAAGAGAAUACAACUGUUUUACAACUAUGUUGCAUCAGGAGAUAUGUUAGGAGGAUUAAUCCAGAUACCUUCCAACCCAAUUAGGAAAACUCGAGUCAGAAACCAGGAGCUGCAACCAAACCUUACAAUCUUGAAGGAAGAAGGAGACUUGGGGCAUUUUUCCAGAUAGGUGACUUACAAGAUCUCCUGCCAAGAAAAUAUCUAUUGCUUUGAACCUCCAUUGAAAUUUCUUUUCCCUUUUUCUUGUUUUGACUUGGAACUUUCCAGCAUCAUCUAUUUGAUCUUUUUUAAAGCUAAAAUAGCAAUCUAUGGGUUGUCAACAUCUUAUCCCCCCCCCCCCCCCCCGGGGGGCCACCAAAAAACAAAACCAAUGAGUUGUCAAUAAAUAGCGCCUACUCAACUUAUGUUCUCCAAUGAUGACAAUGUGCAAAUCGACCUAGCAGCCACAUUUUUCCCCCCUUUCAACCACCUUUAGGCAACUUUUCUAACCUUUCUUCAUUGCCCACGUCUACAGAACUAUCAUAUAAAGACUACAUUAUUAUUGGGAUAGAGAAAAAAAUACGGACUAUAUUAUUAUUAUUAUAUCUCAUUUUAUUAAUGAACUAGUGCAAGACUUAUUUAGUGUCAAAUCAAGAACUAAUUAGAAAAGACAACUCAUGAUAAUACAGACCUUAAAAAGCAAUAGCUAGCAACACCCCAUAUACUCCUAUUUUAGCCUUCAAUAUCCUGGUAAAAACACAAUUAAGUCUUGCCAAAGAACAUUCACAAGUAAAUUCAACAUUAAUUAAGAUUAAGUAUCUACUGCACCUUCAAUCAAUGACUGGGUGAAUAGCAUGGUCAACCAUCCAGUUCCUGUAGCCCUCCUUGUACCUAUGUUAGUUACAUUUUACAUAUUAAGCCACGAAAAUGAAGGAUCACAGCCUGGUAAAGAAAGCCAUUAAUUAAUAGUUUUUGUUUAAAAAGUUCUCGUUUAGAUCUUUCCUAUUCAAUGAAUCAAUGUAAUCCAUGGAGAACUCUUCCAUUUCAAGCAGUGUUAGAAGAUAAUUGGAAAGCCUAAAGAUAAUAUACAAGGACCAAGAUAUCAAUUAGGUCAAAUAGUGAAUGUCAAAUAUAAAAAAUAAAUAAAAGAAGUUGUACAUGAUCAUUUACUAUCAAGUUCUGUAAAACUGAAAAUACCAUUAUCCCUGUAUAGAUUCUCAAACAACUCUUUAGCAAAUUAUAAAAUAGUUAAAAAAAGAACGAAAGUUUUAAAAAAAAAAAUGUACAACAGCCAUAUCAGGAGAUGUUUUUCUUCUCAAUCUCAAUAUUUUCUUGCCGUAAAAAAUUGAAAAGCUUAACACCAAGUGAAUUAUUAAGAAUUCAUCAUUUAAAUUCCCAAAUCGCAAAAUGUUGGUGCAACUAGGAAAGUGCAAAUGCAAUCACUUUACUAACACAAGAAACAUCAAUAGUGAGAAGCCAACUUUGUAUCAAAUUUGAAACAGAUAGAUAGAGGUCAAAAAAAUUAUAAAGACACUCAAUUAAAAGCCUUUCAAACAGCUUUUGCAUGCAACAAGAACAAAUCAAAGGCGAUGUGAAUGUAUUGAAAGACUAAUUUACAAUCAUCUACAGGACAUAAAUAUCUUGGAUAACUACUCUCUACACCUUACUGUCCCACUGAAAAUCAUCAAAUCCCUCCAAACAAAAAUGACAAAAUGGAUAAGAAUUGUGUGGUCAAACUUCAAUAACUUAGCAGCCACAGCAAAAACUUAUGUAGACACGCAAGCCACUCAAAAUAGUCAUAUUGUUUGCUUUCUAAACACAAGCCACAUUGUAAUGAAUAUUCAUAAAUUGCUACUACCAUGUUUGUUAAAACACGUGAAAACCACCAUAACUAACUAAAUGUAACUGAUGAUCAUCAUCACAUUCAUGGAAUCACAUAUCCGACAGUAUUAAUUAGUGCAAAUGGCAUGCUUCUUAAAACUCCUUAUUUAUCACAUGGGCGCCAUUCCAAUCAACCAAUGAUUCUGAUCUAGUCAGCAUAUUCAACCCACGAGCGAGUAAUACCUCCAUUGCUUCUUUAGAUUUCUCAACGAAAUUCCACAUUCUAACCAUACUUCUGAACUUGUUGCUCCCAUAGACUAAUACAAUAUAAAGAUUUCUUCCCACACCACCUCAGCCCCCACUCCUAAAAAACCAAUUUAAAUUCUCAUUGACUGUACAACCUAUAGUCCAUACCAAAUUGAAAAAUUUACAAAUAUAGAACCUCAAAGAAUCUUCUUGCGUUCCAUUUUUUACGGCAAGAAAAUUGACUUUUACCACAUGCAAGUCAACAAAUAAAACAAUCAUGUCUUUGUGAGAUGCACAUUUUCAGACGAAUCUGAAGAGCAAUGAAACCAUAAAAACCUAAUGUGAGAACACCGAGGACUCCAGAUAUCAUCCAUAGAAUCUUUGGUCCACCCUUGCAUGAUGAAAAAAAAUUGAAGGCUUCGUCACCAACUCCCCAGGUUGUUUUGUUCUCCUAUCUCCUAAAUGUAAAGGAAAGACAACCCGUUCUUUUUCCAAUCUUAAGGGACACAGAACGACUCUAGUAUAAAAUAGUCAGUUUCUAUACAAAAAUAACUCCUUUGCACUUGGCACUGCACAUCUCAAAAUAAAAAGCAUGCAAGGAGGAGAAUAUAAUAGCAGUAAACAAGUUUUAUUAACCAAACUUCAAAGAUGCCACACAAGGCAAAAAAGAAAUCUGUACAAGCCAGAUCCCAAGAAUAAUAAUUCCAAUAUACAAUUCAGGAAAACAAUAACUAAAAACAGGUUCAUGAGGCCUCAGCAGAAGCAACAUGUAAUAACCAUACUCUAUUAUUUGAAACACAUUUCCAAGUUUGGUUAAGAUUCUAAACUAUUCUCUAUCUGUCAAUUAUUAACAUGUAAAACAUAAUAAUAUACACUUAAACUACUACAGUAGUAAAACCAGUAAAACAACAAUACCUGCUAAAAAGAUUGGCUACCUCUUCACAUUCACGAGCAUUGUAGAACCAAAUCCCAUUUACUUCUUGGGAUGCAUUUCGAUAUAACAAAUACGGAAUCUGAACUUCAAACUCAAAAUCUCCCAAAAGAUUUUCCACUAAAUUAUCUGCACAUAUACAAGAUAUUGAAGCUUAUCAGUGCAAAAACAUAUACAAAAAGACAUGAAGGUUAGGAGACAUAACUAAAACUUAGCAACAACUGAUAAGCACAACAAGAAAUGAAAUAUAACACGAGUUGUAAACAAGAUAGACACACGGUAUCUAAAAAAUUGUACCAACUCCCUCUCCUGGUUGUCAUAAAACGGCCAAUAUUUAACCCUAGACAACAAAAUUGCAAAUACUCUAGCCUCUGUAAUAUUGGCAUAUAAAUAUUUUCGGUUAGGUACAUUAUAUUCUUCGUUCUAAAACCUCAAUUAUUAGCUAGUACUGUGAUAAAAUGAUUCAUCACUGAAAUUAAAACUUCACGUACAAAUAAUCAAAACUGAAAUAGAAGCAACGAUAAACCAACCUGUAUUACGUCGAUUAAUCACAACAAACUGAAAUCGAGGCUGUGUGUUCCUGAAAAUUGAAAAAAUAAUAAUUUCACCAACUUCAUAUGUAAUACAAUCUCCAAAACAACGAAUAUCAAAUGAAAAAAAGGGAAAGCAUAAGAGAGAAAAGAAUCUAAUUUUAUUGACCUUUUGACGACGAAGAGAGAGCCUUCAACAUCGUUACGACUCCAUAUGCUGAGAUCGAUGUUGAACUCGUAGAAGGUGACAUGAGCGGCCGUGAUGAGGAUCUCCUCAAUGAAUGGAUCGAUUCGCUGAAGAACUGUCAGGUUUAGGAGUUUUGUGCUCUGCUGGUCCAGAUUAGGCAUCAAUUUUCCGUUCUGCGACAUUUUUCAUAGUCCUUUUGGGCUUCUGCCCCGAUCACUAGCCCUCAGGUUUUUCUGUGAGCUCUCGCUCUUUUGUAAAUAAAGUGUUUGAUGAGAUAGCCGAAAGAGAGUGAAAGAGUUGAACAGCCAAACAAGGUGAGGUGAACAGUUUCGGACUGAGACUCGAGAUUGAUCUUUGCUUUAACGUCUUUCAAACAUUUGGGAAAUAGCAUUUAUUUCUUUCAAUUUCUCUACUUUUUUUUUCCUUUAUGUUAUUUAGACCCCAAAAUUAGAUUUAUUAUAAUCAUAUUUUACCCAUACACUAUUAAUCCCUUUUAUUUUUUAAAUUGUCAAUAUUAAUGUAUUAGAAUAAUGUUAGAAAUCCCAAUUAUUAUCGCAAUGUUUCAAUCAUAACUAAUGUGAUAACUCAUCGGUAACUACAACAUUAACUUAAUUAUUAAUGUUUAUCAUGAAAUGAUGAGAUUAUUAUUCAAGAAAAACUUAGUAAACAUCAAUGACUAAUAUAAUAUGACAAUUACAACUGAAUAUUAGUACAAUAAUUAGGAUCCCUAAAGUUAGUGAAUGUAUUAUAAUAUAUGUGUGUUACACCACUUUAUGUCUCUCAAAUUCAAUUAAGUAAUUUCAGAAACCUGAUCUUUUAUUACAUUAAUUAGGAAUGCAUACAUGAACGAAAGAUGUGCAAUUUUUGUUCUAUUUUUCACUAUUAUUUACCAUUCAUCUACUUACAUCACUUGAUUUUUUGUGAUUAAUAUGCUUAAAUGGAUCUCUUAGAUAUAAAUAAAAUAAACGAAAAGUCUAAGAGAAAAAAAAAUGAGGACCGAAAUUAUUACACCUACAACAAAUUUGCCCAGAGAGCAAUAAAUCAAACUUGCUUAGGAAGUACAAUGAUUAGUUAAUAACUAAAAGAGCCUUCACCUGACAUGUUAAAGCUUCUGUCAAGCAAAACACCCAUUGAAAGCUGUUUAGGUCCGUCUUAGAUCAUCGGAAAUUUGACAAAAUCAUAAAAACCCUCAUCUUAUGAUAAUCUUUUCCAGAUAGGUGACUUACUAGAUCUCCUGCCAAGAGAAUAUCUAUGGUUUUGAACCUCCAUUGAAAUUUCUUUUUCCCUUUUUCUUGUUUUGACUUGGAACAAUUUAUUUGAUCUUUUUUAAAGGUAAAAUAACAAUUUAUAGGUUGCCAACAUCGUAUUCUGCCAAAUCCCACCCCAAAACAAAAAAAAAAAAUCAAUGGGUUGACAACAAAUAGCGCCUACUCAACUUAUGUUCUCCAACGGACGACAAUAUGCAAAUCGACCUAGUAGCCACAUUUUUCCCCCUUUCAACCACCGUUAGGCACCUUUUCUAACCUUCCUUCAUUGCCCACACCUGCAGAACUAUAAUAAAAAGACUACAUUAUUAUUGAGGUAGAGAAAAUAUACAGACUGUAUUAUUAUUACAUCCCAUUUUACUAAUUAACUAGUGCAAGACUUCUUUAGUGUCAAAUCAAGAACUGAUUAGAAAAGACAACUCAUGAUAAUACAGACCUUAAUAAGCAAUAGCUAACAACAUCCCAUAUACUCCUAUUUUAGCCUUCACUAUCCUGGUAAAAACACAAUUAAGUCUUGCAAAAGAACAUUCAUAAGUAAAUUCAACAUUAAUUAAGAUUAGGUAUCUACUGCACCUAAUAGCAUGGUCAACCAUCUAGUUCCUGUAGCCUUCCAUGUACCUAUGUUAGUUACAUUUUACAUAUUAAGCCACGAAAACGAAGAAUCACAGCCUGGUAAAGAAAGCCAUUAAUUAAUAGUUUUUGUUUAAAAAGUUCUCCCUUAGAUCUUUCCUACUCAAUGAAUCAAUGUAAUCUAAAGAGAACUCUUCCAUUUCAAACAGUGUUAGAAGAUAUUUGCAAAGCCUAAAGAUAACAUACAAGGACCAAGAUAUACACGGAUGGUUUCUUUAUGAGACUAAAGAGCUUUUUUAGAUGUUAAAACUGUUUCAAACUGUUUUUCUGGUUUGGUUUAACUAAGGAAGAGCUUGUGGAAGAUUAAAAAUGAUGUUUCCUGUUCUCUGUAGGAAGCUUUUAGGAGAUUUUUUGGGCUUUUUUGAAAGGUUGAAUUGUCAAAAAUACCUUGAUGUUAUUGUUUGCUAAAAGAUGUUAUGGACAACUAAACAACCAACAACAUUUUGCACAAUUUUCAACUUUCAAGGAAGAUAGCUAUGAGGGGAAUCCUUUUCUUUGUGGAUGGCCACUGUCCAAAAGUUGCGAUGAUAAUGGAUUAACAACAGUGACAACAGAAGCUGACACUGAAAAUGAAGAAGUUGAUAGUUUAAUUGACAUGGACAGUUUCCUGAUCACUUUUACAGUAUCUUAUGGAAUUGUGAUAUUCGGAAUUAUUGGAGUUUUGUACGUAAACCCCUAUUGGCGGCGAAGUUGGUUUUACCUUGUUGAAGUAUGUAUGACCUCUUGCUACUAUUUUGCAGCAGACAAUCUUGUUCCUAGAAAAUUCUAUGGUGGAUGGAUGUAAUUUCAUUACAUUACAACUUAUAUGUAAUUUUCAAAGAAUUUUCUUUUGCAUGCAUGGAAUAGCAACUCAAUAAAAGUAUUUGAUGCAAAUUGUCCAAGAACAACUUAGUAAUUUCAUUGCUACUAUUCGGUUGUAUGUAUACAGUUAAUGAAAUUUUUAACCAUUCGCAGAAUACCCUUAGGAAUUUCUUUAGAUGGCGGCCAAAAACUAAGAGAUUCGGGGCUCUACACAGUCUGAAUGAAGAUUAACUUAAUGCCCUCAGGAUUAUGUGUAAGUUCUCUUUUAAAUUUAAGGGGUUGAGAUUUCAGGUCCGGAUGAAAGUUGAAUGCAGGUCACGAGACUUCACUGGGACAAACUUAAAAUAAAAAAUUAUAGUCCACAGUAAGAGCAAUGGGUAGCUUAACUUAUGGAAGAUAACUAGAACUUGGAAUAACUUAAAUUAGCUAUAAAAUUAAGACCAUUAUACAACUAAAAAGAAAGAAAAAUUGUUUGCUACUACAUAUCAAAACUGGUAAUAGCAAUGUAAGAUGGCAGACUUCUUACUUAAACAGAUGAGAGGCUACAAAUAAAAAAAUUGUGCAAAUAAAAGAUAUGAUAAAGAGCAUAAUACUUUCUUGGGGGCUAAAAAUAAUAUACAACUUGUGAAAUAUAAAUUGAGCUACCAUUACCUUUUAGAUGUGGCAACUUUCGACUUUUGAGGCACUUUGGAAUAUGCAUUCAGAAUCCUGCAUUUGGAAGCCAAAUAAAUAAUGUUAAUAACAAUUUUACAAUAGAAAAAUUAAAAAUUGAUAAAUGGCAGUUGUAAUUUAUGUAUGUGUAAAGAUAGCAUCACAUCCAGGGUCCUCCCAUAAACAUGCUUGUAACAAGAAUUAGUUUGCCUCAACUGCUAGCAACUGCUAACAAUAUACAAUAGUAAAAAUCACUCUUAUGAACUCAACAAUACUAGGCACCAAUAAGAGUAUGAUACAGCCAUUCUAAAUGGAAGAGAAUAUAACUGUUUUACAACUAUGUUGCAUCAGGAGAUAUGUUAGGAGGAUUAAUCCAGAUACCUUCCAACCCAAUUAGGAAAACUCAAGUCAGAAACCAGGAGCUGCAACCGAACCUUACAAUCUUGAAGGAAGAAGGAGACUUGGGGCAUUUUUCCAGAUAGGUGACUUACUAGAUCUCCUGCCAAGAGAAUAUCUAUUGCUUUGAACCUCCAUUGAAUUUUCUUUUCCCUUUUUCUUGUUUUGACUUGGAACUUUCCAGCAUCAUCUAUUUGAGCUUUUUUAAAGCUAAAAAAGCAAUCUAUGGGUUGUCAACAUCUUAUCACCCCCCCCCCCCGCGGGCCCCCCAAAAAAAAAUCAAUGAGUUGUCAAUAAAUAGCGCCUACUCAAAUGUUUUCCAAUGGAUGACAAUGUGCAAAUCGACCUAGCAGCCACAUUUUUCCCCCCUUUCAACCACCAUUAGGCAACUUUUCUAACCUUUCUUCAUUGCCCACAUCUAGAGAACUAUCAUAUAAAGACUACAUUAUUAUUGGGAUAGAGAAAAAUAUACAGACUAUAUUAUUAUAACUCAUUUUAUUAAUUAACUAGUGCAAGACUUAUUUAGUGUCAAAUCAAGAACUAAUUAGAAAAGACAACUCCUGAUAAUACAGACCUUAAAAAGCAAUAGCUAGCAACACCCCAUAUACUCCUAUUUUAGCCUUCAAUAUCCUGGUAAAAACACAAUUAAGUCUUGCAAAAGAACAUUCACAAGUAAAUUCAACAUUAAUUAAGAUUAAGUAUCUACUGCACCUUCAAUCAAUGACUGGGUGAAUAGCAUGGUCAACCAUCUAGUUCGUGUAGCCCUCCUUGUACCUAUGUUAGUUACAUUUUACAUAUUAAGCCAUGAAAAUGAAGGAUCACAGCCUGGUAAAGAAAGCCAUUAAUUAAUAGUGUUUGUUUAAAAAGUUCUCGUUUAGAUCUUUCCUAUUCAAUGAAUCAAUGUAAUCUAAGGAGAACUCUUCCAUUUCAAGCGGUGUUAGAAGAUAAUUGGAAAGCCUAAAGAUAAUAUACAAGGACCAAGAUAUCGAUUAGGUCAAAUAGUGAAUGUCAAAUAUAAAAAAUAAAUAAAAGAAGUUGUACAUGAUCAUUUACUAUCAAGUUAUGUAAAAUUGAAAAUACCAUUAUUCCUGUAGAGAUUCUCAAACAACUCUUUGGCAAAUUAUAAAAUAGUUAAAAAAAGAACGAAAGUUUAAAAAAAAAAAGAAAAUGUACAACAUCCAUAUCAGGAGAUGUUUUUCUUCUCAAUCUCAAUAUUUUCUAGCCGUGAAGCAAUUGAAAAGCUUAACACUAAGUGAAUUAUUAAGAAUUCAUCAUUUAAAUUCCCAAAUCGCAAAAUGUUGGUGCAACUAGGAAAGUGCAAAUGCAAUCACUUAACUAACACAAGAAACACCAAUAGUGAGAGCCCACUUUGUAUCAAAUUUGAAACAGAUAGAGGUCAAAAAAAUUAUAGACACUCAAUUAAAAGCCUUUCAAACAGCUUUUGCAUGCAAUAAGAACAAAUCAAAGGCGAUGUGAAUGUAUUCAAAGACUAAUUUACAAUCAUCUACAGGACAUAAAUAUCUUGGAUACCUACUCUCUAUACCUUCCUGUCCAACUGAAAAUCACCAAAUCCCUCCAAACAAAAAUGACAAAAUGGAUAAGAAUUGUGUGGUCAAACUUCAAUAACUUAGCAGCCACAGCAAAAACUUAUGUAGACAUGCAAGCCACUCAAAAUAGUCAUAUUUUUUGCUUUCCAAACACAAGCCACUGUGUAAUGAAUGCUCAUAAAUUGCUACUACCAUGUUUGUUAAAACACGUGAAAACCACCAUAACUAACUCAAUGUAACUGAUGAUCAUCAUCACAUUCAUGGAAUCACAUAUCUGACAGUAUUAAUUAGUGCAAAUUGCAUGCUUCUUGAAACUCCUUGUUUAUCACAUGGGCGCCAUUCCAAUCAACCAAUGAUUCUGAUCUAGUCGGCAUAUUCAACCCACGAGCGAGUAAUACCUCUUAUUGCUUCUUUACAUUUCUCAACGAAAUUCCACAUUCAAACCAUACUUCUGAACUUGUUGCUCCCAUAGACUAAUACAAUAUAAAUAUUUCUUCCCACACCACCUCAAUCCCCACUCCUGAAAAACCAAUUUAAAUUCUCAUUGGCUGUACAACCUAUAGUCCAUACCAAAUUGAAAAAUUUACAAAUAUAGAACCUCAAAGAAUCUUCUUGCGUUCCAUUUUUUACGGCAAGAAAUUUGACUUUUACCACAUGCAAGUCAACAAAUAAAAAAAUCAUGUCUUUGUGAGAUGCACAUUUUCAGACGAAUUUGAAGAGCAAUGAAACUGUAAAAACCGAAUAUGAGAACACCGAGGACUGCAGAUAUCACCUAUAGAAUCUUCGGUCCACACUUGCAUGAUGAAAAUGAUGAAAAAAAAUUGAAGGCUUCGUCACCAGCUCCCCAGGUUGUUUUGUUCUCCUAUCUCCUAAACAUAAAGGAAAUGCAACCUGUUCUUUUUUCCAAUCUUAAGGGGCACAGAACGACCCUGGUAUAAAAUAGUCAGUUUCUAUACAAAAAUAACUCCUUUGCACUUGGCAUUCCACAUCUCAAAAUAAAAAGCAUGCAAGGAGGAGAACAUAAUAGCAUUAAACAAGUUUUAUUAACCAAACUUCAAAGAUGCCACACAAGGCAAAAAAGGAAUCUGUACAAGCCAGAUCCCAAGAAUAAUAAUUCCAAUAUACAAUUCACAAAAACAAUAACUAAAACCAUGUUCAUGAGGCCUCAGCAGAAGCAACAUGUAAUAACCAUACUCUAUUAUUUGAAACACAUUUCCAAGUUUGGUUAAGAUUCUAAACCAUUCUCUAUGUGUCAAUUAUUAACAUGUAAAACAUAAUAAUAUACACUUAAACUACUACAGUAGUAAAACCAGUAAAACAACAAUACCUGCUAAAAAGAUUUGCUACCUCUUCACAUUCACGAGCAUUGCAGAACCAAAUCCCAUUUACUUCUUGGGAUGCAUUCCGAUAUAAAAAAUACGGAACCUGAACUUCAAACUCAAAAUCUCCCAAAAGAUUUUCCACUAAAUUAUCUGCACAUAUCCAAGAAAUUGAAGCUUAUCAGUGCAAAAACAUAUGCAAAAAGACAUGAAGGUUAGGAGAUACAACUAAAACUUAGCAACAACUGAUAAGCACAACAAGAAAUGAAAUAUAACACGAGUUGUAAACAAGAUAGACACAUGGUAUCUAAAUAAUUGUACCAACCCCCUCUCCUGAUUGUCAUAAAAAGGCCAAUAUUUAACCCUAGACAACAAAAUUGCAAAUACUCUAGCCUCUAUAUUAUUGGCAUAUAAAUAUUUUCGGUUAGGUACAUUAUAUUCUUCCUUCUAAAACCUCAAUUAUUAGCUAGUACUGUGAUAAAAUGAUUCAAAACUGAAAUAGAAACAACGACAAACCAACCUGUAUUACGUCGAUUCAUUACAACAAACUGAAAUCGAGGCUGUGUGUUCCUGAAAAUUGAAAAAAUAAUAAUUUCACCAACUUCAUAUGUAAUACAAUCUCCAAAACACUGAAUAUCAAAUGAAAAAAAUGGAAAGCAUAAGAGAGAAAAGAAUCUAAUUUUAUUGACCUUUUGACGACGAAGAGAGAGCCUUCAACAUCCUUACGACUCCAUUGGCUGAGAUCGAUGUUGAACUCGUAGAAGGUGACAUGAGCGGCCGUGAUGAGGAUCUCCUCAAUGAAUGGAUCGAUUCGCUGAAGAACUGUCAGGUUUAGGAGUUUUGUGCUCUGCUGGUCCAGAUUAGGCAUCAAUUUUCCGUUCUGCGACAUUUUUCAUAGUCCUUUUGGGCUCUGCCCCGAGCACAAGCCCCAUGGUUUUUCUGUGAGCUCUCUCUUUUGUAAAUAAAGUGUUUCAUGAGAUAGUCGAGAGAGAGUGAAAGAGUUGAACAGCUAAACAAGGUGAGGUGAACACUUUCGGACUGAGACUCGAGAUUGAUCUUUGCUUUAACGUCUUUCAAACAUUUGGGAAAUAGCAUUUAUUUCUUUCACAGGGAUUUGUCUGUGGUAUACCCCAAAAAAAGGGUAUUUAUCUAAAAAUACCUCCAUACUCAAAAAUUUCUCGUAUAUGCCUUUUCUAAUAUGCAGUUACGAAAUUACCCUAAUGAAAAACCUAAAUCAACUAAACUACCACAAUCAAUCGUGUAACAAAAUCCCUAAUUUUUUCUCAUGAGCAGCUUCUUCUUCAGCCCGUUCUUCUGGGUUUCUCCUCCUCCAUUUUACAAAUCCCUAUUAUUUUACAACAAUUCUUCUACACACUCUCGCCUCUCUGCAAAUCAGUAGCUGCAAUUCCCCCACUCUGCUUCAGCAUCUCCUCUUCCAGGUACUUUUAGAAAGUCAAAUUUUUUGUUUUAAUGUAAAAUAAAAUUUGAAAGUUUCAAAGCUCAAGUUAUUGAUUUUUCUGAAAAAAAUCAUUUGCAGCUGGUAUUGAAAUGUGUGCAAAGUCUUGUGCCAAAAGCUUAAUUUUCAUUUCUCGCAAAAGUCAGAUGACAAGACUUCACUUGAUUAGGCUUAUGCUUGUCUUUUACCUUGCAUUAAUUUUCAUCUCUUGUAAAAGUCAGAUAAUAAGGCUUCACUCGAUUAGACUAAUAAUUGAUUUAACAUAUUCAUUUUCUGAUUAAUUGUCAUCCAAUUUGCACGCACAUCGGAUAGAAUUCAUCCAAAAAAAUGGCUCGUAAGGUACGGGAGUCCAAAUACUUAUAAACCUACACACCAAGCCUUAGCUUAGCAAUAUGACACUCAAUUAUAGUUCAUAACCGAUAUGCAUGGUGGCCAUAUAUGGGGCUGAGUGACUUCACAGAUUUCAUACAAGGUGAAUAGCAGGUCUUCUUCUCAACUUACUUCGUCUGUGAAGAGAGAUUUCAUCAAAAAAUUGGUAAAACUCAUUCAAAAGACCGACUUAUGAUGUUAGAAAGACCAAAUACCCUAUAAAAUGCUUAAUAAAGUGGUCGCACAAUUAUUCUUGUGUACACAGUACCAAUGCAAUAGAAAAUAGGGUAAACAUUAAUGUCUCUAGCUACUCAGUCCAAUAGACAGUAUAAUCUAAAGAUGUCGUGUUGUUGUAUUGUUACACUGGUGAGACAAUUGCUGCAUGUUGCAGACAUGAUACCUCUAGUACUUCAAAAGAUAGCAUAUCACGAAACACAUCCAGACUGUAGUGAGGUUAUUUCGAAAAUUCCUUGGCCCAUUGUGUGAGUGCGUGACAUCCCGCAACAAAAAUCAGGGUAUGUACUAUAUAUAUAAUGUGUUUUGAACAUAAUAAUAAAAAUGAUGAUUUUUAACAAUUGAUUUAUAUGAAUAUUUUUAGUGGUGACUGUGGAGCAUUUUUGUUGCGGUACUUGGAGGUCCUAGCCCAUGGACUUGAUGUCAAUUCAUACUGCCAACAAGAUCAUGUUACACAAUUUCGACAAGCCUUGGCUGUAAAAUUAUUUGGGCAUAGGUCAUGGAAAAAAACUCCGUAGUGUCAUUUUUUGGAUUAUGAGAUGUAAUAGUUGUAAUGAGGAUGUUGUUGAUAUUUGAUGUCAUUAAAGACAAUUGACAGCAUUAAUAUAUUUUAUUUCUUUGUUAUUUAUAUUAAUGAUAGAUAAGAUAGUUUGCACAAUAUAUGCACAGGGAAUACACUGUAAGAGAAUACACGACUGCAGUCGGGUAUUUGCACAGAUACACGACUGCGGUCGGGUAUUUGGAAAUAAACAUAAUACGCUCUGUGUAAAAUACUCGACUGCAGUCGGGUAUUUGGAAAUAAACAUAAUACGCUCUGUGUAAAAUACUCGACUGCAGUCGGGUAUUUGCACAGAUACACGACUGCGGUCGGGUAUUUGGAAAUAAACAUAAUACGCUCUGUGUAAAAUACUCGACUGCAGUCGGGUAUUUGCACAGAUACACGACUGCGGUCGGGUAUUUGAAAAUAAACAUAAUAAGCUGUAACAAAAUACUCGACUGCGGUCGGGUAUUUGCAAAUAAACAUAAUAAGCUCUGUGACAAAAUACUCGACUGCAGUUGUGUAUUUGCACAAAUACACGACUGUAGUCGGGUAUUUACAAAUAAAAAUGACAAGCUCUCUGUGAAAAAAUACUCGACUGCAGUCGAGUAUUUGCACAGAUACGCGACUAUAGUUGAGUAUUUAGAAAUAAAUAUGACAAGCUCUCUGUGACAGUCGGGUAUUUACACAGAUACACGACUGUAGUCGAGUAUUUAGAAAUAAACAUGACCAGUUUUGUAACAGUCAAAAUACACUAUUGUACUGGGGUAUGUGCACAGAAUAAAAACUCUUUUCAAUCAUUCAUUAUAUUGAUGACACAAUCAAUAUAGAUUUUAAACAUAUCAAACUUCAAAUAAAUGAAACUAACUAUAGUCUGGUUGCCUAUCAAAUAACACAAAUCCAAUAGUUAUUGAAAUCGUAAAUAAGUCGUAAUACAAUAGAAGUUGUUUAACAUUCAUCAUAAAUUUUUGGCAUAUUCAACCCAAACACUCGGUCCAUAUUUUAUAAGCCUCUGGUCGCCUCCCUUCAAUACUUGUUCUUAGAAAGUCACACAAACAUGUUUAUUCAUCUGCGAAACAAAAAGGUAGAAAUUUAUCACUAAAUAUGAAAGAUAUUAAAAAAAUUAAAACAACAAAAAAUAACAAGUAUAUAAGGUUCAUAGUAGUCGUGUAACUUAUUAACAAUUAUAGUAUGUAAGUUUAUACGUACACGCUAGUAGUCGUGUAACUUAUUAACACACAUGACUAUAGUCUAGUAAUAGUAAAAGGAUAUAUAUAGUGAAAAAUAUAUAUUUUUUGAACCAAUAGAAUAAUAAGGUGUCAUAAUAAUUGAAUUUUUUUGCACAUUUUCACGACUACAGUCGUGUAAAUACAUACAUACACGACUGAUGUCGUGUAUGUCGGGUGCAGAAAAAAAAUUUGACAACAACUUCAGAUUUUAACGAAUGUAGUUAUAAAAUCCAUCAAAUAACAGUCAUAUGAUGCAAAUGUAAUAAAAAUAUGAGUUGCUUUAGUGUUUAUCACAAACCAAACAAAACCCUAAAAAUAAUAUAAUGUCAACAAAUUGAAUAGAUAGCCCAAAAUAAAAUAAAAAAAGUUUCAAAUACCUUAUUCAUGGGAUGAAUAAUACACCCAGCUGCAAACAAACUCAGUGCAUUAGCUGUUUGUGAGUGAUUUUGAGUGUGGUGUGAGUUUUUGUAUAGGUGAUAAAUACGUGAGAAGCAAAGAGUGUUGUGAGUUGUGUGUGUGUUUUAUAUUUUUCUUUAGGGAUAUUUUAGACAAUGUACCACAUAAAAAGGCAUACUUAAAUAAUUUUCAAACAUGAGGUAUAUUUAACUAAAUACACUACUUUUAAGGCAUAUUUAAUUAAAAACCCCUUUCUUUCAAUUUCUCUACUUUUUUUUGUUUUCCUUUAUGUCAUUUAGACCCCAAAAUUAGAUUUAUUAUAAUCAUAUUUUACCCAUUCACUAUUAACCCCUUUUAUUUUUAAAAUUGUCAAUAUUAAUGUAUUAGAAUAAUGUUAGAAAUCCCAAUUAUUAUCUCAAUGUUUAAAUCAUAACUAAUAUGAUAACUCAUCGGUUACUGCAACAUUAACUUAAUUAUUAAUGUUUAUCAUGAAAUGAUGAGAUUAUUAGUCAAGAAAGAAUUAGAAAAUAUCAAUGACUAAUACAAUGUGGCAAUUACAGUUGAAUAUUAAUACAAUAAUUAGGAUCCCAAAAGCUAGUGAAUGUAUUAUAAUAUAUGUGUGUUACACCACUUUAUGUCUCUCAAAUUCAAAUAAGUAAUUUCAUAAACCUGAUCUUUUAUUACAUUAAUUAGGAAUGCAUACAUGAACGAAAGAUGUGCAAUUUUUGUUCUAUUUUUCACUAUUAUUUACCAUUCAUCUGCUUACGUCACUUGAUUUUUUGCGAUUAAUAUGCUUAAAUGGAUCUCUUAGAUAUAAAUAAAAUAAACGAAAAGUCUUAAGAGAAAAAAAAAUGAGGACCGAAAUUAUUACACCUACGACAAAUUUGCCCGGAGAGCAAUAAACCAAACUUGCUUAGGAAAUACAAUGAUUAGUUAACAACUAAAAGAGCCUUCACCUUACAACUUAAAGCUUCUGUCAAGCAAACACCCAUUGAAAGCUGUUUAGGUCCGUUUUUAGAUCAUCGGAAAUUUGACAAAAUCAUAAAAACCCUCAUCUUAGAAAUUCCAAGCAUCAGGCAGUAGAUCAGGCAGUAGUCCGACUUUAUUGAUAUUGAGAGUAACACAAUAAAAGUUUCGUACAGAUUUUGCAAACGAAAAGCACAUAAUACACUUAACUAGGAGGAAAAAUUAAAGUGUACAUAUUACAAUCUGCUAACAAUAUACAAUAGUAUAUUGUAUAUACAAUAGUAUAUAUACAAAUUAACUAGGCACCAAUAAGAGUAUGAUACAACCAUUCUAAAUGAAAGAGAAUACAAUUGUUUUACAACUAUGUCACAUCAGGAGAUAUGUUAGCAGGAUUAAUCCAGAUACCUUCGAACCCAAUUAACGAACUCGAGUCAGAAACCAGGGGCCCCUAACUGAACCUUACAAUCUUGAAGGAAGAAGGAGACUUGUGGUCCAGAUAGGAGACUUACUAGAUCUCCUGCAAAAGAGAAUAUCUAUUGCUUUGAACCUCCAUUGAAAUUUCUUUUUCCCUUUUUCUUGUUUUGACUUGGAACUUUCCAGCAUCAUCUAUUUGAUCUUUUUUGAAGGUAAAAUAGCAAUCUAUAGGUUGCCAACAUGUUAUUCUGCCAAACCCCACCCCACCCCCCCGGGGGACAACAAAUCGACCUAGCACACACCUUUCUUCAUUGCCCACACCUACAGAACUAUAAUAAAAAGACUACGUUACUAUUGGGGUAGAGAAAAUAUACAGACUGUAUUAUUAUUACAUCGCAUUUUACUAAUUAACUAGUGCAAGACUUCUUUAGUGUCAAAUCAAGAACUAAUUAGAAAAGACAACUCAUGAUAAUACAGACCUUAAUAAGCAAUUGCUAACAACAUCCCAUAUACUCCUAUUUUAGCCUUCAUUAUCCUGGUAAAAACACAAAUAAGUCUUGCAAACGAACAUUAUAAGUAAAUUCAACAUUAAUUAAGAUUAGGUAUCUACUGCACCUAAUAGCAUGGUCAACCAUCUAGUUCCUGUAGCCUUCCAUGUACCUAUGUUAGUUACAUUUUACAUAUUAAGCCACGAAAACGAAGAAUCACAGCCUGGUAAAGAAAGACAUUAAUUAAUAGUUUUUGUUUAAAAAGUUCUCGUUUAGAUCUUUCCUAGUCAAUGAAUCAAUGUAAUUUAAAGAGAACUCUUCUAUUUCAAACAGUGUUAGAAGAUAUUUGCAAAGCCUAAAGAUAAUAUACAAGGACCAAGAUAUACACAGAUUGUUUCUUUAUGGGACUAAAGAGCUUUUUUAGAUGUUAAAACUGUUUCAAACUGUUUUUCUGGUUUGGUUUAACUAAGGAAGAGCUUGUGGAAGAUUAAAAAUGAUGUUUCCUGUUCUCUGUAGGAAGCUUUUAGGAGAUUUUUUGGGCUUUUUUGAAAGGUUGAAUUGUCAAAAAUACCUUCAUGUUAUUGUUUGCUAAAAGAUGUUAUGGACAACUAAACAACCAACAAUAUUUUGUUAAAAGCUCUACUAGUGUAGGAUCUACUUAAAGAAGCUAUACCAAACAGACUCUUAGACUGAAUAACUCGAUCUUAAGUUUGUAAAAUUGGGCUCAGAAUCUCCACUAACAACCCCGCUUCGGUGAGAAAGCCCAAGCCUGUUACUUUGUAUAACCUUAUUCUGUAUGUUUGAUUGCAGGAACUGGCCAAUCAUACCGACGAGGUGAGUGUGCAGCAUGACGUGCUUGACGGGAUGGUUACUUUCUAUGAUACAACUAAAGCUAGCCUCAACAUAUAUCAGGUGCCUGCUUGUUUUUACCUUAUAGAUACUAAUAUUGUUUAGACGUGUAAUCUCUCUCUCCAUUGAACGCUAGACGGCUCGUCUCAAGCCUUCUACGUACUUCAGAGUCCUUCAUUAGCUUUUUAUGUAUAAAGUUUUGAUCUUUUUCCUUCAUUUGCUUGAAGCUCAUUACUGCAGAUUUGUUUUACAGGUUGGUAGUGUAACAUUCGACUUGCUGUUGCUUCUAGUGUUGGGAUCGUAUUUAAUUGUGCUUUUCAGCUUUCUUGUCAUAACAACUUGGGUAUUACUCUUUCUCCAUAUCAAGCUUGAAGUUCUAAAUUUCAGUUUUAUCUUGUAUUUGAUUUUUUAUAAUUUCAUUGCAAACAGAUUAGAAUAGAAACUUCAAAAGUUCCAAGGUUUCCAACAGGGUCUUGAUGAUCUAAUCAGUUUGUUUCGAAGACCCCAUCCCGUAAGGUAAAAAAAGCUUGAUGCGGAAGCACGAUGCUGCACCUGUCCUGUGUAACUUUUUCAGGGAAGAUUUUCUCUGAUAACCGAGGUGGAAGUCUCCCAGGAGAAGUUGGCAAAUGAUAACUACGAAUGUGUUAUGGUUUAGCUCAGUGACACAAAGGACAUUUUUCAACAAUUGAUCCUAGGAAGAUGCCUAUAGCUUGUUGUGCCAAACAUAGAAAAUCAAAGAUGCGAAAAAAUUUUGUUGAGAUUCAUUUUAGUUAAAAUUGUUUUAUUGAGUGUUUAGCAAACGAGAAAAUGGAAGAAAGUUGAGAGAAUAAAACUGAAGCUAAGAGGAUUCUAGAACAUCUUUCAAUUUGUUCCGAAUACUCAAAAUGUGAAUACAUUGUUGUUUAUGUACACAGCUGAAGAUAACAGCUCAAUUGUAUAACUAACUACUACUUAGCAAUUUACUAACUGUAACUAAUCAAACUAAAUCUUCACGUGCACUGGUAAUCACAUAACCACUAGGUGCCAGCUGGACAGCCAAGUCAUCAACCUUUAACCGUGUGCCAUAGCUGCUGCAAUCCUCUGCUUUAUCUUCUGUUUUGCAUACUGUACAGCAAGCAUGAUGAGCUUCCUUAACAAUUUUUUUUGGGGCAGAGAAUAAUGCUUAUGUGAUUUCUGAACUUGGGGAUUAUGGCGGAUAGAGGCACUAAGGCAAGAGAAAUGUCUGAAUUAUCGAAACAAGAUGAAUUAUUUUUUGUUUAUCGCAGCAGACGAUCUAUGAGCGGAAUUUCUUACAACAAAAGAUGUGUGUCCACCGGCUUGUAUUUAGUCUCGUAAUGCAUUAUAUAUAUGCACGCACACACAGUUUGAGAAGAAUCAGACCAUUGAUUUUCUUUUGAGCCAAUCAACAGAAUGUACAUUUCUUCUAAGAUCUUGUAACCGAAACCGCAGUUUUUCAAGUUUGAUGCAUCUGGGAAAAUUGUCAGAUGGAAUAAAACCACCAUGCGCCAAGGUACCAAUGAUGUUUCUUCCAGCUUAUGAGCACUUCAAAUCAACUUAGGUCAUAUUUACACAAGGGCGCACAUGAUAUCAAUCUAAUGGCAAUUAUAUCAUCUAAAAUCCAAAACCAAGAGUCUCCCAUUUUCCCGUUCUCUACUCUGUUCAUAUUAUCAUAACUUCGAAGAUUGCAAGGCAGCCGCAGAUCCAGCGCAAUCUCUCAGAUCUUUGCUCCUUCCUCAUUGCAGUUAGUCAAAAGAUAAACAGAGGUGUCCCAUGUCAACAAGAAGGUAAUCAUAAAAGAACAACAGAAUUGUAAAACAUAUUUUGUUAUAGAUGAAAUGAUAUGAGCAUCCAUGUAUCUAUCCAGCAUUUAGGACACCGCAAUAUAUUCAUAUGAAACGUAAAACGAUUUAAUAUCAAUUUUCUUAAGGAGACUGAGCAGGUUGUCUCGCAAGUGGCGCAUUAGUAUUGUAACGUCUGUGGGGUCUUACAUUAUCCACAAAAAUAACUCGUCCAUCUAGUAAAUUAGAGAAAAAUGAUGCAAUUUCACCUUCCCACUCAUGUCUGCCAAGGCUUUUUGGGCUUCCUCUUCUGUACGGAAAGUCACAUACCCGUAACCUUUUGAUCUGUUCUUACCUUUAUCCAUUAUUAUGGUAGCUGCAAAAAGAAAAGAAUCGGAUAUUAGAAAACAGUGAAGAGGGAACAGGGGUUGAGACUUAAAAUAGAAAUAGACCAAACCCUCAGUGACUUGGCCAAAUUGUGAAAAAGCAUCAGCUAACAUUCCUUUAGUGGUUGAGAAAGAUACGCCUGCAAAGGAUGCCAGUUAAUUUUAUCAUAAUUAGAUGGUAAGAUUGCAAAUUCUGCAGCCAAAGGCAGUACGCAACUGAAUGAAGGAAAUCAAAUAUGAACAUGUUUUCAAUCUCAAAAUAUGAAGAGUAGCAGAAGUAACUUGUGAAACAGUUAUAAGUUCAAGGGAAUUAGAUGAUGGCAUGGUUGAAUUUUAUAAAUAUUUGAUAUUUUGGACCGAACAGGGCAAACAGAUGGAUCCAGAUAAUUAAGAAAAACAUCAAUUCCAUGCAACCAAAUUAGUGUGGACAAUGCAAUUGCCUUUCCCUAUGAGAGUAGAGGGCCUAAAUACAAGCAAAAACCUACUGAUGCAUCUACAGAAGCUCACAUUCACUAGCUGCAUGAUUAAAUCACUGGAUGGUCUCACUAUGCAGUAAAGAAUGAAAUAAUUAACGACCUGAUAAGCUGCAAGGUGAAGAAAAUAUUCACCAGAAAAGUUCAAAAUCAAAUCAACGUGGCUUUGAUUAUGGAAAAAAUGAAACAAUAUGUAGUGAAUGAAUCUUCUCGUAACUAUGCAAGACACAAUCACUUCCCAGGAUCUCAGAUAUAGAUUUACCAAGUUGCACAGAUUGAAGAACGAAUCCAGAAAGAAUCAAUUUAAGACAAGAAUUAAGAGAACUGAAAACAAUAGAAACAAACACAGACAACACAAGAAUCAAUUACGUGGUUCGGUUGCACCAAGGAGGCACAACCUACAUCCACGGGAGAUGCUUUCUGGAGAGCUUUUAUUGAAUAACAAUGGAGGAUCUUUUACGGGGCUUUUACUUAAGAUUACAGAGAACUCAUCUUUCACAUUCUCUGAUAUCUCUCUCUCUCUUAACACGGUUACACACCCGCUCAGCUCACAAACUGAACUACAAGAGCAACGAAUCAGCUAAAUCCAGAUUGCACAGCUUGUUGACACGUUGAGUAACAAACUUAACGAACUGAAUCAAGUUGCCUCGCACGGCUAUCACGUGCAUCACUUAAAGCUUUCCCUUAAACGACAAAGAUGAACUGCCGUUUCAAGCUUAAGAAACAAGUGAUUACACACGUGCUUCAGCCCGUGACUUUUAAGUGCUCUUAUCUUAUAUUGCCAAAACGCUGCCGUUUAGAGCUGAUGAGUUUGAUUCACCAGCAAGCCUCACACAAUAUCAGUUGAGCAACACUAUAAAAUUAUUCAAAGAAAUCUCUAGGUCAGUAUCCAAAUAUGUGGCUCCGUCAGAAGCAGAAAAGUUCAAAACCAAAGUAAGAGGUGAGCAGAAGCGGCCCAGUUUAGUUAUAUGCCAUGCAUGCGAUCAAAAUUGAAUGGUUAAAUUCAGUUGUUUCCAAUAAUUUUAUGUUGUAUCUUUUUUAAGAAUAAAGAAAACUUGCAUUAAAACUAAAAGUAGGGUAAUACCUGAUUUUCUAAAUAGAUUGCAAUGUAAUUUUGAAAAAUAAAACAAUAAUUUACGAAAUGGUUAUAACAUUAUUUUAAUUUUUUUUUCAAAAAGGAAAAACAACAAAAAUAAGAAAUAAAGAAUGAGGGCUACAAACUUUUUAUCUUAAACGGCCGUUAGAUUAUUUGUAAAUGAAAGCAACGGUCAGAUAUUGGUGGCUUAUGGAAACAGGUAAUCAUAAGGACUACGAGUUUUUUUUUUUUUUUUUUGUUCCAUUGAUAUAUAACAAUCGGGAUUCUAUUAAUAUUUACAAUUAGAAUUUUAUCUAACUAUCUUUGAUAAUUCUAAACUAGUACAACCCAAAUUCCUAUUCUCAUAUAAUAUGAAAGAGAGAUAUAUAUUCUUUUCCUCUAUUAACGAAGAGACAUUUUUACUUCUAUCCAAUUUAACUGGAACGAGAAUUAAAUCCUUUCAAUAGUCAGGACUCAGACCUCAUACACGCUAAUUUGAGAGUGUGAGGUGUGACAAUGGGCCAAGAGACCAUUGACAAGUACAAAAGAGUGAUUGCAAUUAAUUCAAACCGCUACACACGCUAAAUUAAGGGUCCAUUUUUGUUUAUUUCAUUGCAAAGUAGUUUGCACAAUUAAUUCAAACCGCUACACACACUAUUGCAUCUUUUGAAAAAGAAAAAUGGAAUAGUUUGAAUUGCCCAUGACAAGAAUGCUUGUGUUGUGAAAAGAAAUCCAAUGGUUUGUAAAUGGGUUGAAUUUUUCGCUUACUUCAAUGACUUGCUUAUGCCCAAUAUAUUACUUUGCACAGUAGUAUUUGGGAUCCUAACAAUCAACUCUUAAUUUGGUCCCAAUAUAUUACUUUAUGAAUGCUUGUGCUGUUUUUUUAAUAUAAAAUAAUUUAUUUAACUAAUCAUAGAAAUAAGAGAGAAAAGGGGGCAUUUGUUGACUCAAAGUCAAUUACAAAUAUUCCAUGCCUAACUUCCACGCACCCUAAAACGGUUUGAUUUGCUUUCAUGCGUUCAUGAAUUUCCAUGAAAGAGAGUGCCUCCCGUCUCUUUACGGACAGUGACUCCAAUUAUGUUAGCGUGACAAAUACAUAACGUUAUUACAUACAAGAAUAAGUUUUUGGAGCCGAGACUUGAGGGAGGUUCUAUCUAAUUCUAAAGAUUGUAACCAAAUCAUUAUCCCCAAUUUUUUUCAGUUAAAUAAAAUAAAAUUUAUGCUUAAAUAUAAAUAAUACUUUGGACAUUCUUGAUAUUUGUCCUUUUAAGAUAAACAGCAACCCAAUUAUCUAUUUGUUUGUCUUUUUUUUUUAGUAACAGUUUGUUAGCAUAAAUAUUUACCUGUGAAGUCGAGGAGGAGAAAAUAUUAGAAAAAUAAAAAGAAAAAAAAAUUAAGGGAGAUAGAAUCAGAUUUUCUUUUUUGAGCAAAGAACAUACGUAAAAAGAUAUUAAAUCUAUUAAGUCUAAUUGUCUAUAACAGUAAAUUGCAUAACGAAUAAUUUAUCAGCGUAAAAUAAAUUUUAUUAUGUUAUGAGUGUUCUGAUUAUUUUCUAGAGUACGAAUUGUCCCAUCGUAAAACAAACGACGAGAAAUAUAACCUUUGCGGUGGUCUUUUACCGUGUCGUUGUAAAAAGGUUAGUAGUUGAGUACUAUUAGUAAUUUAAUGCACCAAUAUUCUUUCUUUGUCUUAUGAAAUUUUUUCGUUAUCCAAGAGUUUUAAUUGAAAUACUUGGCUUCCAGUUAUUUUGUAAAGCUGUUGAAAACUACCACAGUAAUUUUUAUUUGAGGGCCAAUGUUUAGCGAUUUGGGGUCAAUUCAAAGUCAACUAACGUGUAAAACAUGAUUUCCUUUCAUGAACUUCCAAGAAAGAAAGGAGACCAUUCACCUUCUUCGUGACAACAAAUGAUGUUGAUAUGACAAAUACAAACGCUAUUACAGUAUAAGACCGAGACUUGAUAAAUUGUUAAAUUACAUGUCAUUUUCUUGUUGACUAAAUUGGAAGAAAAAAAUUAAAAUAAAAUAAAAUUGUAAUCAGGGUGAUGUGUGGAAUAUAUUGAAAUAAAUAAAUGGAGAAGAGAAAUUCGUUGAUCAAUAUUCAAGAACUCAUCCAAAGUGACCGUUAAAGUCUGGAGGUUCCGUAUGAUUAGCAUUUAUUUUUAAUUUUUUGGCUUAACAUCAUAUGUAGUCAUUGGUCGUGUGAUCUAGGACAGGUUUAGAAAUCUUUUUUUUUAACUUCCGUAUUCUUAUUAUUUAAUUAGUUAUAGGAUUUUUUAGUAUUUGAGUAGUGAUCGCAUGUCUCCUAAUCUAAAAAUAUGUUUCUACGAGUACAAAUAAAAACUAAGAUUUUAACAACCUUUUAUACUAAACCCUAAAAAUACAUGAAUUUAUCAAAAUAAAUAAAUUUGAAUUGGUAUGCCAUAAUAAAAAUUUUACUUGCCAAAACAAAUUAAAAAAAUGUGACGCUUAAAUCAAAUGUUGACAAAAAUAGACAAAAAUCCAACAAGAAUCUCAAAAAUAAGAAAGAUAUCUUCAAACAAAAAUAAAAGCGCUCAAGAGAAAUUUGGCGACGAUCUGCUAAUCCAUAUUAAAAAUGUCACUUUGACUCACACUCUUUUCCUCGAGAACUUCAGAAUGAUAUAUUAUGAGCCUAAGACAAAUAGCUAUUGCUCAAGUUAUGGCCUUAUGAAUACAUCUUACUCAAUGGCCAUCCUAAAUCAAUAGAGCAACUUGGACGUGUCGAACAUGUUUGCAUUCAAAUUUAGGUAAAAAUCUAUUCUUAUUGAAGGUAUAUAUAGGUGCCUGUGAAGUCUCAUACCGGAUAUAAUGUGAAAGCAAAUCAUGAAUUUAAUCAUUCAGCCAAUUAUUAGUGUGUACGUAUGGUAGGGAUGGCAAAAACCCCGACCGUAGGUAUAGUAUUACCCAGAUUUGGCCUAAUCAUUUUUUUUUAACACCUAGACUUUUUCAAUCAGAGCUUAAAAACCUAUAAUAUUAUAUAUAUUUUUAAUUUAUUUUAUAAUUUUAUAUUUUCAAAUUUUAUUUUAAUAAAAUUAGACUUGAAAAUAUGAAUUUUAAAUAUUUAAAACUUUAAAUAUAGAUAAUAAGUGGACCAAAUGAACAAAAUAAUAGAUAUUUUAUAAUAUUCUUCAUAAAAAUCCAAGUUUUGAGCUGGCCCAUAAGCUUGUGUGGUGAAGUCUGGGAACCCGCGUUGCCCAAGGUUCCGUCAGAAUCCAGGCUGUGCAGAUAUUUAUGACAUCCCAUAUGGACGGAGAGGAAAUAUUUUCAGUUGACUGAAUUAAAUAAAAAUAUAUUACAAUCAUAUUAUAUAUUAACAGAAAAAAUAAAAAGAAAUGAAGAAAAACGUAUGCAAGACUUAGAGAAGUCAAUUAAAAGCUGGGAGUAUCAUCAGUUCAAUUGGUUAUAAAUAGCGUAGAGCCAUCCUCUCGUUGUUGCAGAACUGAAGGAAAGAGAGACAUAAAGAGUGUGUGUAGGUGAUUAUAAUUAAGAAGAUAUAAUGUGUGGUUCAAAAAGAGUGUGGGUGAGUGAGUUGAUUUUCAUAUUAUUAGUAGUAAAAGGGUGGUGGAGUGAAGGAUGUUUGGAGCAAGAGAGGUCUGCUCUCCUCCAACUCAAACAUUUCUUCAAUGGUGAUCAACGUCUUCAAAACUGGGUAGACGCAGGAGAUGAUGAGAAUUAUUCAGAUUGUUGUCAGUGGGAAGGGGUUGAGUGUAAUAACACCACUGGCAGAGUGAUUGAAUUACAUCUAGGAUAUACUCGGAAUUGGGAAUCAGCAGAGUGGUAUAUGAAUGCCUCUCUCUUUACUUCCUUUCAACAAUUAGAGUCUCUUGAUCUAAGUUGGAACAAUAUAGCUGGUUGUGUUGAAAAUGAAGGUCCUUAAUUUACUCUAUUUUAGUUCUUCCUCGUAAUUUCUUACAUUUAUCUGAUCCCUUUGGGCUUUUGUUUAAUUUGUACAUGAUACAAUAACAUUUUUUUUAGUUUUUAUUUUUUAUUUUUUGGCAGGUCUAGAGAGGCUAUCAAGGUUGAACAACUUGAAGUUUCUUUAUUUAGACGAUAACCACUUCAACAACAGCAUCUUUUCAUCUCUAGGUGGUCUUUCAUCACUCAGACGCUUAUCAUUGGUUGAUAAUAGAUUGAAUGGAAGUAUUGAUAUUAAAGGUAAGCAAGCUUCAUCCCUUCUCCCGUGUCCCAUCUUUUGUGGAUCUUAUUUCAUUGACCGGCUGGAAGUAUUGAUAUAAGAUCUGGCUAAACUCUUGCUAGUUUAAGCUUCAAGGAUUUAAAUAUUAUAAAAAUAGGUUUAAGAAAUUAUCAAUAUAUGCAAUUUUCAAUGCUUCUCAUAAUCAGACACAAUUCAAUCUAAUUAUUUUGUAUGUCCUGUCUUCAAAAGUAAAGAAUUGUACACUAAAUGGAAAUCGACAUCGUAGCUUUUUAUUUUUUCUAAUGCUCUUUUUUCGUUAACAAGUUUAUAUCCUAAGAGGGAUUGGAUUAAAAAAAAAAAAAAGUUUUGAUGUUCAAGGUAGGCCAUAAUAACCUGCAUGUUAUUUGUCUGCCUGUAUCUAAAUUUGUGCACUGAAUUUAGUAUUUUGGUUAUUGUGAAGGGAUCAGAUAUUGGCUUCCAUAGACCAACUUGUAUUUAGUUAAUUAAUUAAUUAACUACAUUUAGUAUUUAACAAAUUAAAAUUUAGUGUUUAAUCUAUUUUAAUUUUUUUAAGAAAAAAGAAAAAGAUAUAGCAGUAGGUAAAGCUAAAAUAAAUUUUAAUUCCUUACAAAUUUAAAUUCAUGGUUGUCAGCUAAAUAUACUUGCUUAAAGCCACUUAGUCGAGCCCUUUGAGAGCUGCUUUAAAUUUUUCGGAUUAGCCAUAUUCUUUUCUUAUUAAUAAAAAUCUUUUCGUUGAGAUUUAACAUAAAAAAGGAGAAAAUAAGUUAUUUAAUUAACUCUGUUUUAAGUGUUGGAAUAAAUACAGGACUGGAUUCCUUGAGUAACUUGGAGGAGAUGGACAUGAGCGACAAUGCAAUCGAAAAUCUAGUGGUUCCUAAAGGUAUACAAAAUGUUCAAAUAUUAAUAAUUUGGAGGACAAUUUAAUUGAUUUGAUUAGGGAAUGCCCAAUGACACUUACCCAAAAUAAUUUAAUCCGAAAUUGUAUCUCAAAUAGAUUACAGAGGUUUGAGGAAGUUGAAUACCUUUUAUUUGGAAGCAAGGUGUUGCAAUCAAUAAAGAAAUUCGUUGGUAAAUAUUCAAGGACUCAUCCAAAGUGAUCAUUAAAGUCUAGAGGUUUGCUCUCCUCCAAUUCAAACAUUUCUUCAAUGAUGAUCAACGUCUUCAAAACUGGGUAGACGCGGGAGAUGAUGAGAAUUAUUCAGAUUGUUUUCAGUGGGAAGGGGUUGAGUGCAACAACACCACUGGCAGAGUGAUUAAAUUAUAUCUAGGAUAUGCUCGGAAUUGGGAAUCAGCAGAGUGGCAUAUGAAUGCUUCUCUGUUUACUCCCUUUCAACAAUUAGAGUCUCUUCAUCUAAUUGGGAACAAUAUAGCCGAUUGUGUUGAAAAUGAAGGUCCUUAAUUUACUCUAUUUUAAUUCUUCCUCAUAAUUUCUUACAUUAAUCUGAUCCCUUUUGGCUUUUGUUUAAUUUGUAGGUGAUACAAUAAAAUUAUUUUUUAUUUUUUGUCAGGUCUAGAGAGGUUAUCAAAGUUGAACAACUUGAAGUUUCUUCGUUUAGAAUCUAACUACUUCAACAACAACAUCUUCUCAUCUCUAGGCGGUCUUUCAUCACUCAGAAACUUAUCAUUGGCUAGUAAUAAAUUGAAUGGAAGUAUUGAUAUUAAAGGUAAGCAAGCUUCAUCCCUUCUCCCAUGUCCCAUCUUUGUGGAUCUUAUUUCAUCGACCAGCUGGAAGUAUUGAUACGAGAUCUAGCUAGACUCUUGCUAGUUUAGGCUUCAAGGCUUUGAAUAUUAUAAAAAUAGGAUUAAGAAAUCAUCAAUAUAUGCAAUUUUCAAUGCUUCUCAUAAUCAGACAGAAUUCAAUCUAAUUAUUUUGUAUGUCCUGUCUUCAAAGGUAAAGAAUUGUACACUAAAUGGAAAUCGACAUUGUAGCUUUUUAUUUUUUUCUAAUGCUCUUUCUUCGUUAACGAGUUUAUAUCCUACGAGGGAUUGGAUUAAAAAAAAAAAAAGUUUUGAUGUUCAAGGUAAGCCAAAAUAACAUGCAUCUUAUUUAUCUGCCAAUAUCUAAAUUUGUGCAUUGAAUUUAGUAUUUUGUUUAGUGUGAAGAGAUCAUUUAUUGGCUUCCAAAAACCAACUUGUAUUUACUUAAUUAAUUAAUUAAUUAACACCAUUUAGUAUUUAACAAAUUAAAAUUUCGUGUUUAAUUUGUUUAAUUUUUUAUUUUUUGAAACAAGAAUAAGGUAUAGAAGUAGGUAAAGUUGAAAUAAAUUUUUAUUCCUUACAAAUUUAAAUUCGCCAUUGUCAGCCAAAUAUACCUACUUAAAACCACUCAAUCAGGCCCUUGGCAUCUGUUUUUUAGGUUUUUCUAAUUAGCCGUAUACUUUUUUGCUUAUUAAUAAAAUUCUUUUGCACCAAGAUUUAAAAAUAAAGGAGGAGAAAAUAAGUUAUUUAAUUAACCUUGUUUUAAGUGUUGGCAUAAAUACAGGACUGGAUUCCUUGAGCAACUUGGAGGAGCUGGACAUGAGCUUCAAUGCAAUCGACAAUCUAGUUGUUCCUAAAGGUAUACAAAACGUUCAAAUAUUGAUAAUUUGGAGGGCGGUUUAAGAGAUUUGAUUAGGGAAUGCCCAAUGACUUACCCAAAAUAAUUUAAUCCGAAAUUAUAUCCCAAACAGAUUACAAAGGUUUAAGGAAGUUGAAUACCCUUCAUUUAGGGGGAAGGGAAAAUGCAAUGAUAGAUGGAAGACAGGUGUUGCACUCAAUAGGAUCACUGUCGUCCCUCAAAACACUUUACCUUUUGUAUACCAAUUUUAUGGGAACAGUAGUUAAUCAAGGUAAGUAAAUCUUUUAUCUCGAAAAUAAUUGAAUUAAUAUAUAUAGCUAAAAUUUAUUGUUUCUACUUCUUUCUAAAUAGAAUUGCACAAUUUCACCAACUUGGAAGAAUUGAUAUUGCUCGAGUCUUAUCUCCAUGUAAGCCAGCUUCUACAAAGUAUCGCAUCAUUCACUUCGUUAAAGUAUUUGUCAAUGCAACAUAGUGUACUCAAGGGUGCCCUGCAUGGUCAAGGUAAAUUACGGGUAUAUGAAGCGUUUGUGAUAUUAAUUCGAUGAUAAUUCUUUCUUUUCAAGUUAAGUUUUUCUUGUAAAAUAAUUUUUUUCUUUUUAAUUUUAUAUAUUUUCACUGUCCAAUAGUUCUAUCUUCUCUAAUUUGCUGGAUUCUUGAUUAAGGUUAAUGAAAUUUUAGUUCUGUUAUGUUAAGAAUAUUUCGAUCGCUUAAAAGAGUAAAGAAAAAUAAGUAAAUUAACCCAAAAAAAAAAGAAAAGAAUAGGACCGGAUUAUCCUUAUUCCCUUGCAUUAUGUGAUCAAUAUCAAAAUUAUAACCAUUUCUUGUUUAUUGCUUGUAGAUUUUCGUAAAUUCAAGAAUUUGGAACGUCUGGACAUGGGUGGGGCGCAGGUUGACGUCAACACCAAUUUUCUUCAAAUUGUCGGCGAAUCGAUGCCUUCUCUUAAGUUUUUAUCACUGACAUAUUCAAGUCUUAAUAAAAACACCAUUCUUGAUCAAGGUUAAUUAAUGAUUCUCCGUCUCCCUCUCUCGCAUCAUAACUAAAUUUAAUUGAAAAUAUCUAUAAUGUGAGCUAUUUAUAAACUUAAUGAAAGAUGAUAAGGAGCCAUAAUAAUGACAAAAACAACUGUAAAAUUUUACAGUUAUUUUGUUGCCAUUACGUCAGAUUCUACUGUUCAACUAUCAGUGAUCAAACUUAAUUUUUAAUAUGUACUUUAAAGAUUUUAUGCAAUUAUUUAUCUAUGUGUACUGAAGGAUGAAUUAUAUAUUUUUCAGGACUUUGUCAGUUAGUGCAUCUGUACGAGUUAGACAUCGGCCGUAACGAUUUGAGAGGUAGCUUGCCAUGGUGCUUGGCAAACAUGACAUCCCUUCAAGUGUUAGAUGCCUCUUCUAAUCAACUUACUGGAAACAUCUCCCCAGGCCUUUGUGAGUUGGUGCUUCUGAGAGAGUUAUACAUUGAUAACAAUGAUUUAAGAGGUAGCUUGCCUUUGUGCUUGGCAAAUUUGACUUCCCUUCGAGUAUUAGAUGUCUCUUACAAUCAACUUACUGAAAACAUCUCAUCUUCCCUCAUGCAUCUAAUAUCUAUAGAAAAGCUCAUACUUUCAAAUAAUCACUUCUUCCAAAUCCCUAUUUCACUUGAACCACUUUUCAAUCUCUCAAAACUCAAGACUUUCGAUGGUGAAAUAUGCACAGAAACUGAGUCACAUUAUAAUUCUUUGACCCCAAAAUUCCAACUGACUUCUAUCUCACUGUCUGGUUACAUAGAUGGUGGCACAUUUCCUAAAUUCUUGUACCAUCAGCAUGACUUGAAGAAUGCUGAUCUCUCACACCUUAACUUGAGUGGAAAAUUUCCAAAUUGGUUGGUAGAAAACAAUACGAACUUAGAGACGCUUCUUCUUGCCAACAACUCUCUUUUUGGGUCAUUUCGGAUGCCAAUUCAUUCCCACCAGAAAUUGACAAUAGUGGAUGUCUCCAACAAUUUCUUUCAAGGCCAUAUUCCGGUGGAAAUCGGAACAUAUCUGCCAGGUUUAAUGGAUUUAAACUUAUCUAGAAAUGCUUUCAACAGUAGCAUUCCCUCUUCAUUUGCUGAUAUGAAAAUGUUGAAAAGGUUGGACAUAUCCUACAAUCAGUUGACUGGUGAAAUCCCUGAGCGCAUGGCCACGGGUUGCUUCUCUUUGGAAAUUCUUGCAUUGUCAAACAACAGUUUGCAAGGUCAUAUAUUCUCUAAAAAAUUUAACUUGACAAAUUUAAUGAGGUUGCAGUUGGAUGGUAAUAAUUUCACUGGAGAGAUCCCAGAAAGCUUAUCUAAGUGCCGUUUGUUAGGAGGACUAUAUCUGAGUGAUAAUCAUCUCUUUGGUAAGAUUCCAAGAUGGUUGGGUAAUUUUUCAGCUUUAGAAGAUAUUAUAAUGCCCAAUAACAAUCUUGAAGGACCAAUACCAAUCGAGUUUUGUCAGCUUGAUUCUCUGACGAUUUUAGACCUUUCAAACAAUGCUAUUUUCGGAACCUUACCAUCUUGUUUUAGUCCAUCAUUUAUCGAACAAGUUCAUUUGUCAAAAAACAAGAUAGAAGGACGGCUGGAAAGUAUAAUCCAUGACAGCCCUUAUUUGGUGACAUUAGAUCUUAGUUAUAACCGCUUCCACGGAAGUAUUCCAAAUUGGAUUGACAUACUUUUUCAGUUAAGCUACCUUCUUCUAGGUAAUAAUUAUAUUGAAGGAGAAAUACCAGUUGAAUUAUGCCAGUUGAAGGAAGUGCAGUUGAUUGAUCUUUCUCAUAAUAAUCUAUCUGGUCAUAUUCCUCCUUGCUUGGUUAACACUGCACUCAGUGAGGCAGUAGCUCCAACUUCUAGUUCGUGUGGUCGAGCGUCUGGCUAUGCACGUCCAUGUGAGAAAAAUACAAGUGGACCUCCGAUGGGAAAGGAAGAAACUGUACAGUUCACAACAAAGAAGAUGUCCUACUAUUAUCAAGGAAGAAUUUUGACGAGUAUGUCUGGGAUUGAUCUUUCUUGUAACAAACUGAUAGGUGAAAUUCCUACUCAAAUUGGAUAUCUUACUAGGAUUCAUGCACUAAAUCUAUCUCAUAACAAUUUGACGGGCACAAUCCCGACAACAUUUUCAAACCUGAAGCAAAUUGAAAGCUUGGACCUCUCCUACAACCUAUUGCAUGGGAAAAUCCCUCCUCAACUAGUUGCGCUAAAUACAUUGGCAGUCUUCAGAGUAGCAUACAAUAACUUAUCAGGUAAAAUUCCAGAUAGAAUUGCACAAUUUUCAACUUUUGAGGAAGAUAACUAUGAGGGGAAUCCUUUUCUUUGUGGAUUGCCACUGUCUAAAAGUUGCAAUGAUAGUGGAUUAUCAGCAGUGACACCGGAAGCUUACAUUGAAGAUGAAGAAGGUGAUUGUUUCAUUGACACGAGCAGUUUCCUGAUCACUUUUACAGUAUCUUAUGGAAUUGUUAUAAUAGGAAUUAUUGGAGUUUUGUACAUAAACCCCUAUUGGCGACGAAGAUGGUUUUACCUUGUUGAAGUAUGUAUGAUCUCUUGCUACUAUUUUGUAGUAGAUAAUCUUAUUCCUAGAAGAUUCUAUCGUGGAUGGAUGUAAUUUCCUUACAUUACAACUUAUAUGUAAUUUUUAAAGAAUUUUCUUUUGCAUGCAUGGAAUAGCAACUCAAUAAAAGUAUUUGAUGCAAAUUGUCCAAGAACAACUUAGUAAUUUCAUUGCAACUAUUCGGUUGUAUAUAUACAGUUAAUGAAAUUUUUAACCAUUCGCAGAAUACCCUUAGGAAUUUCUUUAGAUGGCGGCCAAAAAGAGAUUCGGGGCUCUACACGGUCUGGAUGAAGAUUAACUUAAUGCCCUCUGGAUUAUGUGUAAGUUCUCUUUUAAAUUUAAGGGUUGAGAUUUCAGGUCCGGAUGAAAGUUGAAUGCAGGUGACGAGACUUCACUGGGACAAACUUAAAAUAAAAAAUUAUAGUCCACAAUAAGUGUAAUACCCUACCCCUGGUUUUUGACCAUGCUGACCACCCAUAUAUAUAUAUAUAUAUAUAUAUAUAGAGAGAGAGAGAGAAGUAAAGAGAGAAGAGACGAGAGAGAGAGUGAAAGGAGUUGACCCGAGUUUGACCCGAAUCCGACCCGGAACCCGCGACUUUGACCCAGCGAUUUCUCCCAUUUCCGGCCACCGUUCCGGGCAAGCUUGGUACCGAUUCGAAGCUUGAGAGACGAGCUACGUGUCCAUGCCAUCCUUGCCGCCGGAAAACGAUCGGAAAGCCACCGAUCGAAGCUUUGAAGUUCCGCGGAAUCACCGGCUCGAUUCGCCGGUUUCCGGUGAAGCCAUCACUUGGGUUUGGUCCUUACCUUGCCCUCUGCCAUUUCCGACUAACCACUGACGCCGGGGACAUCGUUUUAUCGGUGAUCAGCCGUUAGAGGAUUCACGACUUCGGGAGCUCGAUUCGGAGCCAUCGCCGCGCGUGGGAGGUCACCACCGCCAUCAUUGGACUCAGCGUGGCUUGAACUUUCAGUUCUGAGCUUCCCGUCGCCGUCGGAUGAAUUCCGGUGACCGUUGACCGGCAAGGGUAUUUCGGUGAUUUCACAGUCUAAGGGCAAUUUUGUAAUUUCAGAUUUUGUGGGUAUUUUCGUAAUUGCAUUGAUUGAGGAUAAAGUUGGUAAUUUAUGAUUUUGAGGUUAAUUUGGUAAUUUUGAUAUGGGGGUAUUUUGGUAAUAUUGAAUUCAAGGGUAUUUUGGUAAAUUUUGUAAUUUGAGGGUAAAUAUGUAAUUUGUGGAAUCAAUGGAUAAUUGGUAAUUUUAAGUGAGGGCAGUGAGGUAAUUUGAGAUUACGAUGGUAACUCGGUAAUUUAAGUCGUAAAGGAUAUUUUGGUAAUUUUACGUUCCGAGGGUAAUUUCGUAAUUUCUGACAUUGUGGUUAUUUUUGUGAUCUGAAUUGAGGACUAUUUAGUAAUUGAAGAUUAUGAGGAUAAGUUGGUAAAAUAAUGAUGUUGGGGGCAUUUUGGUAAUUUUGGCAUGUAGGGGUAUUUCGGUAAUUUUGUGCAUGCGGGAAUAGUUUAUUGUUAAUAGAUAUUCGUUUCGAGAUUUAUUAUAUAAAAUUGGUUGUAUUUCAAUUUACGGAAAAUGAUUAUGGCGUUUCCUUGAUUAGGAGGAUUCGCGAACGAGAAUCAACCCGCGGACGUUGUUGGCACCAAAUCUGGAUAUUGUCACUCUGAGUGGAAUAUACGAAACUUAUUUUUAGAGUUAAUUAUGAUAGUAAAGCAUGUUUGCGGAAUAAGUAUUUUAAAUGUUCUGAUUUAAUGAUUUCUUGAAAUGGAUUUAAUGUGAUUUCCUCGAAAUGGAUUUAAUGUGAUUUCCUCGAAAUAGAUUUUAUUCAUGUGUUGAUAUUUUAUUAAAGUGUUUGGUCAAUGAUUUUGCGUAUCCAUUUUGAAUAACGCAUGAUAUUAUUUGAAAAAUAAGAAAAGUGGAUUCAAAUGUGGUAUGAUUUAAAAUAUGGUUAAGAGGAUUGUUUUUGAAAUCAUUAGACAGUACCCUUCCCCUCCAGAUACAGUGAUAUAAAUGAUAUGAGAUGAGAGGCCUUUGGGGUUCGUCUGAACACACAUAGAGGCUUUGGGCCGUGUGUUUGAGCGUUUUUGCCUUUAUAUGCAUGCAGUACAGAUAUUGAGUUACAGUGAUACAGAUAUGGGCUACAGACAUAUAUUGAGUACAGUGAUACGGAUAUGGGAUACAGAUCAGUUAUUGAGAUUCAGAGAUACAGUGAUACAGAUAUGAGAUACAGACAGUUGAGAUACAGAUGAGAUACAGGCCUUUGGGGCCCGUCUGAGUACACACAGAGGCUUUGGGCCGUGUGCUUGGGCGCUAUUGUCCUUUGGGGACUAGAUUAUGCAUGCACAGAUAUGAUGAGAUAUGAAAUAGUAUUUCCCUAUUUAUCCGUGUAGCUCUGGGGUGUGACGUUACCCAGAUAGUACGUCAUUGCCCGUCCGUUGAGGUCCGUAUAUGACGAGAUUAUUUCCCUGGGUACUUGUUUGAUGAUAGUUUUGGUAUUUAGUAUUUGAUAUGAUAAGUAUGGGUAAUUUUUAAAAACCUCCCCUGAGGUUUGAGGCUGUUGCAAGUAGAUGGUGAAAAUCAUUUUAUUUGUAAAAGACCCCCUACCGUCAGUUAAAAUUUUUAUUGACUAACUGUUGACUUUAAAAAGACAAUAUUACCGCCAAUAAUAGUUUACGUCAGUUAAAAUUUCCUUAAAAUCUUAAAAAAAUAAAAUUACAAACUUAAAAAAAUUAUAUUUUUAUAUCAAAUAAUUAAGAUUUGUAAUUUUAUUACAAACUUUAAAAAAUUACAUUUUUAUAUCAAAUAAUUAAGAUUUGUAAUUUUAUUACAAACUUAAAAAAAAUUAUUUUAAGAUUUGUAAUUUUAUUUUUUUAAGAUUUUAAGGAAAUAUCAAUAACUUAAUCAUGGUGAAAAUAAUUGUUUUAAUUACUUAUGAAAUUGUAAAUAUUUGGAAUUGUAAAUAUUGGGGGUAAUAUUGUCUUUUCAAAGUCAACAGUUAGUCAAUGGAAAUUUUAACUAACGGUAGGGGGCCUUUUACAAAUAAAAUAAUUUUCACCAUCUACUUGCAACAGCCUCAAACCUCAGGGGAGGUUUUUAAAAAUUAUCCUGAUAAGUAUUAUGUUUCCAUCGAUUUUAUGCAGAUUUAUGUAAUAUAGUAUUUCAGUGACUGAUUUGAAUUAAAUAAGUUUAUAUAAGUUCUUAUGAUAUUCUGAUGAAAUUGAUUUGAGAAAUUGAUUUGAGAAAGAUUAAAUCAUUUUAAAAGAAUUGAUUUUUUAAAAUUACUAUCCACUCACUGAGUUCACUGAGUUUUAUACUCAUUCCGCUUUUAUUAUAUUUUCUUCCCCCCACAGGAGAUUUGCAGGUACAUCAGUCGACCUAGUAUCGAAUGUUAGUUUUGAAAUUGUUGCCACGUGAUGGUGUUAGGAUGUCAUAGAGUUAAUACUGUGAUAUUUAGGAUAUUGCGAAUUGUAUUUAUUUAUUAUAUUUUGUAAUUAAGGAUAACCAUUGUAUUUUUUAAUAUUAGAAUGACUUGGGUGGUACUUGGUAUGUUGACUUGAGAAGUUGGUUAUGGAAGAUGGUUGGAUAUUGAAUUAUUUUAGGAGUAUUGUUUUGUAAUUUGCAGGUUUGAGAAUGUUAUAUUUAUAAGGGAGAUUCUGCCGAAAUUUUUAUAGAAUUCGUACUUAAUAUCGAUUCAAUUUUACGAGUUUAGAUGGACUUGCCCUGGGGGUGCGGGGCGGGUCGUUUCAGUAAGAGCAAUGGGUAGUUUAACUUAUGGAAGAUAACUAGAACUUGGAAUAACUAUCCGAUCUGCACCUCUUUAUUUGUUAUAUGCUAGUGGGGAUUUUAGGUAGCGUUUAUCGCCAGGGGAGUUACAGUAAUCGAUUCAUAUAUCCUCCUUUACUUCCGAGGGUAACCCAGCUCUAUACAAGAACAACAAGAGGGUUCAAUUAAGAACUCUCUCUCUUCCUCACAACAAAUACACCUAACAGACCAAACCGUGCGCAAAAUAAUUCUAUUCCGUUCUAUUCAUGUCAUGAAUCCCACAAGUCAAAAACUAUCGCAACUCAUUUUGUUUAAUCAGCAUAACUAAAUUGUGGGUAUAAAUGAGCAAACUUUUGAAGCCUGUAACUUAUAAUAAACGCAAACCCAAAAAUGACAUUUAAAUCCUCAUCAUCCCUAACAAAAAGAAACAGGAAUAAUUAUAUACCAAUAAUUUUUCCACAACAAAUACUGAUUUGAGUUGAAACACUAUACAAACUGGGUCCUAUACACUUGCAGAAAGCUACACAGUAGAGAAAAUCUAGCAGCUACAUAAUGGUAUCACUUUCAGCUGGUCACGAAUGGUGUGCAUUCAGCAGUGCUCGACAGACCAUGUCUACGAAUUGAUUGUCCUAUUACAUAUAAAAGCUGGUUAGAUAUACAAGGAAAAAAUUAAUAAUUGAAAAUGCAUCACAAAAAUUAAGAGUAUCGCAUUAGUGUUUGCACUCUAAGCAUGGCAAAGUGGUGGGGGGUUCAUUAUUUUGAAGACUGGGAUAAGUGAAAAAUAGUUCAAUCCACUGAUGAGCAUAAAUUUAUUUACAUGUCAAUUUAGAUAUCAUCAAAAAGUAAACAGUAAUUCACAGUCACUUAAAAGAGUGGACAAAAUGCAUACCAUGAAUGCAUUUUUGUACGUAAGAAAUCCAAAGAAUAUUUCUGAUAAUACAAAUAUGCUGGCUUUAAAUCUGCUGUCAAUAAGCAAUUAAGAAGAUUAUACCAGCUGCAUGGUAAAGUUCCCCUACUCUUAAUAACAGUAAACAUGAACAUGUCAGAUGCAAUUCUAGCAUCGACCAUUUGCAUAACCAGAAAUCCUAACCUGAACAAGCACCAGAAGUGCCUCCCGGACUUUCUCCUUGCUGAUAAAUGGUCCACAGUUUGAAGUAAGAGCAGGAGUAAGAGAUGGUGGAGGGAUUGGUGGUGGAAAAGGUUGAAGCACUGGGGCACCACAUGGGCGUUGUAGACUCAAGGGAGUAUUAAGUGGCGGAGCUGUUGGUGUAGAUGAAGAGACAGGCUGCAUCAUCCGCGCAGAGGAGGAUGGAGGAGGAACAAAGAAUAAGGAAGGCUUUACAAGAUUAGGUGUCCAGUUGCCAGAUUCAGAGGUGUCAAUGGGUGGCAUUAAAGGGGUAGGUGCUGAUAGAGGCGGGGAUGGUAUUUGCAAGGUUGGCACGAUAGGAUAAGCAACACUGGCGGGAUGAGAAGGUACAGAAAUAGUUGUAUCAGACUGCUAAGGUUGUGCAGAGAUUGCUGCAUUAGAAGUACUCCCCACAAUCAUAGCUGUCUGUAAUGAUAAGGACAGAUGUCAGAUACAAGGACUUCAUAGAAGUUGAACCUCACACUAAAAAGAAGUGAUAACAUAUGAAAAUAGUAUAUGACUUGCAGCAUUUUUGUGGUAAUGUUGCAUACUUAUGUAGAAACAUAUUAUUUCAAAGAAAACAUACACUGAAGAAGUUCACAAAAGCAGGAUCCUCAGGAACAUCAGCAGCAUUUGAGGGAGUUGACUCUAGAGGACCAUCCAUAACUGCCGUAGUUGGAACAGCUUCCAGUUCCUCAAACUCACUGCAGUUUAACAAUAAAAGGAACUCGAUGACCAAUUUAAGUAACAAUUAGAUGAUAUAAGAGGUUAGGGAAAAUGAUGAGCGGACCCUUAUGGAAGGUGAUUUCACCUUAGCUAAACACGAAAAUAAAAAGAAAUCAAGGCCGACUCCUCGAGUGCAAUGCAAAAAAUAUUUUCCCUCUUCUCUAACUCCUCUUAUUCAAAAUUGCUCAUCAUUGUGCUGUUCUUUGAGUUUUCACUAGAGUAGAGAACGCUAUUCUCCUGUUAAGUGCAGAGGAAAGAGAAGGGCAAGGGCCUGGUAUGACGCUAUUCUAUAGAAAGUGAGAAGGUGAAGGGUUAAAAUAUUUUGCAAUUUGGAGGUGGUGUUUGUUAGUGUUCGUACUUCUGAGUUUAUUACCUCUUUAGGAUCCAUAGAAAUUGCCUCUUGUUUAGCAUGCACUGUGCCUAAGAGUAAGGCGAGCUUGCAGAGUAUCUAUUAUUUAUUUACUUGGAUAUUCAAACAGGACUACCAGCAACCAAACCUGUCCCAGCACACUAAUCCCCAAACAAAACACUCCUUCAAGUGCAAGGAAAGAGUAACGUGGGCAUAUUUAUGGUUCAAGCACUACAAUAACUAAGAAUGUGAUGACUGUCCACAAACACUAUAUCAGAACCUUUUGAACUACAUCACAUGCUCGAAGAUUGUUUUUUCAGUCAUACAUAAAUUAGCCAUAAAAUUAAGGCCAUUAUACAACUAAAAAGAAAGAAAAAUUGUUUGCUACUACAUAUCAAAACUGGUAAUAGAAAUGUAAUAUGGCAGACUUCUUACUUAAACAGAUGAGAGGCUACAAAAAAAAAAUUGUGCAAAUAAAAUAUAUGAUAAAGAGCAUAAUACUUUCUUGGGGGCUAAAAAUAAUAUACAACAUGUAAAAUAUAAAUUGAGCUAUCAUUACCUUUUAGACGUGGCAACUUUCGACUUUUGAGGCACCUUGGAAUAUGCAUUCAGAAUCCUGCAUUUGGAAGCCAAAUAAAUAAUGUUAAAAACAAUUUUACAAUAGAAACAUUAAAAAUUGAUAAAUUACAGUUGCAAUUUAUGUAUGCGAAAAGAUAGCAUCACAUCCAGGGUCCUCCCCUAAACAUGCUUGUAACGAGAAUUAGUCUGCCUCCACUGUUAGCAACUGCUAACAAUAUACAAUAGUAAAAAUCACUCUCAUGAACUCACCAAUACCAGACACCAAUAAGAGUAUGAUACAACUAUUCUAAAUGGAAGAGAAAACCACUGUUUUAUAACUAUGUCGCAUCCAAAGAUAUGUUAGGAGGAUUAAUCCAAAUACCUUCGAACCCAAUUAACAAACUUGAGGCAAAAACCAGGGGCCCCAACUGAACCUUACAAUCUUGAAGGAAGGAGGCUUCUGGCAUUUUUCAGAUAGGUGAGUUACUAGAUCUCCUGCGAAGAGAAUAUCUUUUGCUUUGAACCUCCAUUGAAAUUUCUUUUUCCCUUUUUCUUGUUUUGACUUGGAACUUUCCAGCAUCAUCUAUUUGACCUUUUUUAAAGCUAAAAUAGCAAUCUAUGGGUUGUCAACAUCUUAUCUCCCCUUCCCCCCCCCCCCCCAAAAAAAAAAAAUCAAUGGGUUGUCAAUAAAUAGUGCCUACUCAACUUAUGUUUUCCAAGGGAUGACAAUGUGCAAAUCGACCUAGUAGCCACACUUUUCCCCCACUUUCAACCACCGUUAGGCAACUUUUCUAACCUUUCUUCAUUGCCCACAUCUACAGAACUAUCAUAUAAAGACUACAUUAUUAUUGGGGUAGAGGAAAAAAUACAGACUAUAUUAUUAUAUCUCAUUUUACUAAUUGGAAAAGACACUCAUGAUAAUACAGACCUUAAAAAGCAAUAGCUAGUAACACCCCAUGUACUCCUAUUUUAGCCUUCACUAUCCUAGUAAAAACACAAUUAAGUCUUGCAAAAGAACAUUCACAAGUAAAUUCAACAUUAAAUGAGAUUAGGUAUCCACUGCACCUUCAAUCGAUGACUGGGUGAAUAGCAUGGUCAACCAUCUAGUUCCUGCAGCCCUCCUUGUACCUAUGUUAGUUACAUUUUACAUAUUACGCCACGAAAAUGAAGGAUCACAGCCUGGUAAAGAAAGCCAUUAAUUAAUAGCUUUUGUUUAAAAAGUUCUCAUUUAGAUCUUUCCUAUUCAAUUAAUCAAUGUAAUCCAAAGAGAACUCUUCCAUUUCAAGCAGUGUUAGAAGAUAAUUGCAAAGCCUAAAGAUAAUAUACAAGGACCAAGAUAUCAAUAAAGUCAAAUAGUGAAUGUCAAAUAUAAAAAAUAAAUAAAAUAGUUGAACGUGAUCAUUUACUAUCAAGUUCUGUAAAACUGAAAAUACCAUUAUCCCUGUAGAGAUUCUCAAAAAACUCUUUAGCAAAUCAUUAAAUAGCAAAAAAAAGAACGAAAGUUCAAAAAAAAAAAUGUACAACAUCCAUAUCAGGAGAUAUUUUUCUUCUCAAUAUCAAUAUUUUCUAGCCGUGAAGCAAUUGAAAAGCUUAACACCAAGUGAAUUAUUAAGAAUUCAUCAUUUAAAUUCCCAAAUCGCAAAAUGUUGGUGCAACUAGGAAAGUGCAAAUGCAGUCACUUAACUAACACAAUAAGCACCAAUAGUGAGAAGCCCACUUUGUAUCAAAUUUGAAACAGAUAGAUAGAGGUCAAAAAAUUUAUAAAGACACUCAAUUGAAAGCCUUUCAAGCAGCUUUUGCAUGCAACAAGAGCAAAUCAAAGGCGAUGAGAAUGUAUUCAAAGACUAAUUUACAAUCAUCUAUAGACAUAAAUAUCUUGGAUACCUACUCUCUAUACCUUACUGUCCCACUGAAAAUCAUCAAAUCCCUCCAAACAAAAAUGACAAAAUGUAUAAGAAUUGUGUGGUCAAACUUCAAUAACUUAGCAGCCACAGCAAAAACUUAUGUAGACAUGCAAGCCACUCAAAAUAGUCAUAUUUUUUGCUUUCCAAACACAAGCCACUGUGUAAUGAAUGCUCAUAAAUUGCUACUACCAUGUUUGUUAAAACACGUGAAAACCACCAUAACUAACUCAAUGUAACUGAUGAUCACAUCACAUUCAUGGAAUCACAUAUCUGACAGUAUUAAUUAGUGCAAACUGCAUGCUUCUUGAAACUCCUUAUUUAUCACAUGGGUGCCAUUCCAAUCAACCAAUGAUUCUGAUCUAGUCAGCAAAUUCAACCCACGAGCGAGUAAUACCUCCUAUUGCUUCUUUACAUUUCUCAACAAAAUUCCACAUUCUACCCAUACUUCUGAACUUGAUGCUCCCAUAGACUAAUACAAUAUAAAGAUUUCUUCCCACACCACCCCAACCCCCACCCCUAAAAAACCAAUUUAAAUUCUCAUUGGAUGUACAACUUAUAGUCCAUACCAAAUUGAAAAAUUUGCAAAUAUAGAACCUCAAAGAAUCUGCUUGCGUUCCAUUUUCUACAGCAAGAAAAUUGACCUUUACCACAUGCAAGUCAACAUAUAAAACAAUCAUGUCUUUGUGAGAUGCACAUUUUCAGAUGAAUCUGGAGAGCAAUGAAACCAUAAAAACCUAAUAUGAGAACACCGAGGGCUCCAGAUAUCAUCUAUAGAAUCUUUGGUGCACCCUUGCAUGAUGAAAAAAAUUGAAGGCUUCGUCACCAACUCCCCAGGUUGUUUUGUUCUCCUAUCUCCUAAAUGCACAGGAAAGGCAACCCGUUCUUUUUUCCAAUCUUAAGGGGCACAGAAUGACUCCGGUAUAAAAUAGUCAGUUUCUAUACAAAAAUAACUCCUUUGCACUUGGCAUUGCACAUCUCAAAAUAAAAAGCAUGCAAGGAGGAGAAUAUAAUAGCAUUAAACAAGUUUUAUUAACCAAACUUCAAAGAUGCCAGACAAGGCAAAAAAGGAAUCUGUACAAGCCAGAUUCCAAGAAUAAUAAUUCCAAUAUACAAUUCAAGAAAACAAUAACUAAAACCAUGUUCAUGAGGCCUCAGUAGAAGCAACAUGUAAUAACCAUACUCUAUUAUUUGAAACACAUUUCCAAGUUUGGUUAAGAUUCUAAACUAUUCUCUAUCUGUCAAUUAUUAACAUGUAAAACAUAAUAAUAUACACUUAAACUACUACAGUAGUAAAACCAGUAAAACAACAAUACCUGCUAAAAAGAUUUGCUACCUCUUCACAUUCACGAGCAUUGUAGAACCAAAUCCCAUUUACUUCUUGGGAUGCAUUUCGAUAUAACAAAUACGGAACCUGAACUUCAAACUCAAAAUCUCCCAAAAGAUUUUCCACUAAAUUAUCUGCACAUAUACAAGAUAUUGAAGCUUAUCAGUGCAAAAACAUAUAUAAAAAGACAUGAAGGUUAGAAGACAUAACUAAAACUUAGCAACAACUGAUAAGCACAACAAGACAUGAAAUAUAACACUAGUUGUAAACAAGAUAGACACAUGGUAUCUAAAAAAUUGUACCAACCCCCUCUCCUGAUUGUCAUAAAACGGCCAAUAUUUAACCCUAGACAACAAAAUUGCAAAUACUCUAGCCUCUAUAUUAUUGGCAUAUAAAUAUUUUAGGUUAGGUACAUUAUAUUCUUCGUUCUAAAACCUCAAUUAUUAGCUAGUACUGUGAUAAAAUGAUUCAUCACUGAAAUUAAAACUAGGUCACGUACAAAUAAUCAAAACUGAAAUAGAAGCAACGAUAAACCAACCUGUAUUACGUCGAUUCAUCACAACAAACUGAAAUCGAGGCUGUGUGUUCCUGAAAAUUGAAAAAAAUAAUAAUUUCACCAACUUCAUGUGUAAUACAAUCUCCAAAACACCGAAUAUCAAAUGAAAAAAUGGAAAGCAUAAGAGAGAAAAGAAUCUAAUUUUAUUGACCUUUUGACGACGAACAGAGAUCCUUCAACAUCCUUACGACUCCAUUGGCUGAGAUCGAUGUUGAACUCGUAGAAGGUGACAUAAGCGGCCGUGAUGAGGAUCUCCUCAAUGAAUGGAUCGAUUCGCUGAAGAACUGUCAGGUUUAGGAGUUUUGUGCUCUGCUGGUCCAGAUUAGGCAUCAAUUUUCCGUUCUGCGACAUUUUUCGUAGUCCUUUCGGGCUCUGCCCCGAGCACAAGCCCCAUGGUUUUUCUGUGAGCUCUCUCUUUUGUAAAUAAAGUGUUUGAUGAGAUAGCCGAGAGAGAGUGAAAGAGUUGAACACCCAAACAAGGUGAGGUGAACAGUUUCGGAUUGAGACUCGAGAUUGAUCUUGCUUUAACGUCUUUCAAAUAUUUGGGAAAUAGCAUUUAUUUCUUUCAAUUUCUCUACUUUUUUUUUCCUUUAUGUCAUUUAGACCCAAAAAUUAGAUUUAUUAUAAAUUUAUAAUCAUAUUUUACCCAUUCACUAGUAACCCCUUUUAUUUUUGAAAUUUGUCAAUAUUAAUGUGUUAGAAUAAUGUUAGAAAUCCCAAUUAUUAUCUCAAUGUUUCAAUCAUAACUAAUGUGAUAACUCAUCGGUAACUGCAACAUUAACUUAAUUAUUAAUAUUUAUCAUGAAAUGAUGAGAUUAUUAUUCAAGAAAAAAUUAGUAAACAUCAAUGACUAAUAUAAUGUGACAAUUACAGCUGAAUAUUAGUACAAUAAUUAGGAUUCCUAAAGUUAGUGAUGUAUUAUAAUAUAUGUGUUAUACCACUUUAUGUCUCUCAAAUUCAAUUGAGUAAUUUCAUAUACCUGAGUACCUUUUAUUACAUUAAUUAAUUGGGUCCGCCUAACUUACGCUCAACGUAAGUUACGCUCAGCCCGUCCAAUUUCAUAUAGUCCCCCUAUACUCUAUACUAUUUAUAUUUUAUUCAUAAAUAUUAUAAAUUUUUUGAAAUGUAAAAUUUCAUUUAACCCCCUCUACUCAAUUUUAUUUUAUUAAAACCAUAGAGUAUGAAUUUGCCCCCAUAAUUUUAAAUUCUCAAAAUAACCCCCAUUUAAUUAAAAAUAUAAUUAUUUUUAAAUGAAUUAUAAUUAUAAUUAUAAUUUUAUUAUAAUCAUAAAUAUUUUUUUAAUAGAUUAUUGUUAUUAAAAUAAAAUUUUGUUUAGCCCCUCUACUCAAUUUUAUUUUAUUAAAACCAUAGAGUAUAAAUUCGCCCCCAUAAUUUUAAAUUCUCAAAAUAACCUCCAUUUAAUUAAAAAUAUAAUUAUUUUUAAAUGAAUUAUAAUUAUAAUUAUAAUUUUAUUAUAAUCAUAAAUAUUUUUUAAUAGAUUAUUGUUAUUAUUAAUAACGAUAAUAAAAAAUAUUAUAAUUAAUUAAUUAAUCUAUUAACAAUAAUUAAUAAUAUUUUUAUUAAAUUGUUAGUAAUAAUAAUAAUAAUUAAUGAUAAUCAACAUAUUUAUGAUUAUAAUAAAAUGGAAUAAACACUGAGUCUAUAUUUAUAUAGGAGACUCUUUUAUAUUUCUAUACAUUUUAAUUUCAAGUACUUUUAGGAUUUUUUUGUUACCUUCAUAAAUAAUGAUUUUGUAGGCAUCUCAUUAUUAAACGGUCAUUUUUAAGUGCUUCUAGUGUUGGGAUCGUAUUUAAUUGUGCUUUUCAGCUUUCUUGUCAUAACAACUAGGGUAUUACUCUUUCUCCAUAUCAAGCUUGAAGUUCUAAAUUUCAGUUUUAUCUUUUAUUUGAUGUUUUAUAAGUUCUAAAUUUCAGCUUUCUCUCAUAACAACUACGAACGUGUUAUGGUUUAGCUCAGUGACACAAAGGACAGUUUUCAACAAUUGAUCCUAGGAAGAUGCCCAUAGCUUGUUGUGCCAAAAAUAGAAAAUCUAAGAUGCGAAAAAAUUUUGUUGAGAUUCAUUUUUCAUCCUGAUGUUACAGCUGGCCUUUUUUUUUUUUUUUUUUGGCAGAGAAUAAUGCUUAUGUGAUUUCUGAACUUGGUUAUUGUUGAAAUGAGCUGAAAAUGAGCUGGAAAUGUGUUUGGUUAAUGAGAAAGAGAGCGAGAAAAUGAAAGAAAUCUAUUUCACUUUUUAUUUAUCAGAAUGAUUACAUUCACAAUGAAUCUAAGCUGAUAUUUAUACUUAAAUGAAUACACACGAGAUUCUUCUUGCUAGAUACUUCUAGAAACUCUACACGCACACUCACACUGAGCUAGUGGUUACUAAAACCGUUACAACAAUAUUGCCAGCUCAGCAUAACCAACUUAUAACUAACACACUCAGCUGCAGGGGAAACCAUCAAGCAUACGGUGCAUCCUCUGUAAUCAAGCUUCUUUAAGCAUGCUCUGCAGAUCAUACGUCUGAAUUAUCGAAACAAGAUGAAUUAUUUUUUGUUUAUUUUAGCAGGCGAUCUAUGAUCGGAAUUUCUUGCAACAAAAGAUGUGUGUCCACCAGCUUGUAUUCAAUUCGCGAACACAGUUUGAGAAGAAUCAGACCAUUAAUUUUCUUUUGAGCCAAUCAACAGAAUGUACAUUUCUUCUAAGAACCUGUAACCGAAACCGCAGUUUUUCAGGUUUGCUCCUUCCUCAUAGCAGUUAAUCAAACGAUAAACAGAGAUAUCCCAUGUCAACAAGAAGGUAAUCAUAAAAGAACAACAGAAUUGUUGCAACAUAUUCAUAUGAAAUGUAAAACAAUUUUGAGAAAAAAUAUUGGGAAGAUAUUUUUUUUUCAUAGAAGUUGCAAUCUUUACGUUAUUUACUAGUUGCAAUCAUACGCCUGCAAAGGAUGCCAGUUAAUUUUAUCACAAUUAGAUGGUAAGAUUGCAAAUUCUGCAGCCAAAGGUAGUACGGAGCUGAAUGAAGGAAAUCAAAUAUGAACAUGUUUUCAAUCUCAAAAUAUUAAGAGUAGCAUAAGUAACUUGUGAAACAGUCAUAAGUUCAAGGGAAUUAGAUGAUGGCAUGGUUGAAUUUAUAAAUAUUUGAUAUUUUGGACCGAACAGGGCAAACAGAUGGAUCCAGAUAAUUAAGAAAAACAUCAAUUCCAUGCAACCAAAUUAGUGUGUACAAUGCAAUUGCCUUUCCCUAUGAGAGUAGAGGGCCUAAGUACGCUGCCGUUUAGAGCUGAUGAGUUUGAUUCACCAGCAAGCCUCACACAAUAUCACUUGAGCAACACUAUAAAAUCAUUCAAAGAAAUCUCUAGGUCAGUAUCCAAAUAUGUGGCUCCGUCAGUUCCACCACAACCCAAAAUAUCAGAUCCCCCCAUUUGGAUUCGACUGAUCAAUUUGAGCAUAUAAAAUCGGGUUUUAAACUUCCCUAAUUAAAAUUUAUAUUCCACAGAAUCGUUUCCUUUAACAUGAUGCAUUACAUAAUAUUUUGUUUGCAAAAUAAAGAAGAAAGAUGACAUAAUAGAAACACUCACAGAGAGAGAAUACCUUUGACGAAAAGCUUAGAAGUGAAUCCUCUGUAAAAUACGAGUUGAGCUGCUGAAUUUUUCGAGUUUGAAUGAGAGACUGCGCCGUUUCUGAAAAUGUUUUUUUCUCAGUAGCGCCGCCAUUUUUGUAAUAGAGGGUAAAGAAAUAAGUAACAGAGUAAGAGGUGAGCAGAAACGGCCCAAUUUAGUUAUAUGCCAUGCAUGCGAUCAAAAUUGAAUGGUUAAAUGGCAGCCACUAUGUUACAUCUUGUGUAAGUAACAAACCGCCUACAUGGAUCGUUGGAUUUGGGAAUAUGAAAUCCAAUGGAUAAUAUUGAAUUUAACGAAAAAUAGAUUACAGGUUGCAUUAGUCCAAGUUUAUUUCAAACAAACCAGCUGACGAAAUAGCCGCUAAUCAAAUUUAAAAGGGAAAAAAAUUCAAAUUAUAGGUUAUAGAUCUUAUUUCCAUCUUAAAUCUAUUUGUCUUUCAUGGUGUCUCAAUGUGUAUACUAAUUUAUAAUUUGGAUUUAUAUUAGAGCUAAUGCUUCCCUAAAUAACUAAGAAAAUUUUCUUUUCAUUGAUUUAAUAUUUAUUUCCAAUAUCUUGUAUAUGUAGGAUUUGAAAAGAGGAAAAAUAGUAGGGAUGAUAAUGAGAGAAGAUAAAGGUGUCGAUUCUCAAAUCUAAUAUUAAUGCUAUACUUAUAUUCCUAUACUAAAUAAAUUAUCCAAGGUUCGUGGUUAACAAUACGUUGCAAAAUUUUAAUUUCUAUUUAAAGCUCUGUCUAAUAUGACUUUUCAUAAAGCUUAGAGAAAAGUAGAGCUUUUACCAAAAAAAAAUAAUUAUUAGAAUUGUCAAUGAUAAAUUUUAAAAAGUACUUUAAUAAAUAAGCUUUUAAAGUUAUAUAUAUUAUGAAAGAAAUGAAAUAAGAUUAUAUAAUAAAUUAAGAGUAUCUUAGAUAAUUGAACUUAAAAAAAAAAACUCGCUAAGAGGUUUAAAAUUUGAGUUUUAAUAGUGGAUACAAAAUAGUUUAUUUAAUUCUCAAAAGCUCUACUCAAAAUAGUUUAUUUAAUUCUCAAAAAAUAUUUUUUUCAUUGAGUAAAUAAUACUAAACAUGCACUAAAGUGUUAGGACCAGAAGUUGUACAAAAAAUGAUGGCUACAACUUAAAUUAUGAAUGGAGUAAUCGGAGAAUAUUGAAACCCGUUUAAUUUGGAUCGUGCAUUGAGGGACGAAAGGAUAAAAAAUUUAAUUUUGAAAUUGCUGUUGGGUACGGUACAAUGACUUACCGUUGACAGCUUUUGCAACCGGAUUACAAUCGGUUAGUUCAAUAAUUUUAUAUCCCCAUUUAACCGCCAUGUGCUGCUGUUACAUGGGUCAAUUAGUCAUGUCAUUACUGUUACUUACAGAUGCCGCAACAUAACCGGACCCUGGUUAAAUUCUGUUGUUUCCAAUAAUUUUAUGCUGUAUCUUCUUUAAUAAUAAAGAAAACUUGCAUUAAAAUUAAAAUUAGGGUAAUACCUGAUUUUAUAAAUAGAUUGCAAUGUAAUUUUGAAAAAUAAAACAAUAAUUUACAAAAUGUUUAUAACAUAAUUUUAAUUUUUUUCAAAAAGGAAAAACAACAAAAGUAAGAAAUAGAGAAUUAGGGCUACAAACUUUGUAUCUUAAACGGCCGUUAGAUUAUUUGUAAAUGAAAGCAACGGUCAGAUAUUGGUGGAUUAUGGAAACAUGUAAUCAUAAGGACUACGAGUUUUUUUUGUUACAUUGAUAUAUUACAAUCAAAAUUCUAUUGGUAUUUACAAUCAGAAUUUUAUUUGACUAUCUUUGAUAAUUCUAAACUAGUACAACCCAAAUUCUUAUUCUCAUAUAAUAUCAAAGAGAGAUAUAUAUUCUUCUCCUCUAUUAAUAAAGAGACAUUUUUACUUCCUUUUAAUAGUUAGGACUCAGAACUCAUACACGCUAGUUUGAGAGUGUGGGGUGUGACAAUGGGCCAAGAGACCAUUGACAAAUACAAAAGAGUGGUAGAAAUUAAUUCAAACCGCUACACACGCUAUUGCAACCAAAUUGAGGGCACAUUUUUGUUUAUUUAGUUGAAAAGUAGUCUGUAAAAUUAACUCAAACCGCUACAUACGCUAUUGCAACCCAAUUGAGGGCCCAUUUUGUUUAUUUUGUUGAAAAGUAGUUUGCGCAAUUAAUUCAAACCGCUACACACGCUAUUGCAUCUUUUGAAAAAGAAAAAUGGAAUAAUUUUUCAAAAUUAAUUUAGAGAAUAAGAUUUACUAAUAAUGAUGUUAGAAAUCUUGAUAUUUGAAUCUUAAUAUUAUCUAUCACUCAUUUAUUAAAUAAUAGAUUUCAUAGUUUGUAAAAUUACUUAACCACUUGAUAAAUGUUAUAUUUGUUGGGACUAGAUUGGGACUUAAAUAUUGGAAUAUCUAGUAUUGCAUAAAAAAAAACUUAACAAUUUAUCUUCACACGACUAAUUGUUUUUACAUCACAACUAACCUUAAUUAUUUUAAAAGUUAUAGUAUUAUUAAAUUGCCCUAACUAGUUAUCAAAAGGUGAAACCAUGUUUUAAAAAGAAAUUACUAAGAAACAUUUGUUUAAACGAAGGUUAAGGUUAUGAUCAAUUAAUUAAGAAGAAACUUACUAUCAAAGGUUAAGAUUAUGAACAAUUUAAGGAAGUUAUUGAGUAGAGAAAGGGACAGAAUGGUUGUCUGAUUUGUCGGUGACAAGAAUGCUUGUGUUGUGAAAAGAAAGCCGAUGGUUUGUAAAUUUGUUGAAUUUUUCGCUCGCUUCAAUGACUUGCUUAUGCCCAAUAUAUUACUUUGCACAGUAGUAUUUGGGAUCCUAACAAUCAACUCUUAAUUUGGUCCCAAUUAGUAUAGUAAUCAUCUAUUGAGCGGUAAAAUAUUAAUUCUAAUAGUCAUGAAAUCCAAUAUAUAAUAGAUUAAUAACACACAUAAAUUAAAACAUAACUGUCUGAAAUCAUAACAUUACUCUACUCUUCAGUGAAGUUCUCUUAAACUGAUUAUGUGAAAGCAAUAUUCGCUUUUUGAUUAUAUCCAUAACUUUGAAUUGAUAAAGUUGUAUUCAACAGCUCUUGAAAAGACUAAGCAGGUCUUCUUUGCAUUUGAUCACUGGCAUUUCAGUUAAGUUUGUCACUUACUUAAAAUUUUCUUGCUUUCAAUUUCCACUGUUAUUUUUUUUUAAUAAAAUAAUUUAUUUAAACUAGUCAUAGAAAUAAGAGAGAAAAGGGGUCAUUUCUUGACUCAAAGUCAAUUAUAAUUAUCAAAACUUGAGGGGACAUCGCAUGCCUAAAUUCCACGCACCCUAAAACGGUUUGAUUUGCUUUCACGCGUUCAUGAAUUUCCAUGAAAGAGCCUGCCUUUCGUCUCUUUCGGGACAAUGACUACAAUUAUGGAAAAAAUUAUAAUUCUCGUUAGAUUGUAACCAAAUUAUUAUCCCUAAUUUUUUUAAGUUAAAUAAAAUAAAAUUCAUGCCUAAGUAUUUAGUAAUUAGAGAGAGAUAGAGAGGAUUGAGGGCCAAUGUUUCACGAUUUGGGGUCAAUUCAAAGUCAACUAACGUGUAAAACACGUGUAUGCAUAGAAAACGCUUAGAUUAUUUGUGUUCCAAGUGCAAGAAAUUAAGAAAAGAAAAAUUGAUUUCCUUUCAUGAACUUCCAAGAAAGAAAGAAGACCCUUCACCUUCUUCGUUACAACAAAUGAAUGAAUGAUGUUGAUAUGACAAAUACAAGCGCUAUUACAGGGAACAGCAUAAGACUGAGACUUGAUAAAGUGUUUGUUAAAUUACAUGUUAUUUUCUUUUAACUUGAAUGAUGUUGAAAAUAAAAUAAAAUAAAAUUGUAAUCAGGGUGAUGUGUGGAAUAUAGUGAAAUAAAUAAAUAGAGAAGAGAAAUUUGUUGAUCAAUAUUAAAGACACAUCCAAAGUGAUCGUCAAAGUCUAGAGGUUCGGUAUGAUUAGCAUUUAUUUUAUUUUUUUUGGCUUAGCAUCAUAUAUAGUCACCUGUCGUGUGAUCUAGGACAGGUUUAGAAAUCCUUUUAUUUUAACUUCUGUAUUCUUAUUAUUUAAUUAGUUAUAGGGUUUUUAAGUAUUUGAGUAUUGAUCACAUGUCUCCUAAUCUAAAAAUAUGUUUUUACGAGUACAAAUAACAAACUAGGAUUUUAACAGCCUUUUAUACUAAACCCUAAAAAUACAUGAAUUUAUCAAAAUAAGUAAAUUAAUUUAAAUUGGUAUGGCAUAGUAGAAGUUUUACCUGCCGAAACAAAUUAAAAAAAUAUUACACUUAAAUCAAAUAUUGACAAAAAUAGAUAACAAUCUAAUGAGAAUCUUAACUAGACAUUUUUACUUCUAUCCAAUUUAACUGGAAUGAGAAUUAAGUCCUGUCAAUAGUUAGGACUCAUAACUCAUACACACUAAUUUGAGAGUGUGGGGUGUGACAAUGGGUCAAAAGACCAUUGACAAGUAUAAAAGAGUGGUCGUAAUUAAUUCAAACCGCUACACACGCUAUAUUGAGGGCCCACUUUUGUUUAUUUCGUUGAAAAGUAGUUUUCACAAUUAAUUCAAACUGCUACACAUGCUAUUGCGUUUUUUUUUUUUUUUUUUUGAAGGGAAGCAAUUUCAUUAAACCAAAACGAAUUACAGACUAUGUAAUAACCACAAAGGUGGAACGAAAUUCCACUCUUGGGGACCUGACAUAGAACCUACUGCCCUUGCAACAGAGUGAGCAGCCAGGUUCGCAGACCGACGUACAAACGAGAAUUGUACUUCUCUUAAAGACUUAGCUAAAGCUCGACAUUCAUCAACUAUUAAACCAAAACCGUUAGGCCCUGAAAACUCCUCAACUAGAGCUUGAAAUACUUGUAAACAAUCAGUUUCAACAAUGACACAAGGAAAUUGUAAGCCUUUAAGCCAACUAAGGGCCUCCCGAAUACCAAGAGCUUCAGCCUCCCUUGCUCCAAAAUUCCCAGCCAUUCCAGCACAUCUUGCUGUUAAGAAAACACCCUCUGAAUUUCGAAGCACACACCCAAAACCAAUAUUUCCCUGAGAUGAAAAGAUAGCAGCGUCAACAUUACAUUUGACCCAACCAAACUUUGGCCUCUCCCAACAUAUUGCCCCAUGGACCAGCUUAUGGACAUCAGUAUCAGCAUAGAAUUGUUGCUUCUUUGCUGCUUGCCACUGAUAGAGAAGUUGCCCAGCAGAAUUGAGCACUUGAUUCACUGAAUCAGUUUUGUUAUUCCAUACUUUGUCAUUCCGAUUAAUCCAAACUCUCCAGCAGAUCAUCAUGGCAACAUGGCAUUCUUCUUUGCUGCAGCGUGUAAAGAUGUGAUCAAGCCACUCUAAGAAAGAAUAACAAUGGCCAACAAAACCCACAGAGGAAGAAAUCCAGCAAGCCUUAGCAACAUUACACUCAACCAACGAAUGGAGAAUAGUUUCAUCAGAAGCAAGACACACAGCACAAGUAGGGGGGAUAUUCACCCUCUUAGAAAUUAAAUUAACUGCAGUAGGCAGCACAUUAGUUGCCGCUCGCCAAACAAAAUUCUUAACCUUAUUCGGCACAUUCAAGUUCCAUAGUUUUCGCCACACAUCUGUGAAAGGGUCAGGGGUAAGAGAAUGUAAAACCUUAUAACAGCUACGGACUGAAUAGCAUCCGCGAGAAUCAGCCAACCAAUACCACACAUCAUCAUUUCGGCGGGAACUAAGGGGAAUUUGAAGAAUCAACUCCUUGUCUCUUGCGUUGAAAAGAUCCGAAACAAGAUCAUAAUCCCAAGCUCGUUGAUUAGGCACCAGUAAACUACUAACAGGAGCUGCAGCAAGCUCGGCAUGGAGAUUAGAAGGAACAAAUCCAUUAUUAGUAUCAGGAAGCCACGGAUCCUUACCAAUGAAGAUCGAAUUUCCACAGCCAACUUGCAGUCUACUCCCUUGAAUUACCACAUCCUUUGCAGCCAAAAUAGAGCGCCACACAUAGCUAGGAUUAUGCCCCGCAGAAGCUUGAAGAACAGAGGUGCGCGGAUGGUAGCGAGCUUUAAUUAUCUUGGCCACAAGAGAUUCCGGACAAGUUAACAGCUUCCACAUUUGCUUUCCUAACAUCGCUAUAUUGAAUAAAUGAAGUUGUUUAAAACCAAGGCCACCAUAUCCUUUUGGUUUGCACAGAUUUUCCCAUUUGGACCAGUUUAAAAAAGAAAAAUGGAAUAGUUUUCCAAAAUUAAUUCAGAGAAGAAGAUUUACUAAUAAUGAUGUUAGAAAUCUUAAUAUUAUGUAUCACUCAUUUAUUAAAUAAUAGAUUUUAUAGUUUGUAAAUUUACUUAACCACUUGAUAAAUGUUAUAUUUGUUUGAAUUGAUCCAAUAGCUCUUGAAAAGCACAUAAUAAUCAUUAUAAAUUUAAUCAAAGACUAAGCAGGUCUUCUUUGCAUUUGAUCACUGGCAUUUCAGUUAAGUUUGUCAUUUAUUUAAAUUUUUCUUGCUUUCAAUUUCCACUGUUGUUUUUUUUAAUAAAAUAAUUUAUUUAAACUAGUCAUAGAAAUAAGAGAGAAAGGGCGCCAUUUCUUGACUCAAAGUCAAUUAUAAUUAUCAAAACUUGAGCGGACAUUGCAUGCCUAAAUUCCACGCACCCUAAAACGGUUUGAUUUGCCUUCACGCGUUCAUGAUUUUCCAUGAAAGAGAGUGCCUCUCGUCUCUUUCCGGACAGUGACUGCAAUUAUGUUAACGUGACGAAUACAAAACGUUAUUACAUACAAGAAUAAGUUUUUGGAGCCGAUACUUGAGGGAGGUUCUAUCUAAUUCUAAAGAUUGUAACCAAAUCAUUAUCCCUAAUUUUUUUAAGUUAAAUAAAAUAAAAUUCAUGCUUAAGUAUAAAUAAUUUUUUUAAGUUAAAUAUAAAAUAAAAUUCAUGAACUUCCUAGAAAGAAAGAAGACCCUUCACCUUCUUCGCGACAACAAAUGAUGUUGACAUGACAAAUACAAGCUCUAUUACAGGGAACAGCAUGAGACCGAGACUUGAUAAAUAUUAAAUAUAUAAAAUAAGUGGAGCAAACGAACAGAAUAAUAGAUAUUUUAUAAUAUUCUUCAUAAAAAUCCAUGUUUUGAGCCUGCCUAUAAGCUUAUCUAGUGAAGUCUGGGUAUCCGCGUUGCCCAAGGUUCCGUUUGAAUCCAGGCCGUGUAGAUGUUUAAGACAUCGCAUAUGGACGGAGUGGAAAUAUUUUCAGUUGACUGAAUUAAAUAAAAAUAUAUUACAAUCAUAUUAUAUAUUAGCAGCAAAAAUAAAAAGAAAUGAAGAAAAACGCAUGCAAGACUUAGACAAGUCAAUUAAAAGCUGGGAGUAUCAUCAGUUCAAUUGGUUAUAAAUAGCGUAGAGCCAUCCUCUCGUUGUUGCAGAACUGAAGCAAAGAGACUCAGAAAGAGUGUGUGUAGGUGAUUAUAAUUAAGAAGAUAUAAUGUGUGGUUCAAAAAGAGUGUGGGUGAGUGAGUUAAUUUUCAUAUUAUUAGUAGUAAAAGGGUGGUGGAGUGAGGGAUGUUUGGAGCAAGAGAGGUCUGCUCUCCUACAACUCAGACAUUUCUUCAAUGAUGAUCAACUUCUUCAAAACUGGGUAGACGAUGAGUAUUAUUCAGAUUGUUGUCAGUGGGAACGGGUUGAGUGCAACAACACCACUGGAAGAGUGAUUGAAUUACAACUACUAGAAACUCGAAAACAGGGAUCAGCAGAGUGGUAUAUGAAUGCCUCUCUGUUUACUCCAUUUCAACAAUUAGAGUCUCUUGAUUUAAUGGGGAACAAUAUAGCCGGUUGUGUUGAAAAUGAAGGUCCUUAAUUUACUCUAUUUUAAUUCUUCCUCGUAAUUUCUUACAUUUAUCUGAUCCCUUUUGAUUUUUGUUUAAUUUGUUCGUGAUACAAUAAAAUUACUUUUUAUUUUUUGUCAGGUCUAGAUAGGUUAUCAAGGUUGAACAACUUGAAGUUUCUUUACUUAAACCUUAACCACUUCAACAACAGCAUCUUUUCAUCCAUAGGUGGUCUUUCAUCACUCAGACGCUUAUCAUUGGCUAGUAAUGAAUUGAAUGGAAGUAUUGAUAUUAAAGGUAAGCAAGCUUCAUCCCUUCUCCCGUGUCCCAUCUUUUGUGGAUCUUAUUUUAUUGACCGGCUGGAAGUAUUGAUAUAAGAUCUGGCUAGACUCUUGCUAGUUUAAGCUUCAAGGAUUUAAAUAUUAUAAAAAUAGGUUUAAGAAAUUAUCAAUAUAUGCAAUUUUCAAUGCUUCUCAUAAUCAGACACAAUUCAAUCUAAUUAUUUUGUAUGUCCUGUCUUCAAAAGUAAAGAAUUGUACACUAAAUGGAAAUCGACAUCGUAGCUUUUUAUUUUUUCUAAUGCUCUUUUUUCGUUAACGAGUUUAUAUCCUAAGAGGGAUUGGAUUGAAAAAAAAAAAGUUUUGAUGUUCAAGGUAGGCCAUAAUAACCCGCAUCUUAUUUGUCUGCCUGUAUCUAAAUUUGUGCACUGAAUUUAGUAUUUUGGUUAUUGUGAAGGGAUCAGAUAUUGGCUUCCAUAGACCAACUUGUAUUUAGUUAAUUAAUUAAUUAACGACAUUUAAUAUUUAACAAAUUAAAAUUUCGUGUUUAAUCUAUUUUAAUUUUUUUAAGAAAAAAGAAAAAGAUAUAGCAAUAGGUAAAGCUAAAAUAAAUUUUAAUUCCUUACAAAUUUAAAUUCAUGGUUGUCAGCUAAAUAUACUUACUUAAAGCCACUCAGUCGAGCCCUUUGAGAGCUGCUUUAAAUUUUUAGCCAUAUUCUUUUCUUAUUAAUAAAAUUCUUUUCGCUGAGAUUUAACAUAAAAAAAGGAGAAAAUAAGUUAUUUAAUUAACUCUGUUUUAAGUGUUGGAAUAAAUACAGGACUGGAAUCCUUGAGUAACUUGGAGGAGCUGGGCAUGAGCGACAAUGCAAUCGACAAUCUAGUGGUUCCUAAAGGUAUACAAAAUGUUCAAAUAUUAAUAAUUUGGAGGACAGUUUAAUUGAUUUGAUUAGGGAAUGCCCAAUGACACUUACCCAAAAUAAUUUAAUCCGAAAUUGUAUCCCAAAUAGAUUACAGAGGUUUGAGGUAGUUGAAUACCUUUUAUUUGGGGAGGGGGGGGGGGGGGGGGGGGGGGGGGGGGAGGGAGGGAAAUUGCAGUGAUAUAUGGAAGCAAGGUGUUGCAAUAAAUAAAGAAAUUCGUUGGUCAAUAUUCAAGGACUCAUCCAAAGUAAUCGUUAAAGUCUAAAGCUCUGCUCUCCUCCAACUCAAACAUUUCUUCAAUGAUGAGAAUUAUUCAGAUUGUUGUCAGUGGGAAGGGGUUGAGUGCAACAACACCACUGGCAGAGUGAUUAAAUUAGAUCUAGGAGCCACUAGGAAUCGGGAAUCAGCAGAGUGGCAUAUGAAAGAUAACUAGAACUUGGAAUAACUUAAAUUAGCUAUAAAAUUAAGACCAUUAUACAACUAAAAAGAAAGAAAAAUUGUUUGCUACUACAUAUCAAAACUAGUAAUAGCAAUGAAAGAUGGCAGACUUCUUACUUAAACAGAUGAGAGGCUACAAAUAAAAAAUUUGUGCAAAUAAAUAUAUGAUAAAGAGCAUAAUACUUUCUUGGGGGCUAAAAAUAAUAUACAACUUGUGAAAUAUAAAUUGAGCUACCAUUACCUUUUAGAUGUGGCAACUUUCGACUUUUGAGGCACUUUGGAAUAUGCAUUCAGAAUCCUGCAUUUGGAAGCCAAAUAAAUAAUGUUAAUAACAAUUUUACAAUAGAAAAAUUAAAAAUUGAUAAAUGGCAGUUGUAAUUUAUGUAUGUGUAAAGAUAGCAUCACAUCCAGGGUCCUCCCAUAAACAUGCUUGUAACAAGAAUUAGUUUGCGUCAACUGCUAGCAACUAUACAAUAGUAAAAAUCACUCUUAUGAACUCAACAAUACUAGGCACCAAUAAGAGUAUGAUACAGCCAUUCUAAAUGGAAGAGAAUACAACUGUUUUACAACUAUGUUGCAUCAGGAGAUAUGUUAGGAGUUUUAAUCCAGAUACCUUCCAACCCAAUUAGGAAAACUCGAGUCAGAAACCAGGAGCUGCAACUGAACCUUACAAUCUUGAAGGAAGAAGGAGACUUGGGGCAUUUUUCUAGAUAGGUGACUUACUAGAUCUACUGCCAAGAAAAUAUCUAUUGCUUUGAACCUCCAUUGAAAUUUCUUUUCCCUUUUUCUUAUUUUGACUUGGAACUUUCCAGCAUCAUCUAUUUGAUCUUUUUUAAAGCUAAAAUAGCAAUCUACGGGUUGUCAACAUCUUAUCCCCCCCCCCCCCCGGGGGCCCCCAAAAAAAAAACAUCAAUGAGUUGUCAAUAAAUAGCGCCUACUCAACUUAUGUUCUCCAAUGGAUGACAAUGUGCAAAUCGACCUAGCAGCCACAUUUUCCCCCCCUUUCAACCACCAUUAGGCAACUUUUCUAACCUUUCUUCAUUGCCCACGUCUACAGAACUAUCAUAUAAAGACUACAAGAUAGACGCACGGUAUCUAAAUAAUUGUACCAACCCCCUCUCCUGAUUGUCAUAAAACGGCCAAUAUUUAACGCUCGACAACAAAAUUGCAAAUACUCUAGCCUCUAUAUUAUUGGCAUAUAAAUAUUUUCGGUUAGGUACAUUAUAUUCUUCGUUCUAAAACCUCAAUUAUUGGCUAGUACUGUGAUAAAAUGAUUCAUCACUGAAAAUAAAACUAGUUCACGUACAAAUAAUCAAAAACUGAAAUAGAAGCAACGAUAAACCAACCUGUAUUACGUCGAUUCAUCACAACAAACUGAAAUCGAGGCUGUGUGUUCCUGAAAAUUGAAAAAAUAAUAAUUUCACCAACUUCAUGUGUAAUACAAUCUCCAAAACACCAAAUAUCAAAUGAAAAAAUGGAAAGCAUAAGAUAGAAAAGAAUCUAAUUUUAUUGACCUUUUGACGACGACGAGAGAGCCUUCAACAUCCUUACGACUCCAUUGGCUGAGGUCGAUGUUGAACUCGUAGAAGGUGACAUGAGCGGCCGUGAUGAGGAUCUCCUCAAUGAAUGGAUCGAUUCGCUGAAGAACUGUCAGGUUUAGGAGUUUUGUGCUCUGCUGGUCCAGAUUAGGCAUCAAUUUUCCGUUAUGCGACAUUUUUCAUAGUCGUUUUGGGCUCUGCCCCGAGCACAAGCCCCAGGGUUUUUCUGUGAGCUCUCUCUUUUGUAAAUAAAGUGUUUGAUGAGAUAGCCGAGAGAGAGUGAAAGUGUUGAACAGCCAAACACGGUCUCGAGAUUGAUCUUGCUUUAACUUCUUUUAAACAUUUGGGAAAUAGCAUUUAUUUCUUUUAGUUUCUCUACUUUUUUUUUCCUUUAUGUCAUUUAGACCCCAAAAUUAGAUUUAUUAUAAUCCUAUUUUACCCAUACACUAUUAACCCCUUUUAUUUUUAAAAUUUGUCAAUAUUAAUGUGUUAGAAUAAUGUUAAAAAUCCCAAUUAUUAUCUCAAUGUUUCAAUCAUAACUAAUGUGAUAACUCAUUGGUAACUGCAACAUUAACUUAAUUAUUAAUGUAACACAAUAAAAGUUUCGUACAGAUUUUGAUAUUGAGAGUAACACAAUAAAAGUUUCAUACAGAUUUUGCAAACGAAAAGCACAUAAUACACUUAACUAGGAGGAAAAAUUAAGGUGUAUAUAUUACAAACUGCUAACAAUAUACAAUUGUAAAAAUCACUCACAAAUACUAGGCACCAAUAAGAGUAUGAUACAGCCAUUCUAAAUGAAAGAGAAUACAACUGUUUUACAACUAUGUCACAUCAAGAGAUAUGUUAGCAGGAUUAAUCCAGAUACCUUCGAACCCAAUUAACGAACUCGAGUCAGAAACCAGGGGCCCCCAACUAAACCUUACAAUCUUGAAGGAAGAAGGAGACUCGUGGUCCAGAUAGGUGACUUACUAGAUCUCCUGCAAAAGAGAAUAUCUAUUGCUUUGAACCUCCAUUGAAAUUUUUUUUUCCCUUUUUCUUGUUUUGACUUGGAACUUUCCAACAUCAUCUAUUUGAUCUUUUUUGAAGGUAAAAUAGCAAUCUAUAGGUUGCCAACAUGUUAUUCUGCCAAACCCCACCCCACCCCCCCGGGGGACAACAAAUCGACCUAGCACACACCUUUCUUCAUUGCCCACACCUACAGAACUAUAAUAAAAAGACUACGUUACUAUUGGGGUAGAGAAAAUAUACAGACUGUAUUAUUAUUACAUCGCAUUUUACUAAUUAACUAGUGCAAGACUUCUUUAGUGUCAAAUCAAGAACUAAUUAGAAAAGACAACUCAUGAUAAUACAGACCUUAAUAAGCAAUUGCUAACAACAUCCCAUAUACUCCUAUUUUAGCCUUCAUUAUCCUGGUAAAAACACAAAUAAGUCUUGCAAACGAACAUUUAUAAGUAAAUUCAACAUUAAUUAAGAUUAGGUAUCUACUGCACCUAAUAGCAUGGUCAACCAUCCAGUUCCUGUAGCCUUCCAUGUACCUAUGUUAGUUACAUUUUACAUAUUAAGCCACGAAAACGAAGAAUCACAGCCUGGUAAAGAAAGACAUUAAUUAAUAGUUUUUGUUUAAAAAGUUCUCCUUUAGAUCUUUCCUAUUCAAUGAAUCAAUGUAAUCUAAAGAGAAUUCUUCCAUUUCAAACAGUGUUAGAAGGUAUUUGCAAAGCCUAAAGAUAAUAUACAAGGACCAAGAUAUACACAGAUGGUUUCUUUAUGGAAUUAAAGAGCUUUAUAGAUGUUAAAACUGUUUCAAACAAUUUUUCUUGUUUGGUUUAACUAAGGAAAAGCUUGUGGAAGAUUAAAAAUGAUGUUUCCUAUUCUCUGUAGGAAACUUUUAGGAGAUUUUUUGGGCUUUUUUGAAAGGUUGAAUUGUCAAAAAUACCUUGAUGUUAUUGUUUGCUAAAAGAUGUUACGGACAUCUAAACAACCAACAACAUUUUGUUAAAAGCUCUACUAGUGUAGGAUCUACUUAAAGAAGCUAUACCAAACAGACUCUUAGACUGAAUAACUCGAUCUUAAGUUUGUAAAAUUGGGCUCAGAAUCUCCACUAACAACCCCGCUUCGGUGAGAAAGCCCAAGCCUGUUACUUUGUAUAACCUUAUUCUGUAUGUUUGAUUGCAGGAACUGGCCGAUCAUACCGACGAGGUGAGUGUGCAACAUGAGGUGCUUGACGGGAUGUUUACUUUCUAUGAUACAACUAAAGCUAGCCUCAACAUAUAUCAGGUGCCUGCUUGUUUUUACCUUCUAGAUACUAAUAUUGUUUAGACGUGUAAUCUCUCUCUCCAUUGAACGCUAGACGGCUCGUCUCAAGCCUUCUACGUACUUCAGAGUCCUUCACUAGCUUUUUAUGUAUAAAGUUUUGAUCUUUUUCCUUCAUUUGCUUGAAGCUCAUUACUGCAGAUUUUUUUUACAGGUUGGUAGUGUAACAUUCGACUUGCUGUUGCUUCUAGUCUUGGGAUCGUAUUUAAUUGUGCUUUUCAGCUUUCUUGUCAUAACAACUAGGGUAUCACUCUUUCUCCAUAUCAAGCUUGAAGUUCUAAAUUUCAGUUUUAUCUUUUAUUUGAUGUUUUAUAAUUUCAUUGCAAACAGAUUAGAAUAGAAACUUCAAAAGUUCCAACUGACUAGUCCCGUGUAACUUUUUCAGGGAAGAUUUUCUCUCAUAACAACUACGAACGUGUUAUGGUUUAGCCCAGUGACACAAAGGACAGUUUUCAACAAUUGAUCCUAGGAAGAUGCCCAUAGCUUGUUGUGCCAAAAAUAGAAAAUCUAAGAUGCGAAAAAAUUUUGUUGAGAUUCAUUUUUCAUCCUGAUGUUACCGCUGGCCUUUUUUUUUUUUUUUUUUGGCAGAGAAUAAUGCUUAUGUGAUUUCUGAACUUGGUGAUUGUUGAAAUGAGCUGAAAAUGAGCUGGAAAUGUGUUUGGUUAAUGAGAAAGAGAGCAAGAAAAUGAAAGAAAUCUAUUUCACUUUUUAUUUAUCAGCAUGAUUACAUUCACAAUGAAUCUAAGCUGCUAUUUAUACUUAAAUGACUACACACGAGAAUCUUCUUGCUAGAUACUUCUAGAAACUCUACACGCACACUCACACUGAGCUAGUGGUUACCAAAACCGUUACAACGAUAUUGCCAGCUCAGCAUAACCAACUUAUAACUAACACACUCAGCUGCAGGGGAAACCAUCAAGCUUACUGUGCGUCCUCUGUAAUCAAGCUUCUUUAAGCAUGCUCUGCAGAUCAUACGUCUGAAUUAUCGAAACAAGAUGAAUUAUUUUUUGUUUAUUGCAGCAGGCGAUCAAUGAGCGGAAUUUCUAGCUUGUAUUCAAUUCGCGAACACAGUUUGAGAAGAAUCAGACCAUUAAUUUUCUUUUGAGCCAAUCAACAGAAUGUACAUUUCUUCUAAGAACUUGUAACCGAAACCGCAGUUUUUCAGGUUUGAUGCAUCUGGGAAAAUUGUCAGAUGGAAUAAAACCACCAUGCGCCAAGGUACCAAUGAUGUUUCUUCCAGCUUAUGAGCACUUCAAAUAAACUUAGGUCAUAUUUACACAAGGGCGCACAUGAUAUCAAUCUAAUGGCAAUUAUAUCAUCUAAAAUCCAAAACCAAGAGUCUCCCAUUUUCCCGCCCUCUACUCUGUUCGUAUUAUCAUAACUUGAAGAUUGCAAGGCAGCCGCAAUCUCCCAGAUCUUUGCUCCUUCCUCAUAGCAGUUAGUCAAACGAUAAACAGAGAUAUCCCAUGUCAACAAGAAGGUAAUCAUAAAAGAACAACAGAAUUGUUGCAAUAUAUUCAUAUGAAAUGUAAAACAAUUUUGAGAAAAAAUAUUGGGAAGAUGAUUUUUUUUUUCAUAGAAGUUGCAAUCUUUACGUUAUAUGCUAGUUUGACUAUGCUAUAUAAGGAAGCUAUAUGAAAUUAGAAAAAUAAGCUAUACUAGGAAAGAAUAAAUAUAUGUACAGAAAAUGAGGCUAUAAUCCCUGACUUUCAACAAAUUUAAUAUCAAUUUUCUUCUGGAAGUUGUCUCAAAUGGGGUGCAUCAGUAUUGUAACAUACUGUGAGAUGCUUAAACUCAACAAUAUAAGCAUGGUAAAUUAGAGAAAAAUGAUGCAAUUUUACCUUCCCAUUCAUGUAUGCCAAGGCUUUUUGGGCUUCCUCUUCUGUACUGAAAGUCACAUACCCGUAACCUUUUGAUCUAUUCUUACCUUUAUCCAUUAUUAUUGUAGCUGCAAAAAGAAAAGAACCGGAUAUUACAAAAUAGUGAAAGGGAAGAGGGGUUGAGACUUAAAACAGAAAUAGACCAAACCCUCAGUGACUUGGCCAAAUUGUGAAAAAGCAUCAGCUAACAUCUCUUUAGUGGUCGAGAAAGAUACGCCUGCAAAGAAUGCCAGUUAAUUUUAUCAUAAUUAGAUGGUAAGAUUGCAAAUUCUGCAGCCAAAGGUGGUACGGAACUGAAUGAAGGAAAUCAAAUAUGAAUAUGUUUUCAAUCUUAAAAUAUUAAGAGUAGCAUAAGUAACUUGUGAAACAGUUAUAAGUUCAAGGGAAUUAGAUGAUGGCAUGGUUGAAUUUUAUAAAUAUUUGAUAUUUUGGACCGAACAGGGCAAACAGAUGGAUCCAGAUAAUCAAGAAAAACAUCAAUUCCAUGCAGCCAAAUUAGUGUGGGCAAUGCAAUUGAGCAACACUAUAAAAUUAUUCAAAGAAAUCUCUAGGUCAGUAUCCAAAUAUAUGGCUCCGUCCGUUCCACCACCACAACCAAAAAAAUCAGAUCCCCCCAUUUGGAUUCGAUUGAUUAAUUUGAGCAUAAAAAAUCGGGUUUUAAACUUCCCUAAGCAAAAUUUAUAUUCCACAGAAUCAGUUCCUUUAACAUGAUGCAUUACAUAAUAUUUUGUUUGCAAAAUAAAGAAGAAAGAUGACAUAAUAGAAACACUCACAGAGAGAGAAUACCUUUGACGAAAAGCUUAGAAGUGAAUCCUCUGUAAAAUACGAGUUGAGCUGCUGAAUUUUUCGAGUUUGAAUGAGAGACUGCGGCAAUUCUGAAAAUGUUUUUUUCUCAUUAGCGCCGCCAUUUUUGUAAUAGAGGGUAAAGAAAUAAGUAACAAAGUAAGAGGUGAGCAGAAGCGGCCCAAUUUAGUUAUAUGCCAUGCAUGCGAUCAAAAUUGAAUGGUUAAAUGGCAGCCACUAUGUUACAUCUUGUGUAAGUAACAAACCGCCUACAUGGAUCGUUGGAUUUGGGAAUAUGAAAUCCAAUGGAUAAUAUUGAAUUUAACGAAAAAUAGAUUACAGGUUGCAUUAGUCCAAGUUUAUUUCAAACAAACCAGCUGAUGAAAUAGCCGCUAAUCGAAUUUAAAAGGGAAAAAAAAUCAAAUUAUAGGUUAUAGAUCUUAUUUCCAUCUUAAAUCUAUGUCUUUCAUGGUGACUCAAUGUGUAUACUAAUUUAUAAUUUGGAUCUAUAUUAGAGGCUUAGAGCCAAUGCUUCCCUAAAUAACUAAGAAAAUUUUCUUUUCAUUGAUUAAAUAUUUAUUUCCAAUAUCUUGUAUAUGUAGGAUUUGAAAAGAGGGAAAAUAGUAGGGAUGAUGAUGAGAGAAGAUAAAGAUGUCGAUUCUCAAAUCUAAUAUUAAUGCUAUACUUAUAUUCCUAUAGUAAAUAAAUUAUCCAAGGUUCGUGGUUAAUGAUACGUUGCGAAAUUUUAACUGUCUAAUAUGGCUUUUCAUAAAGCUUAGAGAAAAGUAGGGCUUUUACAAAAAAAAAAAUUUAAUUAGAAUUGUCAAUGAUAAAUUUUAAAAAGUACUUUAAUAAAUAAGCUUUUAAAAUUAUAUAUAUUAUGAAAGAAAUGAAAUAAGAUUAUAUAAUAAAUUAAGAGUAUCUUAGAUAAUUGAACUUUAAAAAUAAAACUUGCUAAGAGGUUUAAAAUUUGAGUUUUUAAUAGUGGAUACAAAAUAGUUUAUUUAAUUCUCAAAAGUACUAUUCAAAAUACAACCAUGUAACACAAAAAUUUUUAAUAAGUUUUUUGGACUAGUUAAGUACUUUUUUUGAAAAAAAAUAUAUUUUUUUCAUUGAGUAAAUAAUACUAAACAUGCACUAAAGUGUUAGGACCAGAAGUUGUACAAAUAAAACCAUGAAAUUAUAUGUUGUUGGAUGGAUAUUUUUCAAAUUUGCUGUAGUUUUUUUUUUUUAAUUUUCUGCUGGGAAAUUGAAAUGAUGGCUACAACUUAAAUUAUGAAUGGAGUAAUCGGAGAAUAUUGAAACCCAUUUAAUUUGGAUCGUGCAUUGAGGGACGAAAGGAUAAAAAAUUUAAUUUUGAAAUUGCUGUUGGGUACGGUACAAUGACUUACCGUUGACAGCUUUUGCAACCGGAUUACAAUCGGUUAGUUCAAUAAUUUUAUAUCCCUAUUUAACCGCCACGUGCUGCUGUUACAUGGGUCAAUUAAUCAUGUCUUUACCGAUACUUACAACUGCUGGUUAAAUUCUGUUGUUUCCAAUAAUUUUAUGCUGUAUCUUCUUUAAUAAUAAAGAAAACUUGCAUUAAAAUUAAAAUUAGGGUAAUACCUGAUUUUAUAAAUAGAUUGCAAUGUAAUUUUGAAAAAUAAAACAAUAAUUUACAAAAUGUUUAUAACAUAAUUUUAAUUUUUUUCAAAAAGGAAAAACAACAAAAGUAAGAAAUAGAGAAUAAGGGCUACCAACUUUGUAUCUUAAACGGCCGUUAAAUUAUUUGUAAAUGAAAGCAACGGUCAGAUAUUGGUGGAUUAUGGAAACAUGUAAUCAUAAGGACUACGAGUUUUUUUUGUUACAUUGAUAUAUUACAAUUAAAAUUCUAUUGGUAUUUACAACUAGAAUUUCAUCUGACUAUCUUUGAUAAUUCUAAACUAGUACAGCCCAAAUUCUUAUUCUCAUAUAAUAUCAAAGAUAGAUAUAUAUUCUUUUCCUCCAUUAAUAACGAGACAUUUUUACUUCUAUCCAAUUUAAAUAGAACAAGAAUUAAGUCAUUUUAAUAGUUAGGACUCAGAACUCAUACACACUAGUUUGAGAGUGUGGGGUGUGACAAUGGGCCAAGAGACCAUUGACAAGUACAAAAGAGUGGUAGAAAUUAAUUCAAACCGCUACACACGCUAUUGCAACCAAAUUGAGGGCCCAUUUUUGUUUAUUUCGUUGAAAAGUAGUCUGUAAAAUUAACUCAAACCGCUACAUACGCUAUUGCAACCCAAUUGAGGGCCCAUUUUUGUUUAUUUUGUUGAAAAGCAGUUUGCGCAAUUAAUUCAAACUGCUACACACGCUAUUGCAUCUUUUGAAAAAGAAAAAUGGAAUAGUUUUUCAAAAUUAGUUUAGAGAAUAAGAUUUACUAAUAAUGAUGUUAGAAAUCUUAAUAUUUGAAUCUUAAUAUUAUCUAUCACUCGUUUAUUAAAUAAUAGAUUUCAUAGUUUGUAAAAUUACUUAACCACUUGAUAAAUGUUAUAUUUGUUGGGACUAGAUUGGGACUUAAAUAUUGGAAUAUCUAGUAUUGCAUAAAAAAAAAAAAACUUAACAAUUUAUCUUCACACGACUAAUUGUUUUUACAUCACAACUAACCUUAAUUAUUUUAAAAGUUAUAGUAUUAUUAAAUUGCCCUAACUAGUUAUCAAAAGGUGAAAGCAUGUUUAAAAAAGAAAUUACUAAGAAACAUUUGUUUAAACGAAGGUUAAGGUUAUGAUCAAUUAAUUAAGAAGAAACUUACUAUCAAAGGUUAAGAUUAUGAACAAUUUAAGGAAGUUAUUGAGUAGAGAAAGGGACAGAAUGGUUGUCUGAUUUGUCGGUGACAAGAAUGCUUGUGUUGUGAAAAGAAAGCCGAUGGUUUGUAAAUUUGUUGAAUUGGUCCCAAUUAGUAUAGUAACCAUCUAUUGAGCGGUAAAAUAUUAAUUUAAAUAGUCAUGAAAUCUAAUAUAUAAUAGAUUACUAACACACAUAAAUUAAAACUUAAUUGUCAGAAAUCAUAACAUUAUUCUAAGCUUCAGUGGAGUUCUCUUAACAGAUUAUGUGAGAUUGCCUAUAUUAAAAAUAUGUUGAGACUGCUUGUUGAAAGCAAUAUUCGCUUUUCCAUUAUAUCCAUAACUUUGAAUUGAUAAAGUUGUAUUCAGCAGCUCUUGAAAAGACUAAUUUAUUUUAACUAGUCAUAGAAAUAAGAGAGAAAAGGGGCUAUUUCUUGACUCAAAGUCAAUUAUAAUUAUCAAAACUUGAGGGGACAUCGCAUGCCUAAAUUCCACGCACCCUAAUACGGUUUGAUUUGCUUUCACGCGUUCAUGAAUUUCCAUGAAAGAGCCUGCCUUUCGUCUCUUUCGGGACAGUGACUACAAUAAUGGAAAAAAUUAUAAUUCUCGUUAGAUUGUAACCAAAUUAUUAUCCCUAAUUUUUUUAAGUUACAUAUAAUAAAAUUCAUGCUUAAGUAUUUAGUAAUUAGAGAGAGAUAGAGAGGAUUGAGGGCCAAUGUUUCGCGAUUUGGGGUCAAUUCAAAGUCAACUAACGUGAAAAACACGUGUAUGCAUAGAAAACGCUUAGAUUAUUUGUGUUCCAAGUGCAAGAAAUUAAGAAAAGAAAAAUUGAUUUCCUUUCAUGAACUUCCAAGAAAGAAAGAAGACCCUUCACCUUCUUCGUUACAACAAAUGAAUGAAUGAUGUUGAUAUGACAAAUACAAGCGCUAUUACAGGGAACAACAUAAGACUGAGACUUGAUAAAGUGUUUGUUAAAUUACAUGUUAUUUUCUUUUAACUUGAAUGAUGUUGAAAAUAAAAUAAAAUAAAAUUGUAAUCAGGGUGAUGUGUGGAAUAUAGUGAAAUAAAUAAAUAGAGAAGAGAAAUUUGUUGAUCAAUAUUAAAGACACAUCCAAAGUGAUCGUCAAAGUCUAGAGGUUCGGUAUGAUUAGCAUUUAUUUUAUUUUUUUUGGCUUAGCAUCAUAUAUAGUCACCUGUCGUGUGAUCUAGGACAGGUUUAGAAAUCCUUUUAUUUUAACUUCUGUAUUCUUAUUAUUUAAUUAGUUAUAGGGUUUUUAAGUAUUUGAGUAUUGAUCACAUGUCUCCUAAUCUAAAAAUAUGUUUUUACGAGUACAAAUAACAAACUAGGAUUUUAACAGCCUUUUAUACUAAACCCUAAAAAUACAUGAAUUUAUCAAAAUAAGUAAAUUAAUUUAAAUUAGUAUGGCAUAGUAGAAGUUUUACCUGCCGAAACAAAUUAAAAAAAUAUUACACUUAAAUCAAAUAUUGACAAAAAUAGAUAACAAUCUAAUGAGAAUCUUAACUAGACAUUUUUACUUCUAUCCAAUUUAACUGGAAUGAGAAUUAAGUCAUGUCAAUAGUUAGGACUCAUAACUCAUACACACUAAUUUGAGAGUGUGGGGUGUGACAAUGGGUCAAAAGACCAUUGACAAGUAUAAAAGAGUGGUCGUAAUUAAUUCAAACCGCUACACACGCUAUAUUGAGGGCCCACUUUUGUUUAUUUCGUUGAAAAGUAGUUUUCACAAUUAAUUCAAACUGCUACACAUGCUAUUGCGUUUUUUUUUUUUUUUUUUUUUUUGAAGGGAAGCAAUUUCAUUAAACCAAAACGAAUUACAGACUAUGUAAUAACCACAAAGGUGGAACGAAAUUCCACUCUUGGGGACCUGACAUAGAACCUACUGCCCUUGCAACAGAGUGAGCAGCCAGGUUCGUAGACCGACGUACAAACGAGAAUUGUACUUCUCCUAAAGACUUAGCUAAAGCUCGACAUUCAUCAACUAUUAAACCAAAACCGUUAGGCCCUGAAAACUCCUCAACUAGAGCUUGAAAUACUUGUAAACAAUCAGUUUCAACAAUGACACAAGGAAAUUGUAAGCCUUUAAGCCAACUAAGGGCCUCCCGAAUACCAAGAGCUUCAGCCUCCCUUGCUCCAAAAUUCCCAGCCAUUCCAGCACAUCUUGCUGUUAAGAAAACACCCUCUGAAUUUCGAAGCACACACCCAAAACCAAUAUUUCCCUGAGAUGAAAAGAUAGCAGCGUCAACAUUACGUUUGACCCAACCAAACUUUGGCCUCUCCCAACAUAUUGCCCCAUGGACCAGCUUAUGGACAUCAGUAUCAGCAUAGAAUUGUUGCUUCUUUGCUGCUUGCCACUGAUAGAGAAGUUGCCCAGCAGAAUUGAGCACUUGAUUCACUGAACCAGUUUUGUUAUUCCAUACUUUGUCAUUCCGAUUAAUCCAAACUCUCCAGCAGAUCAUCAUGGCAACAUGGCAUUCUUCUUUGCUGCAGCGUGUAAAGAUGUGAUCAAGCCACUCUAAGAAAGAAUAACAAUGGCCAACAAAACCCACAGAGGAAGAAAUCCAGCAAGCCUUAGCAACAUUACACUCAACCAACGAAUGGAGAAUAGUUUCAUCAGAAGCAAGACACACAGCACAAGUAGGGGGGAUAUUCACCCUCUUAGAAAUUAAAUUAACUGCAGUAGGCAGCACAUUAGUUGCCGCUCGCCAAACAAAAUUCUUAACCUUAUUCGGCACAUUCAAGUUCCAUAGUUUUCGCCACACAUCUGUGAAAGGGCCAGGGGUAAGAGAAUGUAAAACGUUAUAACAGCUACGGACUGAAUAGCAUCCGCGAGAAUCAGCCAACCAAUACCACACAUCAUCAUUUCGGCGGGAACUAAGGGGAAUUUGAAGAAUCAACUCCUUGUCUCUUGCGUUGAAAAGAUCCAAAACAAGAUCAUAAUCCCAAGCUCGUUGAUUAGGCACCAGUAAACUACUAACAGGAGCUGCAGCAAGCUCGGCAUGGAGAUUAGAAGGAACAAAUCCAUUAUUAGUAUCAGGAAGCCACGGAUCCUUACCAAUGAAGAUCGAAUUUCCACAGCCAACUUGCAGUCUACUCCCUUGAAUUACCACAUCCUUUGCAGCCAAAAUAGAGCGCCACAUAUAGCUAGGAUUAUGCCCCGCAGAAGCUUGAAGAACAGAGGUGCGCGGAUGGUAGCGAGCUUUAAUUAUCUUGGCCACAAGAGAUUCCGGACAAGUUAACAGCUUCCACAUUUCCUUUCCUAACAUCGCUAUAUUGAAUAAAUGAAGUUGUUUAAAACCAAGGCCACCAUAUCCUUUUGGUUUGCACAGAUUUUCCCAUUUGGACCAGUUUAAAAAAGAAAAAUGGAAUAGUUUUCCAAAAUUAAUUCAGAGAAGAAGAUUUACUAAUAAUGAUGUUAGAAAUCUUAAUAUUAUGUAUCACUCAUUUAUUAAAUAAUAGAUUUCAUAGUUUGUAAAUUUACUUAACCACUUGAUAAAUGUUAUAUUUGUUUGAAUUGAUCCAAUAGCUCUUGAAAAGCACAUAAUAAUCAUUAUAAAUUUAAUCAAAGACUAAGCAGGUCUUCUUUGCAUUUGAUCACUGGCAUUUCAGUUAAGUUUGUCAUUUAUUUAAAUUUUUCUUGCUUUCAAUUUCCACUGUUGUUUUUUUUAAUAAAAUAAUUUAUUUAAACUAGUCAUAGAAAUAAGAGAGAAAGGGCGCCAUUUCUUGACUCAAAGUCAAUUAUAAUUAUCAAAACUUGAGCGGACAUUGCAUGCCUAAAUUCCACGCACCCUAAAACGGUUUGAUUUGCUUUCACGCGUUCAUGAUUUUGCAUGAAAGAGAGUGCCUCUCGUCUCUUUCCGGACAGUGACUGCAAUUAUGUUAACGUGACGAAUACAAAACGUUAUUACAUACAAGAAUAAGUUUUUGGAGCCGAUACUUGAGGGAGGUUCUAUCUAAUUCUAAAGAUUGUAACCAAAUCAUUAUCCCUAAUUUUUUUAAGUUAAAUAAAAUAAAAUUCAUGCUUAAGUAUAAAUAAUUUUUUUAAGUUAAAUAUAAAAUAAAAUUCAUGAACUUCCUAGAAAGAAAGAAGACCCUUCACCUUCUUCGCGACAACAAAUGAUGUUGACAUGACAAAUACAAGCUCUAUUACAGGGAACAGCAUGAGACCGAGACUUGAUAAAUAUUAAAUAUAUAAAAUAAGUGGAGCAAACGAACAGAAUAAUAGAUUUUUAUAAUAUUCUUCAUAAAAAUCCAAGUUUUGAGCUGGCCUAUAAGCUUAUCUAGUGAAGUCUGGGUAUCCGCGUUGCCCAAGGUUCCGUUUGAAUCCAGGCCGUGUAGAUGUUUAAGACAUCGCAUAUGGACGGAGUGGAAAUAUUUUCAGUUGACUGAAUUAAAUAAAAAUAUAUUACAAUCAUAUUAUAUAUUAGCAGCAAAAAUAAAAAGAAAUGAAGAAAAACGCAUGCAAGACUUAGACAAGUCAAUUAAAAGCUGGGAGUAUCAUCAGUUCAAUUGAUUAUAAAUAGCGUAGAGCCAUCCUCUCGUUGUUGCAGAACUGAAGCAAAGAGACUCAGAAAGAGUGUGUGUAGGUGAUUAUAAUUAAGAAGAUAUAAUGUGUGGUUCAAAAAGAGUGUGGGUGAGUGAGUUAAUUUUCAUAUUAUUAGUAGUAAAAGGGUGGUGGAGUGAGGGAUGUUUGGAGCAAGAGAGGUCUGCUCUCCUACAACUCAGACAUUUCUUCAAUGAUGAUCAACUUCUUCAAAACUGGGUAGACGAUGAGUAUUAUUCAGAUUGUUGUCAGUGGGAACGGGUUGAGUGCAACGACACCACUGGAAGAGUGAUUGAAUUACAACUACUAGAAACUCGAAAACAGGGAUCAGCAGAGUGGUAUAUGAAUGCCUCUCUGUUUACUCCAUUUCAACAAUUAGAGUCUCUUGAUUUAAUGGGGAACAAUAUAGCCGGUUGUGUUGAAAAUGAAGGUCCUUAAUUUACUCUAUUUUAAUUCUUCCUCGUAAUUUCUUACAUUUAUCUGAUCCCUUUUGAUUUUUGUUUAAUUUAUUCGUGAUACAAUAAAAUUACUUUUUAUUUUUUGUCAGGUCUAGAUAGGUUAUCAAGGUUGAACAACUUGAAGUUUCUUUACUUAAACCUUAACCACUUCAACAACAGCAUCUUUUCAUCCAUAGGUGGUCUUUCAUCACUCAGACGCUUAUCAUUGGCUAGUAAUGAAUUGAAUGGAAGUAUUGAUAUUAAAGGUAAGCAAGCUUCAUCCCUUCUCCCGUGUCCCAUCUUUUGUGGAUCUUAUUUUAUUGACCGGCUGGAAGUAUUGAUAUAAGAUCUGGCUAGACUCUUGCUAGUUUAAGCUUCAAGGAUUUAAAUAUUAUAAAAAUAGGUUUAAGAAAUUAUCAAUAUAUGCAAUUUUCAAUGCUUCUCAUAAUCAGACACAAUUCAAUCUAAUUAUUUUGUAUGUCCUGUCUUCAAAAGUAAAGAAUUGUACACUAAAUGGAAAUCGACAUCGUAGCUUUUUAUUUUUUCUAAUGCUCUUUUUUCGUUAACGAGUUUAUAUCCUAAGAGGGAUUGGAUUGAAAAAAAAAAAAGUUUUGAUGUUCAAGGUAGGCCAUAAUAACCCGCAUCUUAUUUGUCUGCCUGUAUCUAAAUUUGUGCACUGAAUUUAGUAUUUUGGUUAUUGUGAAGGGAUCAGAUAUUGGCUUCCAUAGACCAACUUGUAUUUAGUUAAUUAAUUAAUUAACGACAUUUAAUAUUUAACAAAUUAAAAUUUCGUGUUUAAUCUAUUUUAAUUUUUUUAAGAAAAAAGAAAAAGAUAUAGCAAUAGGUAAAGCUAAAAUAAAUUUUAAUUCCUUACAAAUUUAAAUUCAUGGUUGUCAGCUAAAUAUACUUACUUAAAGCCACUCAGUCGAGCCCUUUGAGAGCUGCUUUAAAUUUUUAGCCAUAUUCUUUUCUUAUUAAUAAAAUUCUUUUCGCUGAGAUUUAACAUAAAAAAAGGAGAAAAUAAGUUAUUUAAUUAACUCUGUUUUAAGUGUUGGAAUAAAUACAGGACUGGAAUCCUUGAGUAACUUGGAGGAGCUGGGCAUGAGCGACAAUGCAAUCGACAAUCUAGUGGUUCCUAAAGGUAUACAAAAUGUUCAAAUAUUAAUAAUUUGGAGGACAGUUUAAUUGAUUUGAUUAGGGAAUGCCCAAUGACACUUACCCAAAAUAAUUUAAUCCGAAAUUGUAUCCCAAAUAGAUUACAGAGGUUUGAGGUAGUUGAAUACCUUUUAUUUGGGGAGGGGGGGGGGGGGGAGGGAGGGAAAUUGCAGUGAUAUAUGGAAGCAAGGUGUUGCAAUAAAUAAAGAAAUUCGUUGGUCAAUAUUCAAGGACUCAUCCAAAGUAAUCGUUAAAGUCUAAAGGUCUGCUCUCCUCCAACUCAAACAUUUCUUCAAUGAUGAGAAUUAUUCAGAUUGUUGUCAGUGGGAAGGGGUUGAGUGCAACAACACCACUGGCAGAGUGAUUAAAUUAGAUCUAGGAGCCACUAGAAAUCGGGAAUCAGCAGAGUGGCAUAUGAAUGCUUCUCUGUUUUCUCCAUUUCAACAAUUAGAAUCUCUUGAUUUAACUGGGAACAAUAUAGCCGUUUGUGUUGAAAAUGAAGGUCCUCAAUUUACUCUACUCUAAUUCUCCCUCGUAAUUUCUAGCAUUUAUCUGAUCCCUUUUAGCUUGUGUUUAAUUUGUACGUGAUACAAUAAAAUUAGGUUUUAUUUUUUAUUUUUUAUUUUUUGGCAGGUCUAGAUAAGUUAUCAAGGUUGAACAACUUGAAGUCUCUUUAUUUAGACUUUAACCACUUCAACAACAGCAUCUUUUCAUCUCUAGGUGAUCUUUCAUCACUCAAACACUUUUCAUUGGCUGGUAAUGAAUUGAAUGGAAGUAUUGAUAUUGAAGGUGAGUAAGCUUCAUCCCUUCUCCCGUGUCCCAUCUUUUGUGGAUCUUAUUUCAUUGAGCAGCUGGAGGUACUGAUGUUAGAUCUAGCUAGACUCUUGCUAGUUUAGGCUUCAAGGCUUCGAUUACUAUAAAAAUAGGUGUAAGAAAUCAUCAAUACAUGCAAUUUUCAGUGCUUCUCAAAAUCAGACACAGUUUAGUCUAAUUAUUUUGUAUGUCCCGUCUUUAAAAGUAAAGAAUUGUAUUGUAAUUGGAAAUCGACAACGUAGCUUUUCAUUUUCUGUAAUGCUCUUUCUUCGUUAACAAGUUUAUAUCUUAAGAGAGAUUGGAUUCGGAAAAAGUUUUCACGCUCAAGGUAAGCCAUAAUAACUUCUUUCUUCGUUAACAAGUUCAUUAGUUCAAUUGGCAACUGUUUUUUAAGUUUUUCUGGUUAGCCGUAUACUUUUUUGCUUAUUAAUAAAAUUCUUUUGCGCCGAGAUUUAAAAAUAAAGGAGGAGAAAAUAAGUUAUUUAAUUAACCUUGUUUUAAGUGUUGGCAUAAAUACAGGACUGGAUUCCUUGAGUAACUUGGAGGUGCUGGACAUGAGCUUCAAUGCAAUCGACAAUCUUGUGGUUCCUAAAGGUAUACAAAAUGUUCAAAUAUUAAUAAUUUGGAGGACAAUUUAAUAGAUUUGAUUAGGGAAUGCCCAAUGACACUUAUCCAAAAUAAUUUAAUCCGAAAUUGUAUCCCAAAUAGAUUACAGAGGCUUGAGGAAGUUGAAUACCCUUGUCUUAGGGGGAACGGAAAUUGCAAUGAUAGAUGGAAGUAAGGCGUUGCAAUCAAUAGGAUCACUACUGUCCCUCAAAACACUUUACCUUUUGUAUACUAAUUUUACAGGAACAGUAGUUAAUCAAGGUAAGUAAAUCUUUUAUGUCGAAAAUAAUUGAAUUAAUAUAUAUAGCUAAAAUUUAUUGUUUCUAUUUCUUUCUAAAUAGAAUUACACAAUUUCACCAACUUGGAAGAAUUGAUAUUGGUCGAGUCUGAUCUCCAUGUAAGCCAGCUUCUGCAAAGCAUCGCAUCAUUCACUUCGUUAAAGUAUUUGUCAAUGCAAGUUAGUGUACUCAAGGGUGCCCUGCAUGGUCAAGGUAAAUUACGGGUAUCUGAAGCUUUUGUGAUAUUAAUUCGAUAAUGAUUCUUUCUUUUCAAGUUUAUUUUCUCCCGUAAAAUAAUAUUUUUUUCUUUUAAAUUUUAUAUACUUUCACUGUCCAAUAGUUCUACCUUCUCUAAAUUGUAGGAUUCUUGAUUAAGGUUAAUGAAUUUUUAGUUCUGUUAUGUUAAGAAUAUUUCGAUCGCUUAGAAGAGUAAGGAAAAAUAAGUAAAUUAACCCAAAAAAGAGAAAAGAACAGGACCGGAUUAUCCUUAUUCCCUUGCAUUAUGUGAUCAAUAUCAAAAUUAUAACCAUUUCUUGUUUAUUGCUUGUAGAUUUUCAUAAAUUCAAGAAUUUGGAACAUCUGGACAUGGAUUGGGUGCAGGUUAACGUCAACACCAGUUUUUUUCAAAUUGUCGGCGAAUCGAUGCCUUCUCUCAAGUUUUUAUCACUGGCAAAUUCAAGUCUUAAUAAAAACACCAUUCUUGAUCAAGGUUAAUUAAUGAUUCUCCUUCUCCCUCUCUCGCAUCAUAACUAAAUUUAAUUGAGAAUAUCUAUAAUGCUAGCUAUUUAUAAACUUAAUGAAAGUUGAUGAGGAGCCAUAUUAAUGACAAAAACAACUGUAAAAUAGUGCGCUGUUGUAGCGUUGAUUGAAAAAUAAUGCUAAUGUUUUACUUAACAACACUAUAAGUGAUCAAACUUAAUUUUUAAUGUGUACUUUAAAGAUUUUAUGCAAUUAUUUAAGUUUUAUGCAAUUAUAUUUUUCAGGACUUUGUCGGUUAGUGCAUCUGCAAGAGUUAUACAUCAGCGGUAAUGAUUUGAGAGGUAGCUUGCCAUGGUGCUUGGCAAACAUGACAUCCCUCCAAGUGUUAGAUGCCUCUUCUAAUCAACUUACUGGAAACUUUUCCCCAGGCCUUUGUGAGUUGGUGCUUCUGAGAGAGUUAUACAUUCACAACAAUGAUUUAAGAGGUAGCUUGCCUUUGUGCUUGGCAAAUUUGACUUCCCUUCGAGUAUUAGAUGUCUCUUACAAUCAACUUACUGAAAACAUCUCAUCUUCCCUCAUGCAUCUAAUAUCUAUGGAAAAGCUCAUACUUUCAAAUAAUCACUUCUUCCAAAUCCCUAUUUCACUUAAACCACUUUUCAAUCUCUCAAAACUCAAGACUUUCGAGGGUGAAAUAUGCGCAGAAACUGAGUCACAUUAUAAUUCUUUGACCCCAAAAUUCCAAUUGACUUCUAUCUCACUGUCUGGUUACAUAGAUGGUGGCACAUUUCCCAAAUUCUUGUACCAUCAGCAUGACUUGAAGAAUGCUGAUCUCUCACACCUUAACUUGAGUGGAAAUUUUCCAAAUUGGUUGGUAGAUAACAAUACGAACUUAGAGACGCUUCUUCUUGCCAACAACUCUCUUUUUGGAUCAUUUCGGAUGCCAAUUCAUUCCCACCAAAAAUUGGCAAAAUUGGAUGUCUCCAACAAUUUCUUUCAAGGCCAUAUUCCGGUGGAAAUCGAAACAUAUCUGCCAGUCUUAAUGGGUUUAAACUUAUCUAGAAAUGCUUUCAACGGUAGUAUUCCCUCUUCAUUUGCUGAUAUGAAAAUGUUGGAAAGGUUGGACAUAUCCUACAAUCAGUUGACUGGUGAAAUCCCUGAGCGCAUGGCCACGGGUUGCUUCUCAUUGGAAAUUCUUGCAUUGUCAAACAACAGUUUGCAAGGUCAUAUAUUCUCUAAAAAAUUUAACUUGACAAAUUUAUUAAGGUUGCAGUUGGAUGGUAAUAAUUUCAUUGGAGAGAUCCCAGAAAGCUUAUCUAAGUGCCGUUUGUUAGGAGGAUUAUAUCUGAGUGAUAAUCAUCUCACUGGUGAGAUUCCAAGAUGGUUGGGUAAUUUGUCAUUUUUACAAGAUAUUAUAAUGCCCAAUAACAAUCUUGAAGGGCCAAUUCCAAUCGAGUUUUGUCAGCUUGAUUCUCUGAAGAUUUUAGACCUUUCAAACAAUAGUAUUUUUGGAACUUUACCAUCUUGUUUUAGUCCAGCAUCUAUCGAACAAGUUCAUUUGUCGAAAAACAAGAUAGAAGGACGGUUGGAAAGUAUAAUCCAUGACAGCCCCAAUUUGGUGACAUUAGAUCUCAGUUAUAACCGCUUACACGGAAGUAUUCCAAAUCGGAUUGACAGACUACCUCUGUUAAGCUACCUUCUUUUAGCUAAUAAUUAUAUUGAAGGCAAAAUACCAGUUCAAUUAUGCCAGUUGAAGGAAGUGCGGUUGAUUGAUCUUUCUCAUAAUAAUCUAUCUGGUCAUAUUCCUCCUUGCUUGGUUAACACUUCACUCAGUGAAGGUCAUCAUGAGGCAAUAGCUCCAACUUCUAGUUCGCGGGAUCAAGCGUCUGCCUCUGUACUUCCAUCUGAGGCUCCAAAUGGAUCUCCGAUGGGAAAGGAAGAAACUGUACAGUUCACAACAAAGAAUAUGUCCUACUAUUAUCAAGGAAGAAUUUUGACGAGUAUGUCUGGGAUUGAUCUUUCUUGUAACAAACUGAUAGGUGAGAUUCCUCCUCAAAUUGGAUAUCUUACAAGGAUUCAUGCGCUAAAUCUAUCUCAUAACAAUUUGACGGGCACAAUCCCGACAACAUUUUCAAACCUGAAGCAAAUCGAAAGCUUGGACCUCUCCUACAACCUAUUGCAUGGGAAAAUCCCUUCUCAGCUCACUGUGCUAACUACAUUGGCGGCCUUCAGAGUAGCAUACAAUAACUUAUCAGGCAAAAUUCCGGAUAGAGUUGCACAAUUUUCAACUUUCGAGGAAGAUAGCUAUGAGGGGAAUCCUUUUCUUUGUGGAUGGCCACUGUCUAAAAGUUGCGAUGAUAAUGGAUUAACAACAGUGACAACAGAAGCUUACACUGAAAAUGAAGAAGUUGAUAGUUUAAUUGACAUGGACAGUUUCCUGAUCACUUUUACAGUAUCUUAUGGAAUUGUGAUAUUAGGAAUUAUUGGAGUUUUGUACGUAAACCCCUAUUGGCGGCGAAGUUGGUUUUACCUUGUUGAAGUAUGUAUGACCUCUUGCUACUAUUUUGCAGCAGACAAUCUUGUUCCUAGAAAAUUCUAUGGUGGAUGGAUGUAAUUUCAUUACAUUACAACUUAUAUGUAAUUUUCAAAGAAUUUUCUUUUGCAUGCAUGGAAUAGCAACUCAAUAAAAGUAUUUGAUGCAAAUUGUCCAAGAACAACUUAGUAAUUUCAUUGCUACUAUUCGGUUGUAUGUAUACAGUUAAUGAAAUUUUUAACCAUUCGCAGAAUACCCUUAGGAAUUUCUUUAGAUGGCGGCAAAAAACUAAGAGAUUCGGGGCUCUACACGGUCUGAAUGAAGAUUAACUUAAUGCCCUCAGGAUUAUGUGUAAGUUCUCUUUUAAAUUUAAGGGGUUGAGAUUUCAGGUCCGGAUGAAAGUUGAAUGCAGGUGACGAGACUUCACUGGGACAAACUUAAAAUAAAAAAUUAUAGUCCACAGUAAGAGCAAUGGGUAGCUUAACUUAUGGAAGAUAACUAGAACUUGGAAUAACUUAAAUUAGCUAUAAAAUUAAGACCAUUAUACAACUAAAAAGAAAGAAAAAUUGUUUGCUACUACAUAUCAAAACUAGUAAUAGCAAUGAAAGAUGGCAGACUUCUUACUUAAACAGAUGAGAGGCUACAAAUAAAAAAUUUGUGCAAAUAAAUAUAUGAUAAAGAGCAUAAUACUUUCUUGGGGGCUAAAAAUAAUAUACAACUUGUGAAAUAUAAAUUGAGCUACCGUUACCUUUUAGAUGUGGCAACUUUCGACUUUUGAGGCACUUUGGAAUAUGCAUUCAGAAUCCUGCAUUUGGAAGCCAAAUAAAUAAUGUUAAUAACAAUUUUACAAUAGAAAAAUUAAAAAUUGAUAAAUGGCAGUUGUAAUUUAUGUAUGUGUAAAGAUAGCAUCACAUCCAGGGUCCUCCCAUAAACAUGCUUGUAACAAGAAUUAGUUUGCCUCAACUGCUAGCAACUAUACAAUAGUAAAAAUCACUCUUAUGAACUCAACAAUACUAGGCACCAAUAAGAGUAUGAUACAGCCAUUCUAAAUGGAAGAGAAUACAACUGUUUUACAACUAUGUUGCAUCAGGAGAUAUGUUAGGAGUUUUAAUCCAGAUACCUUCCAACCCAAUUAGGAAAACUCGAGUCAGAAACCAGGAGCUGCAACCGAACCUUACAAUCUUGAAGGAAGAAGGAGACUUGGGGCAUUUUUCUAGAUAGGUGACUUACUAGAUCUACUGCCAAGAAAAUAUCUAUUGCUUUGAACCUCCAUUGAAAUUUCUUUUCCCUUUUUCUUAUUUUGACUUGGAACUUUCCAGCAUCAUCUAUUUGAUCUUUUUUAAAGCUAAAAUAGCAAUCUACGGGUUGUCAACAUCUUAUCCCCCCCCCCCCCCCCCGAGGGGCCCCCAAAAAAAAAAACAUCAAUGAGUUGUCAAUAAAUAGCGCCUACUCAACUUAUGUUCUCCAAUGGAUGACAAUGUGCAAAUCGACCUAGCAGCCACAUUUUUCCCCCCUUUCAACCACCAUUAGGCAACUUUUCUAACCUUUCUUCAUUGCCCACGUCUACAGAACUAUCAUAUAAAGACUACAAGAUAGACGCACGGUAUCUAAAUAAUUGUACCAACCCCCUCUCCUGAUUGUCAUAAAACGGCCAAUAUUUAACGCUCGACAACAAAAUUGCAAAUACUCUAGCCUCUAUAUUAUUGGCAUAUAAAUAUUUUCGGUUAGGUACAUUAUAUUCUUCGUUCUAAAACCUCAAUUAUUAGCUAGUACUGUGAUAAAAUGAUUCAUCACUGAAAUUAAAACUAGUUCACGUACAAAUAAUCAAAACUGAAAUAGAAGCAACGAUAAACCAACCUGUAUUACGUCGAUUCAUCACAACAAACUGAAAUCGAGGCUGUGUGUUCCUGAAAAUUGAAAAAAAUAAUAAUUUCACCAACUUCAUAUGUAAUACAAUCUCCAAAACACUGAAUAUCAAAUGAAAAAAUGGAAAGCAUAAGAUAGAAAAGAAUCUAAUUUUAUUGACCUUUUGACGACGACGAGAGAGCCUUCAACAUCCUUACGACUCCAUUGGCUGAGGUCGAUGUUGAACUCGUAGAAGGUGACAUGAGCGGCCGUGAUGAGGAUCUCCUCAAUGAAUGGAUCGAUUCGCUGAAGAACUGUCAGGUUCAGGAGUUUUGUGCUCUGCUGGUCCAGAUUAAGCAUCAAUUUUCCGUUAUGCGACAUUUUUCAUAGUCGUUUUGGGCUCUGCCCCGAGCACAAGCCCCAGGGUUUUUCUGUGAGCUCUCUCUUUUGUAAAUAAAGUGUUUGAUGAGAUAGCCGAGAGAGAGUGAAAGUGUUGAACAGCCAAACACGGUCUCGAGAUUGAUCUUCCUUUAACUUCUUUUAAACAUUUGGGAAAUAGCAUUUAUUUCUUUUAGUUUCUCUACUUUUUUUUUCCUUUAUGUCAUUUAGACCCCAAAAUUAGAUUUAUUAUAAUCCUAUUUUACCCAUACACUAUUAACCCCUUUUAUUUUUAAAAUUUGUCAAUAUUAAUGUGUUAGAAUAAUGUUAAAAAUCUCAAUUAUUAUCUCAAUGUUUCAAUCAUAACUAAUGUGAUGACUCAUUGGUAACUGCAACAUUAACUUAAUUAUUAAUGUAACACAAUAAAAGUUUGCCACUUCGGCAUUGGUCGGAGUGGUGGGAUGCUUGUGAGGGCAGCGGUUCAAGCCCCCACAAAAGCAUUUGUGGGGGCUAACGUUGUGGGGGCUAACGUGCUUAUUUGUUUAAUAUUUCAAAAAUUUCCUCUCCCUCGUGCAAUACGAGUGGAGUAUGGACAUCCCUCUUCUGUAAGGGAUUAUUUGUCUGGGCAUGUACUUCACAGAAUUCAAUGUAAUAAUAUAAGUCCCAAUCAUGUAUUUCUGAUUGUAAAUAUCAGUGUAAUAUAUCUGCUGUUGAUGCGAGAUUCUGGUUCUCCUCGUUCUACGACCAGGAUCUCUGCUCGAUCAACUUUACCACGACCAGGAGGUCUCCUAGUAAUGCUUCUUCUCCAGAUGUCCCUGCACACACAGACAAGUCAGAGUACGCCGGUUGUUCUCCCGGCGCAAACCCUCCGACGCUCAAGUCAGAUAUGAAGGUUCGGGGAACGCUUGCCACAGGUCUUAUGGCUUUUUCGUGGUUUUCUCUUUUAUCUUAAAAAUGCUAACCCUUUUACCUUCGUUGGCUACCUUUUUAUAGGCUUCUCCGAAUCCCCGUUUUCCGCUUUUUGCCAGACGGUAUGGGACUCUGACUGCUGCGUCAUGGGCGAAGGUGGGAUCUUGCGUGUUACGCCACGGUUCUGGGGAAAGCGUGGCUGUCGUGCCUAGAUUCUCGGGCUGGAGAGCAUGUCUUGCCAACUGCCGUCGACCGGGUCUCCUCGCUUCUCGACCUCUAGCCGGAAUGAUCUUAUGCCUCUUACAGGAAAUUGACCUCGCGGAUGACGUGCUCGUGGACGAGCAGGAUAUUUCUGCUCCUGUUCCCCCGCGCAUCAGGCUUUUACGGAACACACCGGCUCGAGGAACUCUGCCCCCAGAUAUCUGCUCACCAUGCCUGGUCUCGUCGACGUAUUUCUCCUAAACACCGGUCCCCCAGUUUCUGGUGUUGGGUAAUGUAGUGGACCAGCAGUAGAAACUCGAUAGUACUCGCUCACGUGGGACUGGAAAAGGCUGCCAAGAGUCGUGUCGCAUUUAAUUGCGGACGGGGUGACGUGGCGAAAAUCCCCCCCUCCAUUUGAAUUUCAAACCGACGGUUAUGAGGCCCUCGGGAUUCGGCGCUGUUAAAUGCUGGCAACCCAAGAGUCCGUCCCCAUUAGAAAAACCAAAUCCUCUCGAACGGCAUAUUCAUCAUCCACUACGUCUCCGUCUCUGUCUCUCCGGCAAAGAAGUUCCGGCAUAAAAGUCCUCCAUCUCUGAUUUUCACCGACUGAACCAUUACUUCAGGUAUUUCUUCUAUCUCCUUGGCCUCGGAUAGUUGUAGAUAAUUUCUCUUUUCUUCUGUUUGGGUAGUAGUUGGUGGUGUUGUGGUUAGAGCUUAGGGAAUGUCGAAAGGCAAAGAGAAGGUCAUUGAGGUUGACGACGACGAGUUGGACUUCCUGCCUAGUCUGCUCACCGACCCUGCUUUUGACCCCGGGAUUCCCUUAGAGCCCACUAGGUCUAGUGUCGGGACUAGUGCUAGGAGGAUGUCUCCCCAAACAACCUCUACGAGCGGAAGUAGUGGUGAGGAGAGAUCUUCUGACUCUGAGGAUACGUUGAGUGAGAAUGGCGAAGGUGAUUCUGGUGAGGUGUCUCCAUCUAGAACAUCACGACCAGGAGAACGGGGUACAGUAGGAGGCAGAGCCUUGUCGCGCGAUUAUGCCAUUGAUUACAUGACGUGCACGACCUCGUUUGACGAGCUCAAGGACCUCCGGCUUAGGUAUAGCAUUCCUGGUGAGAUACCUCUCAAGGUCCCAGGAAAGAAGGAUGCUCCCAGCCGGCCUCCUAGGGGAUACGUUACCCUGUUUUUAGAGAGCUUUAAGUACGGGCUGAGGUGUCCCUUGCAACCCUACUUUGCCCGGAUACUUAACGGGCUAAACCUAUCUCCUGGUCAGCUGAAUCCCAAUGGGUGGAGAGUGCUCUCUGGUCUGUUCAUAUUGUGGGACAGAUGUUGCCAGAGCGAGCCCACGGUUGAUGAGGUGAGACACCUGUACCAGCUAAAGAGCAGCCCCAAAGAUGCCGGCUGGUACUACUUCCAAUCUAGCACCAAGAGCAGGAAACCUAUAACCGACCUCCCCACUGGUGGUGGUGGGAAUUGGAAGAGAAAGUUCUUUUUUGCUGGGGGUCCUUGGGGUCAGGUUGCACAAAUGAACGGGAAGGAUUAUCGGGUCCCACCCCGUUUCACGGUCCCAGGUUGCCUGCUUGCUUUUAGAUGUCUUGUAUCCAUAAGUGUUCUUGCUUUAUUGGCUUGUCUCUAACCAAGUGUCUGUUUGUGUUGUAGUUUCUUGGGGUGUUCACUUCCCGCUCCCACCCGACCAGCUCAAACGGGUCGAGGAUGUGCUCGCCAAUUCCUGCUCGAGCCGGGAACUGUUAACUACGUACAACUUGCUCGAGUCUCGCUUGAUACUUCCUGGCCAUAGGAUGGAGGACGCUGUGAUUGGGGCUCUGACCCGAAAACGUUCUCGACCCCCAACCACGAAGAGGGACCAGAGUAAGGAUGCCCCUGUGGCAAAGCGGGCCAACAUCGUGCAGCAGGUCCCACCCUUGAAGAUUUUACCUCCUGCUCCCGUAAAAAUUGGGGAAGCUGGUGGAGCUGCCACAGAUCCUGCUUCCUCUCCUCCUCCUGUCGGGCCCCGAUCUCACUUACCUGACAGCCGAGCAGAACAUCUGGUCCUCUACUUCAAUGAGUUAACUAAACUCGUGAGCAGGAAGGAUCUGGAGGACUUUGACGGCCGCACCUUGGGUGAGUUGGUGGGGGCCAUGCAGCAUAGCGCUUUCCACCUCAGCUGCAUGACCACCUAUUACAAGGCUAAGGUUGGCCGCUAUGACCGGAAGAUGAAGGAGGAUAUUCAAUCGGCGACGACCAGAGCUGACGUUGCCGAGAAGAAAGCAGGGGAGCUGAAUCUCGAGAAUCUGAAGCUGAUGGAGCAAGAAUCACUUGCUCAAGCAAAAGCCAUCGCCCUCGAGGAGGAGCUUAUCAAGGUCAGGGAGGAUCUGCAAAGGCAGAAGACAAUGUAUGAGGCUCAGCUCGAAUCUCUUCGCGACUCCCACCGAGCUCAGGCCGAGAACUUGGAGAGGGAGGCCGACAACCAGUACGACCAGGGACUUCGGUAUUCCUAUCGUUGCAUCAUGGCCGUCCUCGGGAAGCAACACCCUGAUCUGAAGAUGGGUGACCUUGCGGCUGGUGUUGCUCAACAUAUGGACGAGGAGGCGGCCAAGGAGGAUGCCAAAGGGGUAGAGCCGAUCGUGAUAGAGGAGGAAAACUCUCCUCCUCAUGUAGUCCCUGCUGAUGUUGGCGAGGCGAGCACCCACCCCAAUGCCUCUAGUGAUACCCCUCCUGCACCUGAGGAGGUCCAGCCAACCGAUGCCGCUGGGCUCACUGAUCCACCAUCUUCUUGAUAUAUUUCUUGUAUUGUAAUGACAAUGUUUAUGAAGAUUAUUCCCUCUGUUAAUUAUUAACAAAUUAAUAAAAAUGUUUUUGAUCACCUUCUUGUGUCGUAAUUACGAAUUAAUUUUCGUUUGAGAAUCUGCUUGUCUUUGUCUAAACGAGCAGGUUCCGGCUUGGCUCAUGGUUUUGCCACAUGCCUUUGAAGAUUUUUCAAUGCUUGGGAUUCGGUUUGCCUUCGCGCAGUUGAGCAGAUCCUGGCACGCUUGGCUUCUGUCUCGCCAUAAGAUAGGCUUUGAGACUUGACGAGCCUUUGCAUGCCUUGGAUUCUUCAAAGCUCAGGAUUCUGCUGCCUUCUCGUGGCCGAGCAGAUCCUGGCAUGCUUGGCUUCUGUCUCGCCAUAAGACAGGCUUUGAGACUUGACGAGCCUUUGCAUGCCUUGGAUUCUUCAAGGGUUGGGAUUCUGCUGCCUUCUCGUGGCCGAGCAGAUCCUGGCAUGCUUGGCUUCGGUCUCGCCAUAAGACAGGCUUUGAGACUUGACGAGCCUUUGCAUGCCUUGGAUUCUUCAAGGGUUGGGAUUCUGCUGCCUUCUCGUGGCCGAGCAGAUCCUGGCACGCUUGGCUUCUGUCUCGCCAUAAGACAGGCUUUGAGACUUGAUGAGUCUUUGCAUGCCUUGGAUUCUUCAAGGGUUGGGAUUCUGCUGCCUUCUCGUGGCCGAGCAGAUCCUGGCAUGCUUGGCUUCUGUCUCGCCAUAAGACAUGCUUUGAGACUUGACGAGCCUUUGCAUGCCUUGGAUAAUUUCUUGGUUUCAAGCGUAAAAUUGCUUCAUUAAUGGCAGGAUUCGACUUACAUAAAAUUGUUUGGGACAUAAAGCGUAAAAGAUAAACGAUAAUGAGCAUGAGCAGAAAUAGCUCUCAAAUGUGAACAAAUCUUACUGGAAGUAUUUUCGGAGGUGUGCUGCGUUCCAUGGGCGUUUCACCUCGUGGCCGUCCGCGCGAACCAGCCUGUAAGCUCCGGGUCCCGCUAUCUGCUUGACUCUAUAUGGCCCUUCCCAAUUCGGUCCCAGCACUCCUUGAGUCGAAUCUUUGGUGCUCUGAUUCACUCUUCUCAGUACCCAGUCUCCGACCCUGAAUUGCCGUAUGUUCACCUUCUGGUUAUAAUACCGAGCAACCCUCUGUUGGUAAGUGACUGAUCGCUCGGCUGCUUGCUCCCUCCUUUCCGUCAGCAGAUCAAGAUUCAAACAUAUCUGCUCGUCGUUCUCCUGCUCAUUGAAAUGAUCUGUCCGGUGUGUGGUCGUUCCUAUCUCAGCCGGCACGACCGCUUCGUGUCCGAAAGCCAAAGCGAACGGUGUCUCCCCCGUUGCGGUUUUGUGGGUUGUUCUGUAUGCCCAUAGCACACCUGACAGCUCGUCAACCCACGCACCCUUUUUUGCACCAAGCCUGGUUUUCAAAAGCCUCUUGAUGGUCUUGUUGGCUGCUUCUACUUGUCCAUUCGAUUGAGGGUGAGCAGGCGAGCAAUACUUCAGCUCUAUCCCGAGGUUCUGGCAGAAAUCCCUGAAGCUGUGAUUAUCGAACUGCCUGCCAUUAUCCGUUACCAAGGCAUAAGGGAUCCCGUAUCGACAGACCAGGUUUCUCCACACGAAGUCUGUUGUUUUCUUCUCCGUGAUCCUGCUAAGGGCUUCCACCUCUAUCCACUUCGUGAAGUAAUCUAUAGCAACUAUUGCAUGUGUUGCUGCUCCUCGUCCUUUUGGCAAUGGGCCGAUCAGAUCAAUUCCCCAUUGAGCAAACGGCCAAGGGGAGGCCAUAGAGGUGAGCUUCUCUGGUGAUUGGUUGGAGAAAUUUACAAAACUCUGGCAGCUUGCACAACCCCUGGUCUUCUUUUGCGCAUCCUGGUGCAUUGUCGGCCAGAAAUAUCCCUGCCUUAGGACCUUGUGGGCCAGGGACCUCCCGCCAGAAUGAUUUCCGCAAAUUCCUUCAUGUACUUCUCUCAGCACGUAAUCCGCGUCGUCGUCAUCCAAACACCGAAGGAACGGUAAUGUGUAUCCUCGCCGAUACAGUACCCCAUCGAUCAUCGUGUAUCUCGAGGCCUGAGCUCUAAUCUUCCGAGCUCGCAGCUUAUCUGGUGGUAAUACCCCGUCUCUAAGGUAUGAAACUAUCGGGUCCCUCCACGAGCAUUUUUGUUCUAUCCGCAACACCCCCAAAUUCUGCUCGAUACUUGGGCUGGACUUCACUUCUAGAGGGACGGACUUUGGCAUUUUUGGGUCGGCUACUGCUGCCAUCCUAGCCAAAAUGUCUGCUCGACUAUUCUGCUCCCUGGGGAUUUGUAUCACCUCCACUGCUUCGAACUUCCCCAUCAUCUGCCUGACUAUCUUCAGGUACUGUUCCAUCUUCUCCUCUCUUGGUUGGAAUCUUUCACUGACAUGAUUCGCAACCAGCUGGGAAUCAGUUCUGAUCUUAACUCUGUCUGCUUUCACGGCCCUAGCCAAUUCCAGGCCUGCUAUCAAGGCUUCGUACUCUGCCUGGUUAUUUGUGACUGCAAAUUCCAACUUUACAGCAUAAGAGAUCUCCUCCCCCUCUGGGCCUUCCAGGACAAUCCCUGCUCCUGAACCCCGCUCCCCUGAUGACCCAUCUACAGACAUCUGCCAUACUUGAGUUUCGUCAUUGCCUAUAACUGCAUCUUGUUGACCUAAGCAUGUUUCGGGCUCUGUGAAUUCAGCUACGAAAUCGGCCAUUGCCUGGGCCUUUAUCGCUGCGCGGGGUUUAUAGUCUAUGUCGAACUCGCUCAGCUCUACAGCCCACUUGACGAGCCGCCCAGAGGCAUCUGGCUUGUGCAGAGUCUGACGCAAUGGCUGGUCUGUUAUUACCGAGAUCGGGAAGGCUUGAAAAUAUGGCCUCAACUUCCGAGCAGCAACCACAAGGGCAAGUGCCCAUUUCUCCAACGGUGGGUACCUGGUCUCAGCGUCGAGCAGGGCCUUGCUGGUGUAGUAUAUCGGAUACUGAACUCCUUCUUCCUCUCUCACCAGAACAGAACUGGCGGCCCGAUCCGAUACCGCCAAAUACAGAUACAACUUGUCCCCAUUCCUCGGUGUGGACAGCAGCGGAGCUUGCUGCAAGUAUUGCUUCAAGUUCCGGAAGGCUUCCUCGCAUUCUGGGGUCCAUUCUGUUUUCUUUCCCCUCCUUAUCACUUGAAAGAAUGGCUGACACUUAUCUGUAGCUUUGGAUAUGAAUCUGCUCAACGCCGCCAACCUCCCCGUGAGGCCCUGCGUCUCCUUCAGGUUACGAGGAGACGUCAUUUGCACAAUCGCCUGGAUUUUCUCGGGAUUUGCUUCAAUCCCCCUAUGGCUCACCAUGAAUCCCAGGAAUUUCCCUGACUCGACCCCAAAAGCACACUUCUCCGGAUUGAGCUUCAUCUUAUACUUCCUCAAAAGCUCGAAUGUCUCCUCGAGGUGUCUGACAUGUUCCUUCGGGAUCUUGGACUUGGUGAUCAUGUCAUCCACGUACACCUCCAUGGUUUUCCCGAUCAACGGCUUAAAGACUUUGUUCACCAGCCUUUGAUAGGUGGCCCCAGCAUUCUUGAGACCGAAUGGCAUCACCCUGUAACAGAACAAACCUUGGUUAGUGAUGAAAGCCGUGCUCUCCUCAUCCUGCUCGUACAUGGGGAUCUGGUUGUAUCCCGAGAAUGCGUCCAUGAAGCUAAGCAGACCAUGUCCAGCUGUUGAAUCUACUAGCUGAUCGAUCCUUGGUAAAGGGAAGCUGUCUUUUGGGCACGCCUUGUUGAGGUCUGUGAAAUCCACACACAUCCUCCACUUGCCGUUUGCCUUCUUUACCAACACCACAUUUGAUAUCCACUCUGGGUAACUGACUUCCCGAAUGAACCCUGCUCUCAGGAGCUUCUCCACCUCGUCAUUUACAGCCUCAUACCUCUCCUGGUUGAAGCACCUCCUCUUCUGCCUUACUGCCCGAGCACCUUUCUUUAUUGCCAGCUUAUGACACGCUACCUCAGGGUCAAUCCCUGGCAUGUCUUCAUGUGUCCAGGCAAACACAUCAGCAUGAGCCUGUAAGCAUUUCACCAACUCCUGCUUUUGCUCUCCCUUCAGUCUCGACCCGAUUCUGAUCGUCUUUCCCGGGUUCUCUGGUCCCAUGCUUACCGUUUCCAGAUCCUCUACAGGUUCUUGUCUGCCAGUCUUGUUUUCUACUCGGGUAUCGAAGGAUGUUAUCUGCAUUGCCUCCCUUGCUGCCGAGGAGUAGCAGCUUCUUGCGAUCCUCUGGUCUCCUCGUACCACUCCUACUACCCCAUUCACCCGGUACUUCAGAGCCAGAUAAUGGUUGGACAAUACCGCUUUGCUCAUCCUUAAAAACGGCCGACCUAGGAUCAUCUGGUAAGGACCUUCCUCAUCCACUACGACAAAGUCCAGUAUCAUUGUUCUUUCUGUUAGGGGGCUCCCAAUUGUGAUAGGUAGUUCGACCACGCCCAGGGGAACCAGCUUCCCUCCUCCGAACCCCUUCAAGGAGGUGUUGGUGUAUUCCAACUUCCGGUCGGCUAUUCCCAUCUCUUCCAGGGUUGACUUAAAUAACACAUCAACUGAGCUCCCUGUAUCAACCAGUAUCCGGUCAAACUUCUUGCUAGCGACCGUAGCCUUGAUGACUAAGGCAUCCUCGUGGGGGUAUAGGAUCCCUUCCUCAUCCUCAUCCGUCCACAUGAUUGGCACUUGCCUGACCCUUGCCCGUUUGGCUGCUGGGGUGUUGAGGAGUACCUCUUUACUGGUCAUGGCGUACCUAGCAUAAUUUUUUCUCGAUCUGUUUGAAUCUCCGGCCAACGUUGGGCCCCCCGCUAUCACCCUUACUGCGGGCUGCUCGUGCCUCAAGAUUCUAUCACUCUGCUCCCCUUCAUCUGUUGUGGCCACCAUCGGGAAAGUCCCAUCCAUAAACUCGUCCAGGUACCGAUUUCUCACCAAAUCUUCGACUUGGGUCUUGAGAUCUCUACACUCUGCUGUGGUAUGGCCAUGGGUGCCAUGGAACUUACAAUAACGUCCUCUAUCCCUCCUGUUGGGUAGCUUUGUUAUUGAUGUAGGGAGGUGCAGCAGCCCUCGAUCCUUUAUAGCCUCGUACACCUCAUCCAGGGACAUCUUCAAGGGAGUGUACCGCCCAUAGUCCUGGUGCUGGUCGAUCCGAUGUACUGCUCUUUCUCUGUUUGUCCCGCUCUGAGUUGGGGGCGGUAGAAGUACUUCUGGUCUGCUCGUCCUGCUACCGUGGGAAUGUUGAUGAAGACCACCAGAUGCCGGAUCAUUUCUUGUCCAAGGUUCCCUAGCUGGGGAACGAGGAGGUUGCGCCCUGCUGCGCUGAUACUGUGGUGGCCUCUGAUGAGGCUGGUAAGCAGUGACCCUGCCUCCUGCUCCACUACCGGAGGCCUGGUGGUCCCUCCUCCUGAUCGGCCCGUUCCCUGGUAAUGCUUUCAUCUCUCUCCUCCCCAACCCUUCUAUCUGGUCUGUCUUGAUCCGUGCAGCCUUCUCCUCUUCAAUCUCGAUGUCUCUUUUAGCCUGUUCGUAUGCGGCCGCAUACGUUUGAAUAGCUGGGCUUCUCAAAUUGUACCACAGCCUUCCUAUCUUCACCCCUUCUUUCAAUCCCCUUAACGCCUGAGGGUGGUUGAAGGCUCCCAAGUCGAGGACAGCCCGAUGAAACCUCUUGAUGAAUUCCGGAAGGGUUUCUUGCUCCCCCUGUUUCAUGCUUUUUAGCUCCAUCAUGUCAUCUUCCGGUGACAUUGCCCUACUGAACUGCUCCGCGAAUUCCUGGCACAUCUGCUCGAAGGUUUUAAUGCUGCCCCGAGGAAGUUUCAUGUACCAUUCUCGUGCACGUCCCUCAAGGGAUAGUGGGAACACCCUGCACCUUUGGGAUUGAGAUAAUCCUUGUACCCCAGUUAUGUCGUUGAAGCGCUCUAUGUGCAUCAGCGGGUCAGUUCUUCCCGUGUAUCUGAAGUCGGGGAGGCGGAAAUCUCUCGGAAUAACUGCCCUCAUGAUCUCUGCUGCGAGCGGUGAUUCUCCGUCCAGCAUUAUCCUCCAACCAGGGGCUCUGUUCCUCCCUUGCAUAUCGUCAAUUAUCUGCGCUAGUCUGCGCACUUCCUCCUCCAGCUGCCCUGCACGACCAGGGUCACGUGCUGCAACUUGAUCCCGCUCUUGCUCUACAUCUUGCAAGUGUUGCCUCAACUCGGUUUCCUCUGCAUUCACCACCCCGUCGUCCGCGUCACAAGUCUGUCUUGCCGGGGACCGCUCUCUUUCUCUAUGAAAUUCUCCCCGUAGAGGUGCGUUACCUCUCUCACCACCAAAUCUCCCUGUGGUUUGACUUCUCCCCGCACUAUCGGGACCUGGUGCCACUCCACCGCCUCUCACCCUUCCCUCUUGAGUUACCCUUCGCUCGCUCCGUAGCUCAUGCAGGAUGGUUGUCAAGGUCUCCAUCUGCUUUUCCAUCCGUUCCAUCCGGUCGAACAUGACUUUUCCCGUGCUUCACUGACUAUCUCCCUCAGCGUCACGAAAUCGUUAAGCCUCAUAUCACCCCCUUGUGCACUACUUCCUCCUGUCUCCAUUGCUUUUUGCUUACUCCACCCCUCUUCUUGCUAUCAACAGAAGCUUUUUGCUCUGGGUCCCCACAGACGGCGCCAAAAUGUUGAUGCGAGAUUCCGGUUCUCCUCGUUCUACGACCAGGAUCUCUGCUCGAUCAACUUUACCACGACCAGGAGGUCUCCUAGUAAUGCUUCUUCUCCAGAUGUCCCUGCACACACAGACAAGUCAGAGUACGCCGGUUGUUCUCCCGGCGUAAACCCUCCGACGCUCAAGUCAGAUAUGAAGGUUCGGGGAACGCUUGCCACAGGUCUUAUGGCUUUUUCGUGGUUUUCUCUUUUAUCUUAAAAAUGCUAACCCUUUUACCUUCGUUGGCUACCUUUUUAUAGGCUUCUCCGAAUCCCCGUUUUCCGCUUUUUGCCAGACGGUAUGGGACUCUGACUGCUGCGUCAUGGGCGAAGGUGGGAUCUUGCGUGUUACGCCACGGUUCUGGGGAAAGCGUGGCUGUCGUGCCUAGAUUCUCGGGCUGGAGAGCAUGUCUUGCCAACUGCCGUCGACCGGGUCUCCUCGCUUCUCGACCUCUAGCCGGAAUGAUCUUAUGCCUCUUACAGGAAAUUGACCUCGCGGAUGACGUGCUCGUGGACGAGCAUGAUAUUUCUGCUCCUGUUCCCCCGCGCAUCAGGCUUUUACGGAACACACCGGCUCGAGGAACUCUGCCCCCAGAUAUCUGCUCACCAUGCCUGGUCUCGUCGACGUAUUUCUCCUAAACAUCUGCUAUAAUAGCAGUUGUAAAUAUAUGUGUAAUGCAGUAAUAUGAUGAUUAAUCAGUAUUCAAAACACAAUAAAAGUUUCGUACAGAUUUUGAUAUUGAGAGUAACACAAUAAAAGUUUCAUACAGAUUUUGCAAACGAAAAGCACAUAAUACACUUAACUAGGAGGAAAAAUUAAGGUGUAUUUAUUACAAAUUGCUAACAAUAUACAAUUGUAAAAAUCACUCUUAUGAACUCACAAAUACUAGGCAGCAAUAAGAGUAUGAUACAACCAUUCUAAAUGAAAGAGAAUACAACUGUUUUACAACUAUGUCACAUCAAGAGAUAUGUUAGCAGGAUUAAUCCAGAUACCUUCGAACCCAAUUAACGAACUCGAGUCAGAAACCAGGGGCCCCUAACUAAACCUUACAAUCUUGAAGGAAGAAGGAGACUCGUGGUCCAGAUAGGUGACUUACUAGAUCUCCUGCAAAAGAGAAUAUCUAUUGCUUUGAACCUCCAUUGAAAUUUUUUUUUCCCUUUUUCUUGUUUUGACUUGGAACUUUCCAACAUCAUCUAUUUGAUCUUUUUUUAAGGUAAAAUAGCAAUCUAUAGGUUGCCAACAUGUUAUUCUGCCAAACCCCACCCCACCCCCCCGGGGGACAACAAAUCGACCUAGCACACACCUUUCUUCAUUGCCCACACCUACAGAACUAUAAUAAAAAGACUACGUUACUAUUGGGGUAGAGAAAAUAUACAGACUGUAUUAUUAUUACAUCGCAUUUUACUAAUUAACUAGUGCAAGACUUCUUUAGUGUCAAAUCAAGAACUAAUUAGAAAAGACAACUCAUGAUAAUACAGACCUUAAUAAGCAAUUGCUAACAACAUCCCAUAUACUCCUAUUUUAGCCUUCAUUAUCCUGGUAAAAACACAAAUAAGUCUUGCAAACGAACAUUUAUAAGUAAAUUCAACAUUAAUUAAGAUUAGGUAUCUACUGCACCUAAUAGCAUGGUCAACCAUCUAGUUCCUGUAGCCUUCCAUGUACCUAUGUUAGUUACAUUUUACAUAUUAAGCCACGAAAACGAAGAAUCACAGCCUGGUAAAGAAAGACAUUAAUUAAUAGUUUUUGUUUAAAAAGUUCUCCUUUAGAUCUUUCCUAUUCAAUGAAUCAAUGUAAUCUAAAGAGAACUCUUCCAUUUCAAACAGUGUUAGAAGGUAUUUGCAAAGCCUAAAGAUAAUAUACAAGGACCAAGAUAUACACAGAUGGUUUCUUUAUGGAAUUAAAGAGCUUUAUAGAUGUUAAAACUGUUUCAAACAAUUUUUCUUGUUUGGUUUAACUAAGGAAAAGCUUGUGGAAGAUUAAAAAUGAUGUUUCCUAUUCUCUGUAGGAAACUUUUAGGAGAUUUUUUGGGCUUUUUUGAAAGGUUGAAUUGUCAAAAAUACCUUGAUGUUAUUGUUUGCUAAAAGAUGUUACGGACAUCUAAACAACCAACAACAUUUUGUUAAAAGCUCUACUAGUGUAGGAUCUACUUAAAGAAGCUAUACCAAACAGACUCUUAGACUGAAUAACUCGAUCUUAAGUUUGUAAAAUUGGGCUCAGAAUCUCCACUAACAACCCCGCUUCGGUGAGAAAGCCCAAGCCUGUUACUUUGUAUAACCUUAUUCUGUAUGUUUGAUUGCAGGAACUGGCCGAUCAUACCGACGAGGUGAGUGUGCAACAUGAGGUGCUUGACGGGAUGUUUACUUUCUAUGAUUCAACUAAAGCUAGCCUCAACAUAUAUCAGGUGCCUGCUUGUUUUUACCUUCUAGAUACUAAUAUUGUUUAGACGUGUAAUCUCUCUCUCCAUUGAACGCUAGACGGCUCGUCUCAAGCCUUCUACGUACUUCAGAGUCCUUCACUAGCUUUUUAUGUAUAAAGUUUUGAUCUUUUUCCUUCAUUUGCUUGAAGCUCAUUACUGCAGAUUUUUUUUACAGGUUGGUAGUGUAACAUUCGACUUGCUGUUGCUUCUAGUCUUGGGAUCGUAUUUAAUUGUGCUUUUCAGCUUUCUUGUCAUAACAACUAGGGUAUCACUCUUUCUCCAUAUCAAGCUUGAAGUUCUAAAUUUCAGUUUUAUCUUGUAUUUGAUGUUUUAUAAUUUCAUUGCAAACAGAUUAGAAUAGAAACUUCAAAAGUUCCAACUGACUAGUCCCGUGUAACUUUUUCAGGGAAGAUUUUCUCUCAUAACAACUACGAACGUGUUAUGGUUUAGCCCAGUGACACAAAGGACAGUUUUCAACAAUUGAUCCUAGGAAGAUGCCCAUAGCUUGUUGUGCCAAAAAUAGAAAAUCUAAGAUGCGAAAAAAUUUUGUUGAGAUUCAUUUUUCAUCCUGAUGUUACCGCUGGCCUUUUUUUUUUUUUUUUUUGGCAGAGAAUAAUGCUUAUGUGAUUUCUGAACUUGGUGAUUGUUGAAAUGAGCUGAAAAUGAGCUGGAAAUGUGUUUGGUUAAUGAGAAAGAGAGCAAGAAAAUGAAAGAAAUCUAUUUCACUUUUUAUUUAUCAGCAUGAUUACAUUCACAAUGAAUCUAAGCUGCUAUUUAUACUUAAAUGACUACACACGAGAAUCUUCUUGCUAGAUACUUCUAGAAACUCUACACGCACACUCACACUGAGCUAGUGGUUACCAAAACCGUUACAACGAUAUUGCCAGCUCAGCAUAACCAACUUAUAACUAACACACUCAGCUGCAGGGGAAACCAUCAAGCUUACUGUGCGUCCUCUGUAAUCAAGCUUCUUUAAGCAUGCUCUGCAGAUCAUACGUCUGAAUUAUCGAAACAAGAUGAAUUAUUUUUUGUUUAUUGCAGCAGGCGAUCAAUGAGCGGAAUUUCUAGCUUGUAUUCAAUUCGCGAACACAGUUUGAGAAGAAUCAGACCAUUAAUUUUCUUUUGAGCCAAUCAACAGAAUGUACAUUUCUUCUAAGAACUUGUAACCGAAACCGCAGUUUUUCAGGUUUGCUCCUUCCUCAUAGCAGUUAAUCAAACGAUAAACAGAGAUAUCCCAUGUCAACAAGAAGGUAAUCAUAAAAGAACAACAGAAUUGUUGCAACAUAUUCAUAUGAAAUGUAAAACAAUUUUGAGAAAAAAUAUUGGGAAGAUAUUUUUUUUUCAUAGAAGUUGCAAUCUUUACGUUAUUUACUAGUUUGACUAGACUAUAUAAGGAAGCUAUAUGAAAUUAGAAAAAUAAGCUAUACUAGGAAAGAAUAAAUAUGUGUACAGAAAAUUAGGCUAUAAUUUUCAAAUUAGAUGCCAGUUAAUUUUAUCAUAAUUAGAUGGUAAGAUUGCAAAUUCUGCAGCCAAAGGUGGUACGGAACUGAAUGAAGGAAAUCAAAUAUGAACAUGUUUUCAAUCUUAAAAUAUUAAGAGUAGCAUAAGUAACUUGUGAAACAGUUAUAAGUUCAAGGGAAUUAGAUGAUGGCAUGGUUGAAUUUUAUAAAUAUUUGAUAUUUUGGACCGAACAGGGCAAACAGAUGGAUCCAGAUAAUCAAGAAAAACAUCAAUUCCAUGCAACCAAAUGAGUCUAGUCAAAGAAAUUAUUCAAAGAAAUCUCUAGGUCAGUAUCCAAAUAUAUGGCUCCGUCCGUUCCACCACCACAACCAAAAAAAUCAGAUCCCCCCAUUUGGAUUCGAUUGAUUAAUUUGAGCAUAUAAAAUCGGGUUUUAAACUUCCCUAAUCAAAAUUUAUAUUCCACAGAAUCAGUUCCUUUAACAUGAUGCAUUACAUAAUAUUUUGUUUGCAAAAUAAAGAAGAAAGAUGACAUAAUAGAAACACGCUAUUGCAUCUUUUGAAAAAGAAAAACGGAAUAGUUUUCCAAAAUUAAUUCCGAGAAGAAGAUUAACUAAUAAUGAUGUUAGAAAUUUUAAUAUUUGAGUCUUAAUAUUAUGUAUCACUCAUUUAUUAAAUAAUAGAUUUCAUAAUUUGUAAAAUUACUUAACCACUUGAUAAAUGUUAUAUUUGUUGGGACUAAAUUGGAACUUAAAUGUUGGAAUAUCUAGUAUUGCAUUAAAAAAUAAAUAAAAACUUAACAAUUUAUCUUCACUUGACUAAUUGUUUUUACAUCACAACUAACCUUAAUUAUUUUGAAAGUUACAGUAUUAUUAAAUUGUCCUAACUGGUUAUCCAAAGUUGAAGCAUGUUAAAAUAAAAAAAAUUACUAAGAAACAUGUGCUUAAACAGAGGUUAAAGCUAUGAACAAUUAAGAAGAAACUCUUAAUUUGGUCCCAGUUAGUAUAAUAAUCAUCUAUUGAGCGGUAAAAUAUUAAUUUUAAUAGUGAUGAAAUCCAAUAAAUAAUAGAUUACUAACACACAUAAAUUAAAACUUAACUGUCUGAAAUCAUAACAUUACUCUACUCUUCAGUGGAGUUCUCUUAAACAGAUUAUGUGAGAUUGCCUACAUUAAAAAUAUGUUAAGACUGCUUGUUGAAAGCAAUAUUCGCUUUUCCAUUAUAUCCAUAACUUUGAAUUGAUAAAGUUGUAUUCAGCAGCUCUUGAAAAGACUAAUUUAUUUUAACUAGUCAUAGAAAUAAGAGAGAAAAGGGGCUAUUUCUUGACUCAAAGUCAAUUAUAAUUAUCAAAACUUGAGGGGACAUCGCAUGCCUAAAUUCCACGCACCCUAAUACGGUUUGAUUUGCUUUCACGCGUUCAUGAAUUUCCAUGAAAGAGCCUGCCUUUCGUCUCUUUCGGGACAGUGACUACAAUAAUGGAAAAAAUUAUAAUUCUCGUUAGAUUGUAACCAAAUUAUUAUCCCUAAUUUUUUUAAGUUACAUAUAAUAAAAUUCAUGCUUAAGUAUUUAGUAAUUAGAGAGAGAUAGAGAGGAUUGAGGGCCAAUGUUUCGCGAUUUGGGGUCAAUUCAAAGUCAACUAACGUGUAAAACACGUGUAUGCAUAGAAAACGCUUAGAUUAUUUGUGUUCCAAGAAAGAAAGAAGACCCAUCACCUUCUUCGUGACAACAAAUGAAUGAAUGAUGUUGAUAUGACAAAUACAAGCGCUAUUACAGGGAACAGCAUAAGAUCGAGACUUGAUAAAGGGUUUGUUAAAUUACAUGUUAUUUUCUUUUGACUUGAAUGAUGUUGAAGAGAAAAAUCAAAUAACAUUGUAAUCAGGGUGAUGUGUGGAAUAUAGUGAAAUAAAUAAAUAGAGAAGAGAAAUUCGUUGAUCAAUAUUCAAGAACUCAUCCAAAGUGAUCGUCAAAGUCUAGAGGUUCGGUAUGAUUAGCAUUUAUUAUUAUUUUUUUUGGCUUAACAUCAUAUAUAGUCACCUGUCGUGUGAUCUAGAACAGGUUUAGAAAUCCUUUUAUUUUAACUUCCGUAUUCUUAUUAUUUAAUUAGUUAUAGGGUUCUUCAGUAUUUGAGUAUUGAUCACAUGUCUCCUAAUCUAAAAAUAUGUUUUUACGAGUACAAAUAACAAACUAGGAUUUUAACAGCCUUUUAUACUAAACCCUAAAAAUACAUGAAUUUAUCAAAAUAAGUAAAUUAAUUUAAAUUGGUAUGGCAUAAUAAAAGUUUUACCUGCCGAAACAAAUUAAAAAAAUAUUACACUUAAAUCAAAUAUUGACAAAAAUAGAUAACAAUCUAAUGAGAAUCUUAACUAGAUAUUUUUACUUCUAUCCAAUUUAACUGGAACGAGAAUUAAGUCCUUUCAAUAGUUAGGACUCAUAACUCAUACACGCUAGUUUGAGAGUGUGGGGUGUGACAAUGGGCCAAAAGACCAUUGACAAGUACAAAAGAGUGGUCGCAAUUAAUUCAAACCGCUACACACGCUAUUGCGUCUUUUAAAAAAAAAAUGGAAUAGUUUUCCAAAAUUAAUUCAGAGAAGAAGAUUUACUAAUAAUGAUGUUAGAAAUCUUAAUAUUUGAAUCUUAAUAUUAUGUAUCACUCAUUUAUUAAAUAAUAGAUUUCAUAGUUUGUAAAUUUACUUAACCACUUGAUAAGUGUUAUAUUUGUUGGGACUAAAUUGGGACUUAGAUGUUGGAAUAUCAAGUAUUGCAUAAAAAUAAAAAAUAAAAACUUAACAAUUUAUCUUCACAUGACUAAUUGUUUUUACAUCACAACUAACCUUAGUUAUUUUUUAAAGUUAUAGUAUUAUUAAAUUGCCCUAACUGGUUAUCAAAAGAUGAAAGCAUGUUAAAAUAAGAAAUUACUAAGAAACAUGUGCUUAAACAGAGGUUAAGGCUACGAACAAUUAAGAAGAAACAACUUACAAUCAAAGGUUAAGAUUAUGAACAAAUUAAGGAAGGUAUUGAGCAGAUAAAGGGACGAAAUCAUUGUCUGAAUUGCCGGUGACAAGAAUGCUUGUGUUGUGAAAAGAAACCUGAUGGUUUGUAAAUGGGUUGAAUUUUUUAUUCGGUCGCUCCAACUGACUUACUAAUGCCAAAUUUAUUACUUUGCACAGUAGUGUUUAGGAUCCUCAAGAUCAACUCUUAAUUUGGUCCCAAUUAGUGUAGAAAUCAUCUAUUGAGCAAUAGAAUAAGAAUUUUUCUAGUCAUGAAAUUCAAUAUAUAAUAUAUCCUUGACACACAUCGAUUAUAACUUAACUGUUAGAAUUCAUAACAUUACUCUACUCUCAAGGGGAGUUCUCUUAACAUAUUAUGUUAGGUUGCCUACAUUCAAAAUAUGUUAGGCUGCUCUUUGAAAACAAUAUUCCUUUUUCCGUAACUUUGAAUUGAUCCAAUAGCUCUUGAAAAGCACAUAAUAAUCAUUAUAAAUUUAAUCAAAGACUAAGCAGGUCUUCUUUCCAUUUGAUCACUCGCAUUUCAGUUAAGUUUGUCGUUUACUUAAAUUUUUCUUGCUUUCAAUUUCCACUGUUGUUUUUUUUUAUAUAAAAUAAUUUAUUUAAACUAGUCAUAGAAAUAAGAGAGAAAGGGCGCCAUUUCUUGACUCAAAGUGAAUUAUAAUUAUCAAAACUUGAGCGGACAUUGCAUGCCUAAAUUCCACGCACGCUAAAACGGUUUGAUUUGCUUUCACGCGUUCAUGAUUUUCCAUGAAAGAGAGUGCCUCUCGUCUCUUUCCGGACAGUGACUGCAAUUAUGUUAACGUGACGAAUACAAAACGUUAUUACAUACAAGAAUAAGUUUUUGGACCCGAGACUUGAGGGAGGUUCUAUCUAAUUCUAAAGAUUGUAACCAAAUCAUUAUCCCCAAAUUUUUUCAGUUAAAUAAAAUAAAAUUUAUGCUUAAGUAUAAAUAAUUUUUUAAAGUUAAAUAUAAAAUAAAAAAAUUCAUGAACUUCCUAGAAAGAAAGAAGACCCUUCACCUUCUUCGCGACAACAAAUGAUGUUGACAUGACAAAUACAAGCUCUAUUACAGGGAACAGCAUAAGACCGAGACUUGAUAAAUAUUAAAUAUAUAAAAUAAGUGGAGCAAACGAACAGAAUAAUAGAUAUUUUAUAAUAUUCUUCAUAAAAAUCCAUGUUUUGAGCCUGCCUAUAAGCUUAUCUAGUGAAGUCUGGGUAUCCGCGUUGCCCAAGGUUCCGUUUGAAUCCAGGCCGUGUAGAUGUUUAAGACAUCGCAUAUGGACGGAGUGGAAAUAUUUUCAGUUGACUGAAUUAAAUAAAAAUAUAUUACAAUCAUAUUAUAUAUUAGCAGCAAAAAUAAAAAGAAAUGAAGAAAAACGCAUGCAAGACUUAGACAAGUCAAUUAAAAGCUGGGAGUAUCAUCAGUUCAAUUGGUUAUAAAUAGCGUAGAGCCAUCCUCUCGUUGUUGCAGAACUGAAGCAAAGAGACUCAGAAAGAGUGUGUGUAGGUGAUUAUAAUUAAGAAGAUAUAAUGUGUGGUUCAAAAAGAGUGUGGGUGAGUGAGUUAAUUUUCAUAUUAUUAGUAGUAAAAGGGUGGUGGAGUGAGGGAUGUUUGGAGCAAGAGAGGUCUGCUCUCCUACAACUCAGACAUUUCUUCAAUGAUGAUCAACUUCUUCAAAACUGGGUAGACGAUGAGAAUUAUUCAGAUUGUUGUCAGUGGGAAGGGGUUGAGUGCAAUAACACCACUGGCAGAGUGAUUGAAUUAUAUCUAGGAUAUACUCGGAAAUGGGAAUCAGCAGAGUGGCAUAUGAAUGCUUCUCUGUUUACUCCCUUUCAACAAUUAGAGUCUCUUGAUUUAAGUUGGAACAAUAUAGCCGGUUGUGUUGAAAAUGAAGGUCCUUAAUUUACUUUAUUUUAAUUCUUCCUCCUCGUAAUUUCUUACAUCUAUCUGAUCCCUUUUGGCUUUUGUUUAAUUUGUACGUGAUACAAUAAAAUUACUUUUUAUUUUUUGUCAGGUCUAGAUAGGUUAUCAAGGUUGAAGUUUCUUUAUUUAGACUAUAACUGCUUCAACAACAGCAUCGUUUCAUCUCUAGGUGGUCUUUCAUCACUCAGAAACUUAUCAUUGGCUGGUAAUGAAUUGGAUGGAAGUAUUGAUAUUAAAAGUAAGUACGCUUCAACCCUUCUCCCCUGUCCCAUCUUUUGUAGAUCUUAUUUCACUGAGCAGCUGGAAGUAUUGAUACGAGAUCUAGCUAGACUCUUGUGAGUUUAGGCUUCAAGGCUUUGAAUAUUAUAAAAAUAAGUUAAAGAAAUUAUCGAUAUAUGCAAUUUUCAAUGCUUCUCAUAAUCAGACACAAUUCAAUCUAAUUAUUUCGUAUGUCCUGUCUUCAAAAGUAAAGAAUUGUACACUAAUUGGAAAUCGACAUCGUAGCUUUUUAUUUUCUAUAAUGCUCUUUUUUCGUUAACGAGUUUAUAUCCUAAGAGGGAUUGGAUUGAAAAAAAAAAAGUUUUGAUGUUCAAUGUAAGCCAUGAUAACCUGCAUCUUAUUUGUCUGCCGACAUCCAAAUUUGUGCACUGAAUUUAGUAUUUUGGUUAUUGUGAAGGGAUCAGAUAUUGGCUUCCAUAGACCAACUUGUAUUUACUUAAUUAAUUAAUUAACGACAUUUAGUAUUUAACAAAUUAAAAUUUCAUGUUUAAUCGAUUUUAAUUUUUUUAAGAAAAAAGAAAAAGAUAUAACAGCAUGUAAAGCUGAAAUAAAUUUUAAUUCCUUACAAAUUUAAAUUCAUGGUUGUCAGCUAAAUAUACCUGCUUAAAGCCACUCUUUUCGCUGAGAUUUAACCAAAAAAAAAAGGAGAAAAUAAUUUAUUUAAUUAACUCUGUUUUAAGUGUUGGAAUAAAUACAGGACUGGAAUCCUUGAGUAACUUGGAGAUGCUGGACAUGAGGGACAAUGCAAUCGACAAUCUAGUGGUUCCUAAAGGUAUACAAAAUGACACUAACCCAAAAUAAUUUAAUCCGAAAUUGUAUCCCAAAUAGAUUACAGAGGUUUGAGGAAGUUGGAUACCCUUUAUUUGGGGGGGAAGGGAAAUUGCAGUGAUAUAUGGAAGCAAGGUGUUGCAAUCAAUAAAGAAAUUCAUAGGGUCAAUAUUAAAGGACUCUCCUCCAACUCAAACAUUUCUCAAAUAGAUUAUUUAAUCUGAAAUAGUAUCUCAAAUAGAUUAUAGAGGUUUGAGGAAGUUGAAUACCUUUUAUUUGGGGGGGAAGGGAAAUUGCAGUGAUAUAUGGAAGCAAGGUGUUGCAAUCAAUAAAGAAAUUCGUUGGUCAAUAUUCAAGACUCAUCCAAAGUGAUCGUUAAAGUCUAGAGGUCUGCUCUCCUCCAACUCAAACAUUUCUUCAAUGAUGAGAAUUAUUCAGAUUAUGGUCAGUGGGAAGCGGUUGAGUGCAACAACACCACUGGCAGAGUGAUUAAAUUAGAUCUAGGAGCCACUAGGAAUCGGGAAUCAUCAGAGUGGCAUAUGAAUGCUUCUUUGUUUACUCCCUUUCAACAAUUAGAGUCUCUUCAUCUAAUUGGGAACAAUAUAGCCGAUUGUGUUAAAAAUGAAGGUCCUUAAUUUACUCUAUUUUAGUUCUUCCUCGUAAUUUCUUACAUUUAUCUGAUCCCUUUUGGCUUUUGUUUAAUUUGUACGUGAUACAAUAAAAUUAUUUUUUAUUUUUUGGCAGGUCUAGAGAGGCUAUCAAGGUUGACCAACUUGAAGUUUCUUCAUUUAGACUAUAACUGCUUCAACAACAGCAUCUUUUCAUCUCUGGUUGGUCUUUCAUCACUCAAACGCUUAUCAUUGGCUAGUAAUGAAUUGAAUGGAAGUAUUGAUAUUGAAGGUGAGUAAGCUUCAUCCCUUCUCCCGUGUCCCAUCUUUUGUGGAUCUUAUCUCAUUGACGGGUUGGAAGUAUUGAUACGAGAUCUAGCUAGACUCUUGCUAGUUUAGGCUUCAAGGCUUUGAAUAUUAUAAAAAUAGGAUUAAGAAAAUAUCAAUAAAUGCAAAUUUCAAUGCUUCUCGUAAUCAGACACAAUUAAAUCUAAUUAUUUUGUAUGUCCUGUCUUCAAAAGAAAAGAAUUGUACACUAAAUGGAAAUCGACAUUAUUGUUUGCUUUUGAUUAGUGGAUCAAAAAUCGACUAAUUUUGAUUUAACAUAAAAAUAAAAAAGAGAAAAUAAGUUAUUUAAUUAACCCUGUUUUAAGUGUUGGCAUAAAUGCAGGACUGAAUUCCUUGAGUAACUUGGAGGAGCUGGACAUGAGCGACAAUGCAAUCGACAAUCUUGUGGUUCCUAAAGGUAUACAAAAUGUUCAAAUAUUAAUAAUUUGGAGGACAGUUUAAUUGAUUUGAUUAGGGAAUGCCCAAUGACACUUACCCAAAAUAAUUUAAUCUGUAAUUGUAUCCAAAACAGAUUUCAGAGGUUUGAGGAAGUUGAAUACCCUUCGUAUAGGGGGAAGCAGAAUUCGAAUGAUAGAUGGAAGCAAGGUGUUGCAAUCAAUAGGAUCACUACCGUCCCUCAAAACACUUGACCUUUGGUAUACUAAUUUUACGGGAACAGUAGUUAAUCAAGGUAAGUAAAUCUUUUAUGUCGAAAAUAAUUGAAUUAAUAUAUAUAGCUAAAAUUUAUUGUUUCUACUUCUUUCUAAAUAGAGUUGCACAAUUUCACCAACUUGGAAGAAUUGAUAUUGCUCGGGUCUCAUCUCCACGUAAGCCAGCUUCUGCAAAGCAUCGCAUCAUUCACUUCGUUAAAGAAUUUGUCAAUGCCAGUUUGUACCCUUACAGGUGCCGUACAUGGUCAAGGUAAAUUACGGGUAUCUGAAGCUUUUAUGAUAUUAAUUCGAUAAUAAUUCUUUCUUUUCAAGUUAAUUUUCUCCCGUAAAAUAAUAUUUUUUUCUUUUAAAUUUUAUAUAUUUUCACCGUCCAAUAGAAGAGUAAAGAAAAAUAAGUAAAUUAACCCAAAAAAAAGAAAAGAACAAGACCGGAUUAUCCUUAUUCCCUUGCAUUAUGCGAUCAAUAUCAAAAUUAUAACCAUUUCUUGUUUAUUGCUUGUAGAUUUUCGUAAAUUCAAGAAUUUGGAACAUCUGGACAUGGGUGGGGUGCAAGUUGAUGUCAACACCAGUUUUCUUCAAAUUGUCGGCGAAUCAAUGCCUUCUCUUAAGUUUUUAUCACUGGCAGAUUCAAGUCUUAAUAAAAACACCAUUCUUGAUCAAGGUUAAUUAAUGAUUCUCAUUCUCCCUCUCUCGCAUCAUAACUAAAUUUAAUGGAGAAUAUCUAUAAUGCGAGCUAUUUAUAAACUUAAUGAAAGAUGAUAAGGAGCCAUAAUAAUGACAAAAAUAAUUGUAAAAUAGUGCACUGUUGUAGUGUUGAUUGAAAAAUAAUGCUAAUGUUUUACCUAACAACACUAUAACGUCGGAUAAUUUUUAAUAUGUACUUUAAACUAUCAGUACUCAAACUAUCAGUACUCAAACUUAAUUUUUAAUAUGUACUUUAAAGAUUUUAUGCAAUUAUUUAAGUUUUAUGCAAUUAUAUUUUUCAGGACUUUGUCGGUUAGUGCAUCUGCAAGAGUUAUACAUCAGCAGUAAUGAUUUGAGAGGUAGCUUGCCAUGGUGCUUGGCAAAUUUGACUUCCCUUCGAGUAUUAGAUGUCUCUUACAAUCAACUAACUGAAAACAUCUCCUCAUCUCCCCUCAUGCAUCUAACAUCUAUCGAAGAGCUCAUACUUUCAAAUAAUCACUUCUUCCAAAUCCCUAUUUCACUUGAACCACUUUUCAAUCUCUCAAAACUCAAGACUUUCGAUGGUGAAAUAUGCGCAGAAACUGAGUCACAUUAUAAUUCUUUGACCCCAAAAUUCCAACUGACUUCUAUCUCACUGUCUGGUUACAUAGAUGGUGGCACAUUUCCCAAAUUCUUGUACCAUCAGCAUGACUUGAAGAAUGCUGAUCUCUCACACCUUAACUUGAGUGGAGAAUUUCCAAAUUGGUUGCUAGAAAACAAUACAAACUUAGAGACGCUUCUUCUUGCCAACAACUCUCUUUUUGGAUCAUUUCGGAUGCCAAUUCAUUCCCACCAGAAUUUAGCAACAUUGGAUGUCUCUAAAAAUUUCUUUCAAGGCCAUAUUUCGGUGGAAAUCGGAACAUAUCUGCCAGGUUUAAUGGAUUUAAACUUAUCUAGAAAUGCUUUCAACGGUAGCAUUCCCUCUUCAUUUGCUGAUAUGAAAAUGUUGGAAAGGUUGGACAUAUCCUACAAUCAGUUGACUGGUGAAAUCCCAGAGCGCAUGGCCACAGGUUGCUUCUCAUUAGAAAUUCUUGCAUUGUCAAACAACAGUUUGCAAGGUCAUAUAUUCUCUAAAAAAUUUAGCUUGACAAAUUUGACGACGUUGCAGUUGGAUGGUAAUAAAUUCGCUGGAGAGAUCCCAGAAAGCUUAUCUAAGUGCUAUUUGUUAGAAGGAUUAUAUCUGAGUGAUAAUCAUCUCACUGGUGAGAUUCCAAGAUGGUUGGGUAAUUUGUCAGCUUUGGAAGAUAUUAUAAUGCCCAAUAACAAUCUUGGAGGGCCAAUUCCAAUCGAGUUUUGUCAGCUUGAUUCUCUGAAGAUUUUAGACCUUUCAAACAAUAGUAUUUUCGGAACCUUACCAUCUUGCCUUAGUCCAGGAUCUAUUGAACAACUUCAUUUGUCAAAAAACAAGAUAGAAGGACGAUUGGAAAGUAUAAUCCAUGACAGCCCUUAUUUGGUGACAUUAGAUCUUAGUUAUAACAGCUUACACGGAAGUAUUCCAAAUCGGAUUGACAGACUACCUAAGUUAAACUACCUUCUUUUGGCUAAUAAUUAUAUUGAAGGCGAAAUACCAGUUCAAUUAUGCCAUUUGAAGGAAGUGCGGUUGAUUGAUCUUUCUCAUAAUAAUCUAUCUGGUCAUAUUCCUCCUUGCUUGGUUAACACUUCACUCAGUGAAGGUCAUCAUGAGGCAGUAGCUCCAACUCCAAGUGGAUCUUCGAUGGGAAAGGAAGAAACUGUACAGUUCACAACAAAGAAUAUGUCCUACUAUUAUCAAGGAAGAAUUUUGACGAGUAUGUCUGGGAUUGAUCUUUCUUGUAACAAACUGACAGGUGAGAUUCCUACUCAAAUUGGAUAUCUUACUAGGAUUCAUGCACUAAAUCUAUCUCAUAACAAUUUGACGGGCACAAUCCCGACAACAUUUUCAAACCUGAAGCAAAUCGAAAGCUUGGACCUCUCCUACAACCUACUGCAUGGGAAAAUCCCUUCUCAGCUCACCGUGCUAACUACAUUGGCGGUCUUCACAGUAGCAUACAAUAACUUAUCAGGCAAAAUCCCAGAUAGAGUCGCACAAUUUUCAACUUUUGAGGAAGAUAGCUAUGAGGGGAAUCCUUUUCUUUGUGGAUGGCCACUGUCUAAAAGUUGCAAUGAUAGUGGAUUAUCAGCAGUGACACCAGAAGCUUACACUGAUAAUGAAGAAGGUGAUAGUUUAAUUGACAUGGACAGUUUCCUGAUCACUUUUACAGUAUCUUAUGGAAUUGUGAUAUUAGGAAUUAUUGGAGUUUUGUACGUAAACCCCUAUUGGCGGCGAAGAUGGUUUUACCUUGUUGAAGUGUGUAUGACCUCUUGCUACUAUUUUGUGGCAGACAAUCUUGUUCCUAGAAGAUUCUAUGGUGGAUGGAUGUAAUUUCAUUUACUUUACAACUUAUAUGUUAUUUUUAAAGAAUUUUCUUUUGCAUGCAUGGAAUAGCAACUCAAUAAAAGUAUUUGAUGCAAAUUGUCCAAGAACAACUUAGUAAUUUCAUUGCUACUAUUCGGUUGUAUAUAUACAGUUAAUGAAAUUUUUAAUCAUUCGCAGUAGGAAUUUCUUUAAAUGGCGGCCAAAACCAACAGAUUUGGGGCUCUACCUCUACACAUCAUAACAGGCAAAAGGUCUCUCUUUUACACUAUCUGAAUGAAGAUUAGCUUACGCCCCUGGAGUUCUCUAUUAAACUUGACGGUUGAGAUUUCAGGUCCAGAUGAAAGUUAAAUGCAGGCGACGAGACUACACUUUAAGUAAACUGGGACAAACUUAAAAUAAAUAAAAAUUAUAGUCCAGGGUAAGAGUAAUGGGUAGCUCAACUUAUGGAGUAUAACUAGGACUUGGAAUAACUAUCAGAUUUGCAACUCUUGUUAUAUGCUUGGGAGUUACAGUAAUCGAUUCAUUUCCUCCAUUUCUGAUGGUAACCCAGCUCUAUACAAGAACAAUCAGAGAAGGUUCAUUUAAGAAAUUUCACAACCCACGCUUUUUUUUCCUUUUUGCCCUCUUCCUCACAAUAAAAACACCUAACACACCAAGCCGUGCACAAAAUAGUCCUAUUUUAUUCAUGUCAUGAAUCCAAAAACUAUCCCAGCUCACUUUGUUUAACCAGCAUAACUAAAUUGUGGGUAUAAAUGAACACACUUUCGAAGCCUGUAACUUAUAAUAAGCUCAAACCCAAAAAUGACAUUUAAAUCCUGCAAGUGUUUUUCAUCAUCCCUAACAAAAAGAAACAAGAAUAAUUAUAUACCAAUAAUUUUUCCAUAAAAAAUACUGAUACCAAUAAUUUUUCCAUAAAAAAUACUGAUUUGAGUUGAAACACUAUACAAACUGGGUUUUAUACACUUGCAGAAAGCUACACGAUAGACAAAAUCUAGCAGCUACAUAAUGGUAUCACUUUCAGCUGGUCAUGAAUGGUGUGCAUUCAGCAGUGCUCGAUAGACCAUGUCUAUGAAUUGAUUGUCCUAUUACAUAUAAAAGCUGGUCAGCUAUACAAGGAAAAAAAUAAUAAUUGAAAAUGCAUCACAAAAAAUAAGUGUCUCGCAUUAGUGUUUGCACUCUAAGCAUGGCAAAGUGGUGCGGGUUCAUGAUUUUGAAGACUGGGAUAAGUGAAAAAUAGUUCAAUCCACUGAUGAACAUAAAUUUAUUUACAUGUCAAUUUAGAUAUCAUAAAAAAGUAAACAGUAAUUCACAGUCACUUAAAAGAGUUGAUAAAAUGCGUGCCGUGAAUGCAUUUUUGUACAUAAGAAAUCCAAAGAGUAUUUCUGACAAUACAAAUAUGCUAGCUUUAAAUCUGCUGUCAAUAUGCAAUUAAGAAGAUUAUACCAGCUGCAUGAUAAAGUUCCCCUAAUCUUAAUAACAGUAAACAUGAACAUGUCAGAUGCAAUUAUAGCUUCGAGCAUUUGCAUAACCAGAAAUCCUAACCUGAACAAGCACCAGAAGUGUCUCUCGGACUUUCUCCUUGUUGAUAAAUGGUCCGCUGUUUGAAGUAAGAGCAGGAGUAAGAGAUGGUGGAGGGGUUGGUAGUGGAAAAGGUUGAAGCAUUGGGGCACCAUAUGGGCGUUGCAGACUCAGGGGAGGAUUAAGUGGCGGAGCUGUUGGUGUAGAUGAAGAGACAAGCUGCAUCAUCUGUGCAUAGGAGGAUGGAGGAGGAACAAAGAAUAAGGAAGGCUUUACAAGAUUAGGGGUAGGUGCUGACAGAGGUGGAGAUGGUAUUUGCAAGGUUGGCACGAUAGGAGAAGCAACACUGGCGGGAUGAGAAGGUAAAGAAAUAGUUGUAUUGGACUGGUAAGGUUGUGCAGAGAUUGCUGCAUUAGAAGUAUUCCCCACAGUCAAAGCUGUCUGCAAUGAUAAGGACAGAUGUCAUAUACAAGGACAAGUGAUAACAUAUGAAAAUAGUAUGACUUGCUGCAGUUUUGUGGUAAUGUUGCAUACUUAUGCAGAAACAUAUUAUUUCAAAGAAAACAUACACUGAAGUAGUUCACAAAAGCAGGAUCUUCAGGAACAUCAGCAGCAUUUGAGGGAGUUGACUCUAGAGGACCAUCCAUAACUGCCAUAGUUGGAACAGCUUCCAGUUCCUCAAACUCACUGCAGUUUAACAUAAAAGGAACUUGAUGACCAAUUUAAGUAAUAAUUAGAUGAUAUAAGAGGUUAGGGAAAAUGAUGAGUGGACCCUUAUGGAAGGUGAUUUCACCUUAGCUAAACACGAAAAUAAAAAGAAAUCAAAGCUGAAUCCUCGAGUGCAAUGCAAAGAAUUUUUUCUCGCUCUUCUCUAACUCCUCUUAUUCGAAAUUGCUCAUCAUUGUGCUGUUCUUCGAGUUUUCGCUAGAGUAGAGAAAGCUAUUCUCUCGUUAAGUGCAGAGGAAAGAGAAGGGCAAGGGCCUGGUAUGAUGCUAUUCUAUAGGAAGUGAGAAGGUGAAGGGUUAAAAUAUUUUGUAAUUUGGAGGUGGUGUUUGUUAGUGUGUGUGUACUUCUGAAUUUAUUACCUCUUUAGGAUCCAUAGAAAUUGCCUCUUGUUCAGCAUGCACUGUGCCUACGAGUAAGACGAGCUUGCAUGGUAUCUAUUGUCUAUUUACUUGGAUAUUCAAACAUGACUACCAGCCACCAAACACAAAUCCCCAAACAAAACACUCUUUCAAGUGCAAGGAAAGAGUAACUUGGGCAUAUUUAUAGUUCAAGCACUACAAUAACUAAGAAUGUGAUGACUGUCCACAAACACUAUAUCAGUGCCUUUUGAACUACAUUACAUGCUCGAAGACUUUUUUUUUAGUCAUACAUAAAUUAGCUAUAAAAUUAAGACCGUUAUACAACUAAAAAGAAAGAAAAAUUGUUUGCUACUACAUAUCAAAACUGGUAAUAGCAAUGUAAGAUGGCAGACUUCUUACUUAAACAGAUGAGAGGCUACAAAUAAAAAAUUUGUGCAAAUAAAAUAUAUGAUAGAGAGCAUAAUACUUUCUUGGGGGCUAAAAAUAAUAUACAACUUGUGAAAUAUAAAUUGAGCUACCAUUACCUUUUAGAUGUGGCAACUUUCGACUUUUGAGGCACCUUGGAAUAUGCAUUCAGAAUCCUGCAUUUGGAAGCCAAAUAAAUAAUGUUAAUAACAAUUUUACAAUAGAAAAAUUAAAAAUUGAUAAAUGGCAGUUGUAAUUUAUGUAUGCGUAAAGAUAGCUUCACAUCCAGGGUCCUCCCAUAAACAUGCUUGUAACAAGAAUUAGUUUGUCCAACUGUUAGCAACUGCUAACAAUAUACAAUAGUAAAAAUCACUCUCAUGAACUCAACAAUACUAGGCACCAAUAAGAGUAUGAUACAGCCAUUCUAAAAUGGAAGAGAAUACAACUGUUUUACAACUAUGUUGCAUCAGGAGAUAUGUUAGGAGGAUUAAUCCAGAUACCUUCCAACCCAAUUAGGAAAACUCGAGUCAGAAACCAGGAGCCGCAACCGAACCUUACAAUCUUGAAGGAAGAAGGAGACUUGGGGCAUUUUUCCAGAUAGGUGACUUACUAGAUCUCCUGCCAAGAGAAUAUCUAUUGCUUUGAACCUCCAUUGAAAUUUCUUUUCCCUUUUUCUUGUUUUGGCUUGGAACUUUCCAGCAUCAUCUAUUUGAUCUUUUUUAAAGCUAAAAAAGCAAUCUAUGGGUUGUGAACAUCUUAUCACCACCCCCCCCCCCCCCCCGGGCCCCCAAAAAAAAAUCAAUGAGUUGUCAAUAAAUAGCGCCUACUCAAAUGUUUUCCAAUGGAUGACAAUGUGCAAAUCGACCUAGCAGCCACAUUUUUCCCCCCUUUCAACCACCAUUAGGCAACUUUUCUAACCUUUCUUCAUUGCCCACGUGUACAGAACUAUCAUAUAAAGACUACAUUAUUAUUGGGAUGGAGAAAAAUAUACAGACUAUAUUAUUAUAUCUCAUUUUAUUAAUUAACUAGUGCAAGACUUAUUUAGUGUCAAAUCAAGAACUAAUUGGAAAAGACAACUCAUGAUAAUACAGACCUUAAAAAGCAAUAGCUAGCAACACCUCAUAUACUCCUAUUUUAGCCUUUAAUAUCCUGGUAAAAACACAAUUAAGUCUUGCAAAAGAACAUUCACAAGUAAAUUCAACAUUAAUUAAGAUUAAGUAUCUACUGCACCUUCAAUCAAUGACUGGGUGAAUAGCAUGGUCAACCAUCUAGUUCCUGUAGCCCUCCUUGUACCUAUGUUGGUUACAUUUUACAUAUUCAGCCACGAAAAUGAAGGAUCACAGCCUGGUAAAGAAAGCCAUUAAUUAAUAGUGUUUGUUUAAAAAGUUCUCGUUUAGAUCUUUCCUAUUCAAUGAAUCAAUGUAAUCCAUGGAGAACUCUUCCAUUUCAAGCAGUGUUAGAAGAUAAUUGGAAAGCCUAAAGAUAGUAUACAAGGACCAAGAUAUCGAUUAGGUCAAAUAGUGAAUGUCAAAUAUAAAAAAUAAAUAAAAGAAGUUGUACAUGAUCAUUUACUAUCAAGUUCUGUAAAAUUGAAAAUACCAUUAUCACUGUAGAGAUUCUCAAACAACUCUUUAGCAAAUUAUAAAAUAGUUAAAAAAAGAACAAAAGUUUUUUUUUAAAAAAAGAAGAACAUCCAUAUCAGGAGAUGUUUUUCUUCUCAAUCUCAAUAUUUUCUAGCCGUGAAGCAAUUGAAAAGCUUAACACUAAGUGAAUUAUUAAGAAUUCAUCAUUUAAAUUCCCAAAUCGCAAAAUGUUGGUGCAACUAGGAAAGUGCAAAUGCAAUCACUUAACUAACACAAGAAACACCAAUAGUGAGAGCCCACUUUGUAUCAAAUUUGAAACAGAUAGAGGUCAAAAAAAUUAUACACUCAAUUAAAAGCCUUUCAAACAGCUUUUGCAUGGAACAAGAACAAAUCAAAGGCAAUGUGAAUGUAUUCAAAGACUAAUUUACAAUGAUCUACAGGACAUAAAUAUCUUGGAUACCUACUCUCUAUACCUUACUGUCCCACUAGAAAUCAUCAAAUCCCUCCAAACAAAAAUGACAAAAUGGAUAAGAAUUGUGUCGUUAAACUUCAAUAACUUAGCAGCCACAGCAAAAACUUAUGUAGGCACGCAAGCCACUCAAAAUAGUCAUAUUUUUUGCUUUCCAAACAAAAGCCACUUUGUAAUGAAUAUUCAUAAAUUGCUACUAUCAUGUUUGUUAAAACACGUGAAAACCACCAUAACUAACUAAAUGUAACUGAUGAUCAUCAUCAAGUUCAUGGAAUCACAUAUCUGACAGUAUUAAUUAGUGCAAAUGGCAUGCUUCUUAAAACUCCGUAUUUAUCACAUGGGCGCCAUUCCAAUCAACCAAUGAUUCUGAUCUAGUCGGCAUAUUCAACCCACGAGCGAGUAAUACCUCCUAUUGCUUCUUUACAUUUCUCAACGAAAUUCCACAUUCUAACCAUACUUCUGAACAUGUUGCUCCCAUAGACUAAUACAAUAUAAAGAUUUCUUCCCACACCACCUCAGCCCACACUCCUGAAAAACCAAUUUAAAUUCUCAUUGGCUGUACAACCUAUAGUCCAUACCAAAUUGAAAAAUUUACAAAUAUAGAACCUCAAAGAAUCUUCUUGUGUUCCAUUUUUUACGGCAAGAAAUUUGACUUUUACCACAUGCAAGUCAACAAAUAAAAAAAUCAUGUCUUUGUGAGAUGCACAUUUUCAGAUGAAUCUAAAGAGCAAUGAAACCGUAAAAACCGAAUAUCAGAACACCGAGGACUCCAGAUAUCACCUAUAGAAUCUUUGGUCCACACUUGCACGAUGAAAAUGAUGAAAAACAAUUGAAGGCUUCAUCACCAGCUCCCCAGGUUGUUUUGUUCUCCUAUCUCCUAAAUAUAAAGGAAACGCAACCCGUUCUUUUUUCCAAUCUUAAGGGGCACAAAACGACUCUGGUAUAAAAUAGUCAGUUUCUAUACAAAAAUAACUCCUUUGCACUUGGCAUUGCACAUCUCGAAAUAAAAAGCAUGCUAGAAAGAGAAUAUAAUAGCAUUAAACAAGUUUUAUUAACCAAACUUCAUGCCACACAAGGCAAAAAAGGAAUCUGUACAUGCCAGAUUCCAAGAAUAAUAAUUCCAAUAUACAAUUCAGGAAAACAAUAACUAAAACUAGGUUCACGAGGCCUCGGCAGAAGCAACAUGUAAUAACCAUACUCUAUUAUUUGAAACACAUUUCUAAGUUUGGUUAAGAUUCUAAACUAUUCUCUGUGUCAAUUAUUAACAUGUAAAACAUAAUAAUAUACACUUAAACUACUACACAAACUACUACAGUAGUAAAACCAGUAAAACAACAAUACCUGUUGAAAAGAUUUGCUACCUCUUCACAUUCACGAGCAUUGUAGAACCAAAUCCCAUUUACUUCUUGGGAUGCAUUUCGAUAUAACAAAUACAGAACCUGAACUUCAAACUCAAAAUCUCCCAAAAGAUUUUCCACUAAAUUAUCUGCACAUAUACAAGAUAUUGAAGCUUAUCAGUGCAAAAACAUAUACAAAAAGACAUGAAGGUUAGAAGACAUAACUAAAACUUAGCAACAACUGAUAAGCACAACAAGACAUGAAAUAUAACACUAGUUGUAAACAAGAUAGACACAUGGUAUCUAAAAAAUUGUACCAACCCCCUCUCCUGAUUGUCAUAAAACGGCCAAUAUUUAACCCUAGACAACAAAAUUGCAAAUACUCUAGCCUCUAUAUUAUUGGCAUAUAAAUAUUUUAGGUUAGGUACGUUAUAUUCUUCGUUCUAAAACCUCAAUUAUUAGCUAGUACUGUGAUAAAAUGAUUCAUCACUGAAAUUAAAACUAGUUCACGUACAAAUAAUCAAAACUGAAAUAGAAACAACGACAAACCAACCUGUAUUACGUCGAUUCAUUACAACAAACUGAAAUCGAGGCUGUGUGUUCCUGAAAAUUGAAAAAAUAAUAAUUUCACCAACUUCAUAUGUAAUACAAUCUCCAAAACACCGAAUAUCAAAUGAAAAAAUGGAAAGCAUAAGAGAGAAAAGAAUCUAAUUUUAUUGACCUUUUGACGACGAAGAGAGAGCCUUCAACAUCCUUACGACACCAUUGGCUGAGGUCGAUGUUGAACUCGUAGAAGGUGACAUGAGCGGCCGUGAUGAGGAUCUCCUCAAUGAAUGGAUCGAUUCGCUGAAGAACUGUCAGGUUUAGGAGUUUUGUGCUCUGCUGGUCCAGAUUAGGCAUCAAUUUUCCGUUCUGCGACAUUUUUCAUAGCCGUUUUGGGCUCUGCCCUGAGCACAAGCCCCAUGGUUUUUCUGUGAGCUCUUUCUCUUUUGUAAAUAAAGUGUUUGAUGAGAUAGCCCAGAGAGAGUGAGAGUUGAACAGCCAAACAAGAUGAGGUGAACAGUUUCGGAUUGAGACUCGAGAUUGGUCAAGCUUUAACUUCUUUCAAACAUUUGGGAAAUAGCAUUUAUUUCUUUCAAUUUCUC